ACUCAACAAACUCAACCCUAGUGCCGGCUACUGCGACAACAAUCCCGACUCACCUCCUUGUCUCCACUCGAGGGAUCGUGCUGGUGCAUCUCUCUGUUAGAAUAAAUCUGAGGCGCUCCGUCGACCUAACGAGGACCAAGCAAUCACACGAACCACGACACCGGAAUUUGUUAAUGAGGUUCGCCAAUAUCCUACAUCCCCAGGGCCGACUAUGGGCGCUCCUCCCUGUGACACCAUCACAGUACCGCACACCAGUCACCCGGGCGCCGGCACACGCCGCCGGCCCCCGUGCGUACUUGUGCUAUUAUGUUGGCAUAGGUUAUAUCGUGUGUCUACCCUCACUAUAUAUGAGAGACCUGUGAUAGAAGUGUCCUACCAGGACAUGACUUCAUACCUUGUCUACACACCGUACGACUCCAAGUCCAACUAUAACCUAACUGGUACAAUAAUAUUCGACACAACUCUAACAAACUCCACCAUGGUGAAUAUUCUCCACCAUUUUGGAUUCAUCCAUGCGUCGAACCUCCAUGUACAUUGGACUUGAGUUACGUCAUGAGCACCGCUGCUACUCCCAGACUCCACGUAACUCCACCUGCAACUGUAGUCCCUUCUCGUCUUCUUCAUAGUCAACGCUCGAGCAAAAUUAAGUUCAUCAUUACUCUACUUUGUGAUCCCAACUUCCGGAGAAUCGGUUCAAUGUCAUCACACACUGAUAACUUAUCUGCGUGAAAAUGAACAACUCACAUAUUGGACAUCACAUAUAAGAGUUACCUGGACUCAACAUCAUUGCUCUUUCUUGACCGUCUGUCUGAAAUUUGAAGGAAUUUCACUAUCGCCCUGUGUCACCCCGAGUCAAAUUUGCAGUUGUCUCACCCUUCUUCCGGUUAGUCUCUGGCAUUUCCCACAGCUAUAGCACUCUGCCUCCUUCUGUGUUCUUCCGAUCGGGCCGAUCCGAUCCGCCAUCUGCUUGUGCCUUGCGCGCGCCUGCACACGCGAGACCUACCGAGACCAUCCGCAGCCUCCUCGUAACCUUGCUCAUGAUAUCACUUGUUAGAAUAAAUUCGAGGCGCUCCGUCGAUCUACCAAGGACCAAGCAAUCACACUAGGCACGACACCGAGAUUUGUUAACGAGGUUCAUCGAUAUGGCUACAACCCCGGGGCCUGACUACGGGCGCUCCUCCCCGUGACACCGUCACAAUACCGCACAUCGGCCACCCAGGCGCCGGCACACCCCGCCGCCUCCCCUGCGUACCUGUGCUAUUAUGUUGGCAUAGGUUACAUCGUGUGUCUAUCCUUGUUAUAUAUGAGAGACCUAGGAUAGAAGUGUCCUACUAGGACACGACUCCAUACCUCGUCUACACACCGUAUGACUCGAAGUCCAACUGUAACCUAACUUGUACAAUAAUAUUCGACACAACUCUAACACUCACGGUAGCUCAGGAAGGUAGCAUUGAGGAUCUAGCUGCUUUGUACUUGGACGGGGCACCAAUAAAUCCAUGGCGGCAGCCUCGGCUGGUGGAUCAACGCUUUCUCUACAGUGACCGGUACUCGUCGAUUCCGCCGUCCUCCUCGGACGUGGGUGCGGCGAAGUGGUCAUGGUUUGUGCUUGUGCUGUGGGUCUCCUUGGGGGAGGCCGAACCCGAUCUAGAGCCGUCCAUCUUCUUCAACCUUGGCAGCCUCCACCCAAUCUUACCUUUGGUGGCCUGCGGUCACCGAAGCCGGUCAUUUAUGCACCAGAGAAAUCCAAGGCCAGUUGUGCUGACCACGACGACCCUGCUUCAUGUAGGCGUCGUCCAGGUUGUCCCCUUACCCCCUCCUCAUUCCCACUUCUCGUGUAGAAGGUGAAAACCUAGAUCUUGUCCAAAUUGGGCGGCAACAGAGCUCCGAGUGGCGUCACCCUGAUGGGGGUGCCAUCAUUGGUGCGCAUGGGGUGGAUGUGUACUUUUCUUGUUGUAUGGAGGUGGAUGGUGGCUUGGUCUUAGCUCUGUGUAAGCUCGCUCUUGUUCGUCUUCUUUUGGUGCUCUGUCCCCCUCCCCGCUCAUCCGUUUGUGUUAGGAUCUACGGUUGUUGUGGCUUCUGAUCCGGCGUGCAUCGUUCGCUAGGUUUCUGUGGGUGCAACCCAGCCAGCCCUACUUUGCAUGGACCUGCUCCUCGUGGGCGAUGUGCCCUGUUCGGUUGGGUCGGUAUCCCGGCCUCUCGGUUGAUUAAGUCAUUCCGGAAGCACUUUUUGUGUUUUGCAGAUACCAACUGAUUCUAGUUAACAAUGUAACAUGCAAAUUGAACUAUUUUCAAUCAUGUGGCUAUUCUACUGGUGUUUAGUUUUGAUUGCUUGUUAAUGUACGUUGUAGUCAUGCGUACCAUCACCCCACUACAAAGUAAGAGCAGAGAGUAGUCAAAGUUCAGUAGAGUAGCAUGUCGUUUCCUUCCCUGUUCAGUCUUAUUUAGCCUAACUUGCUUGUUUUUUUUUCUUUUUGCUGAGCUCCUCUAUACUGGUGCAUGUUCGAUGAAAAGAAUGUGUGAAGUGAGAAUCAAAUAACUUUAGCUAAGUUAACUCCGCUUUUCAGGUUAGCAUAUCAUAGCAAAGAAACCUAGACAAGAAAAAUUGAGAAAAUAGAAGUUUGUAUAGGUAAAUUACUACUCCCUCCUAUCUGUAUUAAUUGUUGCAGAUUUACUACAGAUAGGAGGGAGUAAUAGCUAAUGAUUUUCACUGUAGAAAUUCAAACCAUUUGUCAUUGUGAAGCAAACGAGUAGUUUGAGGAAGGCUCUAAAGCAAGUCUCUUGACCAAACAAGUCUCCACUGCACGAAACUGUAAUAAUCUAUGUGUCACGGGAGUGCUACUAUUCUGAAACAGAACAAUGUGGUGUGGUAAUAUCUUGUGAAGUACUCCCUCCGUACCAAAAUAUAUGAUAAUUUCCGGUUUAAAUGGAACUGCAAAACCGUCUUAUAUUUUGAUACAGAGGUAGUACUACUUUUCAAUCGUGAGGGAGGCUGGAAGUAAACAUGGUGUGGUAACAUCUUGUGAAGCACAUUUAUCUAUUUCCCUGAAUUCAAAUGUUGGUGAGGCACAAUCCUACUAGAGCAUGUACAAUGCACAUGUUUUUUCUACUGUGAGUGCUAGAGAGAAUCUUUUUUUCUUUGUUGUAUCAGAAUUUCUCGGUACUGAUUUCCUUCAUCUUUUUGCCUUCCCAUUAUACCCAACUAGUAUUACCGCCUUUUGCAUUUGAGAACAAAAAUGGUCACAUGAGUGCCUAUUGUGCAGCUAAUUUUCCAUGAAGCAUAUGUAAAGGGAUUUUCCAUUUGAGAGAAUGAGUUGUAAAAAAAUCCUCAUCGCUAGCUCUGCUCUAUUUUGAGACUCACUUGAAUGCACUUUGCUUCGCGUGUGUGUGCCCUUACAAGUUCAAAGCGCAGUGCUUGUGUAACUGCAAGUCAGGAAAGAAGGAGCAUUACAGGCUUAAUUUUGUGGCAAACAUUGAGAGUAUCAUGGCCCAUGCUUUGUCACCCAAAUAAUGUUGGAGAGUUUCUAGUCCUGCAAAAUAUCGUGCAACCUUUAAAUAUGAUGGCAAAACAUGAAACUGUAAGUAGACAUCGGGAAAGGAAACUGUUAACCUUUGGAACUAUCCACUCUCGAGAUUGGCCAGGACACCGCAUCGGCAAUGGGAUCUGGAAUUAAGAAAAGCUUUUGGACGUGAGUAUCUAAGAAAAUAGUAGUUGGAAACAACACUCUAUUUUCAGUGUCACGAGCCAAAAUAGAUUUACAGUCAGUAAAUGUUACCAUGGUAUUUUUGUUUUCCUCCAAUAUUGUGGACGAUUUGAAGUUGGAUAAAGAGAUAAACAAAUUAGUAUUCAUAUCCCACUCACUUAAUUGGGUAUCCUAAGGCAGAAGGUAUAUAUAGGACUCCCAUACAGAAUCAUGUGGUAGGUGUGAGCUAACCAUCCAGGAAACAUUGUUCACAUCAUUUGCUACACGAGAGUGCGCUACAAAAUCAUGCAUGUGGCCAUUUAACUUGUAUGUUUAGUUAUCGAUCCAUUUCCUAGGAAGUAUGGCUAUGAACAGAGUGAGUAGAAACAUUGUGUUUGAUUGGAGGAUAAUGCAACACAUGUUCACGAGAUAUAUACCUGUUGCAUCAACUGAGGAAAACAGGAUUGAGAUUAGCCUAAACUGCGGAGGAGAACCAUCAACUGAGGCCGGAAUUAUGAAUGGUAGAACAGAUUUGCCGAAACAUCCACUGCAUGUAACUGACUUUUGAAAAAAGGAAACUGCUAUAAUGUCUUCGUCUAGCGAUUCACGAAGCAAUGUUGCGCGAUCGAGGUUCAAAUUUACACAUAUGUUGAAUGUGAAAAUUGACACACAUCAUUGCUCCAAAGUUUAGACAACUGGAGAUAAGAAUGCAUCUCUCACAGAUGGUUAACUAAUUACCUACCAUGGCACCGUUUUCCUUAGCAUCUUUUGCCAUAGACAGAGUAUCCCAACUUGUACAAAAUUUGGGGGAAUGGUGAAGGAGAUAAUACACCCACAUUACAACAUAUCUGAACAAGAAAAAAACGUGAAGUUCACCAAAGCCGAUAAUAAUCAUGACACAGCCUAGUGCAUUAUUUAAAGCAAACACAUUUUUUUCCAUUUCCAUGCGGUAUUCGUCCUAUUUUCCUCCUAUAAAAAUAAUCUGAACAAGAUUAUUUGAAGCAAAACACAAUUCCCCUUUCCUGCAUCAUAAGGAGAAACAUUUCAGACACCCCAAACGGAUCAAGUGUAUUUCAGACAUCGAUGACAUACUUUUAACUAAUAACAUGAAGAUAAGAAUGCAUGCACUGUGUUCUACUCUACAGAAGACAACCCGAUAAAGUCUGUCAUGCUAGUUAGUUAAACAGUAUCCAAAUGCAUGCAAUGUGUUCUACUCUACAGAUGAUGAUACCUAAACAUACUAGAAAAAAUGGUUAAACAGGAGCUGACACCGCUGGUGCUUCACGACAAUUAAUUGAACAAACAGGUCACGGCCUGACGUUAAGUAGCUGCCAGUACAGGCAUAUAAAGCAGAGGAACAUGGCUCUCCUCUCGGGUGGCCGUCUUUGGCGGCAGCUUGCCACAGCUACGGCUAUGGCUACUUUGUGGAGCAUUACAAACAAGACAAUACUAUAAAGCCAGAAGUAAUCAUACUAUAAAUCUCAAUCACGCCUAGUCUGAUGUAACUUAAACGCUGGUUCAGGAAUAGCAGGGCACAUCACUGACCGACCCACUGACUACUGGAGGCUGUUCUGUAAAGAAACGGGGCUAUAGAAGCAUGUUAGCUAAUCUAGUCGCUGUAGUUUUUCUUCAGUUAGUUUGCUUUCGUCAGACAUAACGUAGCCAGGCGCAUGAGCUCGCGAGUCGUUGUGCGAGCCACGCGCGUAGGCGAUCUGGGUACGAUCGAUGCCCGAUCGAUCGGGGUGGUCAGCCACGAAACCCACUCGUGGGAUGGCACGAGAAUUCGGGAUCAUGGCGCUAGGACCGGGCCACUCUUUCUCUCUGUAACAGAAUAAGUAGAGGAGAUCAAAAACAGAAAAGUCACAAGGUUGUCCGUGACGCAAAAACUCCUGUCUCUCCUCUCAGUGAUCGCAAGCUGUGAGAGAUCGAGCAACCCUGACAAUUGGCAUCAAAGCCGGUUUAAGGUGAUCCCGACGCCCAUGGCUGACACCGGAGCUCAGCCGGACCAGGCGGCGGCGGCACCCCGCAACGGUGGCGGGGGUGGGAGCCGCUCGCGCACUCCACCACAGGAGCGCAGCCGCGGACGGAGCCACGUGAGAAGGGAGUGGCGGGUGGUGAUCCACCAGGCGGUGGCCAUGGAGCGCGCGCCGCUUGUGCCAAGCGCGGGCACCAUGUUCCCGACGCUCACAUCCACGAACUACAUCGAGUGGUCUCUCGUGAUGAAGGUGCACCUGGAGUCUUGGGGGCUCUGGGACGCGAUCGAGGGUAACGCACUGCAUGUGCGUGACGACAAGACGGCGCUCGGCGUCCUGUUCCGAGUCGUCCCCCUAGAGAUGCUUGGCGUCCUCGUCGUCAACGAGACGGCGAAGGAGGCCUGGGACACGAUCAAGGUCAUGCGCAUGGGGAUGCACCGUGUGCGCGAGGCCACCACGCAACGCCUGCGCGCGGAGUUCGAGCAGAUCACCUUCCGCGACGGCGAAACUCUCGACUCCUUCGGCAUGAGGAUCACCGCCCUCGUCAACCAGCUGCGCACGCUGGAGGACAACGUCGAAGAGGUACGCAUGAUCCCGAAGAUGCUCCGUGUCGUCCCCGCCCGCUAUGCCCAGAUCGCAGUCGCGAUAGAGCCCCUCCUUGAUCUGACCACGAUCUCGGUCGAGGAGCUGAUCGGUUGACUGCGCACCGCUGAGGAGCGCUGCGGUGGCGGGGCGGCUCAAGCCAGCGGCGGCGGUCGGCUGCUCAUGUCGGAGCAGCAGUGGGAUGCCUGGCGCCGCGAGCGCGAGCAGGGCCAGGGGUCCAGCUCAAACGGCGCCGGCAACGGGAACCGCAACGGGGGCGGCGGCAAUCUCCGCCGUGGCAAGCCGCAGAACCAGAAGUGCGGCAACGACACUCAAAGCCAAGGCGGCGGCAACGGCCGCGACAGCGCCGGCAACGGUGGGCGCGACAUGUCUAAGGUGAAGUGCUACAAUUUUCUCAGCGCUGGACACUGGUGUGCGCGGCGCCGUGAAACUCGGCGACGGCUCGGUGGUUCAGAUCGAGGGGAGAGGAACGAUCCUCUUCCAAUGCGGCAACUGUGAGCUCAUGGUCCUGUCUGAUGUGUAUUACAUCCCAAAACUUUGCAGCAACAUCGUCAGCAUCGGACAGUUGGACGAAAUCGCCUACGAGACCAAUAUUAGUCACGGGGUGCUCCAGCUCCGUGAUCCCAGUGGGCAGACUCCUCGCGCGAGUGCAACGUAACCAGGGGAGGCUGUACGUGCUGCAGCUCACGCCGGCCCAGCCAGUGUGCUUCGCGGCGCAUGCUGGCGAGGAUGCAUGGUGCUGGCAUGCGUGCUACGGCCACGUGGACUUCCGGGCUUUACGUCAACUCGCCCGGGACGAACUGGUGCACGACCUCCCGCUAUUUGACGAGGCGGAUCGUGUCUGCGAGGCGUGCCUCGCCGGCAAGCAGCGUCGAGCACCCUUUCCUUAGCAGGCUCUCAGCAGAGCCGACGAGGUGCUGGAGCUCGUGCACACGGACCUCUGUGGUCCAAUCUCCCCUCCAACGCCAGGAGGGAAGCGUUACUUCCUGUUGCUGGUUGAUGACAAGAGCAGGCACAUGUUGGUGUACCUGCUCGCGACAAGGACGAGGCGCAGCCCGCUCUGAAGCGCUUCCAGGCGAUGGCGGAUCUCGAUUUCGGGCGGCAGCUCAAGUUGCUGCGCACGGACCGCGGCGGGGAAUUCACCUCUGCCAGCCUCGGCGAGUACUACGCCGACAAGGAGGUCAAGCGCCAGCUCACGACGCCCUACACGCCCCAGCAGAACGGCGUGGUCGAGUGCCGAAAUUAGACGAUCGUGGGCAUGGCGCGCAGCCUGUAGAAGACAAAGGGUGUGCCGGCGCAGUUCUGGGGGGAGGCCGUGAUGACGGCGGUCUACCUCCUGAACAGGUCUACGACCAAGAGCGUGGCGGGGUCGAUUCCGCACGAGGCCUGGUGCAGGCGGCGCCCAAACGUUGAACACCCGCGCGUGUUCGGAGCGUCGCGCAUGUCAAAGUGACGCGUCCGAAUCUGUCGAAACUCGACGACGGGAGCACGCCCAUGGUAUCCUGGGCUACGAGCCAGGAUCGGCGGCUUACCGCGUCUACCACCCGCCGUCGAACCGUGUUCUGGCCUCCAGGGAUGUCGUGUUCGACGACGAAGCAGCGUGGGACUGGUCUCAGGUCGCGGCGACAAACAAGGAGCCGUGCUACCUCUUGAGCAUGCAUUGGUUUUCCCUUAAAGAGGAAAGGGUGAUGUAGCAAAGUAGCGUAAGUAUUUCCCUCAGUUUUUGAGAACCAAGGUAUCAAUCCUGUAGGAGACUACAUGCAAAUCGCCUAGUACCUGCACGAACAAUCAAGAACCUUGCAACCAGCACGAUAAAGGGGUUGUCAAUCCCUUCACGGUCACUUGCAAAAGUGAGAUCUGAUAAAGAUAAUAAGAUAAUAUUUUUGGUAUUUUUGUUGUAUAGAUUGGAAAAGUAAAGAUUGCAAAAUAAACGGCGACAGAAAUUGGCAAGUUGACGGGAGAUUAAUAUGAUGUAAAAUAGACCCGGGGGCCAUAGGUUUCACUAGAGGCUUCUCACAUGAUAGCAUAUCUUACGGUGGGUGAACAAAUUACUGUCGAGCAAUUGAUAGAAAAGCGUAUAGUUAUGAGAAUAUCUAGGGAUGAUCAUGAACGUAGGCAUCACGUCUGUGUCAAGUAGACCGAAACGAUUCUACAUCUACUACUAUUACUCCACACAUCGACCGCUAUCCAGCAUGCAUCUAGAGUAUUAAGUUCAUAAGAACACAGUAACGCAUUAGGCAAGAUGAUAUGAUGUAGAGGGAUAAACUCAAGCAAUAUGAUAUAAACCCCAUCUUUUUAUCCUUGAUGGCAAUAAUACAAUACGUGUCGGUUCCCUUUCUGUCACUGGGAUCGAGCACCGCAAGAUUGAACCCAAAGCUAAGCACUUCUCCCAUUGCAAGAAAGAUCAAUCUAGUAGGCCAAACCAAACUGAUAAUUCGAAGAGACUUGCAAAGAUAUUAAAUCAUGCAUAUAAGAACUCAGACAAGAAUCAAAUAUUGUUCAUAGACAAACUUGAUCAUAAACCCACAAUUCAUCGGAUCUCGACAAACACACCGCAAAAUGUAUUACAUCGAAUAGGUCUCCAAGAGAAUCGAGGAGAACUUUGUAUUGAGAUCCAAAGAGAGAGAAGAAGCCAUGUAGCUAAUAACUAUAGACCCGUAGGUCUGUGGUAAACUACUCACACAUUAUCGGAGAGGCUACGGUGUUGAUGUAGAAGCCCUCCAUGAUCGAUUCCCCCUCCGGCAGAGCGCCGGAAAAGGCCCCAAGAUGGGAUCUCACGGGUACAGAAGGUUGCGGCAGUGGAAAAAGUGUUUCGUGGCUCCCCUGGAUGUUUUCAGGGUAUAAGAGUAUAUAUAGGCGAAAGAAGUAGGUCGGUGGAGCUGCGACGGGCCCACGAGGGUGGGGGCGCGCCUCCCUGCCUCGUGGCUUCCUCGCUGCUUCCUUGACUUCCACUCCAAGUCUCCUGGAUUGCGUUUGUUCCAAAAAUGAUCCUCGCGAAGGUUUCAUUCCGUUUGAUAUUCCUUUUCUGCGAAACACUGAAAUAGGCAAAAAAAUAUCAAUUUGCACUGGGCCUUCGGUUAAUAGGUUAGUCUCGAAAAUAAUAUAAAAGAGCAUAUUAAAGCCCAUUAAACAUCCAAAACAGAUAAUAUAAUAGCAUAGAACAAUCAAAAAUUAUAGAUACGUUGGAGAUGUAUCAAGCAUCCCCAAGCUUAAUUCCUGCUCGUCCUCGAGUAGGUAAAUGAUAAAAACAGAAUUUUUGAUGUGGAAUGCUACCCAACAUAAUUUUCAAUGUAAUUUUCUUUAUUGUGGCAUGAAUGUUCAGAUCCGAAAGAUUCAAGAUAAAAGUUUAAUAUUGACAUAAAAAUAAUAAUACUUCAAGCAUACUAUUUAAGCAAUUAUGUCUUUUCAAAAUAACGUGGCCAAAGAAAGCUCAUCCCUACAAAAUCAUAUAGUUUGGCUAUGCUCCAUUUUCGUCACACAAGAAUGCUCUCAUCAUGCACAACCCCGAUGACAAGCCAAGUAAUUGUUUCAUACUUUAGUAUUCUCAAACUUUUUCAACUUUCAUGCAAUACAUGAGCGUGAGCCAUGGACAUUGCACUAUGGGUGGAAUGGAAUAUGAUAAUGGGGGUUGUGUGGAGAAGACAAAAAAGGAGAAAGUCUCACAUUGACGCGGCUAACCAACGGGCUAUGGAGAUGCCCAUCAAUUGAUGUCAAUGCAAGGAGUAGGGAUUGCCAUGCAAUGGAUGCACUAGAGCUAUAAAUGUAUGAAAGCUCAACAAAAUAAACUAAGUGGGUGUGCAUCCAACUUGCUUGCUCACGAAGACCUAGGGCAUUUGAGGAAGCCCAUCGUUGGAAUAUACAAGCCAAGUUCUAUAAUGAAAAAUUCCCACUAGUAUAUGAAAGUGACAAAAUAAGAGACUCUCUAUCAUGAAGAUCAUGGUGCUACUUUGAAGCACAAGUGUGGAAAAAGCAUAGUUGCAUUGUCCCUUCUUUUAUUUUCUUUUUUAUAUAUUUUUUUGGGCCUUCCUUUUUUUAUCUGGCCUUUCCCUUUUUUUAUUUGGCCUUUUUUUUCAUGGGACAAUGCUCUAUAAAUGAUGAUCAUCACACUUCUAUUUAUUUACAACUCACUGAUUACAACUCGAUACUAGAACAAAAUAUGACUCUAUAUGAAUGCCUCCGCCGGUGUACCGGGAUGGGCAAUGCAUCAAGAGUGACAUGUAUAAAAAAUUAUGCAAGGUGGAUUUGCCACAAAUACGAUGUCAACUACAUGAUCAUGCAAGGCAGUAUGACAAUGAUGAAGCGUGUCAUAAUAAACGGAACGGUGAAAAGUUGCAUGGCAAUAUAUCUCGAAAUGGCUAUGGAAAUGCCAUAAUAGGUAGGUAUGGUGGCUGAUUUGAGGAAGAUAUAAGGGGGGUUUAUGUGUGAUAGAGCGUAUCAUAUCACGGGGUUUGGAUGCACCGGCGAAGUUUGGACCAACUCUCGAGGUGAGAAAGGGCAAUGCACGGUACCGAAGAGGCUAGCAAUGAUGGAAAGGUGAGAGUGCUUAUAAUCCAUGGACUCAACAUUAGUCAUAAAGAACUCACAUACUUAUUGCAAAAAUCUACAAGUCAUCAGAAAACAAAGCACUACGCGCAUGCUCCUAGGGGGAUAGAUUGUUAGGAAAAGACCAUCGCUCGUCCCCGACCGCCACUCAUAAGGAUGACAAUCAAAGAACACCUCAUGUUUCAAAUUUGUUACACAACGGUUACAAUACGUGCAUGCUACGGGACUUGCAAACUUCAACACAAGUAUUUCUCAAAUUCACAAUUACUCAACUAGCAAGAAAGAUGAAUCUAGUAGGCCAAAGCAAACUGAUAAUUCGAAGAGACUUGCAAAGAUAUUAAAUCAUGUAUAUAAGAAUUCAGAGAAGAAUAAAAUAUUGUUCAUAGAUAAUCUUGAUCAUAAACCCACAAUUCAUCGGAUCUCGACAAACACACCGCAAAAAGUAUUACAUCGAAUAGAUCUCCAAGAGAAUCGAGGAGAACUUUGUAUUGAGAUCCAAAGAGAGAGAAGAAGCCAUCUAGACAAUAACUAUGGACCCGAAGGUCUGUGGUAAACUACUCACACAUCAUCGGAGAGGCUAUGGUGUUGAUGUAGAAGCCAUCCGUGAUCGAUUCCCCCUCCGACGGAGCGCCGAAAAGGCCCCAAGAUGGGAUCUCACGGGUACAGAAGGUUGCGGCGGUGGAAAAAGUGUUUCAUGGCUCCCUUGGAUGUUUUCAGGGUAUAAGAGUUUAUAUAGGUGAAAGAAGUAGGUCGGUGGAGCUGCGAGGGGCGUGCCUACCCCCUGGGGCGCGCCUCCCUGCCUCGUGGCUUCCUCGUUGCUUCCUUGACUUCCACUCCAAGUCUCCUGGAUUGUGUUUGUUCCAAAAACGAUCCUCGCGAAGGUUUCAUUCCGUUUGAUAUUCCUUUUCUGCGAAACACUGAAAUAGGCAAAAAAAAUAGCAAUUUGCACUGGGCCUUCGGUUAAUAGGUUAGUCCAAAAAUAAUAUAAAAGACCAUAUUAAAGCCCAUUCAACAUCCAAAACAGAUAAUAUAAUAGCAUGGAAGAAUCAAAAAAUUAUAGAUACGUUGGAGACGUAUCAAGCCGCAGUGGGACACCUUCUCCAUCGAUCUCGAACCGGUGCCCGCCAAGGUGGUCGGCGGCACCCCAUGCAGCGCAACAUCCCCUGAGGCGUCGAGCUCUCCUACCAUGCCGACAUCGACGCACACGAGUGCGGCCAGGACACGGCCCGCGAUGCUGAUCUGUGCCACACCAAGCCCAGACCGCUCUGGCAUGCAAUUCAUGUCUCCACUGCCGGGGGCGUCAGUGCCGCCGCCCGACAAGGAGGCUCCGCGGCGGUACCGCACCUUGGAGAAUCUGUGAGACACCACUGAAGAAGGGACAAGUGAUAACAGUCAGUACAGUUACCUGUGUCUCUUCGCAGGGGAGGAGCCGACCUCCUUCAAUGAGGCGCAGAAGGAGGGAGGAUGGAGAAACGCCAUGAACGAGGAGAUGCAGAGCAUCAUCGACAACGACACGUGGGAGCUGUGCGAGCUCCCUCCCGGGCACCGAGCGAUAGGCCUCAAGUGGGUCUACAAGCUCAAGAAGGACGCCCACGGCACGAUGGUGAAGCACAAGGCGCGGCUGGUGGCAAAAGGCUACGUCCAAGUCCAAGGAGUGGACUUCAAGGACGUGUUCGCUCCGGUGGCACGCAUGGAAUCGGUGCGCGUGCUGGUCGCGCUCGCCGCGCACCACGUGUGGCCAAUUCAUCACAUGGACGUCAAGUCCGCCUUCUUGAACGGGGACCGGCAGGAGGAGGUCUACGUUGUUCAGCCACCCGGGUACGUUGAGCUCGGCGACGAGGGGAAGGUGCUGCGUUUAUGCAAGGCACUGUAUGGGCUACGCCAAGCCCUGAGAGCUUGGAACGCCAAGCUGGACGAAAGCUUGCGUUCUCUGGGCUUUGAGCGUUGCCCCUCGGAGCACGCAGUCUACCGACGCGGGGAGGGCGACAAGCUCCGGCUCAUCGGUGUGUACGUCGACGACCUUGUCAUUACAGGGGCGGACAAGACGGAGAUCGACGCAUUCAAGUGUCAGAUGACCACGCUCUUCCGCAUGAGCGACCUCGCCGAGCUCAGCUACUACCUGGGCAUUGAGGUGCGCCAGGAGCGCGACCGCAUCACACUCUACCAAGCGGCCUACGCAAAAAGCUGCUGGAGCGUGCUGGGCUCAAAGAGUGCAACACCGGCAACGUGCCGAUAGAAGCUCGACUGAAAUUGAGCAGGGACAGCAAGGAGAGGCCGGUGGACAGCACUGAGUACCGCAGCAUCAUUGGAGGGUCGCGCUACCUCGUGCACAUGAGGCCGGACAUCUCCUUCACCGUCGGCUACCUGAGCCGUUUCAUGGAGGCACCGACUUCAGAUCACUACGCGGCUGUGAAGCGUCUGCUAAGGUAUGUAGCAGGCACUCUGGACCACGGUUGUGCCUAUGUCCGGGGGAAGGGCACGCCGGAGCUGGUGGGGUACAGCGACGCGGAUCACGCCGGUGACAUCAACGACAGGCGGAGCACGACGGGAGUGCUCUACUUCCUCGGCACGGCGGCAGCCCAGUGAGUUGGCAGUCGCAGAAGCAAAGGGUGGUGGCACUCUCCUCAUGUGAGGCGGAGUACGUGGCUGCCACCACCACCGCUUGCCAAGGGAUUUGGCUGGCUGGGCUGAUCGGAGAGAUGCUGAACAUCGACGUCUGGCCACCACGACUUCUGGUCGAUAACAAGUCAGCAAUGUGUCUCCAAGAACCCCAUCUUCCAUGAUCGAAGCAAGCACAUUGAGAUACGAUACCACUUCAUUCGUGAUUGUGUGGAAGAAGGGCGGAUCGACAUCGACUACAUCUGCACCAACGAUCAUCUUGCUGACGUCCUCACCAAGGCACUUGGACGACUCAAGUUUCUGGAGCUUAGGGGGAGGAUCGGCAUGACAGAAAUAAUUCGGCGGCGAUGAGCUUAGAGGGAGAUUUGUUAGCUAAUCUAGUUGAUGUAGUUUUCCUUCAGUUAGUUUGCUUUCGUCAGACAUAACGUAGUCAGGCGCAUGAGCUCGCGAGUCAUGCGAGCUGCGCGCGUAGGCGAUCUGGGCAUGAUCGAUGCCCGAUCGAUCAGGGUGGUCAGCCACGAAACCCACUUGUGGGAUGGCACGAGAAUUCGGGAUCAUGGCGCUAGGACCGGGGCACUCUUUCUCUCUGUAACAGAAUAAGUAGAGGAGAUCAAAAACAGAAAAGUCGCAAGGUUGUAGGUGACGCAAAAACUCAUGUCUCUCCUCUUUGUGAUCGCGAGCUGUGAGAGAUCGAGCAACCCUGACAAAGCACAUGACGCCUAUAGUCCAUUGUUAAUUCCUCUCUGUACCUAAUCUUGUUAAUUUCCCACACCAAAGAUGCUAAUCAACUGGCAUUCUAAAACUCUCCUAACAAGUAACAACAGCCGCGCCUAUGGACGAUCGAUCCCACCAGUGGCAACCAAUGGAGGUGCCAACGGUGGUGAUGCAACUUGUUUCCAUGUACAACAACUACGGCAAUCCGUCCUCUCCUACCUGCAUUGUCCUCGAAGGAAUGGAAGCGGACGAGAGAGAGCGUCGACCUGACUUAUAACAUUUUUCUUUCAGCAAUCUCUACAAAAAAUCAUGCCUCUCUUGACUUGGGGUCAAUAGCUCCUGUGCGACAUCUUUCGUGGGAAUUGGACAGAGUGCGACAUUGUUGACGAAAAUGGCUUUGGGGCGACACUUUUGAGCGACAAAAUAGCCCAGACACGACAUGGCCCUUAAACUGAUCUGAUGCCCUCAUUAGCUGUUAUGGGCUGGACCCACAACUUAUCCACGUAAGCGCGGGACCCACCAUUUGUCCAGUAAGCGCGGGACCCACAACUUAUCCACGUCAGCAUGGGACCCACCACUUGUCCAGUAUGCGCGGGACCCACCUCUUUGCAGCUAGAAGAGAUGACUGAUGACCCACAAGUGUAGGAGAUCUAUCGUAGUCCUUUCGAUAAGUAAGAGUGUCGAACCCAACGAGGAGCAGAAGGAAAUGACAAGCGGUUUUCAAUAAGGUAUUCUCUGCAAGCACUGAAAUUAUAGGUAACAGAUAGUUUUGUGAUAAGAUAAUUUGUAACGGGUAACAAGUAAUGAAAGUAAAUAAGGUGCAGCAAUGUGGCCCAAUCCUUUUUGUAGCAAAGAACAAGCCUGGACAAACUCUUAUAUAGAUAAAAGCGCUCCCGAGGACACAUGAGAAUUAUUGUCAAGCUAGUUUUCAUCACGUUCAUAUGAUUCGCGUUCGGUACUUUGAUAAUUUGAUAUGUGGGUGGACCGGUGCUUGGGUGCUGUCCUUACUUGGACAAGCAUCCCACUUAUGAUUAACUCCCAUUGCAAGCAUCCGCAACUACAAAAGAAGUAUUAAGGUAAACCUAACCAUAGCAUGAAACAUAUGGAUCCAAAUCAGCCCCUUACGAAGCAACGCAUAAACUAGGGUUUAAGAUUCUGUCACUCUAGCAACCCAUCAUCUACCUAUUACUUCCCAAUGCCUUCCUCUAGGCCCAAACAAUGGUGAAGUGUCAUGUAGUCGACGUUCACAUGACACCACUAGAGGUGAGACAACAUACAUCUCAUCAAUAUAUCGAACGAAUACCAAAUUCACAUGACUACUAAUAGCAAGACUUCUCCCAUGUCCUCAGGAACAAACGUAACUACUCACAAAGCAUAUUCAUGUUCAUAAUCAGAGGGGUAUUAAUAUGCAUAAUGGAUCUGAACAUAUGAUCUUCCACCAAGUAAACCAACUAGCAUCAACUACAAGGAGUAAUCAACACUACUAGCAACCUACAGGUACCAAUCCCAGGCUAUGAGACAAAGAUUGGAUACAAGAGAUAAACUAGGGUUUGAGAGGAGAUGGUGCUGGUGAAGAUGUUGAUGGAGAUUGGGCCCCUCCCGAUGAGAGGAGUGUUGGUGAUGACGAUGGCGAUGAUUUCCCCCUCCCGGAGGGAAGUGUCCCCGGCAGAACAGCUCUGCAAGAGCCCUAGAUUGGUUCCGCCAAGGUUCCGCCUCGUGGCGUCGGAGUCUCAUCCCGAAAGCUUGCUUAUGAUUUUUUCUCAGAUGAAAGACUUCAUAUAGCAUAAGAUGGGCACCGGAGGGCCACCAGAGGGCCCACGAGGUAGGGGGCGCGCCCCCACCCUCGUGGCCAGGGUGUGGGCCCCCUCUGGUAUUUUCUUCGCUCAGUAUUUUUUAUUAUUUCCAAAAAUAACUUCCGUGGAGUUUAAGGACUUUUGGAGUUGUGCAGAAUAGGUCUCUAAUAUUUGCUCCUUUUCCAGCCCAGAAUUCCAGCUGCCUGCAUUCUCCCUCUUUAUGUAAACCUUGUAAAAUAAGAGAGAAUAAGCAUAAGUAUUGUGACAUAAUGUGUAAUAACAGCCCAUAAUGCAAUAAAUAUCGAUAUAAAAGCAUGAUGCAAAAUGGACAUAUCAACUACCCCAAGCUUAGACCUCACUUGUUCUCAAGCGGAAGCCGAUAAUGAUAAAUAUGUCCACAUGUUUAGAGGUAGAGGUGUCGAUAAAAUAAAAUACGGACAUGAGGGCAUCAUGAUCAUUCUUAUAACAGUAACAUAUAUGGAUAUUGUCAUAUUAUUUCUUAUGAUAAAGUAACAAUCUAUCCACAAUGUCAAGUGUGAAUCAGAAACUUCAUUGAGAACUAACAAACGAUAAUCUCAGUCAUUGAGGCAAUUGCAAUUUAUCAUAACAUCAUAAAGAGUCUAUGUAAGAGCUUUUCAGCAAGUCCACAUACUCAACUAUCAUUUAGUCUUUCACAACACUCACGCAAUACUUGUGGUUAGGGAGUUUUAAUCGGACACAGAGAAAGAUAGGGGCUUAUAGUUUCGCCUCCCAACCUUUUACCUCAAGGGUAAUGUCAACAAUAAUAGUUCAUUCUAAUUUGCAUCCAAUUAUAUAUAUAUAUAUAUAUAUAUAUAUAUAUAUAUAUCAGGAUCUUUCCAACACAAGGUGCUUGCCAAAGGAUAUAAAAUGUAAAAAGGAAAGGUGAAGAUCACCAUGACUCUUGCAUAAGGUAGAAAAUAAAAGUAAAAGAUAGGCCCUUCGCAGAGGGAAGCAGAGGUUGUCAUGCGCUUUCAGGGUUGGAUGCACAAAAUCUUAAUGCGAAAGAACGUCACUUUAUAUUGCCACAUGUGAUAUGGACCUUUAUUAUGCAGUCCGUCGCUUUUAUUUCUUCCACAUCACAAGAUCGUAUAAAGCUUAUUUUCUCCCACACUAAUAAGUCAUACAUAUUUAGAGAGCAAUUUUUAUUGCUUGCACCGAUCACAACUUACUUGAAGGAUCUUACUCAAUCCAUAGGUAGAUAUGGUGGACUCUCAUGGCAAAACUGGUUUUAAGGGUAUUUGGAAGCACAAGUAGUAUUUCUACUUGGUGCAAAAAAUUGGCUAGCAUGAGGGAGAAAGGCAAACUCAACAUGUUGGAUGAUCCAUGACAAUAUACUUUAUCUCAGAUAUAAGAAAACAUGACCCAUUAUGUUGUCUUCCUUGUCCAACAUCAACUCUUUAGCAUGUCAUAUUUUAAUGAGUGCUCACAAUCAUAAAAGAUGUCCAAUAUAGUAUAUUUAUAUGUGAAACCUCUCUUUCUUUAUUACUUCCUAUUAAUUGCAACGAUGACCAAAACUAUGUUUGUCAACUCUCAACAACUUUUAAUCAUCAUACUCUUUCUAUGUGAAGUCAUUACUCUCCAUAAAAUCAAUAUGAUCUCUUUUUAUUCUUUCUUUUUCUUUUAUUCACUCAUAAUCAUAGCAAGAUAAUCAAGCCCUUGACCCAACACUAAUCUCUAUUAUAUAGCUCACGGACUUGAUUACAUAGAGGGAUCAUAAAGCAAAACUCAAAACUAAAUCAUAUUAAAACUUUAUUCUACUAGAUCAAGAUAUUACCAAAAGGAUCGAACUAAGAAAAACGGUAAAGAUAGGAGUGUGAUGGUGAUACAAUACCGGGGCACCUCCCCCAAGCUUGGCAGUUGCCAAGGGGAGUGCCCAUACCCAUGUGAUUAUAUCUCCUUUGCUGGCGAAGGUGAUGGUGGAGUUGUUGAUGAUGUGGGCUUGUCGUCCAUCGAGCGUAAGAGGUCCUCCAACUUGCAGAUAAUGCCCUUGAGUGCGAUUUUAUAUGCUCCCUCAACAAAAUAUUUUCACAUGUGAGAUACUUCUUUUUUAUACGAGCUAACUCAAUCAUCUUGAAAGCUUCGAUCUCAGUUGGGGUAAGAAGAUUGUGAUCAAGUUGAAGGAUGUCUUCUGCUGCCGGAGCUUGGUCCUCUGUGGCCUUAUUGAUCCCUUCAUCUUUGUUGAUCUCCAUGGGUUCUUCCCUCUUCAGCUCUAUCUUCAUUAGCCAAGCAUCGUUGUCACCAUUGUUGGAGGAGGAGGACGACAUGAUGCCUGGCCUAGACAACCCUGACAGAAAAUAAUGCAACUCGAAACAAGAACAGAGGAUAAUUGCGUGAUACGGGAGUCAAAAUCUUCGGGAGUUUAUAUAAUGAAUUUUUACCGACCGAAAGAAGUAUCGUGCAAGAAAACGGAGUCCGGAGAGCACACGAGGUGCCCACGAGGCAGGGGGACGCGCCCAGGGGGUAGGGCGCGCCUCCCACCCUCGUGGAAGCCUCGUUUCCUUCCCGGACUGCUUCUUAUUUUCCUAUUUUUCUAAAUAUUCCAAAACAGAGAAAGUUUGCAAUUAGAACUGUUCUGUAGUCGGUUUACUUACCGUACCACAUACCUAUAACUUUUCGGGGUCUGAAACGUUCUAGAAAGUGUCUCUUAUGUAUUCCUCCGGUGUUACGGUUUCAACAACAUUAGUUUCAACAUUUAUAGGGUUACCUGAGAUAUAAUGUUUGAUUCUUUGACCGUUCACCACCUUCGGACUUGUGCCUUCAAAGUUGUUGAUUUUUAUGGCACCGGAACGAUAGACCUCCUCGAUAACGUAAGGACCUUCCCAUUUAGAGAGAAGUUUUCCAGCAAAAGAUCUUAAACGAGAGUUGUAUAACAAUACAUAAUCACCUACAUUAAACUCAUGCUUUUGUAUCCUUUUUUCAUGCCAUCUUUUAACUUUUUCCUUAAACAAUUUGGCAUUCUCAUAGGCUUGGGUUCUCCGUUCAUCAAGUGAGCUAAUGUCAAAUAACCUCUUCUCACCAGCAAGUUUAAAAUCAUAAUUGAGCUCUUUAAUGGCCUAGUAUGCCUUAUGUUCUAGUUCGAGAGGUAAAUGACAUGCUUUUCCAUAAACCAUUUUAUACGGAGACAUACCCAUAGGAUUUUUAUAUGCAGUUCUAUAGGCCCAUAAUGCAUCAUCAAGUUUCUUGGACCAAAUCUUUCUAGAUCUAUUAACAGUCUUUUGCAAAAUUAAUUUGAGCUCUCUAUUACUCAAUUCUGCUUGACAACUAGACUGUGGGUGAUUAGGGGAUGCAAUUCUAUGAUUAACAUCAUACUUAGCACGCAUUUUACGAAAAGCACCAUGAAUAAAAUGUGAACCACCAUCGGUCAUUAAAUAUCUGGGGACUCCAAACCUGGGAAAAAUAACUUCUUUAAGCAUCUUAAUAGAGGUGUUAUGAUCAGCACUACUAGUCGGAAUAGCUUCUACCCACUUAUUAACGUAAUCAACAACAACUAAAAUAUGUGUAUACCCAUUAGAGGAAGGAAAAGGUCCCAUAUAAUCAAAGCCCCAAACGUCAAAUGGUUCAAUAACAAGUGAAUAAUUCAUAGGCAUUUCUUGACGUCUACUAAUGUUACCAAUUCUUUGACAUUCAUCACAAGAUAAGACAAACUUACGAGCAUCCUUGAAGAGAGUAGGCCAAUAAAAACCGGAUUGCAAUAACUUAUGUGCAGUUCUAUCUCCAGCGUGGUGCCCUCCAUAAGCCUCGGAGUGACACUUGCGUAGGAUCUGUUCCUGUUAAUGCUCAGGUACACAACGCCUAAUAACACCAUCUACUCCUUCUUUAUAAAGAUGUGGGUCAUCCCAGAAGUAAUGUCUUAAAUCAUAGAAAAACUUUUUCUUUUGCUGGUAUGUGAAACUAGGUGGUAUAAAUUUAGCAACAAUGUAAUUAGCAUAAUCAGCAUACCAUGGAGCAGUACGAGAAGCAUUUAUAACAUUUAAUUGUUCAUCAGGAAAGCUAUCAUCAAUAGGUAGUGGGUCAUCAAGAACAUUUUCUAACCUAGACAAGUUAUCUGCAACAGGGUUCUCAGCUCCCUUUCUAUCAAUAAUAUGUAAAUCAAAUUCUUUUCGCAAGAGAACCCAUCUAAUAAAUCUAGGUUUAGCAUCUUUCUUUUCCAUAAGAUAUUUAAUAGCAGCAUGAUCAGUGUGAAUAGUUACUUUAGAAUCAACAAUAUAAGGUCUGAACUUAUCACAAGCAAAUACAACUGCUAAAAAUUACUUUUCAGUAGUGGCAUAAUUUCUCUGGGCAUUGUCUAGAGUUUUACUAGCAUAUUGAAUAACAUUUAAUUUCUUAUCAACUCUUUGCCCUAGAACAGCACCUACAGCAUAAUUGCUAGCAUCACACAUAAUUUCAAAAGGUAAAUUCCAAUCAGGUGGCUGAACAAUAGGUGCAGAAAUCAAUGCUUUCUUAAGUAUUUCAAAUGCUUCUACACAAUCAUCAUCAAAAACGAAAGGUAUAUCUUUUUGUAAGAGAUUAGUCAGAGGCCGAGAAAUUUUUUAGAAGUCCUUAAUGAACCUCCUAUAAAAACUAGCAUGACCAAGGAAACUUCUUAUACCUUUGAUGUCCUUGGGACAUGGCAUCUUUUCAAUAGCAUCAACUUUAGCUUUAUCAACUUCACUACCUCUUUUAGAAAUUUUAUGCCCCAAGAAAAUACCUUCAUUAACCAUAAAGUGGCACUUCUCCCAAUUCAAGACAAGGUUAGUUUCUUCACAUCUCUGCAAAACUCGAUCAAGGUUGCUCAAGCAAUCAUCAAAAGAGGAUCCAUAAACGGAGAAAUUGUCCAUGAAAACCUCACAUAUCUUUUCACAAAAGUCAGAAAAUAUAGCAAUCAUGCAUCUUUGAAAGGUAGCAGGUGCUUUACAUAAACCAAAAGGCAUACGUCUAUAAGCAAAAGUACCGAAAGGGCAAGUAAAAGUGGUAUUUGCUUGAUCAUCAGCUGACACAGGUAUUUCAGAGACACCAGAGUAACCAUCUAGAAAGCAAAAAUGUGUAUGUUUGGAUAAUCUUUCUAGCAUUUGAUCAAUAAAAGGUAAGGGGUAAUGAUCUUUUUAGUAGCCUUAUUUAAUUUGCGGAAAUCAAUUACCAUCCUAUAACCUGUAAUAAUUCUUUGCGGAAUCAAUUCAUCUUUAUCAUUGGGAACGACAGUAAUACCUCCCUUCUUAGGGACACAAUGGACAGGACUUACCCACUGACUAUCAGCAACGGGAUAAAUUAUACCUGCCUCAAGGGGCUUUAGUAUUUCCUUUCUUACCACUUCCUUCAUCUUAGGAUUCAGACGUCGUUGAUGAUCAAUAACUGGUUUGGCAUCUUUCUCCAAAUUUAUUUUGUGUUGGCAUAGAGUGGGACUAAUGCCAUUAAGAUCAUCAAGAGUAUAUCCAAUAGCAGCACGGUGCUUCUUCAGAGUUUUCAGUAAUUUUUCUUCCUCCUUCUCUGAAAGGUUAGCACUAAUAAUAACAGGAUAUAUCUUCUUUUCAUCAAGAUAAGCAUAUUUAAGAGUAUCAGGCAACGGUUUAAGCUCAAACACGGGAUCACCCUUGGGUGGAGGAGGACCCCCUAGGAUUUCAACAGGAAAAUUGUGUUUCAUAAUAGGUCCAUGUUUAAAGAAUACUUCAUCUAUUUCCCUUCUUUCAUUCAUAAACAUAUCAUUCUCAUGGUCUAGCCAAUAUUGUUCUAAAGGAUCACUAGGAGGCACGGCAAUAGAAGCAAGACCAAUAAUUUCAUCCUUACUAGGCAAUUCCUCAUCACGCGAGGUUGUCUACGAAAUUUAGAGAAAUUAAACACAUGAGACAUAUCAUCCAAACCAAUAGUAACAACAUCCUUUUCGCAGUCUAUCUUAGCAUUAACAGUGUUCAAGAAGGGUCUACCAAAUAUAAUGGGACAAAAGCUAUCUUGUGGGGAACCAAGAACAAGAAAAUCAGCAGGAUAUUUAGCCUUCCCACACAAGACCUCAACAUCUCUAACAAUCCCAAUUGGUAAAAUAGUAUCUCUAUUGGCAACCUUAAUGGUAACAUCGAUAUCUUCUAUCUCAGCCGGUGCAAUAUCAUGCAUAAUUUCUUUGUAUAAGUAAAUAGGUAUUGCACUAGCACUAGCACCCAUAUCACACAAGCCAUGAUAACAAUGAUCUCCUAUUUUAACAGAAAUAACAGGCAUGCCUACCACAGGUCUAUGUUUAUCUUUAGCACCAGGUUUAGCAAUUCUAGCAGUAUCAUCACAGAAGUAUAUAACAUGCCCAUCGAUAUUAUCAGACAAGAGAUCUUUAACAAUAGCAAUAUUAGGUUCAACUUUAACUUGCUCAGGAGGUGUAUAAGUUCUAAUAUUACUUUUACGAACCACAGUUGAAGCUUUAGCAUGAUCCUUUAUACUAACAGGAAAAGGUGGUUUCUCAACUUAAGCAGUAGGAACAAUAGGAUCAUUAUAAGUGAUAGUCUUUUCUUCAACUUUAAUAGGUUCAACUACUUUUACUUCUAUGGGAGGAUGAUAUUUAAACCACUCUCCUUAGGGAGAUCAACAUGAGCAGCAAAAGAUUCACAGAAAGAAGCUACUAUCUCAUAGUCAAGUCCAUAUUUAGUGCUAAUAAAUUUACGGAAAACAUCGGUAUCCAUAAAAGAUUUAACACAAUCAAACUUAGGUGUUAUACCCGACUCCUUACCUUCGUCGAGAUCCCAAUCUUCAGAGUUGCGUUUAAUUCUUUCCAGUAAAUUCCAUUUGAAUUCAAUAGUCUUCAUCAUAAAAGAGCCAGUACAUGAAGUAUUGAGCAUGGAGCGAUUAUUGUGAGAAAGCCGAGCAUAAAAAUUAAUAAUCAUUUCUCUUGAGAGUACAUGAUUGGGGCAUGAAUAUUACAUUGACUUAAGCCUCCCCCAAGCUUGAGCGAUGCUUUCUCCUUCGCGAGGCCAAAAAUUAUAUAUAUAAUUACGAUCACGAUGAACAAGAUGCAUAGGAUAAAACUUCUGAUGGAAUUCCAAUUUCAACCGUUUGUAGUCCCAUGAUCCCAUAUCAUCACAUAGCCGAUACCAUGUCAAUGCAUCUCCCUUCAAAUAUAAAGGGAAGACCUUCUUAUUGAUAACAUCAUCGGGCACACCUGCAAGCUUAAAUAAUCCACGAACUUCAUCCACAUAGAUUAAGUGUAAAUCGGGACGCAAUGUUCCAUCUCCUGCAAAAGGAUUAGCCAGUAGUUUCUCUAUCAUACCCGAAGGAAUUUAGAAGUAAACAUUUUCAUUUUCAGUAGGUUCAGUAGGUUGAGGAGCAACUCUUUGCUCUACUGGUCGAGGUGAAGAUACCCCGAACAAGCCCCUCAAAUGAUUACUUUCCAUAGUAACAAGUGACAGUAAAUUUCAGCACACUAUAUAAAAUUUUCAUUACCAAAUUCCACCUACCAAAGGCGCUUCACUCCCCGGCAACGGCGCCAGAAAAGAGUCUUGAUGACCCACAAGUUUAGGGGAUCUCUCGUAGUCCUUUCGGUUAGUAAGAGUGUUGAACCCAACGAGGAGCAAAAGGAAAUGACAAGCGGUUUUCAGCAAGGUAUUCUCUGCAAGCACUGAAAUAUAGGUAACAGAUAGUUUUGUGAUAAGAUAAUUUGUAACGGGUAACAAGUAAUGAAAGUAAAUAAGGUGCAGAAAGGUAACAAGUAAUAGAGAAAAGCGCUCCCUGAGGACACAUGGGAAUUAUCGUCAAGCUAGUUUUCAUCACGUUCAUAUGAUUCGCGUUCGGUACUUUGAUAAUUUGAUAUGUGGGUGGACCGGUGCUUGGGUGCUGUCCUUACUUGGAAAAAUAUCCCACUUAUGAUUAACUCCUAUUGCAAGCAUCCGCAACUACAAAAGAAGUAUUAAGGUAAGCCUAACCAUAGCAUGAAACAUAUGGAUCCAAAUCAGCCCCUUACGAACCAACGCAUAAACUAGGGUUUAAGCUUCUGUCACUCUAGCAACCCAUCAUCUACUUAUUACUUCCCAAUGCCUUCCUCUAGGCCCAAACAAUGGUGAAGUGUCAUGUAGUCGACGUUCACAUGACACCACUAGAGGAGAGACAACAUACAUCUCAUCAAAAUAUCGAACAAAUACCAAAUUCACAUGACUACUAAUAGCAAGGCUUCUCCCAUGUCCUCAGGAACAAACGUAACUACUCACAAAGCAUAUUCAUGUUCAUAAUCAGAGGGGUAUUAAUAUGCAUAAUGGAUCUGAACAUAUGAUCUUCCACCAAGUAAACCAACUAGCAUCAACUACAGGAGUAAUCAACACUACUAGUAAUCCCAGGCUAUGAGAAAAAGAUUGGAUACAAGAGAUAAACUAGGGUUUGAGAGGAGAUGGUGCUUGUGAAGAUGUUGAUGGAGAUUGGCCCCCUCCCGAUGAGAGGAGCGUUGGUGAUGACGAUGGCGAUGAUUUCCCCCUCCUGGAGGGAAGUGUCCCCGGCAGAACAGCUCUGCCAGAGCCCUAGAUUGGUUCCGCCAAGGUUCCGCCUCGUGGCGGUGGAGUCUCGUCUUGAAAGCUUGCUUAUGAUUUUUUCUCGGACAAAAGACUUCAUAUAGUAGAAGAUGGGCACCGGAGGGCCACCAGGGGGCCCACGAGGCAGGGGCGCGCCCAGGGGGUAGGGCGCGCCCCCCACCCUCGUGGCCAGGGUGUGGGCCCCCUCUGGUAUUUUCUUCACUCAGUAUUUUUUAUUAUUUCCAAAAAUAACUUCCGUGGAGUUUCAGGACUUUUGGAGUUGUGCAAAAUAGGUCUCUAAUAUUUGCUCCUUUUCCAGCCCAGAAUUCCAGCUGCCGACAUUCUCCCUCUUUAUGUAAACCUUGUCAAAUAAGAGAGAAUAAGCAUAAGUAUUGUGACAUAAUGUGUAAUAACAGCCCAUAAUGCAAUAAAUAUCGAUAUAAAAGCAUGAUGCAAAAUGGGCGUAUCAACGACCGCCCGUCCCCGUCGGCCCGCCGCCACCCAUUGCUUCCCCUUUCCCCAUUCUUCCUCUUCUCUGGCGAGCUGGUGCAGAUGUCCACCUCCUCCGCCACGCACUGAAAAUGGCGUCAGUAUGGUCCAGUGCCGCUCACAAGGUGCCCUGACUGCCCACGCCCAGAGCCUCUAAAACGGUGGGUCAGUAGAACUGAUGAGAAUGGAAAUCUUGGGCGGGAAUUUGUGAAGUGCUUGAGCAAAACAAUGGCAGAAAGGGAUGGCAAGGUUAGAUCUCAGUUCUUAGCCCAUUCUUUCACUGUCGUUUGCUCUGAUUUAUCCAUAUUUUGUUUUUUUCCUCGAAUUUGGAAUUUAGGGUUCAUGUUGUUGUUUUUUCCUCGAAUUUGGAAUUUAGGGUUCAUGUUGUUGAUUUAUCCAUAUUUCAUGUUGUUGAGAGGAUUCAGUUCGAGGGCUACAUUGAUUCGAGCGGGGCCGCAACCUGGGAGCUCAAUUUGGGGGGAGGGGUGCCGCAGAUGGAGAAUUUGGGGUCGAGCUUGGACAGAGGGGCGGGCAGAGUCGUGUCGAUGGCUAGGUAUGCGCGCAAUGCUGAACUGCACUUGGAGUCUGAACUAACCGAGGAACUGAAGAUAAUCAAGAAAUCAAAUGGAGAUGAUCAAUCUGCAGAAGCAAGCAAAUAUCAUGGCAGGGGGGGUUCUAUUGUUGUGUCAUUGCUCUGUUUUUGUUUUACUUGUUGUUCAUCCGUCAUUAGAGGGAGCAUUUAGGUCUAUCAGGGCAGAGGAUGCGAUCUGUGCGCCAUGCCAAGUUCAUGUAACUGAAUCGAAGCAGAAAUAUUCUAUGUUGAUGCUUUGUUCUUGUUCUUCAGUUAACAGAGUGCACACCCCCCAAAUUCAGUUUCUAGUAAGAAAAUCUUGCUGCCGAAUAGAUGUUGGGCCAUGAAAAAACAACGAGGCCCAAAUAGAGACAAGCCCACCCGCGUAGGGGCACCAGCCCAGUUUUAUAGCAUAGAGGCACCCAUGUUUAAAAAAAAUGUUCGACUAAAAACUCAAAAUAAAAUAUUGCUUCGGCAAAUAAACCUUUAACAAACAUAUACUUCUUUACAUAUUUGUUGCUUGUCCACGCUUGCACAAAAUAUUGGCCAGAGGUAAAAUUCAAACUAAUAUUUUUAGGAGCACAGAAAUAUUUCUUUUGUGACCAAUAAUUGUUUGCAUGAACUAAAAUAGUUGCAUUUCCAUGGUUGCAAAAAAAAUUGCACCGUACACCUAAUAGCUAGGGUGAUCCUAUUUGCAUGAACUAAAUUAGUUGCAUGUCCAUGGUUGCACAAAAAUUAUCACCGUACACCUACUAGCCAGGGCCUAGAUACAUGCAAGCACACAUGCAUCACACCAAGAUAUGAAAAAAAAUUGCAAAAAAAUUUGGGUACCCAUACACUUGCAUGUCCGUAGUGGAAGCUACCUUUUAUUAGUAAGACAUAGAUCAAAUAGGGAUCCAAUCAACUAGAUAUAACAUGGGUACCCAUAGAACAUCAAGCACCAUAUAUAUCAACUAACCAAUAUCAACUAGAUAGAAAAAAAUAACAGAUAGAACAUAGUAGCAUAAGUAGUAGCAUUGCAUAGAUAAGGGUAGCACGACAUAUAUAGUACCACUACAACAUAGAUAAUUCAUAGUUCAACCCAACACGACAAUAAUAAAACACCACCAGCUUGUUUGCUUGCUUGCUCAAAGGCCAAAUCCUCCAUGGCCAACUCCUUCACUCGUCGCCGUUGGUGGGGUACGGGAGGGUGUGCAUGCGCUCAUCGGCGGGGAAGGCACUGUCGAAGUCCGUGAAGAUGUUGUACAUGGUGAAUGCGAUGAACUCGCAUCCACAUCAAAAAACACGACCGAGGAGGUAGUAGGCGUCGAAGGGGUUGGUGAACCUCACGAUGAGCCCGAUAGGAUGGCCACUGCUACUGACCUCUUUGACACGGAACAUGGCCGGAGAGCCCCUCGGGAGGUGCCGGUAGCCGGCGGAGAGGAAGAACUCGGUCAGCCCCCUUGCCCCCCUCCACCUCGAGAUCGCCCACACCCGUAGGGUGUUCUCCACCCGGACUCCGGUAGGGUAGAGCCUCUCAGGGAAGGUGCGCGGCACACGGUAGGUAGCCCCGGUGAACUGCAUCUUGCUUGCUAGCUUUGAGUGGAUCUUGGAAGAUGGGAGAUGAAGGAGAGUGAGAGGAAGAUGUGGGUAGAGGAAGAUGUAGGCUUGGGUGUGCUUAAAUAGCCGAGGUGCAGUGUUUUAACGUUUUGUUUUCCUCUCCCUCGUAAUGGCAUGGGAAACGAGCAAUGUGGCAUCGAGUCACCCGAGCCAACCCGUGUGUACACGCGCAUGCAUUGUGGUAGUAAUGCCAAUGACCCGCGUAGCACUCUAGCAAUAAAAAUGCGUCGAGAGAUGAGCUCGAUGCCAUGCAUGCAGCGGCUAGCGGUCGGGCAUCUAGACCCAUCUAGAAUGGGUAAAUAGCCAUAAUGCUACGAGGGUGUCGGCGGGCAUGCUCGCCCGCGAUGCCAUCCAUGCAACGUCGAACGCUGAGAGGGCGGCCGCAGGAGGGCUACACGCGCGUGCAUGCUUUUCAGGCCGAAUGCAGCGUCGUGUCCAUCGGUCCAAUGGGUGGGCCGCUUUAAUUAAGCCCAACAACACAUGGCAGGCCUGCUUAGUCUUACAAUGUAAAAAAUGGGCUAAAACGACCAGCCAAUGAAAGCGCAACACGCGGAUCUGUGACGUGGCUCCUAAUCCAGACUGUUGCUUAUGUUCACAUCCAUCCAAUGGUCCAGAAUGCUACGUGUUAUAAUAUUCAGCAUCUUCGAAUCAGCCAAUCAGAGUGCUGCCUGCAGAUCGCUGACGUAGCCCUGGUGCCUGAUCCAGACCGUCCAUUCAUAGCGAUCCAAUGGCCGAGAGGAGUGUGGGGUUUCAAUGGGGUUUUGAGUGGUUUUCAGCGGUUAGGGUUGAGCAUAACUAAUUCAAAAAAAUCAAAAAAACUAUAAAACUUGUGUCGAUCAUCGUUCUAUGUGACUAAGUAUCUAGGAAAAAUAAGAAACUUGUACUACGGAUAUUUUCAUGAAAAAACCUUCACAAAAGAUGGCUAUCAAGAACGACCUUGUAGGGUUUUGAAGAGAAGUGAGCUAGGGUUUAGUGUCAAACAUGUCAUACUUUAUCGAAACAAUCCAAUAUCAGGAAGGACUCUUAUAUACACACACUAGAUGUCAAGUUUCCUUUUUGGGCUCAUUUAGAGAAGGUCGAAAAAAGCUUGCUUACAAAUGGGUCUGUUUUCCCUAGCUUUGGAGGGGUUUUGGAGGUCAUGUGGAGCACAUUUUUCAUGUCCAGAGUUUUACAUAAUAAAAGUGCUCCGAUUAAUCAACUAACAUGCAUAAUAGUCCAGAAAUCAUUGUAACACCAACACCACAGACCAAAUAACUUCAAAUUUGAAUUUUGUCUCAAAUUUGAAUUUUGUCUCAAAUUUGAAUAGUAUUACACAAAUACACAUCAUAUCAAAGUACAAAUAUCAUUACACAAAUUCAGGCAAGGUUUUAUUACUACAACAUACUAGCAAUACACAAGUUUCAACAAAUUUUCACUUCUGCUUCUUCCUACCACUCGAUUUGUUCUUCUUCUUUUUACCAAUGCUUGUUUUUGGUUGUACAACACCCAGUUCACUCAAGCUCUUGAUUUUCUUCACUGGACUUCCUGGAACACAAGCUUCAUUUCGCACCACAACAGUUGCAGUAUCAUCGGACCCAAUAUCACCAGUUGGCAACACAACUUCCAAUAUAGGCUCAGUUGGCACCACAUCAACUGGAAUAUCUUUAGUUGGCAACUCAACUUCCAACAUAGGCUCAGCUUGCACAGCAUCAGCUGGAAUAUCUUCAGAGGUACCCAUAGCUUCAGUUGGCACCAGAACAUCAAAAUCUUGCUCAUCUUGCAGCAGCACAUCCAAGUCUUGCUCAUUUUGCACCACACCAUCCAAGUCUGGUUGAAUGUGUAUUGUUUCACCAAAACUUCUCUUUCUUCUAGAGCCAUUGCCUCUUGCUUUUUUCUUUGGCCAGCACACUUCAACAACAAGGGGCUCACCUGCACGCUUCCUCCUAAAAAGAUAAAGCAUGUCAACUGGUUAGUAAUUGAAAAAUGCAACAAAAUAGUAAACAAUGCAAACAUAUGCCCACAUACUUUGGCCAUUCAUGAGUGUAACAACAUUUGGGAGAUCCAACUCGGUGCCCAAGUUCCUGGCACAACUUGCCUCUAUUUUUUUUUACCUUUUUGGGACCUUUUUGGCUUUGCAUUCUUCUUUCCCUUGCCCUUUUUACUACUCCCACCUUUCUCAAACCAUGCCUUGAAUCUACUUUCUUUAGGCCUGCCAGCCUUUCUUUUUGUUAGGGGAGGACCCAUGGAAAAUUCAAUUUCAACUUCAGGCCACUGAGACUGAUCUGUAAGUGCUAGAAUUGGAGUUGCAUAUGCAGCCUUGAAUCUUGCUACUAAGUAAUAUUCGUGCAAAUAUGGGUGCAUGUUUAUCUUCGGUCGGGAGGCCAAGAAAAGUAUGGCAUGACUCACAUGGUUUCCCAGUGUGCUGCCACUCCAAACAAGUGCAAUCAUGCAUUUCAGUGUUAACAACAUGCCUUCUACCAGUUUUGGUAUCUCUAACUUCAACACCCCACACAGAAGAUUUUUCAACAGAUAAAUGUGUAAGAUUUAUGCUCCUGUUGACCACCUGGUGUACCACUGCAGGAAGCUUAUCCCCUUGUAGACAAUCACCAAUCCUUCUUCUCAAUUCCCACAAGCGCAUGAUCAUGAUCCUGAUUUGGUCAACCAUGUCAUGCACAGGAAAAAAAUUUAACUGCUUCACCCUGUUGUUAAAACUUUCUGCCAAGUUGUUGUUGAUAUGAUCACACUUGAUGGCAGUGUUAAAUCCCGACCUAUACCAUAAUAGAGAAUGGUACGUGUUCACCCAUGGACCAAACUCAGGACAUGAUGUCAUUAUCAUACCAAGAUGAUAUUAAUGUGUUUGUUUAGUGUAAGAUCUUGCUGCUGGCCACAUACGACCAAAUUCUUCCCCUUUGAAUUUUUUGAUCAAAUUCAUCCACAUAUGGCCGAAGCACUCCCUCUGCUCACAAUGGGGGAAAACAUUCUUCACUGCGUUUUCUAGCCCUUUGCAUGCAUCUGUGUGGACUGCCAAAGGUGACACUGGACCUAUGCAUCUUUUCAACUGCACCAUGAACCAUGUCCACGAGACCUCUAUCUGUGACUGAAAUAAGCCAAUAGCAAUAGGGAACAUCCAGUUGUAUCGAUCCAAAGCAUUGCAAGCUGCCAAUUGACCAAUUGAAAGUGCACCUAUGCCUAGGUGGUUUUGGUAAUUCCUAACAACAUAUAGCUCAUUGAGCUAAUGAUAUCUCAAGAUAAAUAUUUCAGGAAAGCACAAUGAUUGGCAUGGCAUGGAUUAGAAAUGUGACCCCUCAGAAUACCAAGGACAAAAGAAUGGCUCAAGCUCUAAAGCUCAAGACUCUACAUUUUACUUUUAGUGAUCCAAGAUCACAUUGAGUCCAUAGGAAAAGCAAAUACUAUUAAAAGGGGAUGAGGUGUUGCUUAAUGGGUUGCUUGCUCAAAAUGCUUAGUGAUAUGCUCCAAAAACCCUCAACUACUUUCUCAUAUCCACAUAUGUCCCAAACCAGAAGUCAAACUCGGCCCCACCAAAACAUCCUAUCUGGCACCACCGAGUUCUCUUGACAUAGCCACUGCCACAAACCCUAGUCACUUUGGUCUCACCGAUAGGGAUCUCGGUAUCACCGAGAUGGGAUUGCAAACAUCUGUUUCCCUUCCUAACGUUUCGGUCCAACCGAGAUGAGCGAUCGGUCCCACCGAGUUUGCAAUGCAAACUCUCUGUUUCCCCUUCGUAACGUUUCGGUCUCACCGAGAUGAGCAAAUCGGUCCCACCGAGUCUGCCUCAUCAACUCUCUGGUUAGCUUAUCACCAAAAUCAGUCCCACCGAGUUUGUGUAAUCAGUCUCACCGAGAUUACGUUAUGCCCUAACCCUAAUGAAAUCGGUCCCACCGAGUUGACAUGUCGGUCCCAUCGAAUAUCCUAACGUUCACAUUUUGAACUAAAUCGGUCCGACCGAGUUUCAUUAUUCGGUCCCACCGAGUUUGAUGAUUUGUGUGUAACGGUUAGAUUUUGUGUGGAGGCUAUAUAUACCCCUCCACCCACUCUUUAUUCGUGGAGAGAGCCAUCAUAACAUGCCUACACUUCCAGCAUACAUUUUCUGAGAGAGAACCACCUACUCAUGUGUUGAGGUCAAGAUAUUCCAUUCCAACCACAUAAAUCUUGAUCUCUAGCCUUCUCCAAGUUGCUUUCCACUCAAAUCGUCUUUCCACCAAAUCCAAAUCUGUGAGAGAGAGUUGAGUGUUGGGGAGACUAUCAUUUGAAGCACAAGAGCAAGGAGUUCAUCAUCAACACACCAUCUAUUACCUUUUGGAGAGUGGUGUCUCCUAGAUUGGUUAGGUGUCACUUGGGAGCCUCCGUCAAGAUUGUGGAGUUGAACCAAGGAGUUUGUACGGGCAAGGAGAUCGCCUACUUCGUGAAGAUCUACCCUAGUGAGGCAAGUCCUUCGUGGGCGAUGGCCAUGGUGGGAUAGACAAGGUUGCUUCUUCGUGGAACCUUCAUGGGUGGAGCCCUCCGUGGACUCGCGCAACCGUUACCCUUCGUGGGUUGAAGUCUCCAUCAACGUGGAUGUACGAUAGCACCACCUAUCAGAACCACGCCAAAAAUCUCCGUGUUUAUAUUGCGUUUGCUCCCUCCAAACUCCUCCCUUUACCUUCAUGUGCAAUGUUUUACAUUCCGCUACUAUACUCUUAGACUUGCAUGUGUAGGUUGAUUUCUUGACUAGUGCUAAGUUGCUAAAAUCUGCCAAGACUUAAAAUUGGGGAAAGGCUAGAUUUUUAUUUGGUCAAGUAGUCUAAUCACCCCCCCUCUAGACAUAAUUUCGAUCCUACAAGUGGUAUCAGAGCUACGGUCUCCAUUUGCCUUGAUUUCCAUAGCUUUUGGUGAUCAUAGCCUUGGUUUCACAACCUAGGAGACUAUGGCGUCUAGCAAGGGAAAUUACCACCAUAGAGGUCCUUACUUUGAUGGUACUAAUUUUGCUACUUGGAAGCACAAGAUGAAAAUGCAUAUUCUUGGACAUAACCCCGCCGUUUGGGCUAUUGUGUGUAUUGUCUUGCAAGGUGAAUUCUUUGAUGGGAGAGAACCGAACCGUGAAGCUACUGCGGAAGAGUUGAAGAUGCUACAAUACAAUGCUCAAGCUUGUGAUAUUCUCUUCAACGGAUUGUGCCUCGAAGAAUUCAACAAAAUCAGCCGUCUUGAGAAUGCAAAGGAAAUUUGGGAUACUUUGAUUGAUAUGCAUGAGGGUACCGACUCCGUCAAGGAAUCCAAAUUGGAUGUGCUUCAAAGUCAAAUUGAGAAGUUCAAAAUGAAGGAUGGUGAAGGUGUCACUGAAAUGUACUCUAGGCUUGCUCUCAUCACAAAUGAGAUUGCCGGCUUAGGAAGUGAAGAGAUGACCGAUAGAUUCAUCAUCAAGAAGAUCCUAAGAGCCUUGGAUGGAAAAUAUGAUACCGUGUGCACAUUGAUCCAAAUGAUGCCCAAUUACAAAGAUCUCAAGCCAAAGGAAGUCAUUGGAAGAAUUGUUGCUCAUGAGAUGUCACUUAAGGAUAAGGAAGAGCUCCACAACAAGUCAAGUGGUGCUUACAAAGCCUCAUGUGAUGCUCCUACACCAUCAAGUGAGAAACAAACCUUUAAUGAAGAAUUGAGCCUAAUGGUGAAGAAUUUCAGCAAGUUCUACAAGAGUAGAAGCAAGGAAAGAAGUUCCAAGUCAAGAUCCUACAAUGACAAAAGAUCUUCAAGUCGUGAACGAAAUUGCUACAAUUGUGGAAGACCCGGACACUACUCCAAUGAGUGUACGGCUCCCUACAAAAGAAGAGGAGAUUCUCCCAAAAGACGAAGUAGAAGAGAAGAAUCAGCACCAAGAGAGAGAAGGAGUAGAGAUGAUUGUUAUGAACGAAGAACCUCUCGGAGAAGCAAGGAUUCGGAAAGGAAGGACAAAUCAUCAAAGAGCUACACAAAACGAAGACAUCAAUCUCACGUUGGUGAAUGGGUAUCCGGCUCCGACUCCGACCAUUACUCCGAAAGAAGUUAUCACUCCGACUCCGACUAUACUCAAGAAGAAGGUGUUGCCGGUCUAGCACUUGCGUCAACCAACUCCUACAACAUAUUUGACUCACCAAAUGAAGGAAUUGGAAGAUGCUUCAUGGCUAAAGGCCCCAAGGUAUCACACCCCGAGUUUGUUGAUUUCAAUAGUGAUGAAGAUGAUUUGCUAGGAGAUGAUGAUUUACUUGUUGACAACUCCAGUUAUGAAAACUAUGAUGAACUUGCUAUUAGUCAUGCUAAUCAAGAUAAAACGAAUGACGAUGAUAAGAAGGAGAUUGAGCGUCUAACUAAAGAAUUAAACACUCUUAAAUUAGCUCAUGAAACUACCAUGGAAGAUCAUCGAGAACUUUUAAAGACUCAUGAGAAGCUACGCUUUGAAAGGCUCAACCUUGAGCAAGAGCAUGGGUUCUUAAAAGCAAUCAAUGAUGAUCUUCGCAGGAAAAAUUCUUCUUACAUUGCCAAGCGUUUACUCUUGUCUACUUACAUGCCACAAGUAGAAUCUAGCAACAAGAGUAAGAAAGAUUCUUCAUCUAGUAGUAACAAUAAUCAUGCUAAAUCCAAUGUUGUUGCUUCUAGUAGUUCUCUUGAUUCCACUAAUGAUUCUCUUAGCCAAGUUACAAUUGAGCAAGAAAAUAGCUUAUUGAAGGGAAUUAUAGAGAAAGGUGUUUACAAGAGCCUUGUCGGAAGUAAGCAAUUUGAGGAAAUUGUACGCAACCAAGGAAGGCACCGGAAAAAUCAAGGUGUUGGUUUUGAACGAAAGUUCAAUGCCAAUGGAGUUGAGUGGGAAGAAGAUCAAUACCCCAAGACGAAGUUUGUUCCUCAACAAGAGAAGUAUGAUCCUACUUCCUUCCAAGGAACACAAGCUCAAGAUGAUCUUCCACCACAAGACCACAAGCAAAAAGGCAAGGACAAGCUUCAAGAGGAGAUUGAUGCAUUUUAAGAAGCUCCCAAGGCCUUGGUCGAGUGGGUUCCCAAGACUACAUCAAAUACGACUACAACUCCAAGGAUUCCCAUCAAGAUGAUGUGGAUCCCGAAGAAGAAGAACUAGAGAGUUCUUGAGGGUGACUCCGCCAACAUACUUCACUCAUAUCUUUUGGCAAGGACAUGUGAGAACAACUUCCACAUAUUGCACUAGUUCAAGGAGUCACAAACCCUCUUGUUUGUAAGACAAGGGACAAGGUAACCUAAUGCUUUCAUGGACAUCAUCUUGUGUGUACAUCACUCUAUGUCUAUGGAUAUCCUUGUUUGUUCCUUGUGGGACUAACCAGUGUAGGUAUUGGAAGUGCAACUCACUCCAAUGGAUUGCUCCGAAUGAUCUACAUCAACAUUGAGCAUCCACAUCUUCAACACCUACAUGAAGUCAUCAUCGACAAAACCCAAGGUUAGUUCAUCCCUCUUAGGGGGAUAUCACAUCUAGGGGGAGCUUUACUCUAAUAAAUUGAGCUAAAGCAACUCUAAUGGUGUGAACACAACAAUGCUUUAUGUGAAAGUGGUAACCCCACUUAUGCUUAAACGAUGAGUAUGACCUAUGAUCAAAUGUUCUCAUUUGACUCCUAAGUCAAUAUACUCAUAUAUAGAUGACCUAGUCAUCGCCAAUUGCUUGAUAGAUGCUAGAGUCUUUGUGCAUGCUUUGUCACAUAUUUCGUUUGCCAUUUUAUUGUGUGAGCAUGUUAAUUGCAUAUUUUACUCAUUCGAGGACAUCCAUUUGUUGCUUUGAUUGUUUGGCUUUUUCUCUUUUGCCAAAUGGAUGGACAAGAAUGCCUAAGAACUCCCUCUAGCUAUCUAUGCUUUUCUCGUCUCAAACUCUAUUCAUGCUACAUCACAAAGUUUGAUCAAGUCAGGUUCGAACCACUCUGUGUGAGGAGCACUCGGAGUCCCCGAUUCGUCAUAGACUUAAACUUCCAAAACCUCUUUGUGCAUUUCGGUAUGACCGAUUCAUCCAUUUUGGUCACACUGAGUUCACUAAGUUGAUCUAGGUUUUCCAUCUCGGUGCAACCAAUUUGAACUUUUCGGUCACAUCGAGUUGCAGUAACCGCUUGCGAUUCUGCAUCUCGGUGCCACCGAGUUGUUCCACUCGGUAACAUCGAUAGGGUCGGGAUAUAUAAACCCACAGGUGAGAUUUUGGAAAUUUCUUCAAACUCCUCAGCCCGCGUGUGUCCUGCUCUGCCUCCUCGGGUCUCCGGAUCGUCUCCUCGCCGCCAGCGACCUCCCGCCGCUGGUUUCCGUUGCUGUCAACGGAAUUCUCCUCUGCCGUUGUCGCCAUAGCGAACUCCCGCCGAACUAGGGUAUGGGUUCGACUCUUUGUGCUAUUUCCCUACUCCAAUUUGUAGCACAUUUCUUUUCCAUGAUCUUUACCACGUAUGAAAAUAAUCUAUCGAGAGAAAACAUCCUUUAGGUUAGAUUUGAUUCAAAAAUUUAGGGUUAGGUCUCCGCCGAACUCAUCUCAGACCAACCGAGUUGUAGAAAUCGGUCUCACCGAUUUGGCUUAGGCCAUUGCACAUGCUUUUUGGUCUGACUGAAAACGGCAAAUUGGUGCGACCGAUUUCGAAUCUCUGUGAAACCCUAGCAAUCUCGGUGCCACCGAACUGUGACUCGGUCUGACCAAGUUCACUAGUUUAGGUUCCAAAAGUUGCUUCGGUAUCACCGAGUUUAACAAAUCGGUAGCUCCGAAAUGCUUUCUGUGGAGAACUAUAACUAAGUUUUUGAGUCAUCUGUUUUGCAAAAGCUCUGCACUUUGUGAUGCUCAUCCACUCUACCUCAUCUAUAUCUAUUCACAGGGUUUGCUGUCAGUGUGAUUGCCAAGAUGUCUGAUCAAAGUGACAGCCAGAACAGAUCUGAAGAGCAAGUGCAUAUGAGUGAGGGCACUAAUCCCUCAAGCAGCUAUGAUGAGGGCAGCAGAAGCACACCAAGUAACUUGCCCAAGGUAGCCACUAGAACAAGGAAGAAGAGAACCUCAGACUCCGAGGAUGAGGACUAUGUGGCCAUUGAGGAUGAGGCCACCUCAAGGAAGAAAGUGCUGAAGAAAGAGUAUGGCAUAGCUGCUGCAACUAAGCCAGGGUUGCAUAAGAAGGCAACAGCAAAGAGAGUCCCAAUGUCAAAGCCAACGAAAGUUCCAACAGGAGAAACCAUGAAAUUCACAAUAUAAUCAGAUGAUGGUGAGGCAGUUGGUGAUGGCAAGAAGAAGAAGAGGGCAAGAACCACAUCUGCAAAAGUUCUUGGAAAAUCAACUAUGGUAAGAGAUUCAGAAGAAGAGGAAGAGGAAGAGGAUGCUGCACCAGCACCCAAGUCUCAGAAGCUUAUGGGAGAUGCUAUCAAGUCAGGGGCUGCUCCAUCAAAGCCCAAGACUGCUCCCAAAGCAACAGCUCAAACUCAGAAGCCCUCUAAGCCCAAGAGAAGCACCAGAAACAUUCCUGCAGAAGAGAGGAACAAGGCCUCAGUGCCUAAGGUUGAAGAAGAGGAUGAUGAAGCCCUAGUGCUAAGAAAACUGAAACCCAAGAUUCCAGACCACAAUGACACUCAUCCAGUGGCUGAGGACAUGCACAUCAGGAAAGAUGCAGGAUUGAGACUUUGGAGACAGUCUGAUCCUUAUGCUGCGACAAGGAGAACUGUUGUGGACUACAUGUUCCACACCAAAGAACAACAAGACUUCUAUGAGACUAUUCUGCUUGACAAGAAGCCAAUUGUCUGUGAAAUGAGAUGGGUUGAUUGGGAAUACAUCAAAGAGAAUGAAGAUCACUUCCCAGGUGUACCAGACAGCUUCAAAGCAAGUGGAGUUGAUAAGUUUGUAGGUCAGAAGCCCACCAAAUGGAAUGAUGAGCUAAUCAUGCAGUUUUACUCCACUGCUCAUUUCUAUCCAGAUGGGAGAUAGUGGGGAUGUCUGAAGGUACAAGGUACCAAUCAACUGUAGAAAAAUGGGCCAAGUUGAUCAAUGCCCCAGAAGAGUAUGAGGAUGAUUUGGAUGUGUAUGCCAAGAAGAAGAAAGACCACAACUCUAUGGCAAAUAUGUACAAAGAGAUCCCUGAUAAAGCUUUGGAGACACACAAGCUUGGAUCUGUGCACUAUUUGUUGUCUGGUCUACCCACUAUCAACACUAUCUUAAGGCAUACUCUGGUACCCAAAUCUGGAGAUCACAAGAUGAUCAGAGGACAUUCCAUCAACUUGCUGCAAAUCUUUGAUGUCCCUUAAAAAUUCAAGGUCGUGAGUCUGAUUGUUGAGACAAUCAAGAGGACAGCUGCUGACCAGAAGAGAUCUUGUGGGUAUGCUCCACACAUUCAGGUGGUCAUCAACUCAAAGAUGGGCACAGGGACUUACAUGUUGGACAAAGAACAUUUACCCUUGUAUCCAGAUUUUGAAGAUAAUGAAGUUGUCAUGAAUGAGAAUGAACCUUCAUCAGCACAAGCACAAGAGAAGAGAGCUAAAGCAAAGGCAGAAAAGGCUGCAAGGAUGCCAAGUGCCGAGGAAGCAUCUCAGGUGUCCCUGAAGAGCAAGAAAGAUCAGCUUAUAUCUGAUUCAAGCUACAUUGAGGAUUGAGAAGGGCUUGGCCACCCUGACUCAGAAUCAGGAGAGCUUGGAGAGGAUCAUAGAGACAAAAUAUUAUGAUCUUGAUCUGAAGGUCACUGAGAUACAGAGAGCAGUUGAGCAGCUCCAGGAGGAAGCAGGAGAGAGGAAAGGGAAGGCAACUACAGAUGCUUUUCGGCGAGUGCCAAGAGGUCAGAGGUCUGCUGCAGUGCCAGUAUCAGAUACUAGAGCUACAUCGUCAGCACCAAUAGCUACAGCUUCAGUGCCACCUCCAGCAGCCACUCCACCAGCUCCAGCUACAUCCACUGAUGCCUUCGUCCUUGGAGUUCUCUCUACUCCACCUCCUGAAGACCAAGCCUGAGAGACGCAUAGCACUAUGCAUUUUCGAACUUUUUGAUAACUUGUUGCCAAAGGGGGAGAAAUGUAUAGAUCAUAGGCUUCGAGAGAGAGUGUUUUGCUUCUUUGUCUCUCUUGAUUUUGGUUGAACUUUAUGGUGUUCUUGGUUGAUACUCUAUGUCUGUGUGAGAUACUUGUUUGAUCAUGGGUUUGAUCAUAUGCUACUUUAAUGCUUGCUUGGAUGGUAUUAUCUCUUAUAUCCCAUAUAUGUUCAUUCACUUUGCUUGGUGAUGAAUGCUUUCUUUUAAUUUCCACGAUCCUAAUUGAUUGUGCAUUUGCAUUCAAAAGAUGUAUGUGACAUGGAAGAGUAACCCAUGAUCCUAAUCGAUUGUGCAUUUGCAUUCAAAAGCCUAUUUUUAAUAAUGCACAAAUUUAGGGGGAGCUCUUGCUUAUCACAUACUUCUCAAAGCGACGAUGUAUUUCAAUCUUAUGAUCAUUUGUCAAAGCUUUGAUCUAUAUGUUUUCAUCAAUUAUCAAAAAGGGGGAGAUUGAAAGUGCAACUAUCCCUGGGUGGUUUUGGUAAUUCCUAACAACAUAUAGCUCAUUGAGCUAAUGAUAUCUCAACAUAAAUAUUUCAGGAAAGCUCAAUGAUUAGCAUCGCAUGGAUUAGAAAUGUGGACCCCUCAAAAUGCUAAGGACAAAAUAUUGGCUCAAGCUCUAAAGCUCAAGACUCUACAUUUUACUUUUAGUGAUCCAAGAUCACAUUGAGUCCAUAGGAAAAGCCAAUACUAUUAAAAGGGGAUGAGGUGUUGCUUAAUGGGUUGCUUGCUCAAAAUGCUUAGUGAUAUGCUCCAAACCAAAAGUCAAACUCGGCCCCACCGAAACAUUCUAUCCGGCGCCACCGAGUUCUCUUGACAUAGCCACUGUCACAAACCCUAGUCACUUCCGGUCUCACCGAUAGGGACUCGGUCUCACCGAGAUGGGAUUGCAAAAUCUUUGUUUCCCUUCGUACAUUUCGGUCCAACCGAGAUGAGCGAUCGGUCCCACCGAGUUUGCAAUGCAAACUCUCUGUUUCCCCUUCGUAACGUUUCGGUCUCACCGAGAUGAGUGAAUCGGUCCCACCGAGUUUGCCUGACCAACUCUCUGGUUAGCUUAUUACCAAAAUCAGUCCCACCGAGUUCGUGUAAUCGGUCUCAUCGAGAUUACGUUAUGCCCUAACCCUAACGAAAUCGGUCCCACCGAGUUGAAAUGUCGAUCCCACCGAAUAUCCUAACAUUCACAUUUUGAACUAAAUCGGUCUGACCGAGUUUCAUUAUUCGGUCCCACCGAGUUUGAUGAUUUGUGUGUAACAGUUAGAUUUUUUGUGGAGGCUAUAUAUACCCCUCCACCCACUCUUCAUUUGUGGAGAGAGCCAUCAGAACAUGCCUACACUUCCAGCAUACAUUUUCUAAGAGAGAACCACCUACUCAUGUGUUGAGGUCAAGAUAUUCCAUUCCAACCACAUAAAUCUUGAUCUCUAGCCUUCUCCAAGUUGUUUUCCACUCAAAUCAUCUUUCCACCAAAUCCAAAUCUGUGAGAUAGAGUUGAGUGUUGGGGAGACUAUCAUUUGAAGCACAAGAGCAAGGAGUUCAUCAUGAACACACCAUCUAUUACCUUUUGGAGAAUGGUGUCUCCUAGAUUGGUUAGGUGUCACUUGGGAGCCUCCGUCAAGAUUGUGGAGUUGAACCAAGGAGUUUGUACGGGCAAGGAGAUAGCCUACUUCGUGUAGAUCUACCCUAGUGAGGCAAGUCCUUCGUGGGCGAUGGCCAUGGUGGGAUAGACAAGGUUGCUUCUUCGUGGACCCUUCGAGGGUGGAGCCCUCCGUGGACUCGCGCAACCGUUACCCUUCGUGGGUUGAAGUCUCCAUCAACGUGGAUGUAUGAUAGCACCAUCUAUCGGAACCACGCCAAAAAUCUCCAUGUCUACAUUGCGUUUGCUCCCUCCAAACUCCUCCAUUUACCUUCAUGUGCAAUGUUUUACAUUCCGCUGCUAUACUCUUAGACUUGCAUGUGUAGGUUGAUUGCUUGACUAGUGCUAAGUUGCUAAAAUCUGCCAAGACUUAAAAUUGGGAAAAGGCUUGAUUUUUAUUUGGUCAAGUAGUCUAAUUACCCCCCCCCCUCUAGACAUACUUUCGAUCCUACACCAUUCCACUUGCCAGUCAAAAAUGAUGAGUCUAUGCUCAAAUAUGGACGACACCCUACCUUGAAGCCAUCAAUGCUAGGCUUCAAAGCCAUAAUAAACGUAUAGAAAAGUACUCUUCCAUCCUCUGUUACCUCAGUAUCUAUCUCCACAACACUCCCAGGUGACCUCUUCUCCACCUCUGCUUUGAAAUUAUAAAGCAUCCUAAAAGUAUUUGCCCAGUCACCAUAUAAUUGUUUCAUUGCCCUUUGUUUUGCCUUCCACACCGUGUUAUACUUCUCCUUAAUGGGGUAUUGCUUUCCAAGUAUACUUUAAGUUUCUUUGCAGUGGUGUUUGGUUUCUUGGCUAGAAUAGGAGUGAUCUUUUCUGCAAUCCAAAGCUGUGAUGUCAUGGUUGAUACUCUCGGUGAACUUGUAAUACAAGUAUGUUGGUGAGGGAUUUGAUUCACCCUAAUGGUACUUCCAUCAGGUUGGCGUCUAGCAGAUAUGUACUACUUGCAAGGCUUGACACUUCCAUCAAAACCUCUACACCUUGCAUAAAACUUCUUUCUAUCAGUCCACUUAGUCUUGGCACCAAACUCAUGUUUGACUGCAUAUGUCUUGAAACACAUCCUAAACUCAUCCAUGUUUGGGAACAACAUCCCCACUUCAAUAACAGGGUUUUCCUUGUCAUACACAUUUACCAACUCAUCAUCAUGUGCAUCAUCUACAUCAUCUGCAGCAUCUUCCAUCAGCUAUCCAUCCAGAUCUUCAGUUCUAUCUUUGUUAGCAUCAGUAUCAGUAGGCAUACUAGAUUCACCAUCCUUCUCCUCCUUAUCUUCAUCAGCUACUGGAAUGCCAAAUUUUUUGGCCAUCUCAGUGUCAUCCAUUGGUGCAAUGACUAAAUCAGUUGGGUCAUUUAAUUCUACUGAAUUCCAAUCAACAUAAACAACCCUUCCAACACCCUCAGAGCCAUCUUCUGCAUCACCCCCCUCAGGUAAUACUGUCACUUCACCUGUACACAUGGGCAUUAUCUGCCUCUCUGAAGCCCAAUCAUCAUCUACCAUUUGUGAAGCUAACUUUGAGGGCACAUAUCCAACCUUAGAAUCUGAUUUCAGAUCAACAAGCUAUGCAUGAAACAUAGUUUGUUUGGUUGUCCAGCCAUCUUGUUGAUCAAUUUCAUCAACCAUGUCUUCACCAUCCUCAAUUCUCACAUACUCUCCUUUCCAAUUAUCAAACCGUAACAAUGCUACCUCUUGCUCUGGACCCCAAAAAAUGCUCUCCCCAAUUUUUUUCCACCACAUUCUUCAUGGCCUUCUCUUCCAUGCUCUGUAGUUCUUGUGGAUCAAUCUCUGCAAAAUCAAUCUCCGGAUGCUACCAUCACCUAUGUCCCGCAUGCUACCAUCACCUAGCUUCGCCUUAGAAGGAAGGAAUUCCGCAGUGAAUUUGAACGUCCGAGCAACAUCCCCCCUAUUUCGGGGCAGUGUGAGGUGAGCUACCGGAAGCAGACGAGGCACAAAUCGCAUUCCUUGGAAAGGAUGCACAUUAAGGGAUUACCUUCUAGAUGUUGUUGUCUCUGGCGGCUCCAUCGCGUGCAGGCCCCCCUCCCACCCACCCAAAUCUGGAUCAAAUUGACCAAAAACACCAAAAAACAGAGGGAAAGAGAGGCGGUGAGAUCUAGCUCGACACGGAGGGGAACGGGAUAGGGUUCCUGAUUCACUCAACACAGCCGCCGCCGUCGCCGAGAACGAAAGCUCCUCUGCGCUGCUAUCACCGAGAACAAAAUCUCCGGCGCCGGCGCCGGCUCACCGCCAAGAACAAAGAGGGGGGGUACACGUUCAGAUAGGCAUGGGGACACGUUUCACCUGAUGCACUGCCAAGUGGGGCCCGCAACUAGAUGCACUGCCAAGUGGGAUCCACAUGUCUUAAACAUAACCUCACUCCCGUUGACGACCAGUUUAAUCGCCCGAGUGGACCUUGGCUAUUUGGGCCUCUGAAACAUAGUACUACAGUUAUUUUCGUCAACUAUGUCGCUUUCCUUCCAUUGCACCUCAAAUAUGUCGCACAGGAGCUAUUGACCCCUUGACUUGUUGCAGCUGGCCAUUUUCUACUACGAAACCAAUUUUCUAGGAGUAAAUAAAUAAAUGAACAACUACAGCAUACAUCAUAUGAGUUUCAGACUUUAUGAAGCCUGAAUGUUGAAAAAAUAAGAAAAAGAGACAACGUAAGGACCUCUGCUCUGUCGUGCCGAUGGAUGACAGAAGCUAAUUGCAGAUGGCCGGAGUUGCGACAUCAGCCUCUUCGAGACACGCGGAGACCUCCGUAUCUCCUCGAGCUCUCCUGCCGCGCGGGGCCGUCAGCGCCCAACAACCUAUGCGGUGCCGCCGCCGUCUGUCUCAUAGGGAACAGCAGAAAGGCCAUUUUCUUUCGGGUGCUUUGAUAAAAAAAAUCAUAUAUUACAGGUGGGUCCAGGACUACUUAUCAACAAUACAUCUCCUUCUCAAUGUAUCCGAAAUGGGGAUUUUGAAAUAUAUUAACCGGAGUCUCUGAAAUCUAACACACUAAAAUUCAGGAACCUAUGAAAACUGGUACAUUUCUUCAUCAACCAUCCUUCGAACCUCAUGUGGCAACGCAGAUAUCAGAGCAUGUGUGUCUUCCUUCUAAGACUUUUGCAUGUUGCCCCUCUAUGCUCCUUUUUUACGGCCAAUGUGUGGAAGGUCAUGUCCAUAACCUCAUUGAUAGUCAAAACAUAGACGAUGAUGAUUGUGAACAUCCGCUGUGGCUUCAGAUUGCGAUGAUGUUGCCUCAUCCCCCAAUUGUGUAGACACAGGCUCCCAUUACACAAAGGGAAUGGUGGGGCGAAUAGACUCGUACCUCUGAAGAGCGAGGAGAAGAUACAUGUAUUUGUUUUCCUCCAAUAUUUUAGAUGGGCCUAGGACAGAUUGAGAGGGGAGCAAAUCCGAAUUUAUACCACACUCACAUUGACAUCCCAAGAUGGUGGAGUAUAUAUAGAACUUCUAUACAUCUUGUUUUUAAUAGCUCAUUUUUAGGAAGGAAAAAAAUAAAUUGUUAUCAUGGGAUAUGUGUUGAGCAGGUCAUUCAAAAAUGUUUAUUUAAUCAUGUGACUGAAUACACCAGAAUCAUGUGAUCAUCCUACUUGCAUGUUUAUGUUAGUCUCCAACUUCCAAAGUAGAACCUAGUAUACAUGGUAUUCUAGUUCUCUCCUGUGUACCAUCACUCCAAGUCCAUUGCAUCAUGAAAGACGUGUGAAACGUGAGAACUGGCAUUGCAUGAUUCUUCUCCAUCUCUAUGUUUCAUCUGGAUAAAGGGUGUCAGAGUAGAUGAUGGGUUUAAUGGCAGAGAGGGGGGGGAGAGGGAGAGGGAGAGAUCUCAUUCUUGUAAAAUGUAAAAAAAAGGAAUGGAAGGAAAGGUCCACACUUAGACAAACUGAUUAGAUCCGUAAACUAAUUAGACCCGCAAAAAAAGAUGACGCUAUAAAUAUCUCAUAACAACAGAGGGAGAGGAAGGCCAUAGCUUUUAUUGUGUAUGGUGAGACCGGCUUUUCAACACCCGGGUGUCAGACACCCGGCUAUCAGGCCGUUCAGGCAAUACCUCUCAUUGGGAUAUGUGUCUGGUCCUGCACCACCAUUUUCAUUAGCAGGCAAGGUGAAUAGUAAAUGGAUGUGACAACAGAGAACGGCCAUAGAGCGGACGAGCUCGCCUGUGUUGAACAGCCUGUCACGUUACACAAGGUGCACCGAAGCAGGAGUAUUGAGCCGCACCAGAAGUCCCAAUAUAUUGGUAGAGAUAAGCUAGGUAGUUAGUUCAUAUCUAUCCUUUGUAACCUAUUCUAUCUCUUCUCCUUCAAGUCUCCUGUAAUAUCUCAACUUCUAACUUGUAUGUGCUUCAGGGAUUGCGCCCCUGCCUAUAACAUGCAACGCGUCCCCUCGCACCGAGGUAAAGACGUUUCCGCAUCUCGCACAUGGUAAUCAGAGCCAUCCUACUUCCCAUCUAGUUUUCUCUCGAUUCCAAUCGUGUCCAAAAAUCAUGUCUUCCUCCUCCGGCAUCUCUCACCCUAGCCUCAGUGGGCAGGUCAUUGAGAAACUCUCCCGCACGAACUACGUGCUAUGGCGCACACAGAUCACGCCACAAUUGCGUGGCGCCGAUGUCUUCAGCUAUGUUCAUGGCACCUCGCCGGAGCCGGCCAAGCUCCUCGCCGCCAAGGACAAGGACGGCAAGGAGACCUUCCAGCCCAACCCUCUCCACCCCAUCUGGGUCAGGGAGGACCAGCAGGUUCUCGGCUACCUGCUGAGCAACCUCUCCAAAGAGGUGCUCCUCAUGGUGACCACGAUCACCACGGCGCAGCCGCUCUGGACGACGCUGGCGGGCAUGUACUCGUCGCAGUCGCUUAGCCGCAUCAACAACAUCCGUACCUCGCUCAUCAAUGCGCAGAAGGGCAACCAGUCCGCCACCGCCUACUUUGCCUCCAUGCGCGGUCUCGCGGACGAGCUGGCAGCGGCCCGCAAACCCAUCCAGGAUGACGAACUCAUCUCGUACAUCCUCCACGGGAUGGAUCUGGAGUACCAGCCCCUCGUCUCCGCCCUCGACACCCGUGUUAGCCCCGCCUCCCUCGACGAAAUCUUCUCCAUGCUCAGCAACUUUGACCAGCGCAUGGCGCGGUUCCAUAGCUCGGGCGGCGGCAGAUUCAAGUCCUCCGCAAACGUCGCUACCCGUGGACGUGGCGACGGCUCUCGCUACCGCGGUCCUUCCCGUGGCAAGGGGAGGUCUGGUGGCGCCAGGACUAGCAGCGGUGGUGGGAUCAGUGGCGGUGGCAGGCGUGGCAACAAGGGUCGCCGUGGUGGCGACUCUGGUAGAACCCGCCCGGACACGCCGCGCUGUCAGAUUUGUGGCAAGCCGGGGCACACUGCCAAAGACUGUUGGUACCGCUAUGAUGAAGACGAGGACGACUCUCAAGAUGAUGGAAAGGUCGCUACGGCGGCUGAUGGCUCCUACGGUGUUGAUACCAACUGGUACCUCAACAGCAGCGCCACUAAUCAUCUCACCGGUGAGCUUGAAAAGGUGACUCUCCGUGAGAAGUACCACGGCAAGGAUGAGAUUCACACCGCCGAUGGUGCAGGUAUGAGAAUCAGUCACAUUGGUCAUUCGGUUAUACAUACCCCUCGUCGUAAAAUUCAUCUUAGGAAAAUUUUGCAUGUUCCUAGUGCCAACAAAAACCUCCUUUCCGUUCAUAGAAUUGCACUUGACAACCAUGUCUUCAUUGAAUUUCAUCCCUUUUUCUUCUUGAUCAAGGAUCAGGCCACGAGGAAAACCCUAUAUCGAGGUAGAUGUGUUCGAGGACUCUACCCGUUGCUUCCGGAGUUUAGAAGACACAAUAAACAAGCCUAUGCUGUUGUCAAGCUUUCUUCAACAUGGUGGCAUGAUCGUCUAGGAUAUGCUUCUUUUUCUUUAGUUGAACAUUUGCUUAGGAAGAAUAAGCUCAUGUUUGUUGGUGAGCGUCAUGUUGAAACUGUUUGUGAUUCAUGCCAAAGAGCAAAAAGUCAUCAAUUGCCUUAUCCUGUUUCUACUAGUGUUUCUACUCAACCUUUGUAAUUAAUCUUUUCGGAUGUCUGGGGUCCUGCUCCUUGUUCGGUUGGUAGACACACAUAUUACGUAAGCUUCAUUGAUGACUAUACCAAGUUCUCAUGGAUCUACCUUCUCAAGAAACGAUCCGAUGUUUUUCAAGUUUUUCAAAACUUCCAAGCACUCGUUGAAAGAAAUUUGACAGCAAGAUCAUUGCAGUCCAAUCUGACUGGGGGGGAUACGAAAAAUUAAAUUCCUUCUUCCAAACCCUUGGCAUACCCCAUCAUGUUUCAUGCCCUCACCCUCACCAACAAAACGGCUCUGCCGAACGCAAGCACCAACACAUAGUUGAAGUUGGUCUAGCUCUCCUAGCCGGUGCUUCCAUGCCCCUCAAGUUUCGGGACAAAGCCUUUCUUACCAUCGUCCACAUAAUCAACAUGCUUCCUAGUCGUGUCAUCAACAACGAAACUCCCAUGGAAAAACUCCUUCACAUCAAACCAGACUACAAGUCUCUCCGUGUGUUUGGUUGUGCUUGUUGGCCCAACCUUCGUCCAUACAACAAUUGAAAGCUCAUAUUUCGAUAAAAACAGUGUGUUUUUCUUGGGUAUAGUGCCCAACACAAGGGUGUCAAAUGUCUAUAUGUAUCCACUGGUCGCAUCUAUAUUUCACGUGAUGUUGUUUUUUACGAGACCAAGUUCCCAUUUGUUGACCUUCACCCCAAUGCUGGUGCACUCCUUCGCAAAGAGAUCCUACUUCUCCCUUCUCAUCUCACUAGUUUUGAUCAAGGGGGCGAUAAUUGUAAUGAUCAAGUGUUGACUGGCCCUCUUAAUACCACAUAUGAGCCUGGUGAUGAUGCAGGAGAAGGCACAGAAAAAAACAGCAGUCAAGAUGGUGAAGAAAUGCGCUCUACAGAGCCAUAUUUCAUGUGUCCAGGUGAAGGGAACAAGUCCCCUUCGGGAUCCGUGCUGCCAGGCGUGUCAGCCGCAUCAUCCUCAGGAGACCGCGCAGACGCGUCAGGGCGGCCACGCGAAUCUGCACCAGAAUCCGCGCCAGCCUCGUCAGGCGUGGUCGGGAGCGAGCCAUCGAGCGGCGACUCCGAGCCAGCCACGCGGCGCCCUGUGGCUGGGGAACACGCCUCCUCUGCUCCGCGCCAAUCACGCAUUUGAAUAUUCAAGCGUUUGAAUAUUUUUAAUAAAGUAUUGCAAAUGUUAAUCAAGCAAUUGAAACUUGUUAAGGCCUUGUUCGGUUUGGCAGGGUUUGAAGAGGUUUGAAAGGAUUGAAGGGGAUUAAAUCUCUUGCAAGUCAAAAUCCUUCUCAAACCUCGCCAAUCCCCUUCAAUCCAUGUGGCAAGGGGAUUAACCGAACAUGGCCUCAAUGUGUAUAGAAAAAAUGGUUGCCAUGUAAACAAAUAAUUAAUAAAAAAUAUACAAUGUGUAGGAAACGAAUGUUGAUGGUGUAUUUAAAAAUGUUGAUAAAUAAUUAUAAAUUUAUCAAUGUAACAAAAUAAAUUUCUCAUGUGUUCAACAUUUGUUAGUGGUCAUAAUACUUUUUGCGCGCACAAUGCACAUUUCUUUUAUAAAUCAAGAACAUUUUUUUACAUUCUUAAUAUUAUAAAAAUACAUAAUUACCUUUCUUAAAUACAUUUUUAUGGUGUCUACUUUUACUUAAUGUGCAUAUUACAUUUUUGUAUAACUGAUCAGCAUUUUUAUAUACACGUUUAACAUUUUAAAAAAUAUGAUCAAUAUUUUUCCAUAUGAACAAAGCAAAGGCAAUAAAAACCAACUAAAACCUAAAUAGAAACAAAUGAAAUAAAAAUAAAAAAUAAAAAAACACCGCAGAAAGAAUAGAAAACAGCAAAAAUCGAGAAAAAAGGAAAAAUGAAAAAAGAAAGACACAAAUAGAAAAUAAAGAAGAAGAAGAAGAAGAAGAAGAGAAAUAAAAGAAAAAACAUCUAAAAACCAAUAAAGAAACAGAAACAGAUCAAAGAAAACAAAGAAAGCUAAAAGAAAUGAAGAAAUACACAUUCACCAGUGACGCGAUCAUGAGCGGGCAUUUUUUUGUUUUGUUUUGAGAAAUGGACCUCCUAGUUGCUACACGAGAGAGUUAUUCCUUCCGGGUAAAGAAGCUACGAACUCGGGUGAAGCAAGACAUAGCUCUCGCGGGAAAAGAGAGCUCCUCGUUGGCGCGUUAAGCGAGGCGCACCUAUGUAUCGCUUGAUACGAGAUGAAACAUGCGACCGCUUAGGGGUCGCAAUACAUGGUUCGGCCCAGAUAGGUUCCAGGUUAGGUCAUCCUUUUUCAUGUGUUUCUACUUUUUUCGAAAAUAUUGUAAACAAAUAUAUACAAAAACAUAAAAAUUGUUACUAAAAAUAGGAGCUGCAAUUUGAAAAUGUUAAUGAAAUGUAUGUUAGCUUAAUUAAAAGAAAUAUUGGUAGCGUACAAAAAAUAUGACAUUUAACAAAUAUUCACGUGUUUCAAAAGUAGUAUGUGACUUUAUAACCAUGUAUUUCAAAAAUCUUAAAUUUGUAUGUAGACUCUUCUUUAUUUACACAAAAAAUGUACAAAUGUGUACGUAAAAAGUAGACAUAAAUGACAUAUAUUUGGAAAAUGACACUUCUGUAUUAGAAAAAUAUUAAAUAUGCAUCCAAAAUGUUCUUGAUGUAUAAUAAAUUGUACAAUACGUAUAAAAAUCUACAUAUAAACAAUUAUUUGAAACAAAAAAAUUAAUCAUGUAAAUUUGCCCGUCUCCGCGAGAUCAAUUUGUGGUUCCGAACAACGAGCUCGCUCAACGCAGAAGCCAUGGCGGUGGUUGAGGCGCUAGACAAGGAGGUAGUGUCAAGGUGUUUCCCUGGUAACAAGAGCAACCAUGGUGGUUCUCUAAAUAAUGGAGGAGGCAGAGUCAACAGAUCCCUCCAAGCAAUUCAAGUGGGCGGUGUUCAGGUCCCUUACCACAAUUUUCCUUGCGUCUGUGGAGGUGGUAAGGGUGUUACCGACAUCAAGAAGCAGUUCGAUGCUGAUUGUGAUUUCAGAUGAGGAGCUUGAGCUGCAGCGGGUGAAGAAGAAGGGCAUGGUGGUGAGUUUCCCACACGGCUCCGCCAGGCUCCAUGCCCUCUCCGCGCAGAGUAGGUGUCUCCCCGGAUGGUAGCUGCUUCUAGUUGGUGGCCGCGGAGGAUUGCGACUAGGCUGAUGCUGGAGAGGGUUGCCCGCCGGAUAUCUCAGGCAUAUUUCUAUCUGCUAAAUAUUUGCAUUCUGCUUCACAUAUUAGUGAUGGUAGAAAUGUUUUGGGUUGGAAUAAAAUUCAAUUGAAACUGAAAAAGAAACAACAUAAAUAAACACGUCCAGCUACAUGAUUCUAGAGUUUGUGAUUGGGAAAAUAAAGUUGAUGAAAAUUCGUCUUCUGUUUGUUAACCAUGUAUAAAAAUAUGCUUAUCAUGUGUAAAACAUUAUUUAGUGGCGCUAAUUGCUUUUGCACGCACAAUGCACAUUUUUUGUACAUCAAGUACAUUUUUUCUUAACAUUUUAUAAAUACAGAAUCAAUUGUUUAAAAAAUAUGCCGUCUACUUUUAUUUAAUGUACAUAGUAUAUUUUUGGUGCAAAUGAUCAGCAUUUUAAUAUAUACAUUUAACAUUUUUUAAACAUGUUCAAUGUUUUCCAUAAGGACGAAAAAGACAAAGAAACCACCUAAAACUGAAAAAGAAUCAAAUGAAAAAAUAAAAAUAAAAAAGAAAGAAAACCACCUCAAAAAGCAUAGAAAACAGGGAAAACCAUGAAAAAAAUGAAAACAGUGAAAACGAAAGAUACACAAAAAAUGAAAAAAAGGAUGAAUAAAUAAAAUAAAAAACAACUGAAAACCAAGAAAGAAACAAAAAAACAUGAAAGAAAACAAACAAGAAUAAUAAUAAAUCGAAUGGAGAAAAAAAUAAAAAUCGAUGGAAAAUAAAUAAACAAGGAAAACAGGCGAAGAAACAAAGAAAAAAAGAAGUAAACGGACCUUGCCAGUUGCUACGCGAGAGAUCUAUUUGUUCAGGCAAGAGAAGCUACGAACUGAAGUGAAGCGAGAUAUAGCUCUCGUCGCACACGAGAGUUCUUGGUCGGCGGAUUAAGCAAGACGGAGCGUGCAAUAGCUUUGGUGUCAGCUAUACAUGGUUCGGCCCAGAUAAGUUCCAGGUUAGUUCGUCCUUUUUAUGUGUUUCUCCUUUCUUUUGUUCUUAUUUUGAAAAAUGUUGUAAAUAAAUAUAUACCAGAACAUAAAAUUUAUUUAAAAAUAUAAAAAUGUUGAAUGUGAAUGUACUAAAUAUGUUAGCUUAAUUCAAAAAAAUAUAGGUAGCGCACAAAACAAUUGUGACAUUUAACAGAUAUUCACGCGGUUCAAAAAAAGUAUGCAACUUUAUAACCAUGUAUUUCCUAAAUGUUAAACGUCUAUAAAAAAACUCUUCUUUAGUUACGCAAAAAAUGUAGAAUUGUGUAUGAAAAAAGUAGACAUCAAUAACAUAUAUUUGAAUUAUGUUACUUUUGCAUUUAAAAAAUGUUAAACAUGCCUAAAAUAUGUUCGUGAUGCCUAAAAAAUGUUGCGAUGAGGAUGGCUGUCAUCUCGCACCCGCCGACUGCUUGAACAGCUAGCGUCGCUGAGCUUGAGGAACCCCUUGUAGGGACCAAAGCAGACAACCUUGACGUUGCUGGCCUCCGUCGGCAUAUCAACAAAGCGCGACGCUUUCACUGUCGGACCAAAUCAGAGAUGGAUUAGGUCUAAAAUAUAUAUUUCUUGGUUAAAGGAAAAACAUGUAAUAACUGAACUCGCACUUAAGAAUUAAUCAACAUGUUGAUUCCACCGAAGCAUGCAUGCCUCCUGGAUGCUGAAACACGACUCACUGACUAUAAAAGCAGAGGACUCACUGACUAAGUACAGGAGCGAGUGACCGACUCUCGGCUCGGGUGAGGAUAAAAAAGAUCACCUGCUGCUGCUGGUUAUUGGUAAAAUCCAUGUGAGUGCUUGAUAAAAAAUUAUGGAACAUUGUAUAUGUUGUUACACAUAAAUGUUGGGAUAAAAAGAAUCAUCUUGGUACACUGCCUAGUCUUUUGGUGGACAGAAGAUUGUAUGGUGCAAGAAGCUAUUCAGAUACAACAACACUGGGCUACAUGACAGGAAUGGUGUACACGCCCCAAGGGCCAGCAGGCAGCAGCAAACCAGGUCAAGAUGAGAUGGUCUGGGCCUAGGAUGUUGAUUCAGAGAUGCCUGACUCGACGCCAAGCAGCAGCCACCCUACACCGCAGGCCCCGGCAGUUCUCGACCGAGAGCGACUGCGGCACAGUUCAGUUGUAGAAGCAAUCACAUGCCAUUCCCCCAGCAGAGCAGAACAGAGCAGAGCAACAAUCAGGGAUCAGGCCUGUCAUUGAAUAGAAGCUGAAUGACCUUCAGCUUCAGCUCCGGCAGGCCUGCCUCCGCUCACGGACUAGCCUCGGUAUUUCCUUCCAUGUCUUCGGUUUCAAUGGUUUGAAUUCCGUUACUGCACAUACCAAAAACGAUGUCAGAAAAAGCUUGCACAAAUUAAUGUGUUAUAUCAAAAUAUAUAGCAUGAUGGCAUUCAAAUAAUGGAGAAGAAACUUCUGCAAACGUGUUAGACCAUUAUGUACAAGGGAUGGAACGGAUGACUGCAUCUGUUUGUUAAAUGUGGCAAAGAUAGAAGGACGUGCUGCAAGCAUACCUUCAUAGCAGGCAUCUAGUCGUUUGCGGCUGAUGCUGCCCAGUUGCUGCUGCAGGCAUCUAGGGAGCUUCUUUAUAGCAGGGCAGCCUCUAAUUUGAAGAUACACGAGAGACCUGUAUACUUGCAGCUCAUUCGGCAGGGAUGCCAGGGUACUGCAUCUGUCAAGAUAAAGGACAUCCAGCGAUGGGGGGUGCUCUCCCGACAGACACUCCAGCGAUGUCAGCCCACUGUUUCCCAUAAUCUGCGGUCCCUUGAGGGGUGCAGGUAGACGGAGAGUCCCACCCAACAUGCCAGCACAGUCCACUAUUACUAGAGAUUCGAGAUGGGGAGGAAGUAAAUGCUCUCUUGCAGUUGGUGUUGCUGCUGCUGGUGGCUGUGGCAUGAUAGGACUUCUGCUUAUGGAGGUAGUGACUUCUGGUUUCUGGAGCCCACCCAGCUGGCAUGAUAGGACUUGAAUACUACUACAGCUAGCAAUACGAAUGUACUUUAAAGACGGAGGAAGGUUCAGAACCGCUGGUAAGCUUCCACAUCCAGAUAAAAGUAGAUCUUCUAGGCAUGGACAAAAGUGAUUCAUGGGUGAGGAUGGCAACUCUGAUACAGCUGCAGCCCUGAUUGCCUCACUGCUAGAAGAUACUUGGACUAACUCUGCCAUGCCCUGCUGCUUGCUGAAUAUGGAGUCAAGCUUAAUGCACCUAUCAAAAUUCAUUUUCUUGAGAGAUGCCGGGACGUUGAACAUCUCUACUAAACUUGGGCAGUUUUCUAAGCAAAGAGACUCUAGACCUCUCAGGUGCUGACUCCUUUCGGACGCCAAUGGCUCAAGAGGAGCUUGUGCAUAUCCAAUCAGAUUUUCACAGUUUGUAAUCGCCAAGCUCCUCAAGGACACCAAGCUUUGGAACACUUUCUCUGGCCAGUGGACGAGCACAUCGCAUCUAUCAAUUUCCAACUUUUCAAGAUCUACAAAAUACUCACACGGCUCUAAUGCACCCGAUCCAAAGAACAAGUUGCAGCAUCUUAGCUCCAUAACUGUAAGAGGGGAUUUCUGGUUCCAUUUCUCCUUGCUGUCCACCAAUACAAUUGAAGUGCACUCAACCUCUGAUGUUGUUUCUGUGUUUUCUAGCUUCAGUAUCAGAUUGGUCAAUGAGGGCAAAUAUCUAUCUACAGAAUCGGAGAUCUCUUGCUUGCCAUCUUCAAUUUCUAAUACACUGAGUUUUGGUGCUUCAGGCAAUGCUACCAGUUUUGGGCAUUUCUGGACUGACAAUUUCUCAAGGUGGGGAAACAAUGUACCUUCGACUGCAUCCCAUCUCUGAAAGCUCCCCAACCAUUUCAUUUUGAGCACCUUUAAGGCAGGAAAGGCUGAACGUACCAAUCUAUAACCACCUUCACUACAUGGUUCUUGAAGCAAUGGUGCUUCAGGUAACGCUGUCAGCUUUGGACAUUUCUCAAUUGAUAGUUCCUCCAGACAAGGAAACACUAUCUGUUCUCCUUGAGUCUCUUCGACUGCAUCCCAUCUCCGAAAGCUCUCCAACUCUUUCAUUUUGAGUACCUUUAGGGCAGGAAACGCUGAGCGUACCAAUGUAUAACCACCUUCACCACAAGGUCCUUGCAGCAAUGGUGCUUCAGGUAAUGCUACCAACUUUCCACAAUUACUAAUAAACAACUUCUCAAGCACAGGAAAUAUUGUUUGUUCUUCUUGCCUCUCAUCUAUUUCCCACCAUCUUACAAAACCCAACAAACGUUCUAGCAUUAGUACCUUCAGUUUUGGAAAAGUGAAGCUUGCACUGCAUCUGAACAAAACUUGCAAUCUUUCACAAUGGAAAAGAUGGAUCUCAACCAUGUUUUGCAGCAUACCCAUGCACUCUCCUCCAUAGGAAUAUAUCUUCAGAACCUGCAACCCACCAUGUGGUUCGAAAUUGUCGAGCACCAUGCUGUCACAAACAGAAUUCCAUCUUAAUGUCAGUUCUCUGAGAUCCUUCUUGUUUCCAAGGUUUGCCACUUUUGCCUCUGCCUCUAUAACAUUCUCUAUCUGACAUAGCUCUAACUGACCACCAAGGUUUAAAUGCUGCAGCUCUGCAACAUCACUGCAAUCAGUGCCAGUAACUGCUGCUGCAAAAAAUGUAAGCGUCUGCAGCUUAGUGAGUUUUCCUAGUUCUGGUGGCAUGCUCUUCAAGUUGCGACAUCCAAGAGUGUAGAGGUGACGGAGGGAAGUCAUAUACUUCAUUUGCCUCGGAAGUCGAUCAAGAUGAUAGCAGUUGGAAAGGUCUAACGUUUGCAGGUUAUAUAGAAUACUUAUAUCUUCAGGAAGUGCUUUGAUAUCACUGUCUGAGAGAUCAAGGUACCUCAGGUGAUACAGAUACAUUGAUUUCAGAAGAAAUGAUUCUGUGCCUCUAAUACAGAGCUUUAAGGCAUGCAAAGAGCUAUAUUUUGAUAGAUGCUUCAAUGAGCUUCGCACAUGGCUAUCACAUAUCAGUGUUUGAAUGGCAGGGGAUUUUUUCUCCAGAGCAUCAUUCAAAAUACCUUCUGUUUCUUCACAUGACAAGAACAAAUGCCGAGCAGUAUCUGGAAGCCACUCGGUUUGCCUUGGUUCCAUAGUUGCAACAACUCAUUCCUCUUCCAUAACAGACAUUGCAAUAUCAUGCAUAAGAUCAUGGAUUUUACAUGUAUUUCUGGAAUAAUACUCCCAGUCUUCUUUACUCUUCUCUAUAUCCAGAAAGAAUGACCUUGAAGCAAGCUCAUCAAAAAUAAGUUGUCCAAUGGUUUCAAGACUAUCUUCCUUGUGUUCAGGGAUAAAGCCAUUUGUGAUCCAUAGUUGGAUCAGCUUUGCUACAUCAAUCUUGUAAUCCUUUGGAAAUACAGCACAAAAAGCAAAGCACUGCUUCAUGUGCGAUGACAAGUCAUUGUAGCUAAGCUUCAAUAUUGGCAAGAUUCCAGUUUCCUCAGUGCAAAUGCUGCUUCUAGAUGCUAUAGCCUUCCAUUCUUUCACGGUGGUCUUGGUACGAAGUACAGAGCCCAGUGCACUUGCAGCUAAAGGAGAGCCACGACAUCUGUUCACAAUCUGAUCAACCAUCUUGACUAGCUCAACAGGCUUUUUUUUUCCGGAACUGAAUGCUCGAGCCUCAAUAAUUUCCUUUAAGAAUAUAUCAUCCAAACGACCGAGAAUGUGGGUAUCUGCACCCAUAAUUUCAGCAACUCCUUUAUCACGAGUUGUUGUCAGCACCGCACUACCCAUGACACCAUGCUUAAGAUGGUCCUUCAGCCUUUCCCACUUAUGGACUUCUCUGUUCCAGACAUCAUCUAAUACAAGGAGAUACCUCUGCCCGGUGACCAAUUUCUGAAGUCUCUCUAGUUGUGGUUUGUUUGUAUGAUAAUUUUUCUUGGGAGAUGCUUCAACUAUACUCUUGGCUAGGGAGUUCACAUCAAAGAUAUCCGAGACACAGACCCACAGCAACAACUGGAAAUGCUUCUGAAUUCUAGGUUCAUUGUAUAUGAGCUGUGCUAAUGUGGUCUUACCAAAGCCCCCCAUUCCAACGAUGGCAACCACUGCGAGAUCAGCACUAUUAGCUUGGCGAAGUAGUCUACCAACAACUUCCACCUUAUCUUUGUCUCUGGAUCUGCUAGCAAUGUCUUGCAGGUCGGUGAUAACAGAAUCCGUCUGCCUCCACUGCUUGGACACGGGUGGCUGUGGUCGGUACUUGAACCUAAAGGCAUGCAUCUCUGCUAUGAGCACAUCAAUGGCCUUCAGGAUCCGGCAAAGCUUGCGACCCAUUUUGUAACGGAACACAAUACAGUUGUGAGUAGGGAAGAGUUUAAUUACAUCGAAGCCGAGCUUGCUGUAGUGCCCCUUCUUCCUGGCUUCACGACGGAGUGCUUCGUACUUGAAUUCGUCAAACACUUCAUUUGCCUCAUAUGCCACCGUCUUGAGCUCCUGGAGCCAGGUUUUGGCCCCAUCUCUAUGCUCCGUCGCCUGCUUCUCGGCGUCGGUCAUGACGUCGAGGAUGGCCGGAAGCUUGCGUUUGAGAAUCUUGUGCUGCUCCUCCAUUCCCUCCAUCACCUUGUACUGGUCCAGGAGGGAGUUGCCCGCCUUGUUCACCAGCAUGGACACCAGCGGCCGGAUGGCCAUGGCGGCCACCACCUCCGCCAUUGGAACGCCCACACGAUUGGCACAGCAACACGAAGCAGUGUGGAAUGGAGAAUGGAAUGGUGUGAGCAAGACGUGCUUGCUUUGCUAGUAAUGAAACUGGAAGCCAAGGUGAGUAUUGACUUUCUGGGAGCGAAGUGGAUGAGCUCGCGUUACGGGAACCAAUCACAACUAUCCAAUCCUGAACAGCUCAGCACUGGGCAUUGUUUUUGGGCUGAUGCAUAAUAGGACAAUCAGCAUACCACAUUAACAGCUGGGGGCAUCUUCAUUUCUUAAUGAGACACAACCAGAGUGCAAGACGACGCGGGCAACCAUAAUAUUGCAAGUAGAUCAUUGUAUUAGGUAUUUGUGUCAGUACAUCCAAUCCAGUUUUUCAAAAGUGACGUUUCACUGGCUGUGACCUUAGCAGAUGGUACGAAUUUCCUUAACAAAUACAAAGAGUUGCAGGAAUGCAAAUUAAAUAAUUACUUCCACUGGCUAGACGUGUGACAGCACACCUACUGCCUAACUACAGCAUAUACUUAUCUCAAGUGCCUGCCGCCCAGGGAGACCAGAAUAAUGGUGUUCUUGGAUUAGUUGAACCUUCAAUGCAUCACUACUUAUCACCGAAGCAUUAUUUUAUUGUUCUUUUUUUUUUGGAAUGGCCUCUAAGUAUGAUUGAGUACAGGAUUGAUCUCAGAGCAAACAUAAUCGGCUGGCAGAGAAUUAUGUCUUGUUCAUAUAGUCUGAUGCAAUUUUGUGGUUACACACUCCUCAGUUUUUAUAACUAAAUACAGAAUUUUAAUCUGUUGACAGAUCAGACAAACGUAGAAACAGUUAGCAAGAGCCCCAAUGAGAUUAUAUGCAGCAUCAUUUUAAUCGGAAAGCAAUUGCCCUCAUGAGAUCAGCAACCAUACACAGUGCCAAUAAAAAAAGGUGGCUCGUACUAACGACGCAGGUUUCAAAUUAAUCAAGUGGCUAAACCGAGGCAUCGACAGCCAUAUGGGACAAUGUGCACUUCAGUUAGAAAAUGAACACUUGCAGGCAGUAAAAUAAUUUAUGUCAGUACACCCACGAUAUUGCAAAUAGAGUAUUAAUUACGUAUUUGUGUCAGUACAUCCAAUGCAGUUUUUCAAAAGUGACGUCCCAUUGGCUGUGACCUUAGCAAAUGGUACGAAUUUUCGUUCUAAGUACUACAAAAAGUUGCAGGAAUGCAAAUUAAACAAUUACCUCCCAUGUCUAGACGUGUGAGAGCACACCUACUGUGCAACAACAAAAUAUAUUUCAUCUCGGGCACUUACCGCACAGGGAGGACCACAAUAUUGGUUUUCGUGAAUCUAAAAUACAUCACAUGCUUCCUGCUGAAGAGGGAAGACCCGGUGGCAAGUGGUUAAUUUCUUGUCCUUUUUUAAUGACACCUCUAACUAACAUUGAAGGGGCAUGAUUGAUCUCAGAGAUGAGCAUAAUAAGCUGGCAGAUGACCAUCCCUUGCUCAUAUGGACAAAUGAUACACUUAAUAUACUGAUAUGAUAAAAUACAACUUGACAAUCUCCUGAUAUUCGACGAUGAAAGAUAUGUAUGAGUAUGCGAUUCAAUUUGGUGGGCUUAAUAUGUUCCGUUAUUGAGAGACAGUGAAAAGCGGAAUAAAGGGCAGGGUGGAAUUCUCUAUAUCAGGUUAAGGAGAUCGUCUUAACUAACUAAAAUCAGAUGAAGCCUAACUUUGCAACCAUACGACGGAAGCAACAAAAAUAAAGACAGGGAGCCAGAACAGAACAAAGAUAAAUUCCAGUGCCCUUUUAUUGAUCACUGCCUAUGGCCAUAUAGAUGAGAUCUGGGACUCGGCCAGCUGAAACAUUCCUCUAGAAAGCACAUUUCCGCUGAUGCACAUAUGAAAUACGACAGUACAAAGCAGAAUAAACACUGAGAUUAUACAGAUGAUUGGACGCUGUAACUAAGUUGGAUAUCGCGGCGCGCAUAGGCGGAAAUGAGAGAGAAACGGAAUGUCCAAAGCCACAAAUGUACAUCGCUGUCAGGCUACCCAGCUGAAUCCUGCUUCCUGCUGACCCUCCUGAUUCACGCAGACGCAGCUAGCAUGGAGAUGGGCACGCCUCUCGAAUUCAUGUGAAUCGAAUCGCUGGAAGAGACGGACGGACAGGAUCAAUACCUUUGUGUCGACGGGGAGGGGAGGCCGGAGUGGCUGCCGUCGACGUACGGCGCGCAGCCGACGGGGGAGCUCCGGGACCUUCUUGUCGACACCAUCUGCAAUGGAAGUAAAAAAGAGCUGUUAGAAGAGGAUACGAGAGAGGCUCACGGUAGGAAGGAAUGGGGAAGGGGGAUGAGUGAGUACCUCGAGCGGCCGCGGUGGUGGUGGGCGGGCGGAUGCGGAGGGUGGGAGGGAGGCUGACACCUCCGCCGCCACAGACGUACGUGGAGCGGCCACGGGCGUUGCGUUCUGGUAGAGGCCACGGGCAGUGGGGUCCGGGAGACGUCGUGCGCCGGCGAGGAGGACGGGGAAGGGGAGACGAAGACGACGCGGAUCGGCGGAGUGUGGGCUGGGCUUGUGACGUUGGGGCCUCCGAAAACUAUAGCCCAGUUCGAAUUGGUGCCCUAACACACACAGCGCUUACGUCGGCUAAAUCCUAUUUGGCGCCUUCAGCGCCCGCUAUAGGUCUUUCGGCCGGCCCAGUUUCGACAUUUUUUCUGUGUUUCCAAAAGGCAAAAAGGGCGCUAGAGCUGGGUAUCGAAAACGCUACAACCACUCAACCACACCCCUUGGUGUGAUUGGUUACAUGUUUUCUCGUCUUUUCUUAUGCUUCUUUUCCUUUUUAUUCCUUUUUUUCUUUCUUUUUUCAAAUUCGCAAAACUGUUUCUUCAUGAAUAUUUUCUGCAAAUCGAUGAACUUUUCUCUUUGAAUUUGAUGAUUUUUUUCGAAAAAUUUGAUGAACGUUUUUUCAGAUCCGAUGAACUUUUUUUUGAAUUCCAUGAACUUUUUUCAAAUUCGAUGAACUAUUUUUCGAAUUCAAUGAACUUUUUCUGAAUUCGAUGAACUUUAUUUCGAAUUCAAUGAACUUUUGAUCGAAUUCGAUGAACUUUUUUAAAUUUGAUGAACUUUUUCAAAUUCUGAUGAACUUUUUGAAAGGACAAGAGUACAUACCGUAGCAAAACGGUUUGUUUUUUCCAAGAAAAUCAGUACACACUGUAGCAUUUUUUGAGCGAGAGAAAUAAAAAAGUGAUCGAGCGGUAGCUAGCGACCGAGCGGCGACAGCAGCGAGCGUUGCUGGGCCAGGCCCAUGCAAGCGACGCAGUGGGCGCCGUGUUCACUCGCUCCACCUCUGCAUUGAUGUCUCUAGCUUGUAGCAAUUGCCAUCCUUUACAUGUAAAGAGGAUUUGAUGAGUCAUGUCAUGCUCUAUAGGCGUCAGUUCAUCUUAUCACCUUAGAGGAAAAUACAAAGUUAGUUUUUCGAAAAGCAACCGAGCCUAGAAGAACCGUACCCUCGACACGCAAGGCUUUAGCAUAUCUUAAUAGCCGAGACACGAUUGCGACUUGGUUCCACACAAGUUUCGUCUUUCUUGUUAAUGGCUGACAGCCCAUACAAGAUUCCAAACUCGGUUGCAAAAGUGAUACUAUCCUGAUAAGUGCGUGACAUGUAAAGUGAAUAAGGUGAUUCAUCUAUAGCAAACUUUAGGAUUUCUAUACUUUGUGUAUAAUCAUAUGCACAACUAAAAAGCAACUUUGAUGAUCAAUCCAAAAGUACGCUUGUAGCUAGUGCAACCUAACACAAUGUACCAAAAAUCCAUUUCAGAAACAUCCAAACAUAAUUAUUAAAGCUGAUGGAAAGAAGGAAAGAGAUGGUGCCCGGGCUACUAUAAAUAGGCAUGAAGUAUCAAGAUCAUCACAGGCACAAUCAUCAAAACCAAGCAAUACUAGUUAACACCAAUCCACCAUGAAGACCUUCCUCAUCUUUGCUCUCCUUGCCAUUGCGGCGACAAGUGCCAUUGCACAAAUGGAGACUAGCCGCGUCCCUGGUUUGGAGAAACCAUGGCAGCAACAACCAUUACCACCACAACAACAACCACCAUGUUCACAGCAACAACAACCAUUUCCACAGCAACAACAACCAAUUAUUAUACUGCAACAAUCACCAUUUUCGCAGCAACAACAACCAGUUCUGCCGCAACAGCAACCAGUUAUUAUACUGCAACAACCACCAUUUUCGCAGCAACAACAACCAGUUCUACCACAACAACCACCAUUUUCACAACAACAACAACAACAACAACAACAACAACCACCAUUUUCGCAGCAACAACAACCAGUUCUACCACAACAACCACCAUUUUCACAACAACAACAACCACCAUUUUCGCAGCAGCAACAACCAUCUUCACAACAACCACCUUUUCCACAACAACACCAACAGUUUCCACAACAACAAAUCCCUGUUGUUCAACCAUCCGUUUUGCAGCAGCUAAACCCAUGCAAGGUGUUCCUCCAACAGCAGUGUAGCCAUGUGGCAAUGUCGCAACGUCUUGCUAGGUCACAAAUGUGGCAACAGAGUAGUUGCCAUGUGAUGCAACAACAAUGUUGCCAACAGCUGCCGCAAAUCCCCGAACAAUCCCGCUCUGAGGCAAUCCGUGCCAUCGUCUACUCCAUCAUCCUGCAAGAACAACAACAGGGUUUUGUCCAACCUCAGCAGCAACAACCCCAACAGUCGGGCCAAGGUGUCUCCCAACACCAACAGCAGUCGCAGCAGCAGCAGCAACUCGGACAGUGUUCUUUCCAACAACCUCAACAACUACAACAAUUGGGUCAGCAGCCUCAACAACAACAGAUACCACAGGGUAUAUUCUUGCAGCCACACCAGAUAUCUCAACUUGAGGUGAUGACUUCCAUUGCACUCCGUACCUUGCCAACGAUGUGCGGUGUCAACGUGCCGUUGUACAGCUCGACCACUAUUAUGCCAUUCAGCAUUGGCACUGGAGUUGGUGGCUACUGAUAAGAAAAGAUUUCUAGUAAUAUAUAGUCGUUAGAUCACCGUUGUUUAGUCGAUGGAUAUGUCGAUGUAGCGGUGACAAAUAAAGUGUCACACAAACGUCAUGUGUGACCCGCAAACUAGUAGUUAAAUUCUGGAAUAAAAUACAAAUAAAGUUUUCUCUAGACAAUGUUCAUACCGGCGUUCUGUGGACGUCGAUGUGACUACCAUGCUUGCAAGUUCAUAAGUUCGUCUUGUCUGGUCACAAACCUGGUGCGUUAAUUUAUUAUUCAUGUAUAGAAAUAAUCAAAAUUUAAAUAUAAUAGUGUUAUUGUAAAAUUUUGGUUGAGUUGAAGCAAGGACUAACAUACAACUCUUUAAUGGUUGGAGAUUCAAGAUCUUAUUUUUAUUGGUUUGUAUCUGGUUCCAACUACCACCAUGGUCUACAGUGACAACCACAACUGGUUUGAUCGUUAACUCUCUUUGCUUGGUUUUUUUGCAAAUAUGUUCAUUGAUUCUUUGCACAAUUUUUUUGUCAAGAAAAAGGUCAGCUUUUGCUUGAACUUCACACACACACACCACUACAUAGUUAAUUCGAAAUAAGUUGCUGGUGAUGUCCUAGACCAGCUAGCACAGUCAGUGUGUGUGGGGAGGGGGAGUUGUUGCAUGCGUAUUCUUCGCGCAUUAUUUUAUUUUGUUCUUUUGAUGCUCUUACACCAUACCACAUUUUUACUUGAUGGAAAGCAAAAUAAACAACGCAGCUAGAAACCAUAGAACUUGAUACUGGGUGUGUGUCAACUUCACAUCCUCCUCCUUACGUCAUUUCAAUUGGAAAGCAAUAGCCCUCAUGAGAUCAGAUAUCCAUACAUAAUGCCAAAAUAAACAAGGUGAUGGCAUUAACGAUGCAAGUUUUAAAUUAGUCAAAUGGCUAAACUGAGGCACCGGCAGCCAUAUGAGACAUCCACGAGCAUGUAAUCCAUCUUAUUGCAAGUAGAGCACUGUAUUAUGUAUUUAUGUCAGAACAUCCAGUGCAGUUUUUCAAAAUGACGUUCCAUUGGCUGCAACUAGCAAAUGAUACGAAUUUUCUUUCCAAAUACUACAAAAAGUUGCAGGAUUGCAAAUUAAACAAUUACCUCGACUGACUAGACGUGAAACAACACACCUGCUGUGCAGCAACAACAGAUAAUUCAUCUCAAGCACCUACCCAGCAGGGAUUAGUUCUCGUGAAUUCAUGGAAUUUAGAAUGCAUCACAUGCUUACUGCUGAAGAGACAAGACCCAGAAGCAAGUGGUCACUUUCUUGUCCUCUUUAAAUGACACCUGUAAUUAAGAUUGAGUACAUCAUCGAACUCAGAAGUGACCAUAAUCUGCUGGUAGACCAUUAUUUCUUGUUCAUAUGAACAUACAUAAUACUUAAUAUACUGACAUGAUACAAGGCAACUUGACAAUCUCCUGUUAUUCGAAGAUGAAAGAUAUAUAUGAGUAUGCGAUUCAAUUUGGUGAGCUUAAUAUGUGCCGUUAUUGUGAAACAGUGAAAGACUGAAUAAAGGGACAUAUGGAAUUCUUUUUAUCAUAAUAACGAGUUUCUAAACACAGAACGAAAGCAACAAAAAAUAAAGACAGAGCGCUAAAAUUUCAGAGAAGUUUUUGAAGAUAUAAAAUGCAGUGCCCUUUUAUUGAUCACUGCCUAUAGCCAUAUAAAUAAGGUCUGGGACUCGGUUCGCUGCAACAAGCCUCUAGAAAGCACAUUUCCUCUGAUGCACAUAUGAAAUUUGAGAGUAAAACAUAAAAACGCCGAGAUAUACGGAUGAUUUAAUGAUGUAACUAACUUGGAUAUCCUUCUAGUGACCACGGAAUGGACAAAUUUUCUUCCGAGACGUCGAAAAGGGAUGGAACCUCCACACCCACUGCUUCUCCUUCACCUGCAUAGCGUGCGUAGGCGGAAAUUUGAUGAGUAUUUGAAGUGACAUCCACAUAGAGCAGGAGUUAUUCGGCUAGCAAAGUGCAAAUGUACAUCACUCUCAGGCUACAAGACUGAAUUCUGCUCGAUGAUCUUCCUGAUUCAUGCAGCGGAUAUGCAAAUGGGCGUGCCCCUUAAAUUCAUGUGAAUCAAAUUGCAGAAGAGACGGACAAACAGGGUUAAUAUAUACCUUAUUUCUUGUGUUGACGGGAUGGCUGGAGUGGCUGUCGUCGAUGUACGGCCCGCACUCGACGAAGAGCUUGAAGACCCUCUUGCGAAGACCAUCUGCGAGAGGAAGCAAGAGUUGAGGUCAGAAGAGGGUACAGUAGAGGUUGAGGGUGGGAAGGAAGGCAUCAACACUAGUAGAAAAAGGGCCUAAUGUGAAGCACAUUAGUCCCGGUUUGUAACAAAACCGGCACUAAUGUGUCCAUUAGUGCCGGUUCCAACGGCUAGGCGGGUGGAGCUAAAUUAGACUGAAUUGAACUUGUUCUUUAUAACUAGCUUGGGACAGAAAAAUUACUAUGAAAUGCACUUGAUUAUACUUGAUUUUAUGGGCUACAAAAAAUAUCAUCCAAAAAUGCUCUAAAAAACACGUUCUAAAGUAGGUUUGGCAGGAGAUGCGGCACAUUAUCAUUCAGAAAUUAGACCAAGAUAAAUGUGGAGUUGGCGGCUCAACACUCUAUAAGACUGUAACAGGUUGUCCCAGUGUCUCAGUCCUUUAGGACAUAGAUCCAGAAAAUGUAGAACUAACAUAUUAGCGGUUAGGAUCAUAUUUGCAAUGUGGGAACUUGGUGCGCUCGCUCCAACAUGCCUAGUGGAAGCAUGUGUCCUCUGAUGCACAUAUGAAAUAUGACUGGUACAAAACAUAAGAAACACUGAGAUUAUACGGAUGAUUGGAUGCUGUGGCUAACUUGUGCGUCGCUCCAGUCAACUGAGUGGACGAACUCGCUAAGAGCUUUCUUCUCGGAGAUCAAAGGGGACGGAACUUCCUAAGAGCUUUUGAUUCAACCUCCAUGCUAACUAACUACUUCUCCACCUGUUUAGUGGGCGUAGGAGAAAAUUUGAUGAGUAUUUGAAGUGACGUCCACAUAGAGCACAUAGCUAUAUUCAGUUAGAAAAGCCACAAAUGUACAUCACAUCCAGAUUAAUGGAGGUGGAAUGUGAAUGUGUGUGCCCUUAAAUUCAGGUGAAUCAAAUCGCAGAAGAGCCAGACGAAUAGGAUAGAUACCUUGAGUGGACGUGGAGGACGGAGUGUCUGCAGACAAUGUAUGGCCCACACCUGAAGGAGACCUUCUUGCCGAAAGCAUCUGCAAGAGGAAGUAAGAACAUGGUUGUUGACAUCAGAUUUUGGCAUGGUACAAAAAGCAAUUAAGAUUGCCCCAAAUGGAGAAGUGAUUUACAUGAAAAAGUUCCAUUUUGUCGACCUGAACAUCUUUGAAGUUUGUGCCAUCGCCAUCUAAUCUCAUCUCGAAGGCCAAAGUUAUGUUCGAAAUACUGAGAUUUUGUAUCCAGAGCACUGUUCGGCCGAUUAUGCCUCAAGGGAUGGUCACUUUCUACAUGAAUUGUCUUCGUCUCAUCAAAACGGUCGAUUUUGAUAAAAAUUCAUGUCAAUCCGAGGUUGUAUGUAAAAGUUAGAGCCACCCGAGUGCGGUCAUGAGCCAAAAGUGGCGAGUAAUAGUCUAUUUUGCACGAGCAAUUCGUCCCUGAAGUUGGCAUCUAUUCGAAACAUGUUUAACAUGAAUGUUGUUCGUCUCGGUGAAACGGUUAAAUUUGGUUCUUACACGAUUUUGAUCUGAGGUCAUUUACUACCCAAAAAAUGACCCGCAAGGUGAAGCCAAUUUUUAGAUCGAAUAGUUUUGGGAAGUUCGGAUCGAACAAUCCGAAUAGGAAUCAAAUUAGGGUUUUGGACAUGAAUUCUAACCUUUCCUUGCACGGGAAGUCCAUCCACCUCUUAUAUACAUGAGGGGUGACGGCCGAUUGAGAAACAACACACAAUCGCAAAACCCAUCUACAAACUUUCAUCUCCUAUCCUACUUUUCUGCUUCUCGUUCAUCAGUGUUCUUUGCUUCGGAGAGCUCUGAUCUAUGAAGUCCUAGGGGUGGGCGAACCAACCUAGGGCAGCCCAGCACUGUCGUGCGGCCAGACAGGGUCUCUUCCGACCGCGUGGGGUUUCGGGUCUUCAAAAGCGCUCGCCGGAUUGUAUUGCGUACCACUCUUCCGGUGAGCCUCCUUCGGCGAUGUGUCUUGCGUAUCGCGCUCGACGCCGAGGGUACACGGUGACGUGUUUGUGUGUGAACACACUUUUUGGCGACUCCGCUGGGGACCAAAGAGCAAUCAUCAUCAUCCAUCAUGGUCAAUCUUCCCAAGCCAUCUGAAGUGGAUGCCGAUAACAUCAACAAGCCCAAUUUUGAGGAAUUAUCGGCAGAACAUCGCCAAGCUUGUGAGUAGUACAAGAAGGCACGUGAAGGGAAGGAGAUGCAGGAGUUCCUUGCUAAGUUCAAAAAGGAUCGCCAAGGCAACAUCACUUCAAUUGAAGAAAUCAAGUUUCCUCCUCUUCACAAUGAGUAGGUAGAGUCGGCUGAAAUCACUACUCUUAUUGCUCAGAAUAAUGAUCGAAAAAAUACUCCUCAAUCAUCUAAUGGUAGAAAAUAAUACUGAUCGAAAAAAUACUCCUCAAUCAUCUAAUGGUAGUGGUAGUAUGUCUGCUGGUGUGGAAAACUUUAGUCCAAAUUUACCUAUUCCAGCGGUGCUGCCCAUGCCAUUGAAUUCUUAUCCCAGUCAGACAAACCAACUUGUUGCUCCACCAUUUAAUCCAGCCAGGAAUAUGCCAAGUUCAGUGAAUCCAACUGCAUUGCUAGGUUAUGGUUCGGCAAGUCCAAGUGGAUUGCUGCCGAACUAUGGUAUAACAUACACACCACCAUCUCUUCCGACUAGCACUAUACCAACUAGUAGAAAUCAUAUUCACCAUGCGCCACAACCACACGCAACGCCGCUCAAUACGAGUGAUAUUUUGGCUAAUGUCAGAGAGGAGAUGUCGAGGGUGUUCCGAGAGCAUUGCGGGAUUGAACUACCUCAACCACGAAUUUCUAGGAAACCAUAGCUAGAAAUUUUUGAUGUCGUGCCAUGUCCUCCCGGAUAUAAAGUUCCAGAUUUUGUUAAAUUUAGCGUAGAGGGAAGAAAGACUACAUGGGAGCAUGUUAGUCGGUACUUGGCACAAUUAGGUGAGGCAAGUUCACGAGACGAGUGGAAAGUACGUUAUUUUCCUUUAUCUUUAACCGGUACUGCUUUCCCGUGGUUUUCUGCAUUACCACCCGGUUCUAUUACUGCAUGGUUUCACUUGGAGCAAAAGUUUCAUGACCACUUCCAGAGUGGUGACAAUGAGCUUAAACUAUCCCAUCUUACAUCGGUUAAGCAAAAGCAUGAUGAAUCAGUCUUCGAUUAUGUCAAAAGAUUUAGAGAUACAAAAAACCGGUGCUAUAGUUUGGUGAUAACCGAGAGAGAUGUGGCUGAUCUCGUGCUUAGUAGUUUGAGAACUCACAUUAGAGAGAAGCUGGAAGGCUAUGAGUUUUCAAGUAUCAACCAUGUCUUAGAAAAGGGCUUUGGCUCAAGAAAGCCAAAGCAAAGAGUUUAAAGAGGUGCAUAGGUAUAACACUGAUCAUCCUAAGAUAAAUAUGAUUGAGUAUGAUGGUGAGCACUCGGAUGAUGAGGGUGAUAUUUAUGAUACUGAAUUUGUUUGGCCAUCUAAGGCCAAACCAUUUACUUGCAAUGAUAUAAAGCCAAUUUCAUAAGAAUCGUGAUGAAGAGAUGAAAAUUACUUUCAACAUUACUAAGUGUGAUAGAAUAUUUGAUGCUUUGUUGCAAGCGAACAUUAUUAGAAUAUCUCAUACUUUACCGCCGUUUCAAGAGCUGAAACGGCGUGCUUAUUGCAAGUAUCAUAAUUCUUUUUCUCAUGCCACUAACGAUUGUAAUGUUUUUCAACGACAAAUACAGCCGGCCAUUAAUAACGGACGAUUGAAAUUUUCUCAGAUUCCACUUGAUAAGCAGCCCUUUCCAAUGAACACCAUGGAUUUGGAGGGAAAAAGAUGUUAAUUCGGCCCGAUAUAGCCGAAUCAGCUAAUAAAAAUAAGAUUGUCAUUGGUGAGCCUCAGAAAAGCAAGGAAGACGACAAGGCCUUGGGGAGACAAGUUGUGCUUGACAAGCGACCCGGUGGCAAGGAGAUCAUUAAGAUCACCAUCAAGAANNNNNNNNNNNNNNNNNNNNNNNNNNNNNNNNNNNNNNNNNNNNNNNNNNNNNNNNNNNNNNNNNNNNNNNNNNNNNNNNNNNNNNNNNNNNNNNNNNNNNNNNNNNNNNNNNNNNNNNNNNNNNNNNNNNNNNNNNNNNNNNNNNNNNNNNNNNNNNNNNNNNNNNNNNNNNNNNNNNNNNNNNNNNNNNNNNNNNNNNNNNNNNNNNNNNNNNNNNNNNNNNNNNNNNNNNNNNNNNNNNNNNNNNNNNNNNNNNNNNNNNAAAUUUGUUAAACCAAAGAAUCCAGAGGUUGGCAAGUGGAAGACGAAUGAAGCUAAAGUACAACGCAAGAGAAUCAAGCCAACUUUUGUUAUGUUGCUAUGCAAAUGUGCCAAUCAAGCGGCCAAUUCUAGCUCUAACCGGUCAUCAAAUUUAAAGCUCUCCAGGUCACCUCCUCGACAAGAAUUUCAUCAUCAUGCAAGGCCAUAUGGGUCUUGGGCACCUUGACCAUCGAUGGCACCACCCCCCCUAUGUGUCAUACUACAUGGGAAACUUUAAUGGAGGAUGGGGGCAACCUCCAAUGACCCCUUAUGCUUUUCAUCCGGGUUGGGUAGAACCAAGGAGGCCCGUUUGUGAGAGGCUUUCUUACCCUAUACAUGGCCGUUUGAACAAUGGUGUCAAUCGGCCAAUGCAGGAUAAUCAAAAAAGGUUCAGCAAUCAAGUGUGGCGAGCUAAAUCACCAAGUGCUGAAAUUUCAGAGGCUAGCAACCAAAAGGAGAAGAGUACUAGUGCUGAAACUAUUAUUGUAGGCACUAAAGAAUUAACAAUCAAAUAGCCGAUUAUUGUUGAUAAUGCAGCUAUUUCUAACAAGGAUGUGGCUGCUGUCCAACAAGGUCCCGUGGCUAAUGAUCAUGAAGCUAGCACAAGCAAGGCCAAGCUGAGGGAUCCAAAAUAUACUUAGCCUAAGUGGUGUCCCUCCGGUCUGACCAAGGCACAAAAAAGUAGGUUGCAGCACAUGAGAAGCCACGAGAAGGAGGGAUAAGAAGCGGAGAGGCAAAGGGAUAAACUGUUCAAUGAAACCCGUCCCAUGAUGUCCGCAAAACAAGUGUGGAGGCCUAAGCAAAAGGAAAACAUAGUAGCUUCUGCAUUGGUAAUAACAGCACCUACACCACCAAUGGAGGACGAUGCGACUGCUAUUACAUCGUCCACUUCACCUAUUACUUCCUCUUCACUAGGAGAUAUUUCGGAGUCGAUGGACAUGCUUCAGGAUGGAGAUGGUAUUUUGGAUUAUGAGUCUACACCGGUUCAUGAAGGUAUUGAUAUUAAUAUGGUGCACUACUUACCCGCUGAAUUCCGUGCUAUAUAUGAAGAAGGGCAAGUACCUCAGUUGGAUUUUGGUCCUAAAAAUGCUAUAAUCGAGAAGCCAAAAGAAUGGGUGACGCACCUGAAGCCAUUGUUCCUUAAAGGUCAUAUUAAUGGAUCGCCGAUUGCUAGAAUGCUUGUUGAUGGUGGUCCUGUGGUGAAUCUUAUCCCAUAUUCAGUCUUAUAAAAAAUGAGGCUGCGUGAUGAAGAGUUGAUAAAGACCAACAUGGUGCUCAACGGAUUUGAAGGUAAAGAGAAAAUUGAAGCCAAAGGUGUGAUGUAUGUGGAGCUUACGGUGGGAAGCAAAACUUUGGCUACCGCAUUCUUUGUCGCCGAGGUGCAAGGUAACUCCAAUGUGAUAUUAAGCCAUGAUUGGGUUCAUGCAAACCAAUGUGUGCUAUCUACUAUGCACCAGUUUUUGAAUCAAUGAGUUGAUGAUGAAGUGGAAGUCAUUCAUGCGGAUAAUUCGAUCGGCUUGUGUUGCUUUGGCCGAUGAAUCGGUGGAUUGGCAACAUCCCAAUGCUACUUGCUUGACGGGGCGCGACUUAUCAGAAUUUGAUUUUCUUAGCGCUACAAAAUUGGUUUCGUGCCCCUUUCUAUAAAGCCGGUUGGCGAUAAUCGGCUCCAAGGUAUGAUGUAUUUAAAUGGAUCCUAUCUCAGAGUGGUUUCAAAAGCGUCUUGUAGAAUAUCGGUCCAAUGAGAAUGAUAUGUAUGAGUCCAUAGAAGAGUUAGAUGAUAUGGAUAAAUUAGGACAAGGUUUUACAUCGGCGAUCCAUUAGAAGAGAUAGAUAUAGCAGAUGGUUCAUUUCUUAGGCCGACAUUUGUAAAUAAAAAUUUAAGAGUCGAUCAUAAACUUAAGUUGAUCGAGCUGUUAAAAGAAUAUAUUUGUUGCUUGGCAUGGGAAUAUCAUGAGAUGCCCGGUUUAAGCCGAGAGCUAGUGGAGCAUCGAUUACCUAUAAAGGCUGGUUUUUGACCGUAUAAGCAAUCGACCAGAAAGUUUAAUCCAAAAACAUAUGACCGGAUCAAGGAAGAGAUCGGUCGUUUGCUGAAAGCUAAUUUUAUUAGACCUUGCAAGUAUGCCGAGUGGAUUUCUAACAUUGUACCAGUGAAGAAGAAAGGCUCGGGCAAGUUGAGGGUGUGUAUUGAUUUUAGAGAUUUGAAUAGAGCUACACCCAAAGAUGAGUAUCCCAUGCCCAUAGCCGAUAUGCUUAUUAAUGAUGCCUCUGGACAUAAGGUCAUUAGCUUUCUUGAUGGUAAUGUGGGGUAUAAUCAAAUUUUUAUGGCCGACGAUGAUAUGACCAAAUUAGCUUUUCGAUGUCCCAGUUUCCUUGGUUUAUUUGAGUGGACAGUGAUGACCUUUGGUUUAGAGAAUGCCGACACCACGUAUCAAAGGGCUAUGAAUUUAAGUUUUCAUGAUUUACUUGGUGUUAUACUUGAAGUCUAUAUUGAUGAUAUUGUUGUCAAAUCGGAUGCUUUUGAAUCUCAUCUAGCUGAUUUGUGCUUAGAUUUUGAGAGAAUGAAAAAAUAUUGACUAAAGAUGAAUCCUUUGAAAUGUGCUUUUGGUGUAUCGGCUGGUAAGUUUUUGGGUUUCAUUAUUCAUCAACAUGGCAUAGAAAUUGACCCAAAAAGAUAGAGGCUAUACAAAAGGUGUGGGCUCGAACAUGCAAGAGAGAUAUGCAAAAAUUCCUUGGCAAAGUCAAUUAUUUGAGGAGAUACAUAGCCAAAUUGUCAGGGAAGGUUGAUACAUAGCCAAUUAUUUGUGCACUUCUCUAGUGUUGAAAGCCCCCAAGCAUAGAGAGCCCUUUAGGCUUUAUAUUGCGGAGGAGAAAGCCCCCAGGCAUAGAAAGUCCCCUCAAGAGACCGAAGGAAAGGAGCAUGCUAUUCUUAUUUGAGUCGACGCUUAUUGGAUGUCGAGAUAAGGUAUACAUUGAGAAAUUAUGCUUAUGCUUAUAUUAUGCUUGCACAAAAUUGAGACAUUACCUAGUGCCUAGUACAUGCAUUAUAGCUUUUCAAACUGAUGUCAUCAAAUACAUGUUGCAUAGGCCAAUUCUUAGUGGUAGAAUUGGCAAGUGAGCUUAUGCUUUAAUUGAAUAUGAUUUGGUUUAUGAAUCUCUGAAAUUCAUGAAUGGGCAAAUCGUUGUUAAUUUUGUUGUUGAGCAUCGGAUUGAUGACAAGCAUGAUAUUGAUCUUAAACUUGUCUAUUAGUACCAUGGAGAUUAUAUUUUGAUGGUUCCGUUUGUAGCAAUGGACAAGGUGUUGGUAUUGUUUAUAUAUCUCCUCAUGGAGCUAUUUUUCAAGCCUCAUGCCGCUUAGAGUAUUUUUGUACAAAUAAUUAGGCCGAAUAUGAAGCAUUUUUACUCGGUUUAGAGAUGUUGCUUGCCAUAGGCGCUACACAUAUUGAGGCUUUUGGUGAUUCGUUAUUAGUAGUGCAACAAAUAUCCAGAGUAUUUCAAUGUUUUCAUGAAUCACUUAAUGUUUAUCUUGAUAAAUGUCUAGAUAUAAUUUCUACUUUGGAUUAUUUUAGCAUUCCUCAUAUAUCUAGACAUGACAAUUGGAGAGCAAAUCAGUUGGCACAACAAGCAUCUGGCUAUCAUGUUAAUCAUGACAUGUUUCAUAUUUACCAAAGGCCGAUGUCUAUUCUUGCCAACGUAGGGGAGGCUGAACCGGAGCCCACCGUUUCGGUCACAAAUGAAAAUUUUAAUGUAGAAAAUCUGGACUAGAGGAAAGCCAUUAUUGAUUAUUUGCGUGAUUCUAAUAAAAUUUUGGAUGAGGACCAAGCAAGAGUUGCUAUGAGAGAGGUUCAUGAAGGAAUUUGUGGGACUCAUCAGUCGGCUCCCACUAUGAAAUGGUUAUUGCGACAGGCUGGGUUUGAUUGACCAACGAUGAUUAAUGAUUGCUUCAGGUAUUAUAAAGGAUGUGCAGCUUGUAAAAUGUCUGGUGAUAUUCAGCUAGCUUCUGCUGCUAUGUUACAUCCUAUUAUUAAGCCGCGGCCUUUUAGAGGUUGGGGAUUAUACUUUAUUGGAGAGAUUCAUCCUUCUUCUUCAAAGGGGCAUCAGUUUGUGUUGGUGGCAACUGAUUAUUUCACUAAAUGGUCUGAAGCAAUACCGCUAACAAAUAUGACGCAUACGGAGGUAAUUCAAUUCAUAACUUAGCACAAUAUUCAUAGAUUUGACAUUCCUCAAAUGUUAACUACGGACCAAGGUUCAUCUUUUAUGUCAGAUCAAGUUAGAGAAUUUCCCGAAUCAUAUAAGAUAAAGUUGCUCAAUUCAUCUCCGUAUUAUGCCCAAGCCAAUGGACAAGCUGAGUCUAGCAAUAAAAUAUUAACCAACCUCAUCAAGAAGAAGAUUGAGGAUAAUUCAAGGAGAUGGCAUGAGCUAUUGUCCGAAGCUUUGUGGGCACACAUAAUCUCAAGGUAUGGUGCUACAAAGGUAACUCCAUAUGAGCUCAUAUAUGGUAAAGAGGCCGUUUUACCAGUGGAAGUGAAUUUGAAUGCUUUGAGAAUAGCAAAACAAAAUGAUUUAUCGGCGGUGGACUUUUAUAACUUGAUAAUGGAAAAUAUUGAUGAAGUCGCUGAUAAAUGUUUUGUUGCUUUGAAGGCCAUAGAGAGAGAUAAUUUGAGGGUGGCAAGAGCUUACAAUAAGAAGGUCAAGUUGAAGAAUUUUCAAGUUGGCGAUCUCGUGUGGAAGGUGAUUCUACCAAUUGGUUCGAAAGACAUAAAAUUCGGGAAGUGGUCUCCAAGUUGGGUAGGUCCUUUUAAGAUUACAAGGGUAGUUCCCAGAAACUUAUAUUUAGUGGAAUCCGUACAAAGGACAUUGUUACCUCGAGCUGUCAAUGGCAAAUAUUUGAAGAAGUACCACCCAAGUGUGUGGCAAGAAGCCUAGAUAAUCAAUGGCCGAUAUACGACUAUGGCCCUUAGCAUAAACAUGGCCGAUAUAUAAUUAUCGCACCGAGAAGUAUAAAUGACACAUGGAGUGUUGACAUCGUCCUUAGAAUAAACGCGAUGCAAAUUAUUUUCCGGCAUUCAAGCUCUGCCCAAAACAGAGGAUAAGGGUUGACACCAGAUUUUAGCAUGGUAGGAAAUGCAAUUAAGAUGGUCCCAAAUGGAGAAGUGGUUUACAUUAAAAAAAAGUUCCGUAUUGUCGACACAAACAUCUUCGAUGUUUGGGCCAUCGCCAUCCGAUCUCAUCUCGAAGGCCGAAGUUGUGUUCGAAAUACUGAGAUUUUGUAUCCCGAGCACUGUUCGGCCGAUUACGCCUCAAGGACGGCCUCAAAUGAGAAAACUUUCGACAUGAAUUGACUUCGCUUGGUCGAAACAGUCAAUUUUGAUAUAAAAAUCGUCUCAAUCCAAGGUCGUAUGUAAAAGUUAGUGUCUCCUGAGUCCGGCCCUGUCACGAGCCAAAAGCUACGCGAGUAAUAGUCUAUUUUGCGCGAGCGAUUUGGCACUGAAGAUUAUAUCGAAUCGAAAACUGUUCAACAUGAAAGUUGUUCGUCUCGUCGAAACAGUUAAAUUUGCUUCUUCCGCGAUUUUGAUCCGAGGUCGUUUACUACCCCAAAAAUGACCCGCAAGGUGCAGCCAAUUUUUAGACUGAACAGUUUUGGAAAGUUUGGAUCAUACGAUCCUAAUUGGACUCAAAUUAGGGUUUUGGACAUGAAUUCUAACUUUUCCUUGCACGGGAAGUCCAGCCCCCUCUUAUUUACAUGAGGGGUGAUGACUGCCCCUCCUAGAAAAAACCAGACUGGGAGGACAUUUUUUUCCUGUCCGAAAGCCGUUUCCGCCUCUUGGAAGAAGAAGAAGAAAAAAGAGAAAACACGUUUUUUUUCGUUUCCGAGAGCCUCUCGCGGAAACAAAACAAUGCCGCUCAUGGAAGAAAAACAAAAAAAUGCAUUUUUUCACGAAAGCAAAACCGUGCCUCUCGUGAAAGAAAGAAAAGAGAAAACACAUUUCUUGUCCUUUUCGUGAGGCACGGCAGUGCCUCUCGCGGAAGCAAGACCAUGCCUCUCGCGGAAGCAAAACCGUGCCUCCCGCGGAAGAAAAAUACAGGGAAAACACGAUUUUUUUUCGUUUAUGAGAGGCACGACUGUCUCGCGGAAGCAAAGCCAUGCCUCCCGCCGAAGGAAAACCGUGCCUCUGGUGAAAAGGGAAAAAAAGAAAACGUGUUUUGUCACAGGAAAAAAAUUAAAAAAAAUUGGUCCAAAACCUAGGGAAGACCGGUGAACAACCAAAAAGCCGGAAAAUUAAAAAAAAAAACAUCUAAAAUACCAGAUGGAGGUUGAGAGUGCACCAAGUGACGCGCUCUCGGCCCAUCCACAAAUGACCCUUGGGAAGGGUGGGAACGAGCGCUCUUUAGUAUUAUUUUUUGAGGCAAACCGUUCUUUAAUUAGUUGCUCCGGGGAAGGGGAAUGGAAGACGCAGAUCGGCAACGUGUGGGCUGGGCUUGUGACGUUGGGGUCUCAGAAAAUAUAGCCCAGUUCGAAUUUAGUGGUCUCAGCAAGUAAAACCAGCGCUUAUGUUGGGCCUAAUCACUCACUCCAGGCUGUGGGCCUCGCUAGCAGCCCCAUCUUACCAUUCCCCUCGUUCUCUCUCUCUCUCGCAAAAAAAAACCAUCAUUUCCGUCAAAAAGAAAAGACAUCUACCCGUCUCGCCGCCAAGAGAUCCAGGAACCCCGGGGUCGUUCCAUUGUUUUGCAUAGCGUGUAGAUUAGGUUUUCUCUGUUAGUUUUAUGUGUUCUUAGUGGCGAUGGCUUGACGGUGAAGGCGAGAGUGAUGAUGGUCUCUCGGCUCCAUUCCUGUUCUGAUUAUGCGUUCCCGGCUAAGAAGGCCAUCAAACAUAACAUAAAUGGGGUGCUUUCUUUUCUUCUUACCGAUCUCCUCCUAGUUUACCGGCUCAAGGUGUAUCGGCUCUACAAACAUCUUGUAUCCACCUCACGUCCUGGGAAAUUACUGUCGGUAACUUUCAUCGUAUUGCGAUAACAAUAUUUUCUUUCAAGAACCCGCCUUCCUUGAAUUUCGUACAAAGUUAAUUGUCAAUGUCAUAACUAAUUGCAAGACCAGGUACAGCUCUUCUCUACAGGAAGUUACAGUUUCUAAAUUGCAUGACCCUGUAUCACUUUAUGAAGCAAGCACAUCACCUUCAGCUCCUCAUUUGCAAACUUAGGACCCAUUUGGACCACAUAAAUUUUACAAUAUGUUUGCUGCAUUUCACAAGAAACCAUCGAUUUUGUGAAGAAAGAAUUACAUUGUUUCAUCGCCGUUACAACACAACAUUAAUCAGAUCACCUUAAUACCUCCCACUGCGUUUUUUUUUGGAAAAAUACACAACAUACUGAUUGACCUUAAAGAAUGAAGGAGGCCAUAAGGUCUUGUACAAUGCUAGGUGUUUAGAAAGAUAAACCGGAUUUUACUGAUACACCGGUGCCUAUUUCUACCGGAGAGACGUCUAAUUAAGCGUAUACCCUGUACAAAUAAGUAUCAGUGCUUAAGGAAAGCCUGGUUUAUUUCUCGAAGCACCUCUCCUAAGCACCUUGCAGUGUACAAGGCCGAGAAGAAAGCUCUGACUUCCUAUUGUUGCUGCAUCAGCAGGAAAAGUAGUCUUCAUUUCAAAAAGAAGCUGAAAGUGCUAGAGUGAAAAAUAUCAUAUGUACAGAAGCUGGAUAUAUAUUACCAGCAAGGUGGAGAAGUGGGGAAAAAAAUGCUCAAAUGUGGUUAUCAAUCUUUUGAAAUGCAAGCAAGUAAGCGGAUGGGUGUUUGAGCUAUCUUUGUGUGAUCAGAACAAAUCCAUGUCCAUUAAUUAGUCUUAAUAUCAUCUUCACAGUACCAGGGACUCCCGGAUACUAAGAGUGCUUAAUAAUCUUAUAAUUAGGUGGAGACAUUUUCAUUACCUGCAUACAAAUGCGUACGAAUGAUGAUAUUUUAUAUUUUUUUCUUUGCAACUUCGGAGUGCCCACAAAGUGAAAUAGAAGGUGUAAACAUAACUUCUUUCAACCUCCAGUAAAAGUAACAAUUCUCUCUCCAUGUACCACUCUAUACCAACUUCUUCAAUACCUGUUGACUCUCAUGUUUUUGUUUUCCUUCAAUAUUUCAGACGUUCUAAAGCUCGGUCGAAAUCACUCGAGCUGGUCAACCCUGCCCCCGUGUCGCCCGCAACAGACGAUACGGGGAAAACUUUCGUCGCCGCCGGUAGCCUUCCUCCGCCAGUGCCCCUCCCCCCCCCCCCACAUCGCUGCCGCAGGAGGGUCGGCCAGCGAAGUCGCGCCGCGCUCGGGGAUGGCGGCGGCGGGGCGGUUUCGUACCCUCCCCCCCGAUGCGCUGCCCCAACAACCCCUUCGCCGCCAUCACCUCCCCGCGCCGCUGCUGCCGCGUCGCGCCUGAGGGUGGGGGCGGCAGGGCAGCUUCAUUCCCUUCAUGCUGUAGCUCCUCGUCCCCAACCUCCUCGCCCCCCAGAUCCAAUCUGGUGCGCCGCGGGCUCCCCUACCCUCCAACUGCUACUGUGUUCGUCCUGCCUGUCCGACGAGGUGGCGCGGCCGUGCCCGUCGUGCACCUCCCCAGUCUACCUCUUUCACCUUGCUGGCGCAGCUUCCUUCUUGUUGUUGUUCGCUGGGGCAUGCGAGGACUCGUGUGGAGGUCACGGGCUGGCCAAGGCUCGGUCUUGCCCCGUGUUGCAGACCACCCUUCGUCUCUGAUGGCGUCUCCUUCUAGUUACGGCGGCGACCUCUGCCCGUGUGUGGUCAAGGUGUUGUUUUGGGCAGCGGGAUGAAGCUUCGCGGUGGGUCCUUGCCGACACUGCUCCGGUCCCAGCGGCCAUCGACCAGCGUUCUUCGGCCUCCCUACCGCCGUGAAUUCAGCCCCAACACUCCGGUCGCUGCGUCUCCUUCCGGCAUCUUCGGUUUGCCGGUGUUCUGGUGGUUCCACCUCCGGCAGCUCGGAGUUGUGCUCCCUUCCGCCUCCAGCUUGUCAGCGGCGCCGGUCACCAUCCCACCCUCCAUGCCGGCUUUCUACCAUGCUGCCUUCCCGACCCUGUCGACACCCGCAACAUGUCAUUUCCAAAGCUCGUGUUCUUUCGGCAGCAGGUGCAGCCCCACCACCUCCGUACCGGGAUGGUGGUUGACUAGCGGAUUGUCUUCCUCAUCUUCGGAUCCUGAUUUGGCAGCUAUGGCAUUGCUCAGACUAAGGCCAGGCGAAAUCCAUGCUCUGCUUGCCAAUGUUGGCAGAGGCGACACUCGUGAGUGCUUUGCCAUGGCCUUUAUCCGGGCCCCUCUUCGAGCGCUGGGGGAAACCCUAGGUCCGGUUCUUCGGAUCGGAUGGUGGCGGUGUCACGAUGUCGCACCCCUUCCUGAAGGCGCUAUCUUGUUCGCCCCCGGUGUCCCUGUUUGUUUGAUUUUGAGAUGUUCGACGUCGUGCUUGUUCGGCCUGCCUCUCUGUUUAGGAUUUGUGGGUGUAGUUGUGUCAUUUCCCCUGUUCGGGCUGAGCACCCCUUGUCUCUCUGCUCCGGGUUCCAUGAUCAUGCCUCUUUGGGUUCAUGCCAUGUGUUGUAUCCUCUGUUGUACGCAUUCUCUUUCUUCUAUCAAUAAAGGAUAUGCAAGCUUUGUGUAUUCACAAAAAAAAAGACGUUCUGAAGCUCUGAAGCUAAAGAUGUAAAUAAAUCUGAACUCUCGCACUCACUUUUAAAUCGUGGGGCAGUAUACUCUAAUCUAUCCAGCUCUUCCUGUAAAACAAAUAUACUGUCAGCAUGUGAUUUAUCAUUCAUGAAUCGUUUAUCAUGCCAUUUUUAGAAUGUGACUGGCAAAAUGGUGUGACUGUACAAUUCUACUUUUUUCGAAAAAGAGGAUUACCCCUAGUAUCUACAUAGAGCCAUGCACACAACCAUUUUAUUAUAUUAUUUAACGGAACCAAACGAAACAAAUAUAUGGAUCAAGCCAAAGCCACCUCCCUAGAAACUAUUGUCGUUACACGUACAAGCUUUAAUGGCGUGCCCUGACCACUUAUCAACACACAUCAUAUAUUCCGGUCGCCUCACCAAGAUGCCUGCCGGCAAUUUGAGAGCAUCUACCGGUCUAGCUAGACCCUCUGCACGCACAUCAUGCACACGCUUUAGAUUCAGCCACCGCCAUGUUCCGCGGUCCCACCUUCAAGAGCGAUCAACGUAUUCAUCUCGCUAGGCCAUCUCGACACCAGAUAGCUCCACUAUCCAGCGCGGGCGCCCGUCGCCGACACUCCGCCGUGCCACGCCACCGAGACCCUGUGUCGUCCUUUCGGUAGAUGUAACACCGCUCCUCCACUUGUCUCUUCCAGUCGGCUCCUACUCGAGACAAUGCCCCUAGGAGGGAGAACGGCGCUGAAGGCACCAUCAUCGUCCGAUCCGGGAUACCCAGAACUAGAGUUUCCCCCGGAACAACCCGAGCGUAGUGACACAACUUACAAAUGACGAUGCCUCGAAAAAGGAAACAACGUUAGAGACGCCACCAUCUGCCAUGACCGCAGUUAGCACAAUUUCACCGGAAGUCGCGUCGACAUGGAGACGUAAGCUGUCGCCGGAACGUCGGCAUAGGGCCUCCAGUCGCCCCUGACCUGUCCCUGCACGCAUCGCCUGCCGGCCAAGGCCACGCCAAGAUGGAUCUGGAUGGGACGCUAGUUCCGCGGCCACUGCCGCCACCCAUCACAUGGUCGGCCAGGUCAACGACUAAUCCCACAGCCAUGGACAAACCGGUCGCCGCCGCCAGCCCGGGUCACCACCCUGACCGCACCGGCUGAAGACACAGGUGUCGUCGCGAGAUUGAUACGGUGAACAAGGCCCGAAUCCCUCGUGCUCGACCUUGAUCAGCCACACACAAGCAUCUCUCCACGCUGACGAGGGGUCCACUAUGGGAUCCAUCGCGCCGACUUCCGCCACCGCGCCGCGGGAAUAGACUGCCCUGAUGCUGCCGCCCACUGAGGCGGGCUUCGCCUGUUCGGCCUCCUCCAACAGCGUCCGGCCGUGGGCUGCNNNNNNNNNNNNNNNNNNNNNNNNNNNNNNNNNNNNNNNNNNNNNNNNNNNNNNNNNNNNNNNNNNNNNNNNNNNNNNNNNNNNNNNNNNNNNNNNNNNNNNNNNNNNNNNNNNNNNNNNNNNNNNNNNNNNNNNNNNNNNNNNNNNNNNNNNNNNNNNNNNNNNNNNNNNNNNNNNNNNNNNNNNNNNNNNNNNNNNNNNNNNNNNNNNNNNNNNNNNNNNNNNNNNNNNNNNNNNNNNNNNNNNNNNNNNNNNNNNNNNNNNNNNNNNNNNNNNNNNNNNUUCAGCCUCUCCACUUGUGGGAACAAUAUCCUUGAAUGUUUAGUUUCUCAUAUCUUUACGAAAACGGAGUAAGGGAAAUAUCGUGUGUGGUUGCAGGGAACUCACAUCAAAUGAUUGGGAGAUGUUCAUAAAUCAGUGAUAAUAGCCUUUGCAAACAGGCUAAUCCCAAAUGAUUCAAUGAAACCAACCUUCAUGUACUCAAUGAACGUAUUAUGCAUGUUAUGCUAGUUCAAGUCAUACUAAAUAUCACUUGUCUGGCAAAUAACAACAGCGUUCUCUGAAACCAUUGCAUCAUGAGAGAAUUGUGUGAAAUGGAAAUUGACACGAUUUAAAUUUUCAGGUUCCUUUCCUGGUGAGCCUAUCAUAGUAAAGAAACCUGGAAGAAAACAUUGGAGAAAGGAAUUCACAAAAUGCGGAAUUAUUAAUACUAAAUGACUGUUGAUGUUCAAAUGCAUGUCAGUUCUAAAUAAAUAAAUGAUUUUCUUCUUCUUUCUGCUCUUCAAUGUUUUCUUCCCUUACAAGAUUCUAGCAGUCUUAACACCAUUAUGGCCACAGAAAAAAAAAACAUCUAUCCCAUUUGUUACACGAGCUAAAAAUAAAAAUAGCACAUGAGCAUGGGCUGCAGAAAUGCACAUUCUUACUUCUAAGAAUAAUGUCAUCAAGAGAAGCAAAAGGCUGGUUUUUUGUGACAAUAAUUUAUUCAAUGAAAAGAGUGAGCCCGGGUUGCACGAAAUAUGAGUUUAUCUAUUUUUCUUCCAACAAAAUAUCUGGUCUACCAUCACUGCACCUUCGAACAUCAGAGUGCACACAGAACAAGAAAUAAAGAAGCAAAAGGGCCCUUGCGUAACUCAUGUAUUUUCAAACAAUGCUACAGAAAAUAUCCCUUAUACUCCCUCCGUCUAGGUUUGUAAGUCAUCUUACGAAAACAAAAUAAUCCCAAAACACUUAGGCGCGGUGCGUUAACUUCUACCUCGUUUCUUGUUUCUUGACAUAUCAACCAAUAAGAGAUAUGGGUGUGCAUGCUUUUAAUGACUUGAGACUACCAAACACGACAUGCAGUGGUUAGUUCAUUGCAUGCAAUGCUAUUAAUUAGCAAAAAACAUUAAGUUCUCUCGUUUUCCCUCCUCCUUGGUCACGGUGCACAACAUAAGAUGACUUAUUCACUUAGACGGAGGGAGUAUCAUGGAUUUGCGCCUGCAUCAAUUGUUUCCGAGUGCUGUCAAAGAGAAAAAUUUACUAAGAUUUCCAUUGUCAAACUGUGAUGUCCGACUAGUGUUGGUGGAAGAAUCACAUAUUGGAGAGGAUAAUUUGGAGUAGGGGAUGAGAAGAAGUUGAAGAACAGAUGAAGAGGGUGAGAUGUAGAACAGAGUAGGUGAGAGUUCAAACAAUUCUCAUUUCAUCGAUAAGUUACGGCACAUGUCUGAUUCACUUGCCCCUUUUAAACACAUAGGCACUCUCUUACAAGUGGGCCCUCAAAUCCACACGCCCAGUGCACUAGAUGAUCUUCCUAUGGCUCACUCCUAAGUUGUCUCUCUCUAGUUGUUGGGCCCUUCGUCCUCCAUAUCCUAGUCCUCCUCAUUCCACUGGACUGGGAUCUUGAUUUCCGUCGAGGGUGUGGUAGAGAGCAGAUGCAUGACACAAUCUUUGUUCCAUUACGCUUCCUCAAAGUCGCCAUUUUAGACAUUGUCAUGUCUACAACACACAAUUAGACGCUUGGUGACCUGUUGCUUCAAAAAUAUAUUUUGAAAUCAUGUGCCUAGAGGUGUUUUGAAUGUAUGGCUACAAAUGUCACUGAGGUUCCUAGUUCCUGUUCCAUCAGCAUACCCUGCCGAAGUGGUAAUCUGACUUCAAGUGGAAUAAGCAAGACAGGAGAAAGAAUUAAGGUGGUAUUCAGCUCGUUUUCCCCUCACCUUUUUGACUCUCACAUUUUUGUUUUCCUCCCAUAUCUUAGAUGGGGUGAAGCUAUAUGCAUAAACAAAUAUGAAUUCAUAUCACACUCACCUCGACAUCUCAGUAGUACAACACAGGGCUUUCGUCACAGGGCAAUUUUCACAUUAGUCCCGGUUCAGUCACGAACCGGGACUAAUGUGAGCAUUGGUCCCGGUUCGUGCGGCUAAGGCAUUAGUCCCGGUUCACCUGGGCCCUUUAGUCCCGGUUGGUGCCACGAACCGGGACUAAAGGGUGCGAUGCCCAUUAGUACCGGUUGGUGGCACCAACCGGGACUAAAGGUCUAACCUUUAGUACCGGUUGGUGCCACCAACCGAUACUAAUGCGCUUUGAGGCAUUAGUACCGGUUCAUGGCACGAACCGGUACUAAAGGGCCCAUUUUCAAACUCUACCCCCCCUGGUGGACCGCCUUUUCAGUUUUAGGAAAAACAAAAGAAAAUGAUGGAAAUGUCAAAAAAAUAAAAUAAAAUAAGUUUCCCAUGUGAUAUGUGGUCUAGUUGUUGGGAAAAUUAACAAAUAUGAAUUUCGACUUUAUUUGCAAAAUCUCUCUGAAAUUUCUUAAAAUGGGCAUAACUUUUGCAUACGAACUCGGAUGAAAAAGUUUUUUAUAUGAAAAAUCAUCUACUCAAAAUCCUCAAAAACCUAACAGAAAAAAAGAUACGGGACUUUUAAGAUCUGGAGAGGCAAAAAAAUUCAAAAAAUUUCAAUUUGUGGUCAAACUGUGGUCAAACAAUAGUCAAACUAAUUAUUCUAGAAUAUUAGUGUUACUAAAUAAUUAUUUCAGUUUUUUUGAAUUUUGGUCAAAUCUGGUCAAACUGUGGUUAAACAGUGGUCAAACAAUGGUCAAACUAAUUAUUCCAGAAAUAUUAGUGUUACUAAAUAAUUAUUGUUUUUAAAAAUAAUAGUUUCAAACUCAAACAGUGAAAUAUGUCACUUCAUGCUCAAGCUAAAUUCCUGAGGGUUAAUAAAAUUGACAUCUUACUAUUGUCAGGAAAACAACAAGUGCAGACUUGGAAACGAGGGAGAAUAGAACCCAGAAGUUAAGCGUGCUCAGGCUGGAGUAGUGAGAGGAUGGGUGACCGUCCGGGAAGUUAGAUGAUUUGAAAUGAUGAGGGGUGAUUAGAGAUUAGAGGAUAAAUUGAGCAGUGAUGAGGGGUGGUGAUUAGAGAUUAGAGGUUAAAAUAAUUCAGAAAUUUGAAAAUCAAAAAAAAAGUUCGCAAAUUUUUUUUUCAAAAAAAAUAUAUCAUAAAAUUCUGCGUCCACGUGGACGGCCUUUAGUCCCGGUUCGUGUCUAAAGGCUUGGGUAUAUAUAGACCUUCUACACGUCUCCAAUCUCUAGUAGCUCUUCAUAUGAUAAAAAUAUAUUGUGAGUAUGGGAUAUGUGUUGAGAAGGCCAUUCAGGAAUCGUUUAUCAUGUGAGUAGACUGCAAAAUGACAUAACCAUUCCACGAGCAUGCUUAAGUUUGAAAACUCUUUCCCGGGAAGUAUCCUAUGUGAUUGAAUGUAACUCAUAAUUAUUAAAGAAUGUAUAGAAGUUUCUAAACGAGCGAGUGGUUGAAUGUCAAAUGCAUCUGAUACUCGGCGAAGACUUAUGUUUGCCAAAUUCGGUACUCGGCAAAGUUUCGCCGUGUUUAUUAUGGGCUCUGCCAAGUUUCUAAGAAGACAAUCCGGGUAGUGAUGGAUGCCUGAUCUUUAACAUGGAAUGUCUGUAUACAUAGUCCUCAAUGUGGGGCAUAAUGUAGUAGCCGGACAAGACGCUUGAUUAAUCUGGUUCUUCUCUACAAUAGAAACUCGCCUUGUACAUGAACAUAUUUUGUUUUGGGUAUAUAUAGACCUUCUACACGUCUCCAAUCUCUAGUAGCUCUUCAUAUGAUAAAAAUAUAUUGUGAGUAUGGGAUAUGUGUUGAGAAGGCCAUUCAGGAAUCGUUUAUCAUGUGAGUAGACUGCAAAAUGACAUAACCAUUCCACGAGCAUGCUUAAGUUUGAAAACUCUUUCCCGGGAAGUAUCCUAUGUGAUUGAAUGUAACUCAUAAUUAUUAAAGAAUGUAUAGAAGUUUCUAAACGAGCGAGUGGUUGAAUGUCAAAUGCAUCUGAUACUCGGCGAAGACUUAUGUUUGCCAAAUUCGGUACUCGGCAAAGUUUCGCCGUGUUUAUUAUGGGCUCUGCCAAGUUUCUAAGAAGACAAUCCGGGUAGUGAUGGAUGCCUGAUCUUUAACAUGGAAUGUCUGUAUACAUAGUCCUCAAUGUGGGGCAUAAUGUAGUAGCCGGACAAGACGCUUGAUUAAUCUGGUUCUUCUCUACAAUAGAAACUCGCCUUGUACAUGAACAUAUUUUGUUUUGUGGAACUUCCUCCGGAUUAAAAAUACUUGAAGAUAGCAACAUAAUUGAUGAACUAAAAAAUGGUACUCUGGUAGCAAUGGGAUAAAACAAUAUUAUGCCUUUCUUUCAUUAGUUAACUAAAAAUUUGUGCUGCAGUAGUAACGGGAUAAAACAAUAUAAGUAGAAACAAUUUUGAUAAGCAAUAACAUUUCCUUUUGCUAGGGCAACGCUAUAGGUAACUCCUACAAACUAUUUCUCCUAGGUGUUGAUUAAUAAAUUAGCCAUAUGCAAAAUUAAACUGCAGUGGAUUAGUAAUACACGGUUGAAGUCAACACUUCCGGUUAAUCUUAUAAAAUCUAGCCUCUUUAGUCUCCAAUCUCACAUUGAGACAUGGUUAAUAGUUGUUGGUAUAUCUAAAUCCUAUGGGAGGACAUCCUCUUAUUCUCAGACACAUGAGCCCAAGUAUCUCCACAAAAAGUUCACCAGACAUACAUAUCAUGUCCUUUCAUAGCCAUCCAAAAAAAGGAAGGUGCUAUGAUGUAGUGCAACAUUGAUGGAAUAAUACCAAAAAAUGUAAAAAGGGUGUUUCAUUCUCAAAAAUAACUUUGGAAGUAUAUCGGUGAACCAUCUAAACAGGAACAUACUAGUAAAUUUGUUGAGGAAAUUGUUAACUGGUAGCAGCUUGGUUGGCUAGGGAGUAGGGGAUUAAUAGGGUGAUCGGCAAGUUUAUUGGCCUAUUAAGCAAUUAAACGGAGGAUUUAUCAGUUUAUUGGCUACAUGGUGACCUUACAAGUAGGGAUUAAUUCCCAAGUUAACUGGUUAAUCAGACGAAUUCUUCAACAGGACCAGUAAUCAUGCUAAUAUGGUACAUGAUAAUCUCUUAUGGUUGAAUGAAUAUGAGUAAUGUCUGUAGCUAUCUUUAACAGUAUUUUAUUGAGUACCUAAAUAUGUAAAGUUCAGUAGUUUGUACUAUCAUGUUAUUGCACAAAAAAAAAGGAAAUCUCUCAUUCCAAUUUUUUUAGCUAAACUAAACAAAAGAUACUAGCAUGUUGCUCAGGAGAUAGGAAUGGUAGCAGGGGUAGAUAGCCAACAAAAACAUUAUGUUAUUACAGUGUGAAUAAUAAAUAAGAUUAUUUGGAUCAUAUGAAGGAUAAAGCCAUCAAUCUCGCCCAUGUGCAAUAAUUUUAAUUUGUCUUUGUGUAGUAUAUAUUGUUGAUUAAUCAUUCGUGAUGAGAUAUGCACCUUCAUAUGGUUUAACAAAUAGAAGAUGGGUGGCGCCAGAAUAAUUUUUCUGACCGUGCAAAGAUAGAGAUCUGCAUUGCUCUCAUCAAUGACCUGCAACGAUUCAUGCAUGCUUCUACUAUGAUCCUUGAGCCUAUCAAAAUUAAUUGCUAUAAUCUUGACUGACCGAGCUACUGAUAUGUGGGCGUCUUGAUGAGUAUGGCGAAUUCUCUUUUAUCUUGGUGGUUGUUCAUUUCAUAGACAUCUCAAUAUAUUGUUUAUUUGGAUGGUUUUGUCUCCUCCUUUAUUUUGGGGUUAUUUUUACAAAGAGAAGUCUAGUUUUCUCCCUAACAAUUUCACAUGGAGAAGUGUCACUCAUAUUUAUUUCAAUCACAUUUACCUCUUGACCUUAAUAUUCACUCACAUUUACCUCCUGACCUUUUGGUUUUGGUUUAAUUUUUCCAUUAAAAUUUCACAAAUGAUAGAAUCCUCCCUGGAAGUUUUAAGAAAAAAAAAAUCUAGUAAAGGCAUAUGUAAUUUUUUUGUAAAGGAGAAUGUAUUAAUAUCAAGCAGAUACCAAUUAUUCCCAGACUCUGCAACAACAAGAUGCCUAAAAACAUCCAGGAUGCACACAGCUAAAAAUUAAAAUAAAAAGGGAAGAAAAAAUGAGAAAAAAUAUCCCGCCACGGUGAUCAAUCACCCGAUGUAGCCGCACUCUAACCACCACCAAAGAUGUCACCCGGACUACAAAAUAGGUUCUCCAAAAGCAAUGCCUCUAGAAAGGAAACAAAACACAAGCAUUGUCGUUGCCCGAUCAAAGAUAUUACGUUUUCACCCUGGAGAAAGAUCAGGUUCCCAACAAUAAUGCCUUCAACAAGACUACCGCCAGGCACAACCAAUAAAGGCCAGACCUUGGGUUUUCACCUUGGAAAUCCUGAUUGGGUACUCAAAGGAGCACCGAAUAACAAAGAAGUCCUCCAAUGCCGCCACCCCCACUUGCGGAGGCUAAUACUGCAAGUCACGCACCAUUAGGCUCACAGGAAUUCACAUCCCGCCUGGACGGGAACAUAUCCUGUAAGCCAUGUCUAAACAACUGCCUAUGAAGCAAAGUCUUCAUCGCAUCCAAGACCUCGCAUUCGCCACUUGCAAGUCCUUCAAUCACGCCAUGGCAUUCUCCGUAUGUGUUGAUCCCAUGGAAAUCUUGGUGCAGACAUGUCCCAAGGUGCCAACAAAAACAGAGCUUCACGAUACCCCGGUAAACCUGGUUAUGCUGAUGUUGCGGGUGCGCACGACAGGCCCCUAUCUAGUCAAGGUGUCCAAAGAGCGCCAUAUGUGCCAGUCCUUUUUUUCCUUCAAAGGAGAAGUCCGGAAAUCGCAGAUGGCCAGAUUGAAGAUCUCAGGUUCUCAAUUGCAUGAGCUUGUGAGCAACGAGAAUGAGCAAGACCGAACAAGGGGAAACCAUCCAAGGACGGGAACACCGUGUGCACAAUAUAUAGGAUCCAAUUUGCACCAGCAAUGUUUAUACAGGAAUAACCAAAAUGUGAGUGUUGCCACGUACAUGUAUUUACUACUGCAGAUAGUUUUCUUUAUUGCACAGGUAUAAAACUUGUUCUUAAUUUUAAUCAAUUCUCUUGCACAAAUUUAUCCACAGAGAGCACAUAUAUGAUUUAUCUAACACUAUGUUUUCAAUAUCACAAGAUAAAAUCUUGUCUUUACAGAGCAAAAUUAUACACCGAUAAAAAUGUGUUGUCUGCCUGCAUGAAAUUACAUAUGCUAUGCAAAACUCUUUACUUCGUAUCGUCAUGAUCAUCCACAAUAUUAAAAUUGUAAAUAAACAAAAAAAGAGGUGCCGGCAAAUAGUUUUGGAUAGAGUAGUUUGGCACAAUAUAUAUGUUAUCCCUGAAAAUAUAACGUCUUCCUGGAUCACACUGUAGCUUCGUGAUAGUUUUGACGGCUAUGAUAACAAAAGCUGCCGACACAUGGCUCUGGAAAUAGUUAUGGCUGUAGGGGUAAAUAUAAUAGCUGACAGCUCUAAAAAAUAUUCCCGCAAAAGAAGGCAGCUCUAAAAAACAAGCCGACAAAAGAAUCAUGAAGCUACAGUGUGAAUUAUACUCUCUCCAUUCACAUUAUUAUGGGAAAACGAAUUGUGCGAGUACAGUCUGCCAAAAUGAGUGGUCGUCCAUGCACCUUGUUUAGGGGCAACUUUAUUUUAAUGUGUCUUUUUGUAGUAUAUAGUGUUGAUUAAUCGUCCGUGAUGAGAUCUGUGCCUUUGUGUGAUAUAACAAAUAGAAGAUAUAUGGCGCCAGACUAAUUUUUCCAUCCGUACGUGCAAAGAUGAGAUAUGAAUGCAUUGCUCUCAUGAAUGACCUGCAACGAUAGACAUAUGCAUUCAUACAUGCUUCUGCUGUGAUCCACGAGCCCGUCAAAAUUAAUUGCUAUGCAGUGGCUUAACUACUCAGAUGAACGUGGGCGUCUUAAUGAGUAUGGUGACUUCUCUCUUAUGUUGGUGGUUGUUCGUUUCAUAAACAUUUCGAUAUAUUGUUUAUUUGGAUGGUUCUGCUUCCUCCUUUAUUUUGGGGUUGUUUUUACAGUGAAAAUUCAAGUUUUUUCACUAACAUAUUCGCAUGGAGAAGUGUCACUCAUAUUUAUUUUCACUGACAUUUACCUCCUGACAUUUAUUUUCACUCACAUUUAACUCCCGGCCUUUUGGUUUUGGUUUAGUUUUCCCAUUCAAAUUUCAUAAAUCAUAGAAUUUUCUAUCGAAGUUUCAAGAUUUGUUUUUCUAAAAAAGGUACAUGUAUGCACUAUAUAUUAGAUCUAAUUUGUACCAGUAAUGUUACCAGCUACAUGAAUUUACUGCUGCAGAUAGUUUUUUUUUGUAUUGCAUAUGUAUAAAUCUUGUCCUUAAUUUUACUCAUUUCUCUUGCACAAAGUUAGCUUCAUAGUGCACAUGUAUGAUUUACCUAAUAUUAUUAUUUCAAUAUUCCAAAAUAUAAUUUUGUCUUAACAGAGUGAAAUAAUACACCAAUAAAAAAACAUUGUCUGUAUGCAUGAAAUUACAUAUGCUAUGCAAAACUCUUUAGUAUGUAUCGUCAUGAUCAUCCACAAUAUGAAAAAAUAGUAAAGAAACAAACAAGAGGAGCAGACACAUGGUUUUGGAUAGAGCAGUUUAGCACAAUAUAUUUUAUCCCUGUUUAUAUAACGUCUUCAUUGCUCACACUGUAGCUUCGUGAUAGUUUUAUUGGCUAUGAUAACAGAAGCUGCUGACACAUGGUUCUGGAAACAGAUAUAACAGCAGGUGUAAAUAUAAUAGCCGCAGCUCUAAAAAAUAAGCUGACAAAAGAAUCAUGAAGCUACAGUGAACUAUACUCCAUCCUCCCUUGUCUAGGGGCAACUUAAUUCGCUUUGCGAAGGAUAAUGCAUCCAUGGCAAACAGUUUCAGGGUUGUCAGAAUAAGAAAUCUUAUGCCUCCCGAUCAAGAUCUAGACAGAUUUUCAGGGCAUGGUGUGGCCGUCCAACUACCUGAUAAAAAAAAAGAUAAUGAAAAGGGCCCACAGCAUCAAACCAAUGACAGAUAUGUUCAGUUUCGAAUCUCUUAAUAUUUAGUUUGAAAGCUGCAGAUUUUCAGGUUGUGAGAGCCGAAACUCUUGGACCAAGCCAUAUGUUCAGUUUCGAAUCUGACCUAGUAGCGUCCUGGAACUAGUUAUCAUCGAUUGGCUGCCAAACUCCCCCAAGAAACUCCGCACACAUCUCUGCAAUCGAACCAGGGCAAAUUAAUUUAGCGAAGGGAACUCACAACGCAGUGUCUCUUGACACAUCAUCCUAUUUAGUGAAAACUAUUUAGAGACAAUGACCCCUAUUCAUUAUAUACUCAACACGUCUCUUAAUAUUUAAAGUAUCUUAUAAAUGUCGUAUCUAAAUGAUAUUCCAUUUAAUUAGUUUAUGGACCUUUUUUGCAUGUCAACAUUGUGGCCUACUCCAGUUGUGAAGACAAAAAUUGUGAGAUAAACCACAAAGGCUCAAAGCGUUAGUCACUAUACGCAGAAAAACAAGUUAAUUAAGAGCCAUAUCUACACUAAAUAGAACAUAGGGAAGCUCAUCGAUCCAUCACCGGCCACACUUCUUGAGUUAGGCGAAUGUUCUCUUUUGGAGACCAUUGAGGACAUGCGCAUUUCAUCGCUCCAUCUGCCUGUCACUACAAGGGAUAAGGCUACACUAGUAGAAAACAGGGUUUUGGUUCGGCCAGAAAAGAGCAUUAAUCCCGGUUGCAUUACGAACCGGGACUAAUGUGAGCAUUAGUCCAGGUUCGAGCGGCUAGGGCACCGUACAUGCAUUAGUCCCGGUUCAAAUGGGACCUUUAGUCCCGGUUGGUGCCACGAACCGGGACUAAAGGGUGCGAUGCCCAUUAGUACCGGUUCGUGGCAUCAACCAGUACUAAAGGUUAGAUCUUUAGUCCCGGUUCGAGCCACCAACCAGUACUAAUGGGGUUUGAGGCAUUAGUACCGGUUCAUGGCACGCCUUUUCAGUUUUGUAAAAAGCAAAAGAAAAUGAUAAAAACUUCAAAAAUUAAAAUCCUUCCAGAUGUAGUUAUGUUACUACAUGUCCUAGUUAGGAAAAUUUAAAAACUUCAAUUUGGACAUGUUUCGCAAAAAGUGUAGGGAAAAUGUAAAACGGCUAUAACUUUUGCAUACGAUGUCAGAAAAAACGUAUAAUAUAUCGAAAUGUUCAGCACGAAAAUCCGCAUCCGAUUUUGACAGCCUACGGCCUGUUUGUAAAUUUUUAGAAUCCUCAAAUUCUAAAAGGGAAAAAAGUUAUGCUAUUUCUGUUUUUUUAAUUUUUGUUAAAUCUGGUCAAACUAUGGUCAAACUACUUAUUCAAGAAGUAUUAGUGUUACUAAAUAAUUAUUCAAGAAUAUUAGUGUUACUAAAUAAUUAUUUCAGUUUUUUUGAAUUUUGGUCAAAUCUGGUCAAACUGUGGUCAAACAAUGGUCAAACUAAUUAUUCAAGAAAUAUUAGUGUUAGUAAAUAAUUAUUUCAGUUUUUUUGAAUUUUGGUCAAAUCUGGUCAAACUGUGGUCAAACUACUUAUUCAAGAAAUAUUAGUGUUACUAAAUAAUUAUUGUUUUUUAGAACAAUAGUUUCAAACUCAAACAGUGAAAUGUGUGACUUCAUGCUCAAGCUAAAUUCCUGAGGGUUAAUAGGAUUGACAUCUUACUAUUGUCAGGAAAACAACAAGUGCAGACUUGGAAACGAGGAAGAAUAUAACCCGGAAGUUAAGCGUGCUCAGGCUGGAGUAGUGAGAGGAUGGGUGACCGUUCGGGAAGUUAGAUGAUUUGGAAUGAUGAGGGGUGAUUAGAGAUUAGAGGUUAAAUUGAGCAGUGAUGAGGGGUGAUUAGAGAUUAGAGGUUAAAAUAAUUCAGAAAUUUGCAAAUCAAAAAAAAAAAUUUAAAAAAAAAAUCAUAAAAUUUCCUUCAGUACCGGUUGGUGUUACCAACCGGGACUAAAGGUGGACCUCACGUGGAGGGCCUUUAGUCCCGGUUCGUGUAAGAACCAGGACUAAAGGGGGAGGCUUUAGUAACGACCCUUUAGUCCCGGUUCCAGAACCGGGACUGAAGGCCCUUAUGAAGCGGGACUAAAAGCCCUUUUUCUACUAGUGCUAGUAGUGGCGCGGUUUAAAGGCAUAGGAGUAGCGCGGGUUGCCUCUCUACUUACAUUAGCAACUAUAUAAAAACUCAUCAUCAUCAUCAUCAUCAUCAUCAUCAUCAUCAUCAUGUAACAACUCAUCAGCGCGUAGCUAACUGGUUCCUAGUAAGACGGGCCAGGCUCGGCUCUAAUACUACUUACAUUAGUAGCAGCGCGGUGUUUGGCCCGUGCUACUAAUAACUAGCUAUAGCGCGAGGCCCCCCGCCACUACUAACUCUAUGUAUUUCCUUUCUACAUAUUAUACUAUAUUAUACAAUAAUUAUACAGAUUUUUAUACACUAGCAACUAUAUAACAACUCAUCAUCAUCAUCAUCAUCAUGUAACAAAUCAUCAUUAUCAAAAUGAUAUAACUCAUCAUCAUCGUAGUGAUAUAACAGCUCAUCAUGAUCAUAAUUAUAUAAAAAUGUCUCAUCAUCAUCGUCAUCAUCACCAUCAGCAUCAUCAUAAGUUAACCACUACUAGCUAAUUGUCAUCAUCCUAGGUAAGUAACUUUCAAGCACAUGACAAGUACUAUGACCUACUCUAGUGUCUUAGGUAAAAUAGAAUAAAACAGAAAAAAUAACUACAUCUCCAUGAUGGACCACAGAGAUCCCCGGUCUCCAAUUUGUUGCCCGCGCUCAUUGACUAUUUGCCUCCAUCAUUCAAUUUUGAGGCAUCCAUUUGAUUAACACUCAGUCAAGUAUGUAUAUUUGAAUCCGAUCUUCAAAGGGCAAAUAAUAGUCAUCUCACUUUUGACGUCCAUCAGCAGAGGCACAACAACAUUUGGGACCUUCCGCUGAAGUACAUAAUAGUAACAUAGUCGAAAUAUGCAGAUAUAGCAAGAAUGAUCCUAAUUUAUUUAGGCAUCACUACCAGUUUGCCCUCAAUGCCUCGAGCGCCAUCUGGCAGAUCAACCAAGUUCCAAACUUGAUUGUCAUCCAUGGACUUUAAUUCGGAUCUCAUGGUCUUAAGCCAUAACUCAGAAUCAGGGCUCUCCGUCGCUUCUGCAUACAUUGCCGACUCGUUGUUCUCCAAGAACAACACAUUGCAGUUAUGCAUAUUGCGCAACCUUUCCGACCUCUGUGGAAUCAGCGUCGACUCCACUAUGGGUUCCUUGACUAACUCCAUGUGGUUCUCGAAUUUCCUCUAGUCGGAUCAUCCUCCCACUAGCCUUCCGAUUGAGAAACUCUUUCUCAAGGAAAACUCCAUGUCGAGCGACAAACACUUUGCCCUCUUCACAGAUGUAGGAGUAAUAUCCCAAGGUUUCCCUUGGAUACCCCAUGAAUAUGCACUUGUCCGAUUUGGGUGUGCGCUUGUCUGACUGGAGUCGCUUGACGUAUGAUUCACAACCCCAAAUUUUUAGAGAAGACAAAGUUUGGCUCUUCGCAGUCCAUAUCUCAUAUGACGUCUUAUCUACAAACUUGGAUGGUACCCUAUUUAGUGUGAAAGCUGCAGUUUCUAGAGCGUAUCGCCAAAAUAACAAGGGUAAAUCCGACUGACUCGUCAUUGAUUGGGCCAUGUCUAACAGAGUCUGAUUCCUUCGUUCCAACACGCCAUUUCUCUGUGGCAUACCCCGAGGAGUCAGUUGUGGAACUAUCCUACGACUCUUCAGAUAAUCAUCAAACUCCUGGCUCAUAUACUCAUUCGCCACGAUCAGAUCGCAGAAGUUUGAUUCUCUUGUCGAGUUGAUUCUCCACUUCAUUCUGAAACUCCUUGAACUUUUCAAAAGUUUCUAACUUGUGCCUCAUCAAGUAGACAUAUCCAAAUCUACUCAAGUUAUCUGUAAACGUCAUGAAGUAUUGGAAACCACCUCUAGCUGGACUUGUUUUACCAUUGUUGAAAUGUCUUGUGCAUCGGGAUUCCGAGUCUGAUCGGAGGGUCUCGAGAUGGAGGAUUGUCUCUGCGGAUCGUGAGCUUGUCAUGGGCAAAGUUGGGACACCCCUGCAGGGUUUAAACUUUCGAGAGCCAUGCCCGCGGUUAUGUGGCAGAUGGGAAUUUGUUAAUAUCUGGUUGUAGAGGACUUGAACUAAACUCAAUUAAAAUACACCAACCGCGGGUGUAACCGUGACUGUCUCUUUCCAGGUGCGUUCGAGAAGAGAAUACGGUUGGGUUAUGUUUGAACGUAAGUGGUUUAGGAUCACUUCUUGAUCACUAUUAGUUUGCGACCGUUGUGUAGAUUCUCUUCUUACUUUUGUACUCGUAAGUUAGCCACCAUACAAAUGCUUAGUGCUUGCUGCAGCUUCACCACUAUCCAUUCCAUACCCAUUAAGCUUUGCUAGUCUUCAUACCCAUGGUAAUGGGAUUGCUGAGUCCUCGUGGCUCACAGAUGACUACAACAAUAGUUGUAGGUACAGGUAAUGCAAUGAUCUGACGUGAGAGCGAUGCUUGAUUGCUUUUGGAGUUCUUCUUCUUCUUCGAUCAAGGGAUUAGGUUCCGGGUCGGGGAGCCUGGGAUUAGUGGGGUGGAUAUUAUUCUUCUUUUUUGUUUGAUUUCAUCCGUAGUCGGAUCCUGCCCUUCUGUGUGCGCUCGAAAUGCGGUUGGAACAGACGAUCGCUAGACAGCGCGCCCGCAUUGCCACCCUCAAAGACGGUGAUGCCAGCUCUGCCUUCUUUCACCGGCAGUGCUCGUUUCAAUGACAGAAAAACCGCAUCUUCUGCCUCUCUGCGAACGGCACGCUACUCACAGACCAUGACGAGAUGGCCGAGGCUGCAUUCCGGCACUAUGACACACUGCUUGGCACGGCGGUCGAACACGACCACUCGAUGGACCUGUCGCAGCUCAUCGAGGGGAGCGAUCUCUCCGACCUUGACGCGACCUUUUGCCCGGAGGAGAGAUGGGAAGCUGUGAAACGCCUCCCCGCGCACAAGGCAGCUGAGCCUGAUGGCUUUAGCGCUGAAUUUCUCCGCGUGUGCCGGAGCAUCAUCAAGCAGGACUUCAUGGAUGUGUUCCAGUAGCUCUUCGAGCUGCGUGGCCGUGGCUUCUGCAAGGUCAACCAGGCCCUUCUCACGCUGCUGCCGAAGCCCAGGAGGUGCGCAACUACCGCCCGAUAUGCCUCAUUCAUAUCGUGGCCAAGGUACUCGCGAAGGCCCUCUCGCUCCGGCUAGCUCCAAAACUUGACCGCUUUGUCAGCCGCAAUCAAAACGCGUUCAUCCUCGGACGGAGCCUACACGACAACUUUAUGCUCGUCAGGCAAUCGGUCAAGCUGCUGAGCCAACUUGGGGGCCCCAGGGUGAUGCUCAAGCUCGACCUCACGCGCGCUUUUGACUCCAUCUCCUGGCCGUUCCUCUUUGAGGUUCUGCGCCAAUUUGGGUUCGGGAAUCGCUUCCUCGAAUGGAUCGCCAUCCUCCUGUCCUCGGCAAGCACUCGGGUGUAGUUGAUUGGUGUCCCAGGCCCACUGAUAUGGCAUAAGGGAGGGCUGCGGCAGGGGGGACUCCUUGUCCCCGCAGCUGUUCGUGCUCGCGGUCGACACUCUCGGCCGGCUGAUUCGGCGCGCCCAUGAUACGGGCAUCCUCCAGCCGCUGCAUCUGCGGAGGCCGAUACCGGCUAUAUCCCUAUACGCCGACGACGUCAUGCUCUUUUGCCAUGCCACGGAGAGUGACGUGACUGUCGUCAAGGAAAUCCUUGACCUGUUUGGUAGAGCGUCCAGCCUCAAGGUGAACUACACCAAGAGCUCGGCCACGGUCUUGCAUCGGGAAUAGGUUGCCUCCGAGAUGAUCACCAGCUUGGGGUGUUCGACUGCCGCGCUCCCGGUCACCUACCUCGGUAUACCUCUGACGAUGCGCCGCCCUUCCGCCGGGCAGUUGCAGCCCCUUGUCGACAAGGUCACCGGACGCUUGCCCACCUGGAAAGCAUGGCUCAUGAACAGAGCCGGCAGGCUCGCCCUCGUCAAGUUCUUCCUUUGCACUAUCCCGGUGCACCAGCGGGUUGCAUUUGCCCCCUCGAAGAAAAGACUGCAGCAACUCGAGAAAAUUCAACGAGGGUUCCUCUGGGCCGGGCGAGCCAUCACCAACGGCGGGCACUGCCAUGUGAACUGGCAUCAUGCUUCCCGCCCGCUCGCGCUUGGCAGCCUUGGGGUUCGUGAUGUCGAGCGCGUUGGACUCGCGCUCAGGCUGCGGUGGCUCUGGCUCUCGCGAACGGACGAAGGGCGCGCCUGGCAGGGGCUGGACCUCCAAUUUUCUAGCAACGAGCGUACACUGUUCUUUGCCUCCACCUACAUGACCAUUGGAAAUGGCAUGAACGCCCUGUUCUGGGAGGAUCGAUGGCUCAACGGGCACUCGGUUGGCGAGCUCAUGCCCCUGUUCUACAGCUGCAUCCCCAAACGCCGGCGCAAAGCUAGAACGGUGGCCGAAGGUCUCAACUGCAACGCAUUGGCCCAUGACAUCCAGGGCGUCCUCGUCAUCCACGAGAUAGGCCAGUAUCUACAGCUUUGGCAACUCACGGAACAGGCUAUGCUCAGCGAUGCUCCUGACCAGCUGAUCUGUAAGCAGACUGCGAGCGGCAUCUAUUCGGCGCAGUCUUGCUACGCGGCUACCUUCCAAGGAUCAGUGCACUCCUACUCUUGGAAGUUGAUCUGGAAGGCUUGGGCUCCCCCUCGACUCAAGUUUUUCCAUUGGCUUGCCAACCUGGAUCGCUGCUGGACUGCCGAUCGACUGGCCUGCCAAAGACUGCAGCAUCAUCUGUGCUGCCUUCUUUGCGAUCAGGCGCCGGAAAUGAUCCGGCACCUCAUGCUUGACUGCCCCUUCUCUAGGCAGGCAUGGCAUGAGACCCUGGCCUGGCUACGCAUACCGGCGUCGAUCCCCAACCAGGAGCCCACCCUCAUGGACUGGUGGCGGCACGCCGCAAGCACAACGCAAGGCCCUGCAAUCCGUAGUGCUACUCGUACCAUGGCUCGUCUGGAAGCAUAUGAACAGCCACGUCUUCGACAGCGCGACGCCCUCCCUAGGCACGCUAGUCGACCGGAUCAAGGAGGAAGCCGACUCCUGGGCUAAGGCCGGAGCAGUAGGCCUUAGAGUAGUCCUACCCCCUUUAUGGGACGUGCACUGAGCAUUGUAUCUGAUCCUUCAUUAUUCAUCCUAGGACGACUGUAACUGACUCCCUACCUUUUCAAUGAAAAGAAACGGAAAGGUCUUUUGCAUUUUCUCGAGAAAAAAAAGAAUGACCUUGAGGCAAGCUCAAUGAAAAUACGUUUUCCAAAGGUUUCAAGACUAUCUUCCUUGUGCUCUGGGAUAAAGCCAUUUGCAAUUCAUAGUCAGAUCAGCUUGUCCACAUCAAUCUUGUAAUCCUUUGGAAAUAUAGCACAAAAGGAAAAGCAUUGCUUCAUGUGUGAUGGCAAGUCAUUGUAGCUAAGCUUUAAUAUUGGCAGAAUCCAGUUUCCAAAGUGCAAAUGCUGCUACUAGAUGAUAUAGCCUUCCACUCUUCGACGCUAGUCUUGGUACGAAGUACAUAGCCCAAUGCAGUUGCAGCUAAAGGAGAGCCAGAACAUCAGCUUACAAUCUCAUCAACCAUCUUGCUUAGCUCGACAGGCUUUUCUUUCUCCGAACUGAAUGCUCUAGCCUCAGUAAUUUCCUUUACGAAGAAAUCCUCCACAAUAUUGAGAUUGUAGGCUCUACCUGCACCCAUAAUUUCAGUGACUUGUUUAUCACGAGUUCUUGUUAACAUUGCACUACCCAUGCCACCAUGUUGAGGACAGACCUUCAGCCUUCCCAACUUAUAGACCUCUCUGUUCCAGACAUCAUCCAAUACAUGGAGAUACCUGUGCCCGCUGUCCAGUUUUUGAAAUCUAUCCAAAGGUAUCAUAGACCUCUCUGGGGGAUGCCCGCUGUACCCAGAGCUGCAACUGAAAAUGAUUCUGAAUUUCAGGUUCAUUGUAUAUGAGUUACGCUAAUGUGGUCUUGCCAAGGCCCCCCAUUCCAACAAUGGGAACUACUGCGAGAUCAGUAUUGCUAGCUUGACCAAGUAGUAUGUCAACGAUAUUAUUCUUAUCUCCGUGUUUGGAUCUGUUGGCAAUUUCUUGUUGGUCGCUGAUGACAUAAUCUGUGUGCCUCCACUCCUUGGACACUCGUGUUUGCCUCAACUGAUUAGACACCAACAACGUCUGCCUCAACAUAAGCGCGACGCGUUGUUGGGCUAGGCCCAGAACGGUGCGCGGGCAGGUGGGGCGUAUUUUUACCGUAGUAACUGUUUCGUCCGCUGCGCUUCCCCACGACCUGCGUUGAACACGCACGUGGAGGGUCGUGCGUGACGUGGGGGUCAUGCGUGGGGCGGUCUCCACACGCAUGCGUCACAUCGCAUUUAAUGGGAAAAGAGGCGGCCCACGCCUUCCCCGUAAAAAGGAAUAACAGCGGGCGCGCUGUUCAUUUACCCCCUGCGUCUUCUUCAAUCUCGGAAUCGCCGUCCCCUUCUUCUUCCUUCUCAAACUCUCGCCUUUGCUCGUUGCCGCCGCAUCUUCGCUGUCCUCCGUCCUUUGCCUCUCGCAGCCGCCAUGGCCCCCAAAACAAGUAAAGGAAAGGGAGUGGCCAAGGAUGCCGGGGCGAAGGAGCCGCCGGAGAGCGAGUUGGUGGCGCGGCGGACGCAUCUCGCCUACUUCCCCUCGACGGUCGACGCGGUCGAACUCCGGGACUACUUCAGGNNNNNNNNNNNNNNNNNNNNNNNNNNNNNNNNNNNNNNNNNNNNNNNNNNNNNNNNNNNNNNNNNNNNNNNNNNNNNNNNNNNNNNNNNNNNNNNNNNNNNNNNNNNNNNNNNNNNNNNNNNNNNNNNNNNNNNNNNNNNNNNNNNNNNNNNNNNNNNNNNNNNNNNNNNNNNNNNNNNNNNNNNNNNNNNNNNNNNNNNNNNNNNNNNNNNNNNNNNNNNNNNNNNNNNNNNNNNNNNNNNNNNNNNNNNNNNNNNNNNNNNNNNNNNNNNNNNNNNNNNNNNNNNNNNNNNNGCGUGUCAUCCCCGCCAAUUGCGCCGAGGCCGCCCCGAAUCGGUAUCCGUUCUUCGUCGAUUACUUUUCUUGCGGUCUCUGCCCCCCUUUCUCCGAUUUCUUCAAUGAUGUCAUGCACACAUUUGGCUUCCACCUUCUGGAUUUCACUCCCAAUGCCGUGGCGUGCAUGGCUCUUUUCGCCCAUCUCUGUGAGGGCUUCGCCGGAGUUCUUCCCAACACAUUGCCCUUCCGCUAUUAGUUUUACCCUCGCAUCCAAAAGGGAGGCGCCAUCUCUGGUUGCGUCGCCUGGAUACCAAGGUCCAAAGGGACGUACCCGGAGGGCGCCCAGAAGGAGAGGUUGGAAGAGUGGCGGGGCCGGUGGUGCUGGAUUGGGGAGGACGACCCGCCGGAAUUUUUCCGGGUUCGUCAGGCGCCGCCGGUUCGCAGGAACGACUGGGGCGAUGUCAACGCCCUGGAUGACAAGCUCAAGGUCGCCACCACCAGGAUUCACCGCCUCACCGUUGCCGGGCUCACCCUGGAGAUGAUUGGGGCGGACUUGAUCCGCCGCCGAAUCGCUCCACUGCACAACAAGGGGAGACCGGCCUGGCUCUUCCAAAACGCGGCUGACAUCAUGAGGCUUCACUCUGGCCUCAACAACAACUUCACGGUGAUGGGGCACGCCCACUUCUGCUAGCGGAUCUUUCAGCUCGACGUGAACCGCGACGGCAGGGCCAAGAGGUCCGGCAAGGCUGCAAAGGCCGGCAAGGUCCUCAAGGGGCCCUUGUUUGGGUUGCCAGCGGGGGUGGUCCCGCUGAGCAACAACUCGCGCCAGACCGACAUCAUCGCCAUGAUGUCGGACUACAAUGCACACGGUCCCGUCCCAAAUUGGUUCGAGCCGCUAGCGGAUCAGGUGCAGGAGUUCUUUGAUACUUUGGCGGAGAAGUAUGUCUGCGACGAGCCGCUGCUCAUCUAGGACACCACCCAAGCAGAGCUGGACUACAUCGCCGCCAGGGCGGCGGAGGCGGAGCUCGCUAGGGAGGCCGGCAGCGCUGGCGGCAUGGAGGACGAGGUCGCAGCAGCCGCAGAGGAGAGGGAGCUCGCCCAGUGGGAGGAAUCCGAUGGGGAGGCCAGCAGCGCCAGCACCGGGGCCCCUCUUAUUGAAGAUGUGGUCGACGAUUCGGAGGAGGAGGAGGUCGAGGCUGUCGAUCCUCCGGUCAUGGGGAGAGGGCGAGUCCUGCGGCGGGCCAGCUCCGGCAAGCCGGUCCAGCCCGGCAGGGCUGUGCAACCGCAGCAGACCUAGGAGGGGUAUGUGCGCCAGACAAGGGCCGCGGUGGCGAGGAAGUUGGUGAAGGCCGUGGUGGCGAAGAAGAAAGCAACAACCUCUUCUUCGUUCAAGCGUGGCCAGACUCCACCUUCUUCCCCUCCUCGGGCAGACGUUGACACGGAGGUCGUCUUCGACUUUGGGUCCCUCAGCCCAAGGAGGAAGAGGAAGGCAUCAGAAGAGGAGGUGGAGGAUGAGUAAGUUUCUUGUUACUUUUUGUCAUCUCCGUCUCCUCAGACUGUGCUGCUUAUCUCGAUUUGUUUUCAUCUUUGCAGGGAUGCGGAGACGCUGGCCCAGAGGGUGAAGAGGGCCAGGUCCUCGGCUGGCGGCCGGCCUCCGGCGGGCACUUCGAGGAUGCCACUAGUGGUGGUGAGCAGCCCGGACAGCAGUCCCCGAAGCAGCCCCCGGCGUAAGUUCCCCACUCGUCCCUCGUCAACGUGUGUUGGGGGUACGAUCCCUUGGCGCUAACCUUGCCGUGAUUGCAGGAGGAGGACAACAGGAGGAGGAGCCACGGAGGGUUACCCCCAACACGCUGCCCCCAUCGACCACGCCGCCCCGAGGGGUGGUGUCUACUACGCAACCUUCUUCUUGUAGACGUUGUUGGGCCUCCAAGUGCAGAGGUUUGUAGGACAGUAGAAAAUUUCCCUCAAGUGGAUGACCUAAGGUUUAUCAAUCCGUGGGAGGCGUAGGAUGAAGAUGGUCUCUCUCAAGCAACCCUGCAACCAAAUAACAAAGAGUCUCUUGUGUCCCCAACACACCCAAUACAAUGGUAAAUUGUAUAGGUGCACUAGUUCGACGAAGAGAUGGUGAUACAAGUGUAAUAUGGAUGGUAGAUAUAGGUUUUUGUAAUAUGAAAAUAUAAAAACAGCAAGCUAACUAAUGAUAAAAGUGAGCACAAACGGUAUUGCAAUGCGUUGAAACAAGGCCUAGGGUUCAUACAUUCACUAGUGCAAGUUCUCUCAACAAUAAUAACAUAAUUGGAUCAUAUAACUAUCCCUCAACGUGCAACAAAGAGUCACUCCAAAGUCACUAAUAGAGGAGAACAAACGAAGAGAUUAUGGUAGGGUACGAAACCACCUCAAAGUUAUUCUUUCGGAUCGAUCUUAUUCAAGAGUUCGUACUAGAAUAACACCUUAAGACAAAAUCAACCAAAACCCUAAUGUCACCUAGAUACUCCAAUGUGACCUCAAGUAUCCGUGGGUAUGAUUAUACGAUAUGCAUCACACAAUCUCAGAUUAAUCUAUUCAAACCAACACAAAGUACUUCAAAGAGUGUCCCAAAGUUUCUACCAGAGAGUCAAGACGAAAACGUGUGCCAACCCCUAUGCAUAGGUUCAUGGGCGGAACCCGCAAGUUGAUCACCAAAACAUACAUCAAGUGGAUCACGUGAUAUCCCAUUGUCACCAGAGAUACGCACAUGCAAGACAUACGUCAAGUGUUCUCAAAUCCUCAAAGACUCAAUCCGAUAAGAUAACUUCAAAGGGAAAACUCAAUCCAUUACAAGAGUGUAGAGGGGGAGAAACACCAUAAGAUCCAACUAUAAUAGCAAAGCUCGCGAUACAUCAAGAUCGUACCACCUCAAGAACACAAGAGAGAGAGAGAGAGAGAGAUCAAACACAUAGCUACUGGUACAUACCCUCAGCCCCGAGGGUGAACUACUCCCUCCUCGUCAUGGAGAGCGCGGGGAUGAUGAAGAUGGCCACCGGUGAGGGUUUCCCCCUCCGGCAGGGUGCCGGAACAGGGUCCCGAUUGGUUUUUGGUGGCUACAGAGGCUUGCGGCGGCGGAACUCCCGAUCUAUUCUGUUCACCUAUGUUUUUAGGGUAUAUGGAUAUAUAUAGGCGAAAGAAGUCGGUAAGGGGAGCCACGAGGGGCCCACGAGGGUGGAGGGCACGCCCAGGGGGUGGGCGCGCCCCCUACCUCGUGCCUUCCUUGUUGCUUCCCUUACGUACACUCCAAGUCUUCUGGAUUGCUUCGGUUCCAAAAAUAACUCUCCCGAAGGUUUCAUUCCGUUUGGACUCCGUUUGAUAUUCCUUUUCUGCGAAACACUGAAACAAGGAGAAAAACUGAAACUAGCACUGGGCUCUGGGUUAAUAAGUUAGUCCCAAAAAUAAUAUAAAAGUGCAUAGUAAAUCCCAUUAAACAUCCAAGAUGGAUAAUAUAAUAGCAUGAAUACUUCAUAAAUUAUAGAUACGUUGGAGACGUAUCAGCAUCCCCAAGCUUAAUUCCUGCUCGUCCUCGAGUAGGUAAAUGAUAUAAGAAAUAAUUAUGAAGUGUGAAUGCUAGCAGGUGCACAAGUUUGAUCAAUGAUAAUUUCAAUCACCUUUUCAAGCAUCAUUAUAUGUCAUAACAGUAGCUCAACUCAUAAAACUUUUCAUGAUCAAGUAACAAGCUAUUCACAUAUUAAAGCAUAGACCAUAAACUUUCUUGAAAACUAACAAACUAUGUUCUCAGUCAUCAAACAAUUGCAAUUCAUCUUAUUUUCAGGAAGGGUCUAUGUAAGAGCUUUGAUUUAGCAAAUCCCACAUACUCAACUAUCAUAUAGUCUUCCAUGAUUGCUACCACUCAAAGCAUAUUUUCGGAACAAAUAGCAUCCAUCGAACACAGAGAAAGAUAGGGGCUUAAUGUUUCGCCUCCCAACUUAUUUAUCAUAUAGAUAAUUGUCAACAAUAAUAAUUCAUGAUCAAAUAUAUUUGAAUGGCCAUAUAUGCUUAGAUCUUUCCAUCACAUGAUGCUUGCCAACUAAAAAGUAGGUUGGAAUGAGAAGGAAUACUACUGACUCUUGCAUAAAAGUAAAAGAUAGGCCCUUCACAGAGGGAAGCAGGGAUUUGCAGAGGUGCCAGAGCUCGAAGCUAAAACAGAGAUGAAAAUAAUUUUGAGAGGUAUGCUUUCAUUGUCAACAUAACGACCAAGAGUUCCCAAUAUCUUCCAUACUACAUACAUUAUAGGCGGUUCCCACGCGGAAAGGUAAAGUUUUUACUCCCCCUCCACCAACAUUCACACUCCACGGCUUGUCCGAAACAAUGGGUGCCGUCCAACUAUCAACAUUCUUGGGGGAGUUUGUUGAAAUUAUUUGUGAAUUUGUUUUUGAUCUUUUGAUCAUAGGACUGGGCAUCCCAGUUACCAGCCAUUUUCUCGUGAAUGAUGAGCGGUGUCCACUCAUCGUGAGAAUAACCCACCCAGCAUGGAAGAUACUGACAGCCCCUAGUCGCUACAUGAGCGAUUCGGGCAUACAAAACAGAUUAUUAUUUGAAGGUUUAGAGUUUGGCACAUGCAAAUUUACUUGGAACGGCAGGUAAAUACCGCAUAUAGGUAGAUAUGGUGGACACUCAUGGAAGAAACUUGGUUCGAGGAAUUUGGAUGCACAAGCAGUAUUCCUGCUUAGUACAGACAUUUUGGCUAGCAAAUGAUUCUAAAUAGCAAGCACCACAAGUUAGAGGAUCCAUAACAAUAUAACUUCUAUACAAAUAUACCCAAGCAUAACUCAUUAUGUUGUCUUCCUUGUCCAACUUCAACUAAUUUGCUCAGGUUUGCUAAUAAUUAAUGGGGCUCACGAUCAUAGAAGAUGUCCAAGAUAGUAUUAUAUGUGAAAUCUCUCUUCCUUCAAUAUUCUUUCAUGAAUUGUUCAAGUGACAAAUACAAAGUUUGCUAACCUUCAAAAAAUUUACCACCUCUACUUCUUAUAUGUGAAGUCAUUACUCCCCAUGGGAUAAGUAUAUGAAACAUAUAUAAUUUCAGAUUUAUAAUAUUCAAAUCAUUCAACUAUUUACUCAUAGGAUAUAAGUGAAGCACACGAGUAAAUGACAAACUACUCCAAAAAGAUAUAAGUGAAGAUCAAUGAGUAGUUAAAUAAUUAUGUAGUUAUCUGAAGACUCUAUCUCAUUUAAGAAUUUCAGAUCUUGGUAUUUUAUUCAUACAGCAAGCAAAACAAAAGAAAAUAAAAUGACGCUCCAAGUAAAACACAUAUCAUGUGGUGAAUAAAAAUAUAGCUCCAAGUAAAGUUACCGAUGAACGAAGACGAAAGAGGGGAUGCCAUCCGGGGCAUCCCCAAGCUUAGGCUCUUGGUUGUCCUUGAAUAUUACCUUGGGGUGCCUUGGGCUUCCCCAAGCUUAGGCUCUUGCCACUCCUUAUUCCAUAGUCCAUCGAAUCUUUACCCAAAACUUGAAAACUUCACAACACAAAACUUAACAGAAGAUCUCGUGAGCUCCGUUAGCGAAAGAAAACAAAACACCACUUCAAGGUACUGUAAUGAACUCAUUAUUUAUUUGUAUUGGUGUUAAAUCUAAUGUAUUCCAACUUCUCUAUGGUUUACAAACUAUUUUACAAGCCAUAGAUUCAUCAAAAUAAGCAAACAACACACGAAAAACAGAAUCUGUCAAAAACAGAACAGUCUGUAGUAAUCUGUAACUAACGCAAACUUCUUGAACUCAACAAAUUCUACCAAAAUAGGACGACCUAGAUAAUUUUAUUAUUGAUCUGAUGCAAUUGGAAUCAGUAUUUUAUCACGUUCUGGUGAUUUUAAACAAUUGUUUUCGUGAACAGAAAGUUUCUGGAAUUUUCAGCAAGAUCAAAUAACUAUCAUCCAAGAAGAUCCUAUAGGUCUUACUUGGCGCAAACACUAAUUAAAACAUAAAACCACAUCUAAACAGAGGCUAGAUAGAUUAUUUAUUGCUAAACAGAACCAUAAAGAAAGAACAAAAAUAAAAAUCGGGUUGCCUCCCAACAAGCGCUAACGUUUAACGCCCCUAGCUAGGCAUGAUGAUUUCAAUGAUGCUCGCAUAAAAGAUAAGAAUUGAAAUAUAAAGAGAGCAUCAUGAAAAAUAUGACUAGCACAUUUAAGUCUAACCCACUUCCUAUGCAUAGGGAUUUUGUGAGAAAACAACUUAUGGGAACAAUAAUCAACUAGCAUAGGAAGGCAAAACAAGCAUAACUUCAAAACUUUAAGCACAUAGAGAGGAAACAUGAUAUUAUUGCAAUUCAUACAAGCAUACAUUCCUCCCUCAUAAUAAUUUUCAGUAGCAUCAUGAAUGAAUUCAACAAUAUAACCAGCACCUAAAGCAUUCUUUUCAUGAUCUACUUGCAUAGAAAUUUUCCUACUCUCCACGUAAGCAAAUUUAUUCUCAUCAAUAGUAGUGGGAGCAAACUCAACAAAAUAACUAUCAUGUGAUUGAAAAUUAAGAUCAAGAUGACAAGUUUCAUGGUUAUCAUUAUUCUUUAUAGCAUACGUGUCAUCACAAUAAUCAUCAUAGGUAGGAGGCAUGCUUUCAUCAUAAUAAAUUUGCUCAUCAAAACUUGGGGGACAAAAAAUAUCAUCUUCAUCAAACAUAGCUUCCCCAAGCUUGUAAUCAUGCUCAUCAUUCAAAUAUUUAGUGCCAAACAUUCUAAUGCAUUCUUCCUCUAGCAAUUGAGCGCAAUUAUCGGAAUCCUUAUUUUCACGGAAGACAUUAAAAAGAUGAAGCAUAUGAGGCACACUCAAUUCCAUUUUUUGUAGUUUUCUUUUAUAAAAUAAACUAGUGAUAAAACAAGAAACUAAAAGAUUCCAUUGCAAGAUCUAAAUAUAUACCUUCAAGCACUCACCUCCCCGACAACGGCGCUAGAAAAGAGCUUAGUUGACGGGGUGUGAGUGCCGCUUACCUAGCCUCCCCGGCAACGGCGCCAGAAAAGAGCUUGAUGUCUACUACGCAACCUUCUUCUUGUAGACGUUGUUGGGCCUCCAAGUGCAGAGGUUUGUAGGACAGUAGCAAAUUUCCCUCAAGUGAAUGACCUAAGGUUUAUCAAUCCGUGGGAGGCGUAGGAUGAAGAUGGUCUCUCUCAAGCAACCCUGCAACCAAAUAACAAAGAGUCUCUUGUGUCCCCAAAACACCCAAUACAAUGGUAAAUUGUAUAUGUGCACUAGUUCGGCGAAGAGAUGGUGAUACAAGUGUAAUAUGGAUGGUAGAUAUAGGUUUUUGUAAUCUGAAAAUAUAAAAACAGCAAGGUAACUAAUGAUAAAAGUGAGCACGAACGGUAUUGCAAUGCGUUGAAACAAGGCCUAGGGUUCAUACUUUCACUGGUGCAAGUUCUCUUAACAAUAAUAACAUAAUUGGAUCAUAUAACUAUCCCUCAACAUGCAACAAAGAGUCACUCCAAAGUCACUAAUAGAGGAGAACAAACGAAGAGAUUACGGUAGGGUACGAAACCACCUCAAAGUUAUUCUUUCGGAUGAUCUUAUUCAAGAGUUCGUACUAGAAUAACACCUUAAGACACAAAUCAACCAAAACCCUAAUGUCACCUAGAUACUCCAAUGUCACCUCAAGUAUCCGUGGGUAUGAUUAUACGAUAUGCAUCACACAAUCUCAGAUUGAUCUAUUCAAACCAACACAGAGUACUUCAAAGAGUGUCCCAAAGUUUCUACCGGAGAGUCAAGAUGAAAACGUGUGCCAACCCCUAUGCAUAGGUUCAUGGGCGGAACCCGCAAGUUGAUCACCAAAACAUACAUCAAGUGGAUCACGUGAUAUCCCAUUGUCACCACAGAUAUGCACAUGCAAGACAUACAUCAAGUGUUCUCAAAUCCUUAAAGACUCAAUCCGAUAAGAUAACUUCAAAGGGAAAACUCAAUCCAUUACAGGAGUGUAGAGGGGGAGAAACAUCAUAAGAUCCAACUAUAAUAGGAAAGCUCGCGAUACAUCAAGGUUGUACCACCUCAAGAACACGAGAGAGAGAUCAAACACAUAGCUACUGGUGCAUACCCUCAGCCCCGAGGGUGAACUACUCCCUCCUCGUCAUGGAGAGCGCGGGAAUGAUGAAGAUGGCCACCGGUGAGGGUUCCCCCCUCCUGCAGGGUGCAGGAACAGGUUCUCGAUUUGUUUUUGGUGGCUACAGAGGCUUGCGGCGGCGGAACUCCUGAUCUAUUCUGUUCCCCGAUGUUUUUAGGGUAUAUGGAUAUAUAUAGGCGAAAGAAGUCGGUAAGGGGAGCCACAAGGGGCCCACGAGGGUGGAGGGCGCGCCUAGGGGGGUGGGCGCGCCCCCUGUCUCGUGCCUUCCUCGUUGCUUCCCUUACGUACACUCCAAGCCUUCUGGAUUGCUUCCGUUCCAAAAAUAACUGUCCCGAAGGUUUCAUUCCCUUUGGACUCCGUUUGAUAUUCCUUUUCUGCGAAACACUGAAACAAGGAGAAAAAACUGAAACUAGCACUGGGCUCUGGGUUAAUAAGUUAGUCCCAAAAAUAAUAUAAAAGUGCGUAGUAAAGCCCAUUAAACAUCCAAGAUGGAUAAUAUAAUAGCAUGAAUACUUCAUAAAUUAUAGAUACGUUGGAGACGUAUCAAGGGGCGUCCCCGGCAAGGGCGCCAAGCACCGAGCCCAUGCACACAGAGGAGGAGGAGGCAGACUUGGGCGCUAGUGGCUCCGCCUCGGUGCCAGAUGUUGGCAGGGAAGGGGCUACUUCUUCCCAGCCCGGCACGGGUACGUCACUUGCCUCCUGUCCCUGCUUUUUCUUCUUCUUUUUGAAUCUUGGUCUUGGCUCCGCCUCAUCCCCUUCUCGAUAUCCAGACCCUCCCUCGGCGGACCGGGAGGACAUAGACACCGUCAUCGAGGAUGUCGCCAAGGACACCGCGGCGGAGGCCGAGAAGAUUGCCGCCGAGGAGGCCGCCAAGGGCGCUGCCGAGGACGCCGCAAAGCGAUCUGCCGGGGAGUCCGGCAUGUCUACUGCCAAAGUGGCCGGCAAGGGGCCUGCCGGGGAGGCCGGCAAGGCCGCUGCCGGGGAGGAGGUGGUUAACGACCAACCUUCCUCCUCUGCUGCCUCUGGUUCCGGCAGGUAUCUGAAGGUGAGCGACGACCUAUUCGUCAACCUCCUAGGGACGGCGAGCACUAGGGCGCCCACCGAGGGAGAGGUGUUCGACGAGGAGGUGCUUGCCGCCGCUGGGCUCGAGGUUGUUGACGAGUCGAGCGCCGGUGGCGACGGUUCCCAGGAAGAGCGGCUCCUUCAGGCCAUGGGCGCCAGCUUUCGGAAGCUCCAGGCGCUCCACCGCGCCCGCCUGGACAAGGCCAAGUCCAGGAUGGCAGCGGUGGAAAAGGCGGAGGCGGACCUCGAGGGUCGCAUCGUCGAGACGCAGGCUUGGUUCCGCCAGGGCUGCGAGGAGCUGAAGACCGCCCAGGACGAGCUGGCCAAGCGCAAGGUGGAGCUCGUCAUGAAGCAGGCCGACAUCGAGAGGGGCCAGGAGUUGGCGAAGAACCAGGCCGCCAAGGACGAGGUCGCUCGGUCCCAGCACCAGGCCGCGCUGAACUCCCAGGAAGAGGACCUUGCCGCUCGCGAGGAGAAGCUCGCCGUGACACUCCGCGGCAAGGACGAGGAGGUCAAGAAGCUUGUCCUGCAGCGGACCCAGGAGUUGGAGCAGAAGCACGAGGAGGCGCUCAAUGCCCAGGCUUAGGUCCACGCCGGCAAGGUGAAGGAGCUGGAGGUGGAGCGGGACGAGCUGAAGAAGCAGGCCCUGGAGUUGACGGCGGAGAGGGACGCUGCCAAAGGUGCCCUGGCCGACGCGCAGGCCGCAGUCCUCAGCAAGGCCGGGCUACUCUCCACGGCCAACGAGACCAUCAAGGACCUGAAGCUGAAGCUGGAGGGCCUUGAGGGGACGCUCUCGGAGGCCAAGGCCCGGGAGGAGACCCUGGCCAAAGAUUUGGAGGCCGAGAAGCAGCUGCGGAAGAACGAAACCGCCAACCACAAGGAUUUUGUGGAGGGCGAGAACCGCUGGAUCAGCCGCCUCAAAGGCGUCGCCGGCAGGAUCACCACGCAGCUGGCUACGAUGGGGAUGCCAAAUGUGAGGUACGCCCCGGAGCCCAAUGUGACUCCCAAUGCCAAGCUGACCCUAUUCUUCGAGGGUGUCCUUGGAGCCCUGGAGCAUCUUCGCUCCAGCAGGGCGGCCUCUUUGGCCGAUGAGGCCCGGAAGCUUUGCCGGGGUGCCAUGACCAAGGUCCUCACCAAGGUGGCGUACUGGAACCCCGACCUCGACUUCGACGCCGCACUAGAGAGCUUGCCGGAGGAUGCUGACCUCGCGGCGCUCAAGGAGCGUAUCAAGCCCAUCAUCAGUCGCGUCGACGGAAUCCAGAGGGUGGAGGGCCAGCGCUGGGAUUAGGCACCCCGUUUCUCAUUGCCGCUGCAGGUUCAUGACCAUGACAAUUUCUAUCUUUAGUUAGAACCGCGGCAACAACUGAUGUAAUAUAACUCUGCAGUACAUUCGUGAUGAUGUAUGUUAUCUUCCUGUUUGAUCUUCCUUUGUAUGUUCACCCUACGUUAAUCGGGUAGGCUUGCCGGCGCGUAAACCCAGGCCGCGGCGCCUUGAGGAUGGAUCCCCAAUGGCCUGCCGGGUAUGCUUGCUGCCAGGCGAACCACCUUACCGCAUUAGUAGAAAACAGGGCUUUGGUUCCGGCCUGGCCAGCCCAUUAGUCCCGGUUCUUCAUGAACCGGGACCCAUGGGGGGCAUUAGUCCCGGUUCAUGAGCCCAGGGGGCCGUCCGGGGCCUCGUGGGCAUUGGUCCAGGUUCCUCUGGAUCCAUUUGUACCGGUUCUAGAGGGCCGCGCUCCUUGCCCACAGCCAUUGGUACCGGUUCGUGCCUAUAACCGGGACAGAAGGGGGGGGGGCUUUAGUACCGGUUCGUGCCACAAACCGGGACAAAUAAGUUGCCUAUAUAUACUCGUCGCCGCAGCAGAGCACUCCACAGUGCUCUGUUUUUUCUGGCCGGCGAGGGGAGGGCAUUUGGGUGCUCUAGCUCACCUCCUAUGCACAUGAGGUGUUUGAUGAAAUGCCCGAGCGACACUAGUUAAGCUUUCUCCUCUUGAAGCUCGACCUCGGAGCUCCAUUUUUCCCAAGAUUUGUCUAGAUUUAGCGGUCCGUCACGCCCCGUCCCCGUUUUCACCGCCGUCAAUCGCCCGUGCCGAUCUCGUCGCCGGCACCAUCGUGGUGAGCCUCUUGUUCUUAUCUUCUUUCUGAUUUGCUUAAUUUAGAUAGAUACUUGUCUGAUUUUCUUACUUUUGACACACAUAAUUAUAUAUAAUGCACGCAGAUGAACCGGCAAUGGAUGUACGGUGACAGACACACCUCCGAGUACAUUAAGGGCGUGCAUGAAUUUCUCGAAGUGGCAGAGGCAAACAAGCAGAAUGGUUUUAUGUGUUGUCCAUGCCCUAAAUGUGGGAAUACGAAGUCUUACUCUGACCGGAAAAUCCUGCACACCCACCUGCUUUACAAGGGUUUCAUGCCACACUAUAAUGUUUGGACGAGGCACAGAGAAAUAGGGGUUAUGAUGGAAGACGACGAAGAAGAAGAGGACGAUGACAACUAUGUGCCCCCUGAAUACGGUGAUGCUGCAACGGGGGGAGCUGCCGAAGAUCAAGAGGAACCAGACGAUGUGCCCGAUGAUGCUGCAAUGGGGGAAGCUGCUGAAGAUCAAGAAGAACCAGACGAUGUGCCCGAUGAUAAUGAUCUCCGCCGGGUCAUUGUCGAUGCAAGGAUGCAAUGCGAAAGUCAAAAGGAGCAGCUGAAGUUCGAUCCCAUGUUAGAGGAUCACAAAAAAGGGUUGUACCCCAAUUGCGAAGAUGGCAACACAAAGCUCGGUACCGUACUGGAAUUGCUGCAGUGGAAGGCAGAGAAUGCUGUGCCUGAGAAAGGAUUUGAGAAGCUACUGAAAAUAUUGAAGAAGAAGUUUCCAAAGGACAAUGAAUUGCCUGACAGUACGUACGCAGCAAAGAAGGUCGUAUGCCCUCUAGGAUUGGAGGUGCAGAAGAUACAUGCAUGCCCUAAUGACUGCAUCCUCGACCAUGGUGCGUACAAGGAUUUGAACGCAUGCCCGGUAUGCGGUGCAUUGCGGUAUAAGAUCAGACGAGAUGACCCUGGUGAUGUUGACGGUGAGCCCCGCAGGAAGAGGGUCCCUGCGAAGGUGAUGUGGUAUGCGCCUAUAAUACCACCGUUGAAACGACUAUUCAGAAACAAAGAGCAUGCCAAGUUGAUGCGAUGGCACAGUGAGGACCGUAAGAAAGACGGGAAGUUGAGAGCACCCGCUGACGGGUCGCAGUGGCGAAAAAUUAAGAGAAAGUACUGGGAUGAGUUUGCAGGUGACCCAAGGAAUGUAUGGUUUGCUUUAAGAGCGGAUGGCAUUAAUCCUUUCGGGGAGCAGAGCAGCAAUCACAGCACCUGGCCCGUGACUCUAUGUAUGUAUAACCUUCCUCCUUGGAUGUGCAUGAAGCGGAAGUUCAUUAUGAUGCCAAUUCUCAUCCAAGGCCCUAAGCAACCCGUUAACGACAUUGAUGUGUACCUAAGGCCAUUAGUUGAAGAACUUUUAUAGCUGUGGAAUGGAAACAGUGUACGUGCGUGGGAUGAGCACAGACACGAGGAAUUUAACCUCCAUGCGUUGCUGUUUGUAACCAUCAACGAUUGGCCCGCUCUCAGUAACCUAUCAGGACAGACAAACAAGGGAUACCACGCAUGCACGCACUAUUUAGCUAACACCAAAAGUAUAUACCUGGACAAAUGCAGGAAGAAUGUGUACCUGUGCCAUCAUCGAUUUCUUCCGACCAACCAUCAAUGUCGAAAGAAAGGCAAGCAUUUCAAAGGCGAGGCAGAUCACCGGAAGAAGCCCGCCAUGCGUACCGGUGAUCACGUACUUGCUAUGGUCAAUGAUUUACACCUAAUGUUUGGAAAGGGUCCCGGCGGACUAGCUGUUCCGAAUGACGCUGGGGGACGCGCACCCAUGUGGAAGAAGAAAUCUAUAUUUUGGGACCUGCCCUACUAGAAAGACCUAGAGGUCCGCUCUUCGAUCGACGUGAUGCACGUGACGAAGAACCUUUGCGUGAACCUGCUAGGCUUCUUGGGCAUGUAUGGGAAGACAAAAGAUACAGCUGAGGCACGGGAGGACCUGCAACGUUUGCACGAAAAAGACGGCAUGCCUCCAAAGCAGUAUGAAGGUCCUGCCAGCUAUGCUCUUACCAAAGAAGAGAAGGAAAUCUUCUUUGAAUGUCUGCUUAGUAUGAAGGUCUCGACUGGCUUCUCGUCGAAUAUAAAGGGAAUAAUAAAUAUGCCAGAGAAAAAGUUCCAGAACCUAAAGUCUCAUGACUGCCACGUGAUUAUGACGCAACUGCUUCCGGUUGCAUUGAGGGGGCGUCUACCGAAAAACGUCCGAUUAGCCAUUGUGAAGCUAUGUGCAUUCCUCAAUGCAAUCUCUCAGAAGGUGAUCAAUCCAGAAAUCAUACCAAGGCUAAGGAGUGAUGUGGCGCAAUGUCUUGUCAGUUUCGAGCUGGUGUUCCCACCAUCCUUCUUCAAUAUCAUGACGCACGUCCUAGUUCAUCUAGUUGACGAGAUUGUCAUUCUGGGCCCCGUAUUUCUACAUAAUAUGUACCCCUUUGAGAGGUUCUUGGGAGUCCUAAAGAAAUAUGUCCGUAACCGCGCUAGGCCAGAAGGAAGCAUCUCCAUGGGCCAUCAAACAGAGGAUGUCAUUGGGUUUUGUGUUGACUUCAUUCCUGGCCUUAUGAAGAUAGGUCUCCCUAAAUCGCGGUAUGAGGGGAGACUGGCUGGAAAAGGCACGCUUGGAGGGGACUCAAUAAUAUGCAGGGACGGAUAUUCUUGGUCUCAAGCACACUACACAGUUCUACAGAACUCUACCUUGGUGACCCCUUAUGUCGAUGAACACAAGAACAGUCUGCGCUCCAAACACCCGGAGCAUUGCGACGACUGGAUUACAUGUGAACACAUCAGGACUUUCAGCAGUUGGUUGGAAACACGUCUCAGAGGUGACAACACUGUUUGUGAUGAGAUGUACUCGUUGUCCAGGGGACCAUUUUCGACUGUAUUGACUUACAAAGGAUACAAGAUAAAUGGGAAUACAUUUUACACGAUCGCCCAAGAUCAAAAGAGCACCAACCAAAACAGCUGUGUCCGCUUUGAUGCAGCAACCGAGAGGGGAAAGGACACAUAUUAUGGUUACAUAGUGGACAUAUGGGAACUUGACUACGGACAUGAUUUUAAGGUCCCUUUGUCUAAGUGCAAAUGGGUCAAUCUGUCAGGAGGCGGGGUACAGGUAGACCCACAGUACGGAAUGACAACAGUGGAUCUGAACAAUCUUCGGUACACUGACGAACCUUUCGUCCUAGCCAAUGAUGUGGCACAGUUUAUCUAUGUGAAGGACAUGUCUACCAAACCGAGAAAAAGAAAAGAUAAGGAAGCGAAUACAUCAUACGAUGAGCCAAAGCACCACAUAGUUCUUUUAGGAAAAAGGGACAUCGUGGGAGUGGAGCGCAAGACAGACAUGUCUAAAGAUUAUGAAAAGUUUCCUGAAAUUCCUCCCUUCAAAGUCAAGGCUAACCCAAGCAUCCUAAUAAACGAUGAAGAUUAUCCAUGGUUACGGCGCAAUAAGCAAACGACACAAGCGAAGAAAAAGUGAAGACUUUCUCUCUACAACUAUUAUGAUGAUGCCUUUGAUCUAGAAUAUCACUGCAAUUACAUGUGAAGAAAUGAAAUGCAUGUUGUAACAAACGAGUUUCCGUGUGAAAUGAUGAUACCAUGCCAAUUUGCAACCUUAUCGGAGUUCAUUUGAAAUGGUUUUCAAUUUCCGGGUCUUAUAGCUCAAAAAAGCAGUAAAUGCAUGAAAAAUAACAAAUGAAGUCAGAAAGGGUUGAAAAUUGAUGAUGUUGCUUUGAAUGGUGCAUUUUGAACACACAAGAAGUCUGGAGUUCAAAUAAGUUCGAAAAAAUGAAAUCCCUUUGUAACAGAUGAGCUUUCGUGCGAAACCCUGAUACUUCGAAAGAGAUUGUCCGUUUUGUACACAAAGUGCAUCUAGUUUUUGCCGUAACCCUCUCAACUUUCUUGCACAUGCUAUGUGGGUGAAAUGAUGAUAGCAUGCCAAUUUUCAACCUUUUCGGUGUUCAUUUGAAAUGCUUUUCAAUUUUCGGGUCUUAUAGCUCAAAAAAGCAGUAAAUGCAUGAAAAAUAAUAAAAUGCAUAAAACUAUAAUAUUUGUUAUGAUCACUAAAAAACUAAAAUCAAUUAAAAUAUUAAAUAGCAGGAAAAAGAAUCACUCAAAAAUCUAUUUUUAUAGUAAAUUUAUUCAUAAAACUAGUGAUUCACAUACAUUUAAAAAAAAUCAAAUUUUAAAACUAAUGGCACUAACAGAAAGUUUAUAAUUUUGUGACCCAAAAGCAAAAAGAAAUCACUAAAAAACUAUAAAAUUUAGUUUUAAGUAGAAAUAAAAAAAUAAAAAGAAAAAAAGGAAAAAAAAUGCCACCUACUGGACCUCCUCGGCCUAAAUACGACUAGAAACCCUACAAUGGGCCAGGAUUCAGGCCCGCAGAAGGCCCAAUAGGCCCAACAGGCAUGGCAAAGUAGAGAUUAGGCCCGUAAGCCUGCAAUAGAGAGGAGCUCGAGAGGGUGGCGGCAGCAAAGCUUAUAAACCACCCCGAGCCCCUCUCAACUAGCGAGGUGGGACUAAACAUCCCACCGCACCGUGCCAGCACAAGGCCUAUGGUCCCGGUUCAUGCCACCAACCGGUACCAUAGGCGGGCAUUCGUACCGGUUCGUGGCACCAACCAGUACCAAUGCCCACCUACGGUCCCGGUCCGUGCCACCAACCGGGACCAUGGGCCUCUGUUUCCCGCCCUUGGGGCUGCCGAAAAGAGACCUUUGGACCCUGUUGGUGGCACGAACCGGGACCAUAGGUAGGCAUUGGUACCGGUUGGUGCCAUGAACCGGUACCAUUGGUUUUGCUAUAUAAGGUAGCACUUGUGAAAAUUUCGCCAACUGCUCCCCCAUUCCCCCCGACGCCGCCAGGCCGUUCCUCGUCGUCGUCGCCGUCGCCGCCCCGAGCCCCUGCCCCGACGNNNNNNNNNNNNNNNNNNNNNNNNNNNNNNNNNNNNNNNNNNNNNNNNNNNNNNNNNNNNNNNNNNNNNNNNNNNNNNNNNNNNNNNNNNNNNNNNNNNNNNNNNNNNNNNNNNNNNNNNNNNNNNNNNNNNNNNNNNNNNNNNNNNNNNNNNNNNNNNNNNNNNNNNNNNNNNNNNNNNNNNNNNNNNNNNNNNNNNNNNNNNNNNNNNNNNNNNNNNNNNNNNNNNNNNNNNNNNNNNNNNNNNNNNNNNNNNNNNNNNNNCCCGACGACGUCGCCGCGCCCUUGACCCGCCGUUGACGUCGUCCUCACCGUCGCCGUCGUCGUCACCGCCCCCGAGCCGCUCCUCCCAGAGCCCUCGCUGUGCGCGUACCCCUCCCCCAAGAGCCCACCGUCCUCGUCGCCGUCAUCGUCACCGGCCUCGUCGUCGUCCUCGUCACCGGCCUCGUCGUUGUCCGGCCUUGAGCCCCCAGUGAGCCCCUUCCAAUCCCGAUCCGUGCACUGCCGCAGCUGCCGCCGCCCCCCCGCGCCGCGCCGCCGCCCCUGUUUUUUAUAUGUAUGUAUGUAUGUAUCUAUGUAUAUGGAUGUAUGUAUGUACGGAUGGAUGGAUAUGCAUGUAUAUGGAUGGAUGUAUGUGUAUGUGUUCAUAGUUUUUUUUUGUUCAUAGUUUUUUGUUGAUAGCAUUUUUAGGCUGUAUAGUUUUAUUUUUGUUCAAUUUUUAUGGUUAGAAGAGGAGAGGAAAAAAUUGUGUUGCUAAAGUUACAUUUAAGGUUAGUUGAUUUAGUUCAUUUUAGGUUAUUAGUUCUACUGUUAGUGCAUUUAAGGUUAGUUUAUUUUUAGUUGAACUAGUUGAUUUAAUAAAACUAAUUUAUUUUACUAUACAUAUAAGUAGUUUAUUUUUAGUAAGUACUACUUUAUUUUAUUUAUAGUAAGUGCUUAGUAGUUGAACUAGUUGAUUUAAUAAAACUACUUUAUUUUACUAUAGAAGUAGUUUAGUUUUAGCAAGAAAAUUAAUAGAAUUAGUUUAUUUUUUAGUUCAAGCAAUUAUUCCCGCAUCGACAUCGACGAUGCCUAUCCCGCAUCCUCGUCGUCGACUCGGCGGAGGAGGCCGACUUGAUCAGAGGGGCCAUGUCCGGGACUGGGCUCCGCCGGGCUGGUAUUGGGAGGUGCUACCUUCCGGGGGGCGUAGGUUGGUGAGGAGCCAGCCCGUCGUUGACCCGAUCCUUGUUUGGUGGCGGUCGCGUGGGCCAGUGACUGUAUCGAGGCUUCCGGACACCGCGGAGGUGGUACGUCACCAUGUCAGCGAGGAGGACGAGCACGCCCGUCGCUACAUGGUUGCGUUGGAGGGCAGGUUCGACAAUACCUGGCAGCUUCUUCAGGGAUCUCAUUGGAGCUAUGAUCAUGUGAUGGUUCCUUCUCUUUGGGCAUCCACCGCCCGCGCCGAUACCCGUCGGGCGCUACGGUUCUAGCUGUACUAGCGAUGCUAUAUGUAUGAUAGUAUUCGAGGUGUAUUAGUGAUAAUAUUCGACGAUGUACGGACGCAAGAGAUGAUGUAGUUUUGCUUAUAAUUGAAUGCAUCCUAAUUUGAAUACUACUUUAUUUUGCGAUCUGAUUUUGCUUAUUGAAUGCUCAAAUUGGAAAACUACUCCUACUUUGAAUGCUAAAAUUAGAGAGCACUAUGCAAGGCGUAUGCAUAUGAUUAGUUGAUAGCUUAUAGUGUUUUUGUUUUCGCAAAAAUAUAGGAGCCCCCAACCAUCAUCCCCGCCGUCGUCCCCGUCACUGACCCCCUCCGACGUCGAGGUGAGACCAGCCAAAUCUCCAUGUCAAUAUGAGUCCUAUAAUAUGAGUCCUCGGGUCGACUUUAAGUCUGUCGAGUCUCCACCAUAUAUGAAAGGACGAAGAAUCAUGACUGUUGUCGUGGGGGUAGCUUCUCCUUCGUUCCCGUGAUGAAUAAUAAUGAUCUAACUUAGGUUUUUAGUACAUAUAUUUAAUUGUAGAUGUUUAAUAUUUGAAUUAUGAACAUAGGAAAUGUCGUACUCAGACUACGAAAGUCUCCCGGGGGAGUGCGACUGGUGCCACGACGACCGAGGUUAGUGCGACCGGCCUCACCUGGACGAAGAUCAGCGCUUCAGCAUUAAGCUGGAGGAGACCUUCGAUGUUGAAACGGUACGCAACGACGACAAGUGUUAUUUUUUCGUAAUUAAGCACGACUUCAAGUAUUUCAACGUGUACUUCUUAUCUUUUACAAUUCGACUAGCUUAUCCCAUGCCAUGCAAGACGCUAUGUCUUGGAGAGGAUGGGUUUUGAAGACCAGGAAAGUUUCGAAACAAAGAAAAUUCAUCUAAGGACCCAUCAUGGUGUGGAUUUUGAAGUAAAGCGGUACAAUUCUGAGAGCGUAACCCAUUUUGGUUGCAAAAAAUGAGAAGCACUUUGCAAGAUGUAUGGUUUUGAUGAGGGUAUGCUUGUCACCAUUGAUCUUGGUGACCCUGAAAUCGAGCAAGACAAUAUGGACAUUUGGGUCCUUGUUGAUACGCCUCCAAUUCUACCGCUAUGUGAGUUUCUCAAACAUAGUUAUUAGCUAAUUUAUAUUGUUUAUUUCAAAAUAGUUGACAACUUAUUUCCAUUGACAGCUUAUUUUGAUUGUUCAAACAAUGUGCGGAACAUGGUAGACAAAACCCACUACACCGAUGGCUCCGAAUUAACUUAUCAGGAGAAAAAUCAUCUGGUCUGAUUUUGUACUGAUAUUGAGAAUUACAAUAUCUAGAAUCAAACUCCUCAACAUUAUUGUCAAUACGUGCCACUAGUGCACGUGUUGAACUACAGUAACUACCAUGGAGAUACCCUGGUAAGAUUUUUUACUAUUACGACAUCCGUGCAUCUUUUGCAUACUUCUAAAACUAGUACAUCAUUGCUAACUAUGAAGUUAUUACUAUGUUUUUCAACAGAGAAUCCCAGAGGAUUGUGUGCCUCAUUUGAUGUAGCAGAAUGGCAGCCUUCGUGUUUUGAACAUAUAUCCAAGUCAUCCAACGAAUCUCAACUGUCCAUACCGGAUUUAUCAAUGAAGUGGAGACAUGCUAAUCAAAAAAUGGAAAAAAUGUAUGGACAGUCGUAAGGAGGUUCUUGGAAGCAAAAGGAAGCGAAGCGUAAGAAUUGGAGACAGGAUGAUCUCCAUUCUCCAUAAUGGAGAGUCAGGGUCUAUAUUGUUUUAUGCUAUUUUACCUUAAAGAGGGUAUUUAGGUCCUACCUAAUACUGAUGAUCAUGUGCUAAGAACAAUUAAGUAGGGCUGGUUCGAUGACUAUGAGGAUGAUGAUCGUAUGACUUGUUAUUAAUAACGAGUAGAAGUUGUAUGAUGAUGAUUAGUAGGACUUGUUAUUAUAUAAGAUGAUGCAUGAUGCGAGCAUGAAGAGUUAUUAUAUAUCAGCGGGUGAAAUGAACAUGGAUUGGAUUGAAGUGAAGGCAACAUGCAUGUGGUGCAUGUCGAAAGUACUACAAUCCAAACUUGAUCAAAGUUAGGAUUAGUAUUACUUUCGACAUGCACCACAUGUUGCCUUCACUUCAAUCUAAGCCAUGUUUAGGCAUAGCAGUAGCGUUGGUAAACCAAGCACGGAGAUAUAAGAGAGGACACUUCUCUCUAUUAUAUUAGCUAGCUAAUAACAACCUAAAUUAACCCCCAAAACCCCUAAAUCAGCCCCUUUAAAAAAACAAAAAGCUCAACUCCAGCCAGCUGCUGACGCGUGGAUGCCUUUUGGUCCCGGUUGGUGUCACCAACCGGGACCAAAGGCCCCCCUGCCUGGGCUGGCCGUAGUGGCCACGUGGAGGCCCAUCUGUCUCGGUUCGUGUAAGAGCCGAGACUAAAGGCCAAGGGCAUUAGUAACGACCUUUUAGUCCCGGUUCCUAAACCGGGACAGAAGGCUCUUACGAACCGGGACAAAUGGCCCUUUUUCUACUAGUGCCGCUCUAAACGCGGCCGCUCGAACUGUUGAGCUUGACUCGAGUCAGAAUCGAGAGCGUUGCCGAUUGCGGAAGGCUAUGUUGCCGUUCUCGACGCGGCCGCUUGAGCUAUUGAGCGGACUCGAAACAGAGUAAGGGCGUUGCCAAUAGCGGAAGGGCCCCUUUGCGUGCAUGUUUUCCAUACAUAGGGCAGGACCUUCGAGUACAAUAACCUUCUAUAUAAAAAGAUAUUGCUUAAAGUUUCACACGACUUAGCUUUUCUGUCAUUGCACGGGCGUCCACCGCAUCUGCAGAUGGUGCCGUCAAGCUUGGUCGUCUUCUAUCUUGGAACGACGGCCACGAUGAAGCCGCUGCUCCGAUCAGACCAAAUUUCCACAACUGCGCCCCCUACCUAGCGCGCCAAAGAUGUCGGGGGAAAUCGACACCUAUGGAAUCACAGGGAUCCCUUCUACGGUUGGCGGGCGCGGGGUUGUGCAAAGAGCAGGUCUGACAGGAAGCACGCAGAUCGUUUACCCAGGUUCGGGCCGCGGAGAUGCGUAAUACCCUAGUCCUGCUAUGGUGGAUGUAUUCGAGUGUUCUUGUGUUCUUGAACUAGCUACGGGGUGUAACUUGCCCAGAAGAUCCGAAUCCCUGUCCUGGAUGCCUCGGGCCUCCUUUUAUAGACAAAAGGGGUUGCCACACUGGCACACAGGAGGUGGAAAGGUGUACAGUGGAUGAGUCUAUCCUCUGGCACCGUUGGACGAACACAUUUAAUGCGCUGCCAACGUGACCCUCUCGCUUUAUCGGGGACGGUCAAGGAAGCUCGUCCCAGCUGUCGCCGCCUCGCCUGGCUUCGACACGCGUCCGAGCUGACGAGGCGUCGUGGCGCCACAUUGGCUGGCUGCUGGGCUGGCGCGGUGGUGGAGCCUUCACGAAGGUCUGCAUGCCACCACGCAGGUGCUUGCUGUGUCGGUGUAGAGGCCGCUCGUCGCCACGCAGGUGCCUGCCCAGCUGGUUGGGCUAGCAGCUGCACGGGGACGGCGGUGGAGUCUUGGCAGGCGCGGGCCUGGCUGUGGCCCCGCUGAUGCCCUUGGCAAGGGUCUUGCCGGGGGCCCGGCAAGGGUCUUGCCGUGGUGCCGCGGUCGUCCCCGGCAAGGCGCUUGCCGGGGGUCUCGUGGAUUUCCUCGGCAAGGACCUCGCCGAGGAUCAUCGUCUUCUGGUCCUCAUCUGAUCUUGUGUAUUUAUGAUCUUCACAAAGAUCAGCAUGCCACCACGGAGGUGCCUCCCGAGCCUUGGUCCCAAUGUGGUUGAUGGCGUUGGAACCCUUGGGCUCAAUGGAGGCGCGCUUCGUUGGCGUCAGGCAAGUUGCCCCGGCAAGGCUCUCGCCGGGGCUGAGGAGGCCGUCCCGGCAAGGGUCUUGCCGGGGGAGUCCACCUCGCCCUCUUGCCCUUUGUGUCUCUGGUCUUGGCAUUGCCAUGGCUGUCUUGUGCUCCGGCUUCCCUCCUCUGCCCUGCUAAGUGUGGCCGUGGGCGCGGCUCUGACUACCAGUGCACAAGUAAAGGGGUCAAAAGGAGAGCCCCUAGUUUUAUACACCGACAUGUAUCCUCCCAGAAUCUCGUAGAAGUACCGUUACUGAUCACAAGCUUUGUCUGAUUGAAAAAAAUGGAUUUAACUCUCAUCAGUCCUUUCCAAAAGGGCUAGUCCAUUGGCCUCACUGUGACCUGGGAUAAAGUUCUGGAAUGAAGGUACUUAUUACGCAGUAUUUGUGCCCAUGUAGCCCCCGUCUCGCUAGAUAGCUUAUACAGCCAUUUGCUGAGAAGACAUAUGUUCUUCACCUUAAGAUUUUUGAUACCUAGACCCCCUUGGUCUUUGGGUCGACAAAUAAUAUCCCAUUUAGCGAGUAUACUUUCUCUUCAGAUCAUCACUUUGCCAGAAGAAACGGGAUCGAUAGAAAUCUAGUCUUUUCCGAACUCCAACUGGUACCUCGAAAAAAGACAAGAGAAACAUGGGCAUGCUCGUGAGAACCGAAUUAAUAAGAAUUAAACGGCCUCCAUAUGACAUGAGUUUGCCAUUCCAGCAACUGAGUUUCUUCUCAAAUCGAUCCUCAGUGCACUUCCAUUCUCUCUUUGUUAGCUUACGAUGGUGAAUUGGUAUGCCCAAUUAAGUGAAAGGCAAAGCCCCCAAUUCGCAUCCGAACAAUUGCUUAUAUGCCUCUUGUUCCUCAUUGGCUCUUCCAAAAUUGUAUAAUUCGCUCUUGUGGAAAUUAAUUUUUAGUCCGGUCAAUUGUUCGAAUAAGCAUAACACCAGCUUCAUAUUUCUCGUUUUUGCCAAGUCAUGGUCCAUGAAGAUGAUAGUAUCAUCGGCGUACUGUAGGACAGACACACCUCCAUCCACUAGAUGAGGUACCACAGGAGAGCACCUGCGAUAAUUAUAUCAUGCCACACGAGUACAAAGGAUGAAGCAUCUUAGACGUUUGGAAUAGAUUUGGGCAUCACAUACGAUUUAUUUUUCCAAAAAGGUAUGCAUGAUUGGGCUCUAUCUGUAGGAGAUAUGCCCUAGAGGCAGUAAUAACAGUUAUUUUGUAUCUCCAAGUUUGUAAUGAAUGUUUAUGAUCCAUGCUAUAACUGCAAUGAUUCUCGAGUCUACAAUAUCCACGAGGCUCGGAGGGAACUCAUAUGCACGUGUGGUAUUAUAAACGGUAAAAUAUAUUCCUAGUCUUGCCUCUAAGACUAGCUCAAGUAUUGCAUGAUGAUCCUGUUUCCUGAUCAUGGGCAUGACUAUGCCGGCAAUUUUGAGGGCACAAGUUUGGUAGAACGCUUGUGUUGAAUCAACCCGGAUUGAUGUUGUGCUAUGAGAUGCCUUCGUCACAAGUUUAUGGUUAAUAUCAUUGAGAUAGUUAAUGUUUGCAUAAUUCCUUAGACCAUGAGAGUAUCAAGUUCCUUCGUGCUUGCUUCGUGAACUUUGGGGUUUGUUAAACGUCAUCCGUAACUUGGUGGCUAUUAUGGCAGCUUUCGGGUUCACGGAAAAGUAUAGGAAGUAACAAGAUAGCUCAAGAUUGGGAUUUGCUCCUCCGACGAUGGAGAGAUAUACUCGGGCCCUCUCAGUGUAACGGUAUCCAUCAUCGUCUGGCCAGACACAUUGUGAUUUGAUCACUGGGAUGCCGGAACACGGAAACGAGAAAAGAGAACAAAACCGGUAACGAGGUAACUUGCAUGGUGGACAAAUUGUUCGUCCAUGGGCAUGCAAUAAAUCUCACCUCGGGUGUUUGUGACAUAUCGCGAAGCAACAGGAAUAGCUCACUACAACUAGAGGUUCACUCGAAUAUUCAUUCGUGUGGGUAUAGGGGUCAAUAUGGGUGUCCACGGCUCCGAUGUUGAUCAUUGAUCGGAAGGGGUUCCAGGUCAUGUCUAUACUUCACCGAACCUAUAGGGUCACACGCUUAGGGGUCAUCUAUCUGUUGAAUACUAGACAGGGAGUCUGAGAGAAAAUCACCGAAAAAGUUUCGGACACCGAAAAGUUUCGGACAGCGGAAUCGUACCGCAGAGAGAGGUCAUCGGAUAAGUUUCGAUGAUACCGAAAAGUUGUUUCGGGAUACACCAUUAAGUCAAAUUGGUUUCGGCACAUGCCUGAUAAUUCUUGGAGGAUGCCAGAAUCAUUCUGGAAGCUUUUUGGAAUUUUCUGACAUAAAAACCGGAAAUGUUCCGGAGCUGCCGGAGCCACUUCAGAUGCGUUUCGCAGAUGAAAAUCACUAAAACCGGAAUUGUUUCGGAACGCGUUGAAAAACAUUUUAGUGGGUACUGGAAAUGUUCUUAGCCCACAUAAAUAUUUUCAGUUCGAUCAGACGCUGAAAAAUGUCGUCGUGAAUAGUGAAAAUCAGCUUUAUGGUUACUUUAUGGAAAGCCACCUUUUGGGGCUUUGCUCCAAAAGAUCUUGGGGAUGACAUGGAUGGAUAGGACCCAUUUUUUGGGCCCCUCAUGGGGGUGUGGCCGGCCACAUGGGGUAUCCCCCCUUGGGGACCCUUUUGUUCAUUGGUUUCACUUCUAGGUCCUUGUGGAAGGACUUCAUUCAUGUGCAUUUUGGGUUUUUGUGUGAAACUACCCUACCCCUUGGGAUUUCCUAUAAAUAGAGGUGGAGGGGCAGCCCUCCACACUCAUCCCUUGCUCUCAUACACAUGCCAUGCAUUAUCUGGCUUCUUCUCUCCCUCCCACGAAAAGAGUUUCGUAGAGCCGUAAGGCUGUCUGGGUUCCGGCAGGAACUAGUUCUGGACGGCGAAGCCCUGCCGGAUAGCUGACACCGUAUGUGUGCAACCCCGUAGAGAGAUUGUAGUUUCGAUCUUUUGCCCGAGGGGCUGUUCGAGUGUCCUCCCGAAGGGCUGUCCGAGUCUCCGUCCGAGUUUCGAGGGUCCUCCCGAAGGGCUGUCCGCGACAUUGUCCGGGGGACUGUCCGACCGCCUCCCGAAGGGCUGUCCGGAGAGGGAGUACAUCCUCGCGGUUGGGAGGUUGUAAAUCCUAGCUGCGGGGAUCUGCACCGACGAUCUACACCGACUCUUCUUCCGCUGCGCUUCGAGUCGGUACGGAUCAGAUCAAACCUUGUAUGCAGUCUCCAUAGUGGUCCUGGGCGUGCUCGCUAUACCGAAAAUUUUCGUUUUCUGUCGCGUUCCCCUACAGUGGCAUCAAGAGCCGUGCUAUGCGUAGAUGCAGGUUACGAUCUAGAAUACAUGGAGAUGUAUGGGUAUUGCAUAAUAUAAUUUUGGAGUAGAUGAGAUGUAUUGCUGAAAAUUAUUUAUGCGGGUGACAGAUGAAAUCUGUUACCCGACGUUCUUGUUGCUUCCCUAGAAUUUGCGUUUGCUCAAUCUCGAGACAGGAUGGUGGAAUUUGACAAAGUUCUGGCAAUCCGUGAUCCUGAUUGAUCAUGGAAGUGCUAUCAGUUCUUUGGGUUCUGCCAUAGUCAAAAGAAAGAUGAAAUUCGCAGAUGAAAGGGCAUUGCAGAUAUGAUCUGCACGGGGGUCAUGCGUAUGACGAAGUUUAGUAUGGGGCUCGAGAUUUAAUUAUCUCGUGUUUCAUACACCCCGAGAUGUUAAUCUAGCAACUUGAAUAAUCAUACUUGAUGAUAAAACGUUGGUAGCUGCGGUUUAAGUCAAAACCUUAGAAGCCACGUAAAAUAAAAUUUUGCAUAAACCGAUUAGAGGCGUCUAACUUGGUUUUGCAGGAUGUGCAUGUGAUGUGGUAUAGCAAUGCUCAUAUUCAAUUUGAUUAUGUAUGAGAUGACUAUAUGAUGUAACUAACAUGACCUGCGUGUCAUGAUUCUGCAUGAUGGCUGGAGCCAUAUGAUUGCACUUUAAUGACCUGCGUGUCAACCUUAAGUAAUGCACUUAUUUUAUUAGCUAUAGAGAUAGCAAUAUUAUCUGGUGCAUCGACAAGGUGGUGGCAAUCUUCGCGAAGGUGAACACCGACGCAAAUGCCGAAGACGAAGAAUUGAAAGACUUCUCCGUCAGAAAGGGCUAUACCAUAUCAUGCUAAUUAUGAAUUGCCUGAGAUGUUUAUCCCCUAUGAUGCACCCUUCUUGAUUGCGCGGUAGUCGCUUUUAUUAGGGUGAUCUCUCACUUAAAAAUAUCAAGUAGAUAGUGUUCUCCCAAGUGUAGCACCGUCACGGCACCUAUCGUUUCGGGGUGCGCCGUGUCACACGGGUACGAACGAUUAGAGAAGUGUGAGGCGGGUGAGUUGAGACCUCGCAGCGAGAUCACUUGGUUGUCUUGACGUUCAGGCAUGACCGUCAUGAGCUCGGAACACACGCAUCGAAAGAUGAACAAGAGUCACAUAGUGAUGUGAUUGGCAAGUUGGCCUACCGGUUAAGAUUUUCGUCAUCAGUGGUGUUACACCAAUGGCGAACAAUCAAGACACGGAUCUUGAAUCACUCAUAAUCAAUUUUGAGAGAUAUUGAUUUGAGUGGGAGUGCAUUUUAGAAUAAAAUGUUUAUUCACUAGUGCAAAUUUCAUUAUAAACAAAGUCUAAGUGAAACUUGUGUCUUCGUUGUAGAUCAAAUGGCUCGCAACACCGCGUUCAACUUAGGCCCGAUGUUAGAGAAAGAGAAGUUAGCUACGACUGGAAACAACUAUGCGGACUGGGCCCGUAACCUGAGGAUUGUCCUCAGGAGCGCUAAGAAAUUGUACGUGCUUGAAACUGCUCUUCCAGCUAAACCGGCGGCAGAUGCACCGGUAGAUGAACAAAAUGUCUGGGCCACUAAGGAUGAUGAUCACAACUUAGUGCAGUGCCUCAUGCUAGCUUGCAUGAGUCCAGGGCUUCAAAAACGUUUUGAAUUCCAUAAAGCCCGUGAUAUGAUCCGGGAAUUGGAUGCUCUGUACAAGGAAACCGCAAAGUCUGAACGAUAUGAUAUCAUGAAGGCUUGGAUGGAUUGCAAGAUGGCUGAGGGUAGUUCAGUUGGCGAACACGUGGUCAAAAUGAUUGGCUAUUCUGAAAGGCUUAAAGCCCUAGAAUUUCCACUUCCACCUGGCCAUAUGAUGGACAUGUUGCUUUCUUCACUCCCCCCGUCUUACGACGGUUUUGUCAUGAACUACAACAUGACAGGGAUGGAGAAGACGCCGAAAGAAGUGCUCGCCAUGCUGAAAACUACAGAAGGAGGACUGCGGAAAAAUCGCAAGUAAGUGUUGCUUGUGAAUAAAACCGCCUGUUUCAAAAAGAAGAAAGGCAAGCCAAAGAAGGGCAAGGGCACCGGUAAGACCGGCUCCCAAAGCAACUCUAAGGGCGGAGCCAAGAAUGAAACUGAGUGCUUCUACUGCAAGGGCACAGGACACUGGAAGAGAAACUGCAAGAAGUAUCUGGAAGAUAAGAAGACCGGGAAAACCGGAAAAGGUAUAAUUGUUAUACAAGUUAAUGUCAUUGACGUUUUGCUUGCUAGCGAAAACUCUAAGUCUUGGGUAUUUGAUACCGGAUCGGUUGCUCACAUUUGCAACUCGAUACAGGGACUUCAGAAGGUGCGCAAGCUAGCAAAGAAUGAAGUCGUGAUGCGCGUCGGGAACGGCGCUGGGAUCGCCGCUCAAGCCGUCGGCAUUAUGCCUCUACGUCUCCCUUCAGGAUUUAUCUUAGAACUAAGUAACUGUUAUUUUGUUCCACUGUUGUGUAGAAACAUUAUCUCCGGAUCAUGUUUGGUACACGAUGGGUAUUCGUACAAGUCUGAGAACAAUGGUUGUUCACUUUAUUGUAAGGAUAUGUUUUAUGGAUUUGCACCCAUUGUUGGGGGCCUUUUCAUACUAAAUCUUGAAUGUGGAAGUGAUGUCUUUAACAUGAAUGCUAAACGCCUUAAGAAGGCUGAUACCACCACCACUUUCAUGUGGCACUGUCGCCUUGGCCACAUCGGUAAGAAACGCAUGCAAAGACUCCAUAAAGAUGGAGUUUUACCGUCCCUUGAUUUUGAAUCAUUUGACACAUGUGAAGCUUGCCUGAUGGGGAAAAUGACCAAGACGCCGUUCACGGGUCAUCCUGAACGGGCGGGUGAAUUAUUGGAAAUAAUACAUAGUGAUGUAUGUGGUCCAAUGAACACAGGCGCACGGGGUGGAUAUUUUUACUUCGUGACUUUUACUGAUGAUUUGAGUAGGUAUGGCUAUAUCUACUUAAUGAAGCAUAAAUCGGAAACCUUUGAAAAGUUCAAAGAAUUUCAGAAUGAGGUAGAAAAUCAUCGUAACAAAAAGAUUAAGUUUCUGCGGUCUGAUCGCGGAGGCGAAUAUCUUAGUCAUGAGUUUGGCCAACAUCUGAGUGAUCGUGGAAUCGUUUCACAGCUUACGCCUCCCGGAACUCCACAGAGAAAUGGAGUAUCGGAACGACGUAACCGAACCUUGUUGGACAUGGUAAGGUCAAUGAUGUCUCUUACAAAUCUUCCAAUAUCUUUUUGGGGUCACGCACUACUUACUGCUGCUCACACACUAAACAAAGCACCGUCUAAAUCUGUUGAGACGACGCCACAUGAGAUGUGGCACGGGAAGAAACCCGACCUGUCGUUUUUCAAAAUUUGGGGUUGUGAAGCUUAUGUAAAACGUUUACAGCCAAGCAAGCUUGAUCCCAGAUCAGACAAAUGUUACUUUGUAGGUUAUCCCAAGGAGACAGUUGGGUAUUCUUUCUACCACGCCUCCGAGAAUAAAGUGUUUGUUGCAAAACAUGGAGUCUUUCUUGAGAAAGAGUUUCUCACUAAAGAAGUGAGUGGGAGGACAAUACAACUCAAUGAGAUUAGUGAAUCUUCGGGAACCGUUGAUAUGGCUAAGGAACCGGAAGAAAUUCCGCUAAUUAUCCCUACAACCGAGCCGGAAGUUGUCGCAUGUGAUGCGGAGACUUCAGACAAUGUUGUAACUGAACCGCGCAGAUCAGGUAGGGCUAUCCAGCCACCUGAGUGGUUUCAUAACGAAAUCUUCAUUCUUGAAGACGAUGAACCUGCGCACUACAAGGAAGCGAUGGCGGGGCCCAGCUCAAAAGAAUGGCACAAAGCCAUGAGAUCCGAAAUGGAAUCCAUGUACGAAAACCAAGUUUGGAACUUGGAAGAACUUCCAGAAGGCAUAAAGCCCAUUGGUUGUAAAAUGGAUUUUCAAAAGAAAGACGGACGCGGAUGGUAACAUUACUAUCCACAAAGCUAGACUUGUCGCGAAAGGGUUCACACAAGUUCCAGGAGUGGACUACGACGAGACUUUCUCGCCAGUAGCUAUGCUUAGGUCUGUUCGGAUAUUGCUAGCAAUUGCUGCUUAUUUCGACUAUGAAAUAUGGCAGAUGGAUGUCAAAACGGCUUUCCUAAAUGGAAACCUCAAAGAGGAUGUAUACAUGAUACAGCCAGAAGGUUUUGUCAUUCAUGAGGAUGCUGGAAAGGUAUGCAAACUUCAGAAAGCCAUUUAUGGUCUGAAGCAAGCAUCAAGGAGCUGGAACAUUCGUUUUGAUGAAGUGGUCAAAGAGUUUGGCUUCAUCAUGAAUGAUGAAGAAUCUUGUGUUUACAAGAAGUUUAGUGGGAGCGCAAAAGCAUUUCUAAUCUUGUAUGUGGAUGACAUAUUGUUGAUUGGAAAUGACGUGAAUUUUCUUAGCGAAAUAAAAGACUCAUUGAAGAAAAGUUUUUCAAUGAAAGACUUAGGCGAAGCGGCAUAUGUAUUAGGCAUCAGGAUCUAUAGAGAUAGAUCAAAACGCCUGAUAGCGCUUAGCCAAAGCACGUACAUUGACAAGGUGUUGAAAAGGUUCAACAUGGAGAACUCCAAGAAAGGCCUACUCCCCAUGUCACCUGGCACAGUGCUUUGCAAGAAUCAGAGUCCUCGGACUCUGGAUGAGCGAGUACAAAUGAAUGAUGUUCCAUAUGCCUCGGCAGUUGGUUCUAUUAUGUAUGCCAUGCUAUGUACAAGACCAGAUGUUUCCUAUGCGCUAAGUGUUAGCAGCCGGUACCAAAGUGAUCCAGGGUUGGAACACUGGGCCGCAGUCAAGGGUAUUCUUAAGUACCUCAGAAGGACCAAGGAUUUACUCCUUGUGUACGGAGGUGAUGAAGAGCUCAUUGUAAGUGGUUACAAUGAUGCAGGCUUCAUGACUGACCCAGAUGACUUCAAAUCUCAAUCAGGCUACGUUUUCAUAUUGAACGGCGGCGCAGUUGAUUGGAAAAGUUCCAAACAAAAGACUGUGGCGGAUUCUACGACGGAGGCGGAAUAUGUUGCUGCUUCAGAAGCCUCCAAGGAGGCGGUAUGGAUCAAACAAUUUCUUGAAGACCUUGGUGUGGUUCGUAGUGCCCAGGACCCGGUGGAGAUCUAUUGUGAUAAUAGUGGCGCCGUGGCUCAGGCAAGGGAGCCAAGUUCGAACCAUAAGACAAGACAUAUUCAACGCAAAUAUAAACUCAUUCGACAUCAUGUCGAAGAGGGUUUAGUGAAAGUACGCAAAGUUCACACGGAUCUGAACGUGUCAGACCCGAUGACAAAGCCUCUACCACGAGCAAAACAUGAGCAACACCGGAUAGCCAUUGGUGUUAGGGAAGCCAUGUAACUGGAUUAUGACUCUAGUGCAAGUGGGAGUCUGUAGGAGAUAUGCCCUAGAGGCAGUAAUAACAGUUAUUUUGUAUCUCCAAGUUUGUAAUGAACGUUUAUGAUCCAUGCUAUAACUGCAAUGAUUCUCGAGUCUACAAUAUCCACGAGGCUCGGAGGGAACUCAUAUGCACGUGUGGUAUUAUAAACGGUAAAAUAUAUUCCUAGUCUUGCCUCUAAGACUAGCUCAAGUAUUGCAUGAUGAUCCUGUUUCCUGAUUAUGGGCAUGACUAUGCCGGCAAUUUUGAGGGCACAAGUUUGGUAGAACGCUUGUGUUGAAUCAACCCGGAUUGAUGUUGUGCUAUGAGAUACCUUCGUCACAAGUUUAUGGUUAAUAUCAUUGAGAUAGUUAAUGUUUGCAUAAUUCCUUAGACCAUGAGAGUAUCAAGUUCCUUCGUGCUUGCUUCGUGAACUUUGGGGUUUGUUAAACGUCAUCCGUAACUGGGUGGCUAUUACGGCAGCUUUCGGGUUCACGGAAAAGUAUAGGAAGUAACAAGAUAGCUCAAGAUUGGGAUUUGCUCCUCCGACGAUGGAGAGAUAUACUCGGGCCCUCUCGGUGUAACGGUAUCCAUCAUCGUCUGGCCAGACACAUUGUGAUUUGAUCACUAGGAUGCCGGAACACGGAAACGAGAAAAGAGAACAAAACCGGUAACGAGGUAACUUGCAUGGUGGACAAAUUGUUCGUCCAUGGGCAUGCAAUAAAUCUCACCUCGGGUGUUUGUGACAUAUCGCGAAGCAACAGGAAUAGCUCACUGCAACUGGAGGUUCACUCGAAUAUUCAUUCGUGUGGGUAUAGGGGUCAAUAUGGGUGUCCACGGCUCCGAUGUUGAUAAUUGAUCGGAAGGGGUUCCAGGUCAUGUCUAUACUUCACCGAACCUAUAGGGUCACACGCUUAGGGGUCAUCUAUCUGUUGAAUACUAGACAGGGAGUCUGAGAGAAAAUCACCGAAAAAGUUUCGGACACCGAAAAGUUUCGGACAGCGGAAUCGUACCGCAGAGAGAGGUCAUCGGAUAAGUUUCGAUGAUACCGAAAAGUUGUUUCGGGAUACACCAUUAAGUCAAAUUGGUUUCGGCACAUGCCUGAUAAUUCUUGGAGGAUGCCAGAAUCAUUCUGGAAGCUUUUUGGAAUUUUCUGACAUAAAAACCGGAAAUGUUCCGGAGCUGCCGGAGCCACUUCAGAUGCGUUUCGCAGAUGAAAAUCACUAAAACCGGAAUUGUUUCGGAACGCGUUGAAAAACAUUUUAGUGGGUACUGGAAAUGUUCUUAGCCCACAUAAAUAUUUUCAGUUCGAUCAGACGCUGAAAAAUGUCGUCGUGAAUAGUGAAAAUCAGCUUUAUGGUUACUUUAUGGAAAGCCACCUUUUGGGGCUUUGCUCCAAAAGAUCUUGGGGAUGACAUGGAUGGAUAGGACCCAUUUUUUGGGCCCCUCAUGGGGGUGUGGCCGGCCACAUGGGGUAUCCCCCCUUGGGGACCCUUUUGUUCAUUGGUUUCACUUCUAGGUCCUUGUGGAAGGACUUCAUUCAUGUGCAUUUUGGGUUUUUGUGUGAAACUACCCUACCCCUUGGGAUUUCCUAUAAAUAGAGGUGGAGGGGCAGCCCUCCACACUCAUCCCUUGCUCUCAUACACAUGCCAUGCAUUAUCUGGCUUCUUCUCUCCCUCCCACGAAAAGAGUUUUGUAGAGCCGUAAGGCUGUCUGGGUUCCGGCAGGAACUAGUUCUGGACGGCGAAGCCCUGCCGGAUAGCUGAAACCGUAUGUGUGCAACCCCGUAGAGAGAUUGUAGUUUCGACCUUUUGCCCGAGGGGCUGUUCGAGUGUCCUCCCGAAGGGCUGUCCGAGUCUCCGUCCGAGUUUCGAGGGUCCUCCCGAAGGGCUGUCCGCGACAUUGUCCGGGGGACUGUCCGACCGCCUCCCGAAGGGCUGUCCGGAGAGGGAGUACAUCCUCGCGGUUGGGAGGUUGUAAAUCCUAGCUGCGGGGAUCUGCACCGACGAUCUACACCGAUUCUUCUUCCGCUGCGCUUCGAGUCGGUACGGAUCAGAUCAAACCUUGUAUGCAGUCUCCAUAGUGGUCCUGGGCGUGCUCGCUAUACCGAAAAUUUUCGUUUUCUGUCGCGUUCCCCUACACUAUCGCAGCCGGUUAACUUGCGUUGUGUGUGAUGGACACCCUUUUCGCACACCUUCACACAGCGAUGCAUCAAAGGUACGUGAGCAAAAGGGGUUUUUAACCGUUUGUGUUGGACUUGCGUGCACUAGUGUGACAUGCGUUACUUAACCUAGCUUUUGUUUAGUUUAGUUAAAUUUCAAGUAGUUUUUUAUGUAACUUGUUAAAUUUUAUCAUAUAUGCAUAUAUGUAAUAUAUCGUACUAGGUUUAUUUUCAUUCGUAAUUCAUUUGAAAUGUGUUCCGAACCGGGGGGUGGUAGUUAAAUGCAGAAAAAACACCACAAUAGCCAUCUCAUUAGCAAAAACAACCACUUUACAAUUUGUGGCAAAAAGGACGACACGCAACAACGGACAGUGGCAAAAGAGCCGGUCGGGACCGGCUCUUUCAAAAUGUGGGGUCCCACUCACCCACUCACUCUCUCACUCACCAGCUCUCGCUCACACUCGACGCCGGUGCCGCUCCUGCUUGACGCUGCCACACAAUGCAUUCAUGGAAUGACGAAGAGGAGAGCAGCAAGGAUGCCCUCAAGUACAGCAGCAUGGAUAUGGAUUUGUGGGUAAGUUUCAGCGCUCAAUAACUAGACGUUUGGAUUAGGGUUAGUGUUUGGAUUUGGGGAUUUAGGGUUUGUGCUCGUUUCCAGCCUUAUUGAAAGGAUUUGUUAGUUAAUUUAGAUAUUGUCAAUGCAGGAGAACCCUGAGACCAUUGUGAAUUCAUUUUACUAUGGGACAGUGGCAUUUUCGGCCAUCAAAUCCAAGCUUUACCAGGCAAGAGCCAAAAAAUCUGUUGGUUUUGGUGACAGACACUAGGAGGAAACUUUAUGGCUGCACUGCACAAGUACUCCCUCCGUCCUAUAUUAAUUGAGCUAAAAUGGAUGUAUCUAGUACAUAUGGAUACUUUCAUUUCAACAACAAUUAAUAUGGGACGGGGCAGUAAUUUUAACUUGCCUUGCUGUUUCACCACUUUGCUCUGUAGCUGUUUGAUUUCGCUGUGUAGUUAUCUAUGUAGUGACGAGUCAUCUGAACUUAGUUGUAUCUUGUUCAUUUUGACUGGAUUAAACUUAGUCUUGCUGCUAUUAAAGGUUAGUCUGUAAUUUAGUAAAUCGAAAUUUAACUGAAUUUUGUUGUUCAAGUUCAGUAUGUAGUUUAGUGAAUCAGAAUUUAACGGAAUAUUGUUUUUCAAGUCCAGUCUGUAGCUUGCUGAAUAUGUAUUGUACUGAUUGUUGUUACUCAAGUUCAGUAUGUAGUUAAGUCAAUCUAAAUUGUAGUGUCAUCAUGUAGUAAAAUAGGUAGUAUAUGUGAAAGAAAUAGGCUUGAUUUAUUGUUGUGUAGUUUUGGAAACAAUAAAUUUUGAGAUACUUUUGUCUGUCUGAACAAUAUGUCACUAGUAGAAAACAGGGCUUUGGUUCGGCUAGAAAAGAGCAUUAAUCCCGGUUGCAUUACGAACCGGGACUAAUGUGAGCAUUAGUCCCGGUUCGAGUGGCUAGGGCACCGUACAAGCAUUAGUCCCGGUUCAAAUGGGACCUUUAGUCCCGGUUGGUGCCACGAACCGGGACUAAAGGGUGCGAUGCCCAUUAGUACCGGUUCGUGGCACCAACCGGUACUAAAGGUUAGACCUUUAGUCCCGGUUCGAGCCACCAACCGGUACUAAUGGGGUUUGAGGCAUUAGUACCUGUUCAUGGCACGAACCGGUACUAAAGGUCCCAUUGUCAAACUCUACCCCCACCCUGGAUCGCCUUUUCAGUUUUGUAAAAAGCAAAGAAAAUGAUAAAAACUUCAAAAAUUAAAAUCCUUCCAGAUGUAUAGUUAUGUUACUACAUGUACUAGUUAGGAAAAUUUAAAAACUUAAAUUUGGACAUGUUUUGCAAAAAGUGUAGGAAAAAUGUAAAACGGCUAUAACUUUUGCAUACGAUGUUAGAAAAAAAGUAUAAUAUAUCAAAAUGUUCAGCACGAAAAUCCGAAUCCGAUUUUGACCGCAUAUGACCCGUUUGCAAAUGUUUAGAAUCCUCAAAUUCUAAAAGGAAAAAAAGUUAUGCUCAAAUUUCUGUUUUUUUUAAUUUUUGUUAAAUCUGGUCAAACUACUUAUUCAAGAAGUAUUAAUGUUACUAAAUAAAUAUUCAAGAAUAUUAGUGUUACUAAAUAAUUAUUUCAGUUUUUUUGAAUUUUCGUCAAAUCUGGUCAAACUAUGGUCAAACUAAUUAUUCAAGAAAUAUUAGUGUUACUAAAUAAUUAUUUCGGUUGUUUUGAAUUUUGGUCAAAUCUGGUCAAACUGUGGUCAAACUGUGGUCGAACUAUGGUCAAACUACUUAUUCAAGAAAUAUUAGUGUUACUAAAUAAUUAUUGUUUUUUAGAACAAUAGUUUCAAACUCAAACAGUGAAAUGUGUGACUUCAUGCUCAAGCUAAGUUCCUGGGGGUUAAUAGGAUUGACAUCUUACUAUUGUCAGGAAAACAACAAGUGCAGACUUGGAAACGAGGGAGAAUAGAACCCGGAAGUUAAGCGUGCUCAGGCUGGAGUAGUGAGAGGAUGGGUGACCGUCCGGGAAGUUAGAUGAUUUGGAAUGAUGAGGGGUGAUUAGGGGUGACAAGUUUUUGAUUACUUGUCCGGUAAGUAUACGAAUUAGAAACCGAGUCGGUUUGGGAUUGUGGUCGCGACACAAUACCGCCUCUGGUCCUAAUAUAUAUACAGCUACCGGCUGCGGCCAGAGACACACCGAAAAACACCUAGGGUUUUGCCUCAUCUCACAACCUGCGCCGCCAUUGUAGUCUACUCCAUCCCAAACGCCGGCGUGCAUCGACGCGUGGGAGAGCAGGUCUCCGGAACCGUUCGUCUUUGCGAUCCUGCACCGGGAGAGGACGAAUUAGGUUUAUGGGAAGCGUUGUGCGCGACUGCUCAAAUUCGUCAUCACGGGUCGUCUUCCGUCCAAGUCGGGCGGUGCUACUCAUCGUCGUAUUCAUCGCCGUCAGCAGCAGAUCGUCACCAACAUCGUCAUCAACACUGUCACACCCUUAAUAGCUAACGAUCAGUACGUCCGACAUCCUCUGUUCAUGUCUGCUUCUACAGCUAUUGUUACGUGUUUGCUGCUGUUAUGCAUGUCUUGCUGUUCUUCUAGUUUGCUAGAUUAUUGCAUGCUAGUAUCUCUUCUAGUCAUGAAUUAUUUACUGGAAUCAAUCAUGAACUUGCCUAAUAUUCCAACAAUCCAAAAACCUAAUUAUAGGCAAUUUCCUGAGUUAACUAUGGCUGGAUUCGCUGAUGCACUGAGGCCGGAUAAGUUUACCGGUGUGCACUUUAAGAGGUGGCAGUUGAAGACCACGCUCUGGCUUACUGGUCUGAAAGUUUUCCACGCUAGUGUUGGUGCUCCAGAGGGAAUGACCGACGAAGAUCGGAGAAAAUUCCAGGAAGCCAAUACUAUGUUUGUGGGAUGCAUUCUGAGUGUUCUUGCUGACUGUCUGUGUGAUGUGUACAUGCACAUAAAUGACGGAAAGAUUCUGUGGGAUGCACUGAAUGCAAAAUUCGGUGCAACAGAUGCAGGCAGUGAACUGUACAUCAUGGAGAGUUUUCAUGACUACAAGAUGGUGAAUAACCGUUCUGUGGUUGAACAAGCUCAUGAGAUACAGUGCAUUGUGAAGGAACUUGAACUCCUUAAAUGUGUUCUACCUGACAAAUUCGUGGCUGGGCGCAUGAUUGCAAAGUUGCCUCCUUCAUGGAGGAAUUUCGCCACAACUCUGAAGCAUAAGAGACAGGAGAUAUCAGUUGAAAAUCUGAUUGCAUCUCUUGAUGUUGAAGAAAAAGCUCGGGCUAAAGAUACUACUGAAAAAGGAGGUGAGGUUCAGCCUACUGCUAACAUGGUGCAGAGGUACCCACAGAACAAGAACAAAGGGAAGAACAAACCUGUUUUCAACAAGCCUACCAAGACUACUACCUUCAAGAAGAAGAAGUUCAACAAGGCUGAGCUAGAGUGCUACGCCUGUGGGAAGCCUGGACACUUUUCCAAGGAAUGCCCUGAACAUGCAGACCGCAGAGGGAAAAUAAGCUCCAAGACUGUCAACAUGGUGACCGCUAGCAAUACUGAUGGGUAUGGUAAUUUACCUAUUGUGCUUUCAGUAUUUCAAUCAUCUUCGUGGUGGAUUGAUUCGGGUGCUAACGUUCAUGUGUGUGCUGACAUCUCCCUAUUUACUUCUUAUCAGGUCGCAAGGGAUUCUUCCGUCCUAAUGGGGAAUGGGUCACAUGCUUCGGGAAAGAUCGUGCAACUAAGGAACGUGCAGCAUGUCCCUACUAUGAACAAGAAUCUAGUUAGCGUCUCCCUUCUAUGUCGAGAUGGAUUUAAGGUAGUUUUAGAGUCCAAUAAAGUAAUCGUGUCAAGAUUUGGACAAUUUAUAGGAAAAGGCUACGAGUGUGGAGGCUUGUUCCGCUUUUCUCUUUCAGAUUUUUGCAAUAAGUCAAUAAACCAAAUUUGUGCUAGUGAUAAUGAUGAUGCAAGUAUUUGGCACUCUCGUUUAUGUCAUAUUAAUUUUGGUUUAAUGUCUCGGCUAUCCAGCAUGAGUUUAAUUCCGAACUUCAGAGUUGCCAAAGGUUCUAAGUGCCAUAGUUGUGUGCAAUCUAUGCAACCUCGAAAGCCUCAUAAGGCCGCCGAGGAGAGAAACUUGGCACCUCAAGAACUCAUACAUUCUGAUCUUUGUGAGAUGAAUGGUGUGUUGACAAAAGGUGGAAAGAGAUAUUUCAUGACUUUGAUUGAUGAUGCGACUAGAUUUUGCUAUGUUUAUUUGUUGCAAACUAAAGAUGAAGCAUUAGACUACUUUAAAAUCUAUAAAGCUGAAGUUGAAAAUCAACUAGAGAGAAAGAUCAAGCGUCUUAGGUCCGAUCAUGGUGGAGAGUAUUUUCCAAAAGUUUUUGAUGAAUUUUGUGAGGAACAUGGUAUUAUUCAUGAGAGGACGCCUCCCUAUUCACCUCAAUCAAAUGGAGUGGCCGAGAGGAAAAACCGCACAUUGACUAACUUGGUGAAUGCCAUGUUAGACACUGCUGGUUUAUCUAAGGCAUGGUGGGGGGAGGCUCUAUUGACUUCAUGUCAUGUCCUGAAUAGAGUUCCCAACAAUAAUAAGGAGAAAACCCCUUAUGAGGAGUGGGUUGGGAGAAAACCAUCACUUUCUUAUUUGCGCACUUGGGGAUGUUUGGCAAAGGUCAAUAUUCCUAUUCCUAAGAAACGCAAACUUGGACCAAAGACAGUGGAUUGUGUCUUUCUAGGGUAUGCUCAACGGAGCAUUGCUUAUAGGGUUUUAGUGGUAAAAUCUGAAGUUCCUGAUAUGCAUGUUGAUACUAUAAUGGAAUCUCGUGAUGCAACAUUUUUUGAGAACAUAUUUCCUAUGAAAGAUAUGCAUAGCAUUGCUAGAUUUUCUUCUGAGAUAAUUCCUGUAUCUAGUACAACUGAUGAAUAUUUCGAACAAUCACAUGAGGAAGUCCUUGAGAAGGAUAACAAUGAAGUUCCUAGAAGGAACAAGAGACAAAGGAUUGCAAAAUCCUUUGGUGAUGAUUUCAUUGUAUACCUUGUGGACGACACACCCAAGACGAUUGCAGAAGCAUAUGCAUCUCCGGAUGUAGAUGAUUGGAAAGAAGCUGUUCAUAAUGAGAUGGACUCAAUUAUUUCUAAUGGAACUUGGGAACUAACUGAUAGACCAUAUGGUUGUAAACCUGUGGGCUGUAAGUGGGUGUUCAAAAAGAAGCUCAAGCCUGAUGGUACUAUUGAUAAGUACAAGGCGCGGCUAGUGGCCAAGGGCUACACUCAGAAAGAAGGCGAAGAUUACUUUGACACCUAUUCACCCGUUGCUAGAAUGACCACCAUUCGAGUGUUACUUUCCUUGGCUGCCUCUUAUGGUCUUAUCAUUCAUCAAAUGGAUGUAAAGACAGCUUUUCUCAAUGGAGAGUUGGAAGAGGAGAUCUAUAUGGAUCAGCCUGACGGGUUUGUGGUUAAGGGUGAAGAGAGAAAGGUGUGCAAGUUGUUAAAAUCUUUGUAUGGUCUGAAACAGGCACCUAAGCAAUGGCAUGAGAAGUUUGAAAGAACUCUGACUUCUGCAGGAUUUGUCAUUAACGAGGCUGAUAGGUGUGUUUACUAUCGCCAUGGUGGGGGCAAUAGUGUCAUAUUAUGUUUGUAUGUGGACGACAUACUGAUCUUUGGUACAAACAUUAAUGCAAUUAAUGAGGUCAAGUCUUUUCUAUCAAAAAGUUUUGACAUGAAAGAUCUGGGAGAAGCCGAUGUAAUUCUAAACAUCAAACUUAUUAAGGAUGAGAGUGGGAUUACAUUAACGCAAUCUCACUAUGUUGAGAAGGUCUUGAACCGAUUCGGUUUUAUGGAUAGCAAGCCUUCUCCAACACCUUAUGAUCCCAGCGUGACACUCAGAAAGAACAAGAAAGAAACGAGAGAUCAAUUAAGAUACUCUCAAAUUGUCGGUUCACUCAUGUACUUAGCUAGCGCUACAAGACCAGAUAUCUCUUUUGCUGUGAGCAAACUGAGUAGGUUCAUGUCCAACCCGGGUGAUGAUCAUUGGCAUGCACUAGAAAGGGUCUUACGCUAUCUGAGAGGUACUAUGAGUUACGGAAUUACUUAUUCAGGGCAUCCUGCUGUGCUAGAAGGAUAUAGUGAUUCAAAUUGGAUCUCCGAUGUUGAUGUACUUUACGCAACAAGUGGGUAUGUAUUUACUCAUGGUGGUGGCGCAGUGUCAUGGAGGUCUUGCAAGCAAACCAUAUUGACGAGGUCAACUAUGGAAGCAGAAUUAACUGCUUUGGACACAGCUACUGUUGAGGCAGAAUGGCUGCGUGAGCUCUUGAUGGACUUGCCGAUUGUUGAAAAACCUGUACCGGCUAUUCUUAUGAAUUGUGAUAACCAAACGGUUAUCGCUAAAGUGAACAAUUCUAAAGAUAAUGCAAAGUCAUCAAGACACGUGAAAAGACGUUUGAAGUCUGUCAGGAAGUUGAGAAACUCCGGAGUAAUAACUGUUACAUAUAUACAAACAGACAAAAACCUGGCAGAUCCCUUUACAAAGGGACUAUCACGAAAUGUGAUAGAUAUUGCAUCGAGGGAGAUGGGUAUGAGACCCAUAGAUGUUACACCAUAGUACUAACCCAACCUUUGUGAUCGGAGAUCCCGUGAAUUAGGAUCUGGGAAGAACAAGCUAUUGGUUAACUGAGGAGAGUAAUAACUUAUGAUCGUCUCCAAGUGAAGAUGCAAAACUCUCAGAGCUGUAAAGCUCAGAUCUGUAAGGCAGGUUGGCAACAUGCCUUAAUGUGGUUCUAUUGGCUAUAAUUAGCAAAGAUGCUGUCCUACAGAGCAGUCUUGAAAGAACACACCUAUAUGAGUUCUGACUGUAAACGUCGCAGUCUAUGAGAUUUGGGUGAUCUCUAGUAAGCUCACGAAGAGACAAGGGAGUAUGACGUAUAAGCUCCAAACCGCGGGGUAGCCUACUGACGUAUAAGCUUCCUUUUGCCGUUUUAUUUUUAUGUCUUGGCAUACAAGUUUUUUAUUACUUGUCCGGUAAGUAUACGAAUUAGAAACCGAGUCGGUUUGGGAUUGUGGUCGCGACACAAUACCGCCUCUGGUCCUAAUAUAUAUACAGCUACCGGCUGCGGCCAGAGACACACCGAAAAACACCUAGGGUUUUGCCUCAUCUCACAACUUGCGCCGCCAUCGUAGUCUACUCCAUCCCAACGCCGGCGUGCAUCGGCGCGUGGGAGAGCAGGUCUCCGGAACCGUUCGUCUUUGCGAUCCUGCACCGGGAGAGGACGAAUUAGGUUUUUGGGAAGCGCUGUGCGCGACUGCUCAAAUUCGUCAUCACGGGUCGUCUUCCGUCCAAGUCGGGCGGUGCUACUCAUCGUCGUAUUCAUCGCCGUCAGCAGCAGAUCAUCGCCAAUAUCGUCAUCAACACUGUCGCACCCAUAUAGCUAACGAUCAUUACGUCCGACAUCCUCUGUUCAUGUCUGCUUCUACAGCUAUUGUUACGUGUUUGUUGUUGUUAUGCAUGUCUUGCUGUUCUUCUAGUUUGCUAGAUUAUUGCAUGCUAGUAUCUCUUCUAGUCAUGAAUUAUUUACUGGAAUUAAUCAUGAACUUGCCUAAUAUUCCCACAGACGCAAUAAUUGUUUUCGGGAUUUUGAAUAAAUCAGAAAAUGAUUUGUUUAAUUCCGAAAAUACUCCAAAAUUUGGAAAAUCAUGGAAAAUAAUCUGUAACUCAGAUGGAGAUAAUUUAUAUAUGAAAAAUUAUCAGGAAAAUAUGAAGAAUCUAUUUAUAGCAUUUUCAUGUAUGUUUGAACAAGUUAAGUUUUCUGUAUAAGACAAUUUGAAUAAAUGUCAUUUUAAAUUCUUAUGUGGAGUUUGAAUUUGAACCUUUGGUUCAAACCAACUUUAUUUAAAUUGUUGCUAGUUGCAUUAGUCCAAACACCAGCAUGCCAUGUCAUGAUCAUGCAUCAUACUGCUGCAUUGCAUUGAUUGUGUUCCCUCUCUGUUGCCGGUGUUUGUUCCUUCUCGAUAGAAGACGAUUCGGACGUUGUGAUCAUUGACACCGAUGAAGAGCUACUAUCUUCAAAGUGUCAGGCAAGCAAAUCCCCUUUGAGCAUUCUGAUACAAUCCCACUCUCUAACUCUUGCUCUCUUUUACUGCAUUAGGACAACAAUGAUUCAACUGUUACAUGUUGUGGUAGUUGAACCCAUUCCUCUGCAUGAUCUGUCUUUGCCACAGUAAAUAGUAAAACCCACUAGCAUGAGUAGGAGUAUUUUGAGCCAUGAUGUGCCUACUCAUUCAUGCUUGCUUGUUAUACCUGCUAUGCUUAGAGUUGUGUCAGGUUUGAUUCAUCUGGGUUGGCUUGGAAUGGUGAUGAACAUGUCCUACUGCUGAGCUCUAAGUGUGUGAACACGAUUUGGUAAAGGUAGCGAUGAGAGGCAAUGUAGGAGUACAUGGUGGGUUGUCUCGUUGAAAUCGUCCUUAGGAACUGAGUUCCGUGUUUGUGAUCCAAGACAGUUACUACCACACAUCGGGUUUCGAUAACUUGACCCCUCUCGACUUACUAAUCGCCUUGAUCUCUAUCUAGGAGUUGUAACUAGUUUCUGGUGUUUGUAGGAUGUGCUGGGGGCUGUACCUAGCGCUGACCGGAGGGGUAGGCUUUGUUACGGUAGGCACCAUGGCACGGUGUAUCAAGCGCAGUACUAUUGGUCGAGGUGGACAUGGGAAUCCUGCACACAUCGUUUGACGCCGUGAUGGAAACUUCGGCCGAACAUCCGUUACGGGUCAGUUCUCAGAUAGGCGAUAAACCUAGACUAGAGUCUUGCGUGGUUAGUCAGGUUGUGGCUGACACCCUCGCUAGGCUUCCGCUUGAAGGUUUCCGAGAUACAUGACGUGUAUAUGGUGUUAAGUGGUGAGAGCGUGUGUGAAGAAAUACACCCCUGCAGGGUAAUAUAAUCUAUUCGGAUAGCCGCGUCCUCGGAUAUGGACUACUUGGAAAGCUUGUAUGGUCCAUAGAUAACCUGAAGUGGAUACUCUAAAUGCGCAAAAUAAGUGUGAGUGCUAUGGAUGGCCUUCUCAUGGGGAGACGGGAGCGGAUCCAUAGUGGUGUAUUGAUAUGGUGAAUAUGUGGACUCACGUGCGCUUUCUCACCUCAAAGAAGUUAUUGGUAGUCAUAGUACAUGAAAGCCACUGAGUCAAAGCUGGCUUGCUGUAGUUAAACUCCACAACCCCAUUGUUGAUACUGAUGCAUAAGUAGAUAGUUCUGAUGUAAGUCUUGCUGAGUACAUUUGUACUCACGUUUGCUUAAUUGAUGUUUUUGCAGAGGAGAUUUCAAUCUCGCUAGUAGUUUCACAUGGGCUUUGACGGUUAGCUUGGGAAUCCCAGACAGAGGUAUGGCUCCUAUGGAGGGUAUUGUAGACAGACAUGCUUCCUAGCCUUCUUUCUUUUCAGCUGUCUAUAUUCAGACAGGUUUAUGCUUCCGCUUGUUGCUUGUAUGACUUUGUAUGUUGGGUCAUGAGACCAAUGUUCGUAAUAUCAUGUUAUGUGUGGCUCUUCAGAGCCUCUUAAAUAAAUACUUGAGUCGUAGAGUUAUAUUGUGACGACAUGUUGUAUCCACACAUAUUUGCAUGUUCUACAUACAUAUGAUGUGUGUUGCAAUGUGUUGGGUCACGAUAAAUCUUCUAUUGGAUUGCUUGAAUCUUUUGAUCUUUUGGUCCAACAAAAUUAUACUGUAAUAAUUAGGUCCAACAGAACAAAUCAGAAAACUUUGCUUGUACCAGACAUGGUUAGGUCCAAUAGAACAAAUGAAUCAUCUCUUCUUGGAGGAUUGUUUAAUUUAUCUUAGAUGUACCAAAAAUGAUCAUUGUGUUGGUCACCAGGAAGCAUCACAAGAUAAUUUAACAUCCAACAUGAAAGAACAUAGAUCUCAAUUCAAACAUCAUGCAAUAACUAACAGACUUCUCAAGUGUAAAUGGAAUCAUCACCACUAUAGCAGCUAUAUUUUGAACACCACGGAAACUCCAAUUUGAAACUGCAUCCUCAUUAAUAGAAACUGGAAAUUAGCUUGUCUAGUUCCAGUUUGAUUUGUUCAUCAACUAAAGAGUUAUAGUUUAAAUGACAAAUUUCACAUCCAAACUACAUAUCACAUCACAAAUUUAGGGUAAUUCAUACAUAGUAUAAAUAUAGGUAGCAUAGUACAGAAGAUCAGUUCCCAUCAAUCAAAUAUAGCAAUAGUCUUUGCAACAAAAUAUAUAAUAUAGACUUUCUUCUUGAGCUCAGCCACUUAGAUCAAUGACAUCAUCCUCUUCAAAAUUCCCUUUGAUAUUUUUCGGCUUGCCCUUGUGAAUUUCCCCAAUUUUAAGAAGCUCAGCUAUGACAUACUCUACCUUCUUAAUAUCUUUCCGGAUAACAUCCAUGUCCUUCAUCAUAGUCUCGAGCUCAUAUAUGUCCUUCUUCAGAACAUCCCUCUUCUUCAUCACAUCAUCCGAAGGGAAAGCUAGCUCCUUCCUAUCCUUUUUUAGGUCAAGGGUCUCCCUCAUGAUCAGAACCAUCUCCUUCUUGAGCCCAUCUUUGUCCACUUUCAGCUUAUCAUUAUCCUUCCUAGUGUUCUUGGUCACUUCUCGCUGAACAACAUGAAUGGCCUUGAGAUCACUGAUUACAUACUGCUUGUUCUCUAGCUGCUUCUGCAGGUCUAUAGAGUCCUCUGACAUCAUUUUUGGUAAUUCUCUUGCCACACCUUUUGGCAUUGCCUGACCCAGUGCUUGUUCCCAUCACUAGCAAACUCAGUGAAUUGGAAGUCCAACUACUUAAUCUUAUCUUUGAGAUUGAGCACUUCCUCUGCAGGAUCAAGCCCUUCCUGGGUUCUAGCAACCAUACACUUUUCAUAUUUUUUCCAGAGCAUGUGAAGUGCCUUUUUCAGGGCUUCGGGCCAGUCCUUCACUACUAGGGAAAACCUUAUACACAGAGGUAUAGCAGUAGCGCUGGUCAAAACAUGGCGCUAUUGCUACUUAUUAGUUGCGCUUGUUACAAAAGCACGCUACAACCAUUGUUGUAGCAGUAGCGCGUCUGCCCGGAAAAGCGCUACUACUAUAAUUCCCUCGUUGGUGCCGGUAGGCUAGGAAUAGUAGUGGCGGUUCUUCCAGAAGCACGCUACUGCUAAAAACUUUGUAGCAGCGCAUUUAUGCUGUAGAGCGCUACUGCUAUGAAAAGGAAAAUAAAUAGAAAAAUAAGUAGAAAAGUAAAUGAAAAUGAAAGAAAUAGAAAAAGGAGAAAUGAAAAAAAGAAAAUGUAAAGAAAACAAAAGAAAAAGAAAAAGAAAACAGAAAGGAAUAGCUGUAGCGCGUUUCGCUGGAAAACGCUAUAGCUAACUUAGCUAUAGCGUGUUUCGGUAAAACGCACUACUGCUAGUUUGACUUAACCCCCAGCCGCGCGGGCUCAAAAUUUUGCUAAGUCCUUCCCCCUCCACUCCCCCCUCUCCCCCAACUGCUCCAUCGCCGUUGUCGCCCUGCCGCCUUCAACCACACCGCCGCCACCCAAGGCCGUCUUCGACCACACCGCCGCCGCCCGAGGCCGCCCUCGACUUCACCGCCGCCGCCCGAGCCAGAGCCUGCCCUCGCCGUCGACCGUAAAGCUCUGCCUCUCCUUUCCCCUACCCUCCUAUCUCUCUUUGCUAGGGUAAUUCAUAUAUAUGUUGACGUUGUGUUGAUGUUCAUAUGAACCCUAGGUGUUCAUAUGAACCCUAGAUUUGUUGAGGGCAGUAGGCAUUUUUUGGCAUUUAGGAAAAAUGAUUGGCAAUUUUUUUAGGAAAUUAGCUAGGGAAAUUUUUUAUGAAAAUGCCUAAACAGUAAUUCCAUUUAGCUUUCAAUUAAUAGAGGGUAUGUAAAUAAUAGUAGCAUUUUGAUUAGAUUAAUAGACGCUAUAAACAAAAAACACUUAGAUAUAAAAAUUUAUUUGGACUAUGGACUUGAAUCUGUUCCAAAUUUCAUUCAAAUGAAAUUUGAAUUAUUUGGACUAUGGACCUGAAUCUGUUCCAAAUUUCAUUCAAAUGAAAUUUGAAUUAUUUGGACUAUGGACCUGAAUAUUUCUGAAGAAAUUGGGUGUAGGUACUAAGCUCUUGCUGCGGAAUUUUUGGUGAGGUCAGAAGGGUUAGAGAAAAUGGAGUUCCUAGACUUUUAGCUUUAGACAAAAAACAAAAGUAUUUAGCUAUAAAUAAAAAACAGUAGCUAUGGCAUUUAGCUAUAAACAAAAAACAGAAUUGUUUUUCUUUUCAAAAACUUGGUUAAACUAAUCGUUGCUAUGUAAACAAAAAACAAGAUUUUUGUUAUAUCAUAUAUGUCAUUGAUGUUCAUUUGCACAUUCCAUUAUUGUUGAUUAUAUCUUUUCAUUGAAGUGGCUAUGUUAUAUGCAAAUUCCUCAAUAGUGUUUGCUCAUGUUAUAUCUUUUCAUUGAAGUGGUUCGAUUGUGCCCAAAGUGGCUUCGUUGUUUCCAGGGAAUGAAGCCGAGUGGCCUAUGUUUUUCCGGAAUGUUGAUUCGUUUCCGUUCCGGCAAAUUUCAGGCUCUCGAUUUGUCCACUUUUUAGCAAAAGUCAUGCCGAAAUUUUCCGUGAAUUUCGGCAUGACUUGUGCUACAAACUAGGACAUAUCGAGUGCCCGGGAUUUGCCGCACAGGGAAGGAGUCAACGUUCCUGCAGAGCAUAGACCUUUUUUUAUGUCAUUAUUCAUUUUAUUAGGUCUAGAAUUAAUUGACUAAAUUUAAUCGUAGGAAACAUGGCUAGCAACGAUGAAGGACAGGGUUCUGGUGACUGCGACAACGUCUACCUGGCAGCAGAAGAAUUUUUUAUGGAAGAUGACGAUCAAGAGUUGAUGUUGCUGGGUCCACCUGUCACAUCAGAGAUUGAGACCGACAUCGAGACCGGCGCUGAGAUAGAGACUGGCACUGAGAGUGAGACCGGCAUCGAGACCGGCACUGAGACUGAGACCGGCGCCGAGACCGGCGCCGAGACUAGCGGAGCCGGUAUAGACCCGAAAGCAAAGAGGCAACUGCUUCCUAACAAGCUCAGGUCUAAUAGACUGGUGGUCACGGAGGUGGACGACGGCAAUUUUGAACCAAACGCGCCCUAGGAAGCGCGCGCGUGCUACGACAAUCAAAUAGGAUGCAUCAUACGGACAACCGCCACCAUCAAAGAUGAGAAACUAAAGAAGAUAGAUAAUAUGAGGCCCUCCCUCCUAAAGAAGUUGCACCUGAUAUUCUUGUUCCCGGGCCGGAAUGAAAAGGAUUAUAAAGAUCCAGAUAAGGACCUGGCAAUGAAGAAGAAAAACAAACACGUCAUGACCAAGUUUAGCGACGCGUUGGCCGCCUGGAAAUCAAGGGUGAAAUAUCGGAUCGUUGACAAAAAGGAACCCUACUCCGAGAUUGUAAAGGAUAAUCCGACAACCAUGGUAGAGCACUUUCAAAUAUUCAAGGCAGCUUGCGAGGCCGAAGCUGCCAAAAAAUAGUCGAAGUACAUGAAGGGGCUUCAAUAGAGGAACAUUGGGUGCCCCCACCUCGGAAGUCGUGGUUACGGCAGGAAGAGGUCCAUAUGGGCCAUGGAGGACGCGGAAGCCGCGAGUCCGGGCAUCCCAGACCCCUUGGCGGAGUUCACCGUCCCGCAGGAGCGUGACAUCCUCAGGGCCCGGCACCGUUGGGAUCCAAUGAAGAAGGUUUUCGAGACGAACGCGGUCACGGCGGAGUUCAUGUGACUGCUGGCAAUUUUAGUUUCUGAUCAAUUCGACUGCACGUUAGUCAUAUUUAUAAACGAUCCUUGUGCCAUUUGCAGAGAGAGCAGCGCAGGAUUGCGGCCGAAAGCGACUCGCCGUCUGAGGCGUUGGCGAGGCCCAAGUGGGACACUCCAUUCAACCGGGCGUUGAACAUAUUGAAAGGACUCCCGGUGGAGACUCGACUGUCGUAUGGACGCGUGCACGGUGUCGGAGAUGGCGCCACGUGGAAGAAGUACUACCGUGAGACCACGGAGGAGAGAAAGGAAAGACGGAGGUUAACUGAAGAAAACAUUGACAAGAAGGUUGAGAUUGCGGUUGAGAAGAAAUCAUCUAAGACAGUCGCAAUAGCGGUAGCUGCCGCAAAACAGGUGCUUGUACAUAUGUCUACUACCUUGGUUCCGGCCGUUUUCAAUUGGAGCAGGCAAAAUCUAGAAAAAAAUGCAGCGGAGUUUCCCCUUGCUGACUUCUUUGGGAGCAGCUCGACUAGCGUUGCACCAGCACCUGCAGCUGCACAUGCUCCCGCACCGGCUCCCGCACCGGCUCGUGCACCUGCUCCCGCACCGGCUCCCGAACCUGCUCCAGCACCGGCUCCGGCACCGGACGUGCUCGGCGGUGCUUCGUCUUUGGCUGAGCUCGACGCCCUCACGGUGUCUGUCACACCGGCCCCCAUCAAUAAAUGUAUUAUCUCCCGUUUUCGUUGCCUUUCGGAUGUCUCACGUCACAGACUUUUCUUUGCAGGCCGACGAAACCCCGUGCACCAUAUUGUACACCAUCGGCGACAAGAAGGUGGACGUGGGGAAGGCGACGAUAAUGGAGCCGAAGGAACCAUUGUUCCACAGCGGCUGAUCCCCCAGGACGUCUUCAAGGUUUCCGUGGCCAGUGUCAAACCGGGCCACGAGAAUUUGACUCCUCUGGUACUAGUGGGGGAUGACAACGAGACCCCACGGCGGCUUGGUAAUUGUUGCAAUGGGUGGGUCCUGUUGUGGCCAAAGAGUCUGCUUCGUCUGGAGGUGGCCGGGAGCACACCCACGAGCACACAGUUAGGUAUGAACAUCAACACCUCACCUACCCAAUUAGCGUCGGCUGUCGUGCUAGGUGAUAGCGGAGGGGGUGAGGAAGAGGCUCCAUUAGUCACUGGUGAUGUCGCCAUAGAUGAGGAUGAGGAUGACGAUGACACUCAACAGUAUGUCAAUACUGGUGCCUACUUAGGGUUUGAGCGUCAUGAGUCGGUGCCUGAAUUGCCGCCUCCGAAGUCUGAACGUAUUAUGGACAACCUUCCGGUAGUAAAGAAGUCUAGGAAGAGACCGAGGAAAGGCAAAAAAGCUGCUUCUAUGAUCCAGCCGCCUCAGCAGCCUCGGGUUCAAGACUGUAUAGAUAUCCCCGGUGCGGCAAAAUGGCAUAUCCAUGGUCAACCAAUCCUACCUAAAGCAGCGCUAGGGGCUAGAUUCGGCGAUUUAAGGAGACUUCAUGACGAUGUGCUGCGGAUAGAGAAAUGGCUCAUCGCCUCAAAAAAUCCAGGAUACCCACUCUACAUGGUUAACGUGCCGCGGCAAUUCUCGUACGUCGACACAUUCCCCGCGGAGAAGUUCUUCCUUCGAUUCGAUUACAUCUUCGACAUGUUUCACUUAAAGAAACUGGAUUUUACGUUUGUCCGCCUUUAUGUCUUGCACAUGAACUACCUCAUCAGGGUUGAGCAGAUACCUCAUAUCUGUGUCGCUAGCCCGUACUUCAUGCAUGAGGGCUUCUUGGGAGUCUGCGCAGAGCACCGUGAAUAAGCAAGGGAAUACAUCGCCAAUUUCAUGCUCACCAUAAGGACAAGGAGGCGAUUCUCGUGCCUUAUCAUCCCCUGUAAGUCAUCUGCGCGGAUAUCCUUCCUUUGAUUUCAAUCAUUCAUUUGCACAGUGGAGGCUAAUUAAUUUGAGGUGUACUUAUUUUUCGCAGCGGCGGGCGCGCCGUCCUCAUCAUCCUCUACCCCCGAUACUCCCACGCUCUUUACUUGGACUCGUCGAAGAACAUUAACAAAAAGGAUUACACCCACAUGAAGUCUGUUCUCGACAGUGCUAUGUUUUACUACGGCGCACGGGGUGGAGAGGUCAAGGACAAGAAGAAAAGGGACGGCAGGCCCGCCUUUGGCCAUAAGACCGACUUCUGCUGCAUCCACCAACCGAGUUAUUCUCUUAAUGAUGGAUUCUAUGUCCUACACCACAUGCUGGAGUACAGACGGGAUCACCAGAACCUUCGCAUGUCACCUAGAUCCGGCGAUGCCCAUAUUCUGCAAUGGGCAAAGAACUUAGGAGAUAUCGAGGAUCAUCGACUUCGAGCUGAGUUCUAUCACAUCCAGCGCAAACUUGCCCAAAUCAUCAUGAAGGAGGUCGUCGAAAAAACAGGGAUUUUCUAUGAAGAAGGACAAAUGUCGCGGGAAGACGUCCGAACACGCGUAGCGGCUCAGCUUCUCGACCUGAAGCCUUUCACUAAGCUUGGGGACUAUCUCCCUGACUUGGAUGCAUGGCACGACAUGUUGGAGUGAUUGUCGAUAUAUGACAAUGUGUCUGUUUAGUCCAUACUAUCUGUAUCACGAAACUCUGAGUUAUGCAUGACGAAACUUUAUUUGUUAUGUAAUUAAACCGUCCUCCUCGACUAGUGAAGAUCACUCUAGUUAGGGCUUUUUGGGUACGAUGAAUUUUGUUAUAUAUGCUUAUGGUAUGUUGCUUCUAUUUUUGCCAAGUCUGUCUCUUUCUGUUGCUCAACUAUAUAUGUUGCAUAUCAUCGACUCAUGUGACGAUGCAGGUGUAUAGAUCAUCGAUGGCGAAGAAGUGCUACGCCAGGAGUAUACGACGAGUGGCCGGAAUGUCAGGCCCAGGUGUACCGGUUUCCGGUUUCCGAGCGACAGCCAGUAGUUAGUUUAGGUUCACGCUAAUGCGAGAGAGGGAUACGAACUCAUGUACUGCAUAGUUCCGCUCUCACUCAAAGUGAUAGCUCUUCUCGCGUAUAUCAUUGUUUAGAUGGAUGACGACGUAGUUGCAAGUAAUCGAGACUUGUAUCGCUAUUUUUGAGAUGAUGACGAGAGACCACUUGUUGUUGGAUGAUGAUUAUGAUGAUGGCAUGAUUUGAUGAGACUAUUUGUAUGUAUAUGCUAUGAUUACAUUUGUAUGUGUAUGAUAUGCUAAAGAUUAUUGUAUAAAGCCUAUUCAAAUACAAAACAAAUAUGCAUAAAAAAAUAAAAACUAAUAAAACUAGCAGUAGCGAGGGGAACAAAGUUAGCAGUAGCGCUCCCUUACCAGUAGCGCUUCGUGCUAAAAAGCGCUGCAGAUAUUAGCAGCAGCGCUCUGCACUAAAGCGCGCUACUGCUAGCCAUGUAUAGCAGUAGCAUGGGAUGACAGGUGCUACUGCUACACGUUAGCUGUAGCGCCUUAUCAGUAGCACGUCGUCCCGAGCUACUGAUAGGCAAAAUACCCGCGCUACUGCUAGGGUUUUCCGUAGUAGUGCUUGUCAACCCAAUGAAUAAAUCUACCGUUUCCUAGUUGCAAUAAGAAACAAUUAGCAUUUAAUUAAUGGACACACAUUAGUCAAUAUAUUUUGAAAUGAGCAAAGUAUAGCAUAACUAGAUGAAAACCAAAUAUAGCAUAAGUGAGCUAGAAUGUUCCACAAACACGACAUGUCACAACUAAGUUACAAUGUUCUACCAACACAGCUUAGCAGCCAAACAAAACAUAGCUAUAAGACAUCCAAAUAUAGCACAAUAUAGUUGAAUUGUUCCACAAAAGUUGUGCAUGGGAUAACUGAAAUAUACAAUGGGUAUUGUCACAGAACACUAACUCUAGUUUAUACCAUUUACAUAUACUUUUUCCAGACAACCAUCACUUACUGAACAAGCAUCCCAUCAUUAGAGUCUGAGAAGAAAUGCAGCCUUCUCAGGGCGUCGAGAUCUGGGCCGUUGGAUUAAGCUUUCAAAAGAAUUGCGACCAUCAGAUCUUCAGAUGGAUCGAUCCGGGCCGUCGGAUCAUAGCAAACACUGCUACAGUGAAUAGUGUUGUUUCUUUUUUAUUUUGGUCUAUUAUUACUAUCUCGCUGACUGAUGGGCCACGCGGUAAGUGGUCCAUUGCUGUUAGUGAGAGCAGAGCACUAAGCGGUCGGUGCUGGUUCGUACAGGCUCAGGGGUCAGGCCAACGCCUGUGAAAUUGGGUAGCCGCUGAGGGCAAAUUCAACAUUUCACGUCAUCGCCCCUGCGUGACGCUCCGUGGAUGGCUAGUCAGCAAGUAAUGGCGAGGGAGCGACCCAUUGGCUAGAAACCUAGCCGCCUCUUCCCCGUCGUGUUCCUAUCUGUGUCGUUUGAGCUGCGGUCGCCAUCGAGGACGUGUCACUCGCACCGCCACUUCCCUGUCGAGCUCAUGCGUCCACUAGCCACACCGUCUCUUUUCCAUGCCUGCUCAUCCUCCGUUCCUCUUCGAUCACCGAGCUCGCCGUCGCUAUCGUCGGGAGGAAGCGAUUGGUGGACCUAGCCCACCGCCAUCAACGGGUGGAGCGCAGGAACCCGCGAUGCCCCUCCAGCGACCAGCACUUAUCCCUCGCCCAGCGACGAGGCCCCAUCGAACUCGCGUGUGGUCGCAGCUGGGAAUCCUCCUGUCCGCUCCUUGCUCCCCGCCGAGAGCCUUGAUUGGAUCUGGAUCCUGAGCUCUCCGUGCCCGCAUCGCCCCACCAUUCAUGGUGCACCACCAGCACGAGCUGCACAUCAUCAUGUCGUCAGAGGGAGAGCGGGAGGAAGUUGGCGCUGUUUAUCCCCACGAGGUGUGCCGUCGACGGUAGGAAGCCAGGCAGGGCGACGGGGAAAUACCGACGUAGUUCAAGCCGCAUCAAAAGGAAUUUCUGGCGCAGUUGCCAGGGAGACAUCAUCAACAUCUAUGAGGUUCCUAAUCACAAAUCCCAUCUCCUUGCAAUUUACAUUAUUUGCCAUUUGCCUCUCGUUUUCAUCUCCCCCACUUCACAAAAAAUUGCCGUUUUAUUCGCCCUCUUUUUCGUUUGCCUUUUUCUGGUUCGAUCUUAUGUUUGUUUGUGUCUCCAUGUGCCUUCUAUUUUGCUUGCAUCUUUUCUUGCUAAAACCUAUUGUUAUGGAUCCACUCAAAGUUUUGUACCUGGAUCUUGUUCGACCCAUAUGUGCUCGUGCUGAAACCCCAACUAGUUUAGUUGAGGGAAAAUCAUUAGAUGAGCAUGCUCUUUUUGCCCGUCAUCGUUUGUCUGAAAAAGGGAAGCUCUUAUGGAAUCAAAUAAAUUGUUUGCUAUGAUAUGCUUGGAAUCAUUAUGAAAUUUGUGAUUUUACUUGUUGCUCUAAGAACCCCAAAAAACACUUCCCCUAUCUAUGUGAGUUUAAUGACAAUGAAGUCUUAUGUUCUUAUGCCAAGGAGGUUUAUAGUUACUAUGAUAUCGAACAAAUUGAACAAUUUGUUGCUUUUAAGGGUGCUUAGAAGUUGCUUAUUUGAUUGAAAAGUAUGAUAUUACUCUCUACAAAUCUGAAAAUUUUGACAUACUUAAAUAUUGCUAUGAAAACUAUGCUCAUAAUGCCUAUGUUAAAGAAUUUAUUGAGAGAAUGUCCUAUGCUUUGAAAGAAAAUAGUGAUAUGCAUGAAGCUAUGGAUAACCAUGAUUCCGUUGAUUUGAUUGAAUUAUCCCCUCUUGAUGAACACGUUGCUAGCUAUUCUUGUGGCCAUGAUGCCAAUAUUAAUGAUGCUUAUGAAGAUGAACUUGCUAUAGUUCUUUAUGUUAAACAUGAAAUUAUUGCUAUUGCACGCACGCUGGAUAGCUCCUUUAAUGAAAAGCAUGAUUGCAAUGAUAUUAUUAUAGAUUCUAUUAAUCUCAAGUUUGUUAGUGAUAUGCAAAACCCCAAGCUUGGGGAUGCUUGUUUUGUUAUGUCCGCUACUUAUUGCAAUGAUCAUGAUUGGGGUGAUGAUGACUUUUAUGAUCUUGAUAGUCUAUUUAAGCCUCAUGAUGAAUAUGUUUGCAAUAAUAUUAAAAGUGGGUUUGGAAGAGUGUCAAAUAUUGAUAAAAAUAAUCCCACAAAUUUGGAGAGUGUUCAAUCUUAUGAUUUUUUUAUAAAAGUGGGCUUGGAAAGGUCAUGACUUUAUUUUAUGGUAAUCCCACUAUUUUGGAAGAGUGUCAACUUUGCAUGCAUGUGGAUCAUGUAGAGAAUAUGUUAUGUGAUAUCUAUAUUAUUGAAUUUGAACAUGAUUCCACAUGUAAUUGUUAUGAGAGAGGGAAAUAUGGUUGUAGAAAUUUCUUGCUACUAAGUCACCUCUCGUUAUGUUGAAUUGUCAAAGUUUUAUUUGUUUCCUAUGUAUAUGCUAGAUAUUUCUUGUUUUGAUAAUUUGUUUGCCUGUAAAAUUCCUAUACAUAGGAAAUAUGUUAGACUUAAAUGUGUUUAUCACAUGUUUUAUGAUCCUCUCUUUGUGUUUCAAUUAUUAUCUUUCAUGUGAGCAUCAUUGAAAUCGCAAAGCCUAUCUUAAUGGCUAUAAAGAAAGAGCUUGUUGGGAGGCAACCCAACGAAUAAAUUUUAUGUUUGCCUUUUUGUUUCUGUACAAUUAUGCCUCUGUUAUGAUUAUGUUUUUUAUGUUUUAAUUAGUGUUUGUGCGAAGCAAAGCCUUUUAGGAUCAUGUUGGGUGAUAGUUGAUUUGAUCUUGCUGAAAAACAGAAAAUUAUGAGUCCAGUAACACAAUUAUUAAAAUUCACAGAAGCGUGAUAAAAUUCUGAUUUUUUUACAGAAGAUUAAUACAAAUAGCGUAUGUUGUCCUAAUUUUUCAGAAUUUUUGCAGUUACAUAAGUAUACGAAGUUUUCAGAUUGCUACAGACUAUUCUGUUUUUGACAGAUUAUAUUUUCUUUUUGUUGUGUGCUUAUUUUGAUGAAUAUAUGGACUUUAUUGGAGGGUAUAAGCUAUAGUAAAGUUCGAAUACAGUACAUAUAAUGCAAAAAUAAAAUAUGAAUGGGUUUGCAACAGUACUUAGACUAGUGAUUUGCUUUGUUAUACUAACGGAUCUCACGAUGGUUUUGUUGAGUUUUGUGUGAUUGAAGUUUUUCAAGUUUUGGGUGAGAUCACGAUGGAUGAAGGAAUAAGGAGUAUGAAGAGACUAAUCUCGGGGAGGCCCAUGGCACCCCAAGUUAUUAUCCAAAGAGGAACAAGCAAUUAAGAUUGGGGAUGCCCCCGAGUGGCAUCCCCUCUUUCUUCUAAUGACCAUCGGUAUUUUACUUGGAGCUAUAUUUUUAUUCGUCACAUAUCAUGAGUUUUGCUUGGAGCAUCUUGUAUUAUAUGAGUCUUUGCUUAUUUUGCUUUUUUAUUUUGUGUCAUCUAUCCUUGCUGGACACACCUAUUUGAGAGGGCCCAAAUUAUGCUAUGGAAUCUUUUUGCUUCACUUAAAUCUUUUUGAGCUAUGGAAUUGAUCUUUGUGCUUCACUUAAAUCUUUUUGAGCUAUGAAAUUGCUCUAGUGCUUCACUUAUAUCUUUUUGAGAACGGUGUGCUUUGGUAUUUUUGAAGAAAUGCUCUCAUACUUCACGUAGAUUUAUUUGAGAGUUAGUAAAUUUUUUAAGAAAUCCUCUCAUGCUUCACAUAAAUUAAUUUGAGAGAAGAAAUUUUUUAUGCUCGUGUUCUUCACUUAGAUUUGUUUGAGCUAUCAAAAGCAACAUAUGAAAUUAGUCCCAAAGUGAUAGAUAUUCAAGAGGGAUAUAAUAAAAACUUUCAUGAAGAUCGUUAGACAAAAUAAACUUGAUUCUUUGUAAUAGUUUUGCGGUAUGACGAUAUAAUAUGUGAGUCAUGUUGAUGAGUUAUUACGCUUUAGUGAGAAUAUUGAUGUUAAGGUUUGUGAUUCUCUAUGUAAGCACGAAAGUCAAUAGUUAUGCAAUGAAAUUACAUCCUACUUGUCGUGCAUUAUUCGGUGUUAGUUCUGCUUAAUUCUUGCUUAUGAGAUUUUUUGUUUCUUGGUUGGAUGCUUCUCAAUAUUUUGCUAGCCUUCAAUUGUACUAAGUGGGAUUACUACUUGUGCAUCCAAAAUCCUUGAACCCAGUUUUUGCCAUAUGAGUCCACUAUACCUACCUAUAUGCGGUAUUCAUUUGCCGUUCUAAGAAAAUUUGUAUGUGCCAUCUCUAAUCUUCAAAAUAACUUCCUUUUUGUGUGCUCGUACCGCUCAUGAAACGGUAGGGGGUGGCUGAUAUUUUUCCAUGCUAGAUGUGUUAUUCUCAAGAUGAGUGUUUAUUCACUUGUCACUGCACGAGAGUAUGGCAAAGUUAUUAGGGAUGCCCAGUCCUGAAAUGAAAAAUGAAUUUACUUUAUGUUGUCAAAUAAUAAACUCCUUGGAAAGUGUUGGUAUGGACGGUACCCGUGGAUUCGGUUCGCCGUGGAAUGUGAAAGUAUGGUGGAAAAAGGAAUAAACUUUAUUUUCUGUUUGGGAACCACCUAUGAUAUAUCUAGCAUGGAAAGUAUUGGGAACUACUCGAUCGUUUUCAUUGACAGGAAAGGCAUGCCACCCAAAAUGUCUUAUCUCUAUCUUUUUCCGCUUUUAGCUCUGGCACCUCUACAAAUCCCUACUUCCCUCUGCGAAGGGCCUGUCUAUUUACUUUAUGAAAUUUUUAUUUUUAUUUCAAGUCUCCAUCUUCUCUUACAAAGCACCAACUAAGGGGCACUACGAUCGUACCAUAGCAUUGGGUGUAGCUAAUAUGCGAGUGUGUUUCAUGAAUGGAUCAAUGAUUGAGCAUAAUGGGCUAGGGAUAAAUUGCUUUAGUGUUGAUAUUUUGAAAGACAUGGUUGCUUGUUGAUAUGCUUGAGUAUUGAAAUCUUCAUAUCAACACUAGACUAUUCCUUUGAAUCAUAUAAAAGUCCAAAUGUCCAUGCUACAAAAGAAAAAGAAUAUGUGAUGAACAUGAUAGGCAACAUUCCACAUCAAAAAUUCUAUUUUUAUCAUUUACCUACUCGAGGAGGAGCAGGAAUUAAGCUUGGGGAUGCUGAUACGUCUCCAACGCAUCUAUAAUUUUUCAUUGUCCCAUGUUGUUAUAUUAUCAUUUUUGGAUGUUUUACAAUCAUUUUAUAACAACUUUAUAUCUUUUUUGGGACUAGCCUAUUGACAUAGUGCCUAGUGCCAGUUGCUGUUUUUUGCUUGUUUUUACACUGCAGAAAAUCAAUACCAAAUGGAGUCCAAAUGCAGCGAAACAUUUUGCAGAAUUUAUUUGGACCAGAAGACACACGAUGGGCCAAUAGAGUACUAGAGGGGGGCUCCGAGGGAAGCACAACCCACCUGGGCGCGCCCUGGUGGGUUGUGCACACAUCGGCUCGCUAUCGUGCCGCCUCUUUGCUCCAUAAAUACCCCGAAAAUCCAAAAACCCUAGGAGUCGACGAACACAAUUCCAGCUGCCGCAAGUUCCACAAAGCACAGAUCCAAUCUAAACACUGAUACGUCUCCAAUGUAUCUAUAAGUUUUUAUUAUUCCACGCUAUUAUAUUAUCUGUUUUGGAUGUUUUAUAUGCAUUAAUAUGCUAUUUUAUAUUAUUUUUGGGACUAACCUAUUAACCUAGAACCCAGUGCUAGUUCCUGUUUUUUCUUGUUUUAGAGUUUCGCAGAAAAGGAAUAUCAAACAGAGUCCAAACGGAAUGAAACUUUGGCGAUGAUUUAUCUUUGACCAGACGAUAACCAGAGGACUUGGAGUACACGUCAAGGAAGCCACAAGGAAUCCCAAGGGGGUAGGGCGGGCCCCCCACCCUUGCGGACCCCUAGUGACACCACCGACCAAUUUCUUCCGCCUAUAUAUUCUCAAAUACCCCAAAACCUUCUAGGAGAGCCACGAAACCACUUUUCCACCGCUGCAACCUUCUGUACCCGUGAGAUCCCAUCUAGGGGCCUUUUCCGGCAUCCUGCCAGACGGGGACUCGAUCACGGAGCGCUCCUACAUCAACAUUGCCUCUCCGAUUAAGCGUGCGUAUUUUACCACAAACCUACGGGUCCAUAGCUAGUAGCUAGAUGGCUUCUUCUCUCUCUUUGAUUCUCAAUACCAUGUUCUCCUCGACGUUCUUGGAGAUCUAUUCGAUGUAAUACUUUUUUGCGGUGGGUUUGCCGAGAUCCGAUGAAUUGUGUAUUUAUGAUCAGCUUAUCUAUGAAUAUUAUUUGAAUCUCCUCUGAAUUCUUAUAUGCAUGAUUUGAUAUGUUUGCAAGUCUCUUCGAACUAUCGAUUUGGUUUUGCCACCUAGAUUUGUUUUUCUUGCAAUGGGAGAAGUGCUUAGCUUUGGGUCAAUAUUGCGGUGCUCGAUCCUAGUGAUAGAAGGGGAACCGACACGUAUUGUAUUGUUGCCAAUGAGGAUAACAAGAUGGGGUUUUCAUCAUAUUGCUUGAGUUUAUCCCGCUACAUCAUGUCAUCUUACUUAAUGUGUUACUCUUUUAUUCAUGAGCUUAAUACUCUAGAUGUAGGCAGGAGUCGGUCGAUGUGUGGAGUAAUAGUAGUAGAUGCAGGCAAGAGUCGCUCUACUUGAUACAGAUGUGGUGCCUAUAUUCAUGAUCAUUGCCUUAGAUAUCGUCAUAACUUUGCGCUUUUCUAUCAAUUGCUCGGCACUAAUUUUUUCACCCAACGUAAUAUUUUCUAUCUUAAGAGAAGCCUCUAGUGAAACCUAUGUUCCCGAGUCUAUUUUCCAUCAUAUAAUCUUCUAUUUUCCAUCAUAUAAGUUUCCGAUCUACAAUUUUAGUUUCCUAUUUACUUUCUUUGCAAUAUUUUGCAUUCCGAUCUAUAAACCAAAAAUACCAAAAAUAUUACUUUACCGUUUAUCCAUCUAUAUCAGAUCUCACUUUGCAAAUAAUUGUGAAGGGAUUGACAACCCGUUUAUCGCGUUGGGUGCAAGUUGGUGUUUGUUUGUGCAGGUAUUCGGUGGCUUGUGCAUUGUCUCCUACCGGAUCGAUACCUUGGUUCUCAAAACUGAGGGAAAUACUUACUCUACUUUGCUGCAUCACCCUUUCCUCUUCAAGGGAAAAACCAACGCAAGCUCAAGAAGUACUGGGAAGAAUUUUUGGCGCCAUUGCCGGGGAGAUCUACGCCAAGCCGAGACAUACCAAGUACCCAUCAUAAACUCUCAUCCCUCGCAUUACAUUAUUUGCCAUUCGCUUCUCGUUUUCCUCUCCCGCACCUCUCACUACUAGGAAAAGGGCUAUAGACAAUAUGCACACUAAUGGCGCACCAGACAUGCGGUGCGCCACUACUAUAUAGCGGUGGCGCACCGUGUGCUGGUGCGCCAUUAGUGUGAUAGACACUAAUGGCGCACCACAACCAUGGUGCGCCACUACUAACAAAUUUUCUUUUUCUUUUUAAAAAAAUACUAAUGGCGCACCGCAACCAUGGUGCGCCACUACUAAUUUUUUUCCUUUUUUCCAAAAAUACUAAUGGCGCUACUUGGCACAGUGCGCCAUUACUAGUUUUAACUAGUAAUGGCGCACCAGUCACCCCGUGCGCCACUACUAUCAUUUUUUUGCAAAACUACUAAUGGCGCACCGCCAGCUGGUGCGCCAUUAGUAACCAGGGUUACUAAUGGCGCAUUUGUUGGUGGUGCGCCAUUAGUAACCUGGGACCAGCUAGAUAUUUUGGACAGCCACCUACACACUCACUUUCCCCACUUCAUUCUCUCCACCUCCUCCUCCAAGCUUGUCUCGGCUGCCUCCUCCUCCUCACCUCAUUUGCACCAUAGAUUCAUCCAAAUUAAGUGGUUAAAUUACCUUUUUUGAUAGGUAAGUAAGGGGAAAGCUUUCUUUAUGUUGUAGAUCUACUUUUUUCUCCCUCCAACAACGUGCACAUGCACUUUUUAUGGCCUAGCUAGAUCUAUGUAUGUUUGUGGUGUUGCAUAUGUUUGUGGUGUUGCAUAUAUGUUUGUGUUUGCACGUACCGGUAUUUGAAAUGCGAUAGUUGCCAAUAUUUUGCCAGAAUGUUGAUUCAUUUCCGUUUCGUCAAGAAUUUUGGCACUAUGCAUUCUUUUUUGUCCUAUUUUUAGGCAAAGUCAUGCCAAAUUUUUUCUUGGUUCUAAAAUAUCGUUUUGCUCUACCCUGCAGGCGACCAUGGUCUGCACGAUGACCGAAGGCAUCGUGAAUAGGUUUUUGAGCUCCGCGAAGGCCGAGAUGCUUCAAAAGAAUGAGACGGAGAUAAGAUGUCCGUGUCGAAGAUGCAAGCUGAGGAGCCUUAUGGACCCGGAUUCCGUACAGGUGCGGGACCACCUGCUCUUGCGUGGUUUCAUGGAUGGCUAUCGGUGGCAAGGUGAUGAAGAUGAUUAUGAAGUCGUCCAUGGGGGCCGGCCGGUAAGAAAUGAGGAAGGGCAGCAAGACAACCGCGGCGAGGGCGGGCGAGAAGACGAAGAAUCUCCAGGACAUGAUCACGAAGUAGAUGCAGUACGCAGUCAUCAUGUAGAAGAUGCCGGACAUAAAGAUGAGGAAGAUGCCGGAGCAGACGAAGGGCAUGAUCAUGAAGAUGAAGAUGCCGGAGCGGACGACGAUGGACCAUCGAUGGGCUGGGUGCAGGACCCUCAUAUUCAAGAGCUGCUUCUCAAGCAGACGGAUAACGCAAGAGCUGCCGCCCGAGAGAAAGCCAAGCUGGAUCAACUGGAGAUAGACGCGGUUACUCCAUUGUAUGAAGGAUGCAGGCCCGAGGAUACCCGCCUGAAAGUAACGCUCAUGGCUCUGGAGAUGAAGGUAAAACACAAAAUGACCGACGCAUGCUUCGACGAGAACAUGUCAUUCUGGCACGAACGUCUUCCCAAGGGGAACAAGUGCCCGACCAGUUUUGAGGAGGCGAAGAAAAUCGUGUGUCCUCUGGAUUUACCGCACGUGAAAUACCAUGUGUGCAUGAACAAUUGCAUCAUUUAUCGGGACGAGCACGCGGAGUCUACCAUAUGUCCGGUGUGCGGCGUCACUCGAUACAAGAAGAGGAAGAAAGCUCCUCGAAAAGCGGUGUGGUACUUUCCGAUCGCUCCUCGUGUGCAGCGGUAUUUCGCGGACCCUAAGGUAGCAAAGCUCUUGCGUUGGCACGCGGAUAGGGAGGAGAAGAAGCGAGAAGAUGACGCAAAUGAUCCGGAGAUAAAUAAAAAAGACAAGAUGCUGAGUCACCCUAAGGAUGGGAGCCAGUGGCAAGCGUUGAACUUCGAACACCCAGAAUUUGGGAACGAUCCAAGGAACAUCGUGCUGGGCGCGAGCACCGAUGGAGUCAAUCCGUUUGGCAGCCAGAGAAGCACACAUAGCACCUGGCCUGUGUUUGUGGAUGUACAACCUUCCCCGCUGGUUGUGCAUGAAGAGGAAGUACAUUCACAUGAGUAUGCUAAUUGAAGGGCCGAAACAACCAGGGAACGACAUCAAUCUGUAUCUGGGGCUGCUGAAAGAGGAGCUAGACACGCUGUGGAAAACGCCAGCCAAUACGUGGGACACCGCAGAGAAAGAAUAUUUCCCUAUGAGAGCCGCUCUGCUCACGACGGUGCACGACUAUCUCGAUUACGGAUAUGUCGCGGGGCAGGUGGUCCACGGAUUUUCUGGAUGCGUCAGGUGCAUGGAUGACACAACAUAUCGCCAGCUAGAUAGAGAUCUCAGGUCUUCGAAAACCGUGUUCAUGGGACAUCGAAGGUGGCUUCGCGACGAUGACUCAUGGAGGAAACGCAAGGAUCUGUUCGAUGGUGAAACCGAAACCCGAAGACGCCCGCGUACGAGGAGCGACAAGGAAAUAGACGAGUUGUUGAAAAAUUGGAAAGAUUGCCCACUGCCGGGAAAGAAGCAAAAGGCACCAGAGCCGGAAAAGAAGCGAAAGGCGCAAGAGCCGCUGCUGAAGGUAUGGAAAAUGAGGUCUGUUUUCUGGGACUUGCUGUACUGGAAGAUCCACCGUGUGCCUCACAGCCUUGAUGUCAUGCAUAUCACGAAGAACGUGUGCGAGAGUCUGCUUGGUACCCUGCUCAACAUGCCGGAGAGGACCAAAGAUGGGCCGAAAGCAAGGGCAGACUUGAAAUCAAUGGGCAUCAGGGAGGAGCUUCACGCUAAUGAUGAUGAUGAUGAGGCGAAGCAGGACACGGAAAGUCGUCGCAAAGGCAAAAAGGCCAAGAAGACCGAAAAUGACUUCCCUCCCGCGUGCUUCACUCUAAGUCAGGAGGAGAUCGAUCAGUUUUUCACCUGCCUCGUAGGAGUAAAACUUCCUUACGGUUACGCGGGGAAGAUAAGCAGAUACCUAGACUCAGCGAAGCAGAAGUUCAGCGGGAUGAAGUCUCAUGACUGUCACGUGCUGAUGACGCAGAUACUUCCAGUUGCAAUCCGUGGGAUCAUGGACGCGCACGUCCGUGAAACGCUAUUUGGCCUAUGCAACUUUUUCGACGUCAUCUCUCGGAAGUCGGUUGGUGUGAGGCAACUCAGAAGGCUACAUGAAGAGAUCGUAGUGAUACUAUGCGAGCUUGAGAUGUACUUCCCGCCCGCAUUCUUCGACGUUAUGGUGCAUCUGCUGGUCCAUAUCGUGGAGGAUAUCAUCCAACUCGGGCCGACGUUCCUGCACAGCAUGAUGCCGUUCGAAAGGAUGAAUGGUGUCAUCAAAGGAUACGUUCGCAACAUGUCACGUCCAGUGGGAAGCAUAGCCAGGGGCUUUCUGACCGAAGAGUGCAUCUCCUACUGCACGAAUUAUCUAGGCAUCGAGAACCCCGUUGGUCUGCCCGCCAACAGGCACCUCGGCAGGCUCGCUGGAUGGGGUCAUCGUGAGGGUUGCCGCGAAAUGCAUGUCGAUUUCGAGGGUCGACUCGCCGACUUUGAAAGAGCAAACCUAGUCGCGCUACAACACAUAGACGUGGUCGAUCCUUGGGUGGUAGAGCACAAAACCUUUAUUGAGAAGACGUACAAUGACCGAGACCAACAGAGGACGGACGGAGAUAUAAUCAAAGAGCACAACUCAUAUUUCACGCGUUGGUUCAAGCAGCAUGAGGAUUCUUCCGCGGAAGAACAACUCAAAUUCGCCUUGUCACAGGGCGCCGAGCACAACCUGAUGACGUAUGAGGCGUACAAUAUCAACGGCUACACAUUCUACACCGAGGGAAAGGACAUGAAGAGCGAUGGUUAUCAGAACUCUGGGGUAACGAUGGAAUCCUACACCGGUAACGAUAAGGACAGAUACUACGGAAGGAUCGAGGAGAUCUGGGAGCUGAGCUAUGCUGGAGAGAAGGUCCCGAUGUUCCGUGUCAGAUGGGCCAAGAGCGUCCUAAAAGAAGACCGGUAUUUCACCACCAUGGUUAUACCCGAAGCCAAAUCCAAGACCGCGGGCGCAAACGACACCGUGAAAAAUGAGCCAUGGGUACUGGCUUCCCAAGUGGACCAAUGCUUCUUCAUUACCGACCCGUCAAAGCCCAGUCGUGUUGUCGUGAGGAGAGGCAAAAGGAAGAUCAUCGAAAUGGAUGGAGUCGCCAAUGAGCAAGACUUCGACAAGUACGGCGACCCGAAGAUGGAACAUGACGACGAUGAUGAAGUACCAGCAUACACCACAAGAAGAAGCAGGACCACCCUACCUAAAGGACGUCCGUUCAAGAGAAGAACUCCAUUUACGAAAAAUAAGGGCAAGAAGAUUGUGAACAGAUAGCUAGCUAAGAUCGAUUGUAUUUAAAUUGUAGCCUUCAUUUCUCGAUUGUAUUUCAUGGGCACUUUUUGAACUCAUGAAUAUUUUUAAAUUUCAUGGGCACUUUUUGAAUUCAUGAAUAUUUUUUCAAAUUUCACCGCCGCCGCCGCCGACCCCCCGCACCCUCCCCCGCUCCACCGCCACCGACGACCCACCGCACCCUCCCCCGCUCCACCGCCNNNNNNNNNNNNNNNNNNNNNNNNNNNNNNNNNNNNNNNNNNNNNNNNNNNNNNNNNNNNNNNNNNNNNNNNNNNNNNNNNNNNNNNNNNNNNNNNNNNNNNNNNNNNNNNNNNNNNNNNNNNNNNNNNNNNNNNNNNNNNNNNNNNNNNNNNNNNNNNNNNNNNNNNNNNNNNNNNNNNNNNNNNNNNNNNNNNNNNNNNNNNNNNNNNNNNNNNNNNNNNNNNNNNNNNNNNNNNNNNNNNNNNNNNNNNNNNNNNNNNNNNNNNNNNNNNNNNNNNNNNNNNNNNNNNNNNNNNNNNNNNNNNNNNNNNNNNNNNNNNNNNNNNNNNNNNNNNNNNNNNNNNNNNNNNNNNNNNNNNNNNNNNNNNNNNNNNNNNNNNNNNNNNNNNUCCACCGCCACCGACGACCCCCCGCACCCUCCCCUCUGCCCUCUAUCACAGCGGGGACAACAGGAAGCCGCCGUCGCGCCCCUCUGCACCGGCUGCCCACGGCGCCUCCGUCCCGAAGCCGCAGCCCAAGUGCCCACCACUCUCUGUCCACGGUGAGCCAUCCUCUCUGUCCCAACUCUCUGUUCUUCUUUUUUAGCUAUCCUUUGUUGAAACAGUAGUUGCUGUGUAGCAAAUCUUUGGGAUUAGUGUUCAGUACUUUGUUGGGUGAGCGGCCAUCUGAGACAUCCUGCUUACAUAGUCUCCUUUUUAAAACUCGUCAAAUUGGUUUUAGAUAGAAAUGAUCAACACUCAAUUGGCCAACUGCAUGUGGAAUGAUUUCGAAGGGCGCCAUAACUUAUUGUAGAUGCUGACUACAAUAACAAUACUAAACUCAGUGUAGUCUGUUGUAAAGACACUUGUGCUUCUUUCAUCUGGAAAGGGGUCGUCUGGCCUCCAAAACUGUCAGAUUAGGUUGUGCUGUAACUCCUCACAUGGCCAUGUUUUUGGAAGAUUGGUCGUUUGUCACCGGCCCUUUGGUCACCCAGCAAUGGGACUUGUAUCAUAUUGCCAAUGAGGUUAAUAAAACAGUAGUGCAUCAGUACUUUGUUGGAACAGAAAGUCAGAAAAUCAGAAAAUCCACGGUACUUUGUUUAGAUCUUCACUGUUGACAAACGCAGUCAACUAAAAAUCCAGUUCAGUGCAUAAUUAGUGUUGACAAAUACACUGAUCUUUAUCUGCAGUAAUUCAGUUUAAACUGAAAAUUCAGUGUUGUAGUACAGAAAAUUUAAACUGAAAAUUCAUAGUCUCCUGGUGCAUAUUGAUCUCAGUGUAUGAAUUCAUAGUGUUUCAAAUUACUGAUGCUAUGGUCCAGGAGUAGAAAAAUUUGUACUCCAAGAUCAAUAUGGUUCAAUUUCUACUGUACUGUAAUCAAAGUGGAUAUAAAUUGCAGAGUGUUUAUGUUGGCAUUCGACAACAUCUAAAUUUACCAAAUGAUUGUGAACUCAGUUUAUGUUUGCAACCAAAUGCUUAGUUCAUUGUUUACUCCAAAUGAUUGUGAACUUAUUCAAAGUUUCCAAUAUUGUUCAGACACUACUUGUACUGGAACUGGAACUACUACUACUGAUGCAGCACCCCAUGUAGUUUAAGUUUUCUUUAUCUUAAACUCAGACAGCUCUCUAAUUAUUGGAGUUUAUAUCAUAUAUAUUGCUGGCAUGUAUUUCAUAUGUUCUGUAGCAUUAAGGCUACAUAGCAUUGCUUUUGUCUCUGACCAUCGUGUCGUGAUGAUAUUGUGGGGUGUUGUGGGGUUGCAGAGGCCCUUGAGUUUCAUCGCGAUGAUGCUAAUCGUGAUGACCGCAGCUCUCUUCUAUGUGAUGGUAGUUUAGAUGAUCGAUAUCGACUUGUAAUGUGAAGACAAACUCGCUACUCGCGGUUUCGAGACUUGUAGUGUUCUAACUUUGUUUGGUCUUUUGAAUUCGGAGACUAAUAUGAUGAAUUGUAUUCGGAGACUAAUCUUCUAUUGUAUUCGAUAACUCUGCUGUUUAUAUGUUGUGUGUCUAUAUUCUGUGCAGUAAUAUGUUUUGUAACCUGUGCAAAUAUCAGAAAAGAAAAAAAUCCCUAAUAUUCAUACUAGUGGCGCACCACCCAGAACUUUAGUGGCGCACUGCAAAAUGCAUACUAGUGGUGCAUCAGCAAGCAGUGCGCCAUUAGUAAGCCAGAGACAUGGUUAAAUAUGGCCCCCUGGGAGGCAUUCUAAUGGCGCAUCAUAGGGUGUACUAAUAGCGCACUACAUGGUGCGCCAUUAGUAUCUGAUAUACUAAUGGCACACUUGUGGUGCGCCAUUAGUAAUAAAAUCUAAUGGCAUGGUACUAGUGGCGCACCUGUAGUGCGCCAUUAGUAGGCAAAACAGGUGCGCCACUAGCAGCCCUUUUCCUAGUAGUGUCUAAAACGAUUUUCGAAAAAUUUGUCUUUUCUUCGCCCCUCUUUCGUGCGUCUUCUUCUUUUGCUCUUUGUUCGCUUGUCCGUUUGAUCUUUUAUCUUGCUGUCAUGGCUAGUUUUCCAUCCUUGUUAGCACUCCCAAUAAUAAGGUCCUCAACUUCAAACAAAGGGAAGGAGAAAAUUUAAAAGAUGCUUGGUAUAGAAUUUAUAAUGCUCAAAUUUGAUGAUUACUGCUGGAGAUGACUAACAUCCUAGAUGUUACUCACUAUGUCUAGAUACAUUCGUUUGAGUGUCAACUAAUUCUGAACAUCUUAGGUGUUACUCCCAAGUCUAGAUACAUUUUUUUGAGUGGCAACUAAUUCUGAAUGGAGGAAGUACACAAAGCUAAGCCACAGCCAUGAAAUAUAUAUAGGGCGGGGGGCGCUCGUUCCACAAGGAGCGGCGGGUAGCUUAGCUAUAGCUCGAUCGAUGAAUAUGGCUGUAGAUGGGUUUGGUGAGCUGGGCAUUCGUGUGGUGAGUCGCCGGCUGGUGCUCUGCCUGCCAGCUACUGCUCUGCCUGCCGCUCCACCUCCUUGUCGAUCGCGCCCACCCAAACGGACGUCCAUGACACAUACACCGACAAUGUGCUCCUCCACGGCCACGACUACCCAAGUAGUGGCCACGGCACCUCCUCCACAGGCUCGGGCGUGGGCGGUGCUGGUGGUGGUGGGGGCACGUUGGCCUCCACUCCGGCCGCCAAUUGGGCCAGCGCCUGCGCAAGGCCAGGCCACCUGGCCUUGCUCCUCGCGCUCGGCCUCCACGAUGGCCCUCCAUGUGGCCUCCUCGAGGGACACAACACAGGCCUCCUCGGCAUCCUAAUCCUCCUCCUUCACCACUCCCGGAAGUGGUGGUGGAGUGGCAAGAACGCGUGGUGCACCGGGCGCACACUUGACGCACUACCGGCAAUGUUGGUCGUGCUCGGUGGCAAACCACGCGUCCUAGUUACCGCAUACGUUGGGUCACGGCGGAGGUUGGCUAGGAGUAGAGCAUGGGAUCUCCGUCAGCUGUGCGCGGCCUGAGGCCGGCACCGGAACCCUAGCAAGGUUGAGGUCCCACCCGUGCGGUAGGUUCACACUGGGCUAUGGCGCAGGCACGCCAUACUCCCAAAAGUACUGGUAGCGGUGCAUCGGCAUGUAGUGCCGAAACCAUGGCUGCCGACUCAAGGUCGAUUUAUCUGUUCUUAUAAACUAGCGAAUUAGCAACUAUAUUACCCAAGAGUAACAACCAAGUCAUAUAUACAAUGUACGCUUGCAACCAUUGAAUAAAUUGUACAGAAUACCAAACAAAGAAGAUUGAACGAGGUCGUGGAACAACUCACAUGCACCAUCCACAGGUCAAGUGGAUGAUCCCAAUGAUGAGCGAAUGAUCCUAAUGACGAGCAGUUGGCGAGAUUAUGUUGCUCUUGUGAUGGUUAGUGAUGUCUGCGCUAGAGCUUGCUUACAACCUUGCGAGGUAAGGAGCUACGGCUACAUGCGUAUUAGGUUUUAUAAGCCGUGAAACCUCGAUAAAAGUUGCCGCUAUAAGUUUUUUCUUCAUGUCACUAUAAACCUUAUNNNNNNNNNNNNNNNNNNNNNNNNNNNNNNNNNNNNNNNNNNNNNNNNNNNNNNNNNNNNNNNNNNNNNNNNNNNNNNNNNNNNNNNNNNNNNNNNNNNNNNNNNNNNNNNNNNNNNNNNNNNNNNNNNNNNNNNNNNNNNNNNNNNNNNNNNNNNNNNNNNNNNNNNNNNNNNNNNNNNNNNNNNNNNNNNNNNNNNNNNNNNNNNNNNNNNNNNNNNNNNNNNNNNNNNNNNNNNNNNNNNNNNNNNNNNNNNNNNNNNNNNNNNNNNNNNNNNNNNNNNNNNNNNNNNNNNNNNNNNNNNNNNNNNNNNNNNNNNNNNNNNNNNNNNNNNNNNNNNNNNNNNNNNNNNNNNNNNNNNNNNNNNNNNNNNNNNNNNNNNNNNNNNNNNNNNNNNNNNNNNNNNNNNNNNNNNNNNNNNNNNNNNNNNNNNNNNNNNNNNNNNNNNNNNNNNNNNNNNNNNNNNNNNNNNNNNNNNNNNNNNNNNNNNNNNNNNNNNNNNNNNNNNNNNNNNNNNNNNNNNNNNNNNNNNNNNNNNNNNNNNNNNNNNNNNNNNNNNNNNNNNNNNNNNNNNNUAUAUAUGUAUAUAUAUAUGGGGCAUGAAACUGCAAACUACCACUAUUGUUGCCGGUGGACCUCCCGGCUCCGGUGCACAUCCCAACGUCGCCCUCGUGAAGCAAGCGAAUGGCCCCGCGAGCAUGUGGACGUUGUCCAUGUGGCAUUGGGUUCCCGCUUCUUGAGUGAACCGGAAAAAAAACCCAAAGCUGGUCAAUCUUCGGCUCGAAAGGAAGCCUGGCUUAUGGUUUUGUGUUUUCGCGCCGGCGUAGCCGCUCUCCGUCUGGGUGAGCGAGCGGUGGAGGACUGCCGCAAUGGAGGAGAUGGUGGUCCUUGGGCCCCGAUGCCUUUCGUGGCAUGAGGGCCGUGUCUUGUAUUCGAUGGCCGGGGACGCCAUCCGGAGCAGCUUGAGAAGGCACCGUCGGGGCUUUGCGCUUGCACCCCUAUGCAGCCAUGCCCGGCGCAGCGGGCUGUCCGCUGUGUGUCUUGCGGAGUCUGAGUGCAUCCAUCGGCUGAUUUUUAUUUUAUUCUUUCGAUGAGGAUUAGUAGUCGGAGAGUAGAUAGGUUCUUCCUCGAUCCCAUGAUAUAAAAGCUUGGGUGUUCGUUGACGCUAGCAAUGUCAAAAACGCUCUUAUAAAAUGGGAGGGAGUCCCUCGCAAAGAAAAAAAGAGAGUAGAUAGCUACUUUAUCUUUUAUUUUGAAGGUGGGAGUAGAUUGAUAACUACUUAGUGCACGUACGAAAAGAAAGACACGAUCGCCUAAAAAAAAGAAAUACUAUAUUGAGAUAUAUAUAGGGCGUGCGGGCGCUAGCAGUUCCACAACGAGCGGCGGGUAGCUAGGUUCAACAUCCAUAUAGGUUGAAUAUGGCUGUAGAUGGGUUUGGCGAGGUGGGCAUUCGUGUGGUGAGUCGCCGGCUGGUGAAGGCAUCCGACCCCUCCAUCCAACCGCAGGUGGUGCCCCUCUCCAACCUCGACCUGUACGUCGGCAACGUACAAGUCGCCAUACUAUGCCUCUAUCCCAAGCCUCCGGCGGGCAGGGAUUUCGCCGGCGUGGUGGCCACCUUCGAGUCCUUGCUGCCGGCUUUACUCAACGAGUUCUACCCUUUCGCCGGCCGCAUCGGCACCAACCCAAGCUCAGGCCUCCCCGAGCUGCUCUGCCAGAACCAGGGCGCAGAGCUGGUCGUGGGAGAGGUCCGCGUCGCUCUGGGGAGCCUGGACUACGGCCUGGCGGACAAGUCCCUGAAGAAGCUGAUGCUCCCGUACGCGGAGGACGUCACCUUCUCGGUGCAGCUGCUAUCCUUCGCCUGCGGCAGCUUCUCCGUGCUGUGGGCAACCAACCACCUCGUCGGCGACGGCCAUGACAACAUCAGGUUCCUGCGGAUGUGGUCUGAGCUCGCACGAACGGGCAAAAUCGUCGCCGACGGCGGGGACGGAAAGCUAAGCCACGACCGCUCGGUGUUCCGCCCUCGCAACCCGCCGUCAUACAGAGCCUCGCUCGCCACCGACCUAACGACGUUCGACCCGCGCCGGCUGGUAAACGUCCUGACGGCCCACGACAGCUUCGUCGACCGCCUCUACUACAUCGACGCGGCCGACAUCGCCAGGCUGCGCGAGAUGGCGAGCACCAAGCUGCAGCGCUCGUCACGCGUCCAGGCCGUGUCCGCGUACCUGUGGAAGGUCCUCGCCGGCGUGGUUGCCGCUUCCCGCGUGCCCGAGGAGCGCUGCCGCAUGGGGUGGUGGGUGAGCGCGCGCCGUCGUCUCACGUCGCCUGACCUCGCCUCUGCGAUGCGCAACUACUUCGGCAACGUCACGACCUAUGCCUACGGGGACGCGACGCUGGAGGAGAUCCAGCGCAAGUCGCUCGCGGAGGUGGCGGCCAUGGCGCGGGAGCCGGUCGCCUCCGUCAACUACGACGAGUACAUCCAGGAUCUGGUGGACUUCGUGGAGGUGCACAAGGGACAAGGGCUGAUGGAGACGGCCGUCGUCGGGCUGGGCAGCCCGACCCUAAGCCAGUCCGUGUUCGACUCAUUCCCACUCGACACCGACUUCGGCUUCGGCCAAGCUGCUCUCGCCAUGCCCAUCUCCGACUUCGCCAACCUCUGCUCAGCCUACCUGUCCAUCAGCGCGCGGCCGGCAGGCGACGGCUCCUGGCUCGUCAGUGCCUACAUAUGGCCGCGUCUCGCCGCCGCCCUCGAGGCCGAUGAGCAGCACAUCUUCAAGCCUCUCACGGCGGACUACCUUGGCCUCACAGCCUGCUAGACAACACCCACGCUAUUCUGUGUGUUCUUUUAGCCAACAAUAAAAUUCCUUGGUGUUUUGCUCUUCUUCCAACAAUAAAAUCCUUGUGUUGUGUUGUGUGGUGCUAUGUACUUUGGUUUUUUUCUUCAUCCAACAAUAAAGUUAGGAAGCGUUACUUUUUGAAAAAUAGCACACCUUAUAUAUACAUUUACUUUGAAAGUUAGAGAGGAUUUACUUUGAAAGUCACAGGUUUGCCAAGCACCUGAGGAAAAACACUCGGCAAAGCCAGCCCUUGGUUUCCGUCAGCCAAUAAAAGAUAGAUCACACGCGUGGCCGCCUGCUUAGCUAUAACCAAGGGCUCGCCGCCGCCAUACCCCCUUCACCUCCCCGCUGCCCCCAUCGGCCUCCUAAUUCCGACCACAGCCGCCUCUAUCCCCCACUAGCCGUCCAACUUUCUCCUCUUCAUAGAUCUAAAACUAGGAAUGGGUUGGAGGGCUCAAUGAACUAGAUCUACUAUAUAGUCAUCUUUGAGCUCAGCUAUUGGGCAUCAUUGCUAGUUGCAAGCUCCCAAUUGGUCACAUCACUGCUAUUCAUAUACCAGCGGGAUCAAAUUGGCCUCUACACGAGUAAGUUGGUCCCUACGGUGAAGUACAGCAGUGGGCCCAUAUUGGCACCCACCACUGAUAGGUGGCAAAGUAAAAUUGGCAUGUGAAAAGAAUUGCCAUGUACUGAUAAGAAUUUACCAGUGCGGUCCCACUUUGCACACACCACUGGGAAAAAAAUGAGACCAACCCAAGGGAUAACCCUCGUUGGCAUUUUCUUUAUAGGAGAAACUUCGCGAGCACCACACGUCCAAGCCGAAGCUCGAACUCGCGUGGGCUGGCAGCUACCCCAGCUACCGAGCCGACGGGUCGACGCCCCGUCCUCGCACACACCUAUGUGAUUUGGCUAUAUUAUGAGUUGGUGGGCCAUUAGUGUUUUAUGCAUAUUCCAAAAAAUCACAUUGUUUUACCAAUAUUCUGCGGCAGAAGCUUAUCCUCAAAGUGCACAUAUCCCAUAUUUACGAAAAAUACUCGUUUAUUCGUUUUUCUGCAGACCGCUCGGCGUUAAGGUUGGUUUACAGCCGAGCAAGCCGACUGCUCGGCGGGAUGAAGAUGAAAAGGCAGUGGGCUAAGCCGCGUGUGUUUUAUCAACUACAUGGGCUACAUUUAGGUAUUUCAAAACCAAAGGGCAAUAUAUAAGCCGAGUAAGGCGUUAGAGGACACUCGGCCAAUACCAAGACGUCGUCAUGGAGCCGUCAAGCACGUGGCAAUAGAAACACUGCAGUUGCUUGCGUGAGCCACACGUGUAUGCCGUGGUUUUUCUACAUAAUAUAUCGUGUUCUUUCUGUAGGCCAUGCGUCUUUUUACGUUGUAUUCGGUUUACAUGGAGCUAAGUUGAGGGACCUGCAAAUGCCGUGUGUUUUCAAGAUGGUACUCGGCUUAGGGUCUCUUUGAUUCAAAGGAUUUUGAUAGGAUCUUUGAAGGAUUAAAAUCCUGAGGAAGUUUUCCUAUGUUGGUCGUUUGAUUUGUAGGAUUGAAUCAUGUAGGAUUUUUUUCUAAAGAUGUAUUUGUACUACAUUUUACAGGAAUUCUAACAUCCACUCCAACCUUUUGGAAGAAAUCCUUUGUUUUCUCCAUGACACAAUCAAACAAACUCAAAUCCUAUAGGAAUCCAAUGGACAUGUCAUUCCAAUCCUACGUUUUUCCUAUGGAAAACUAUUAAAAUCAUCCGACUUAUUUUUCACGAACGUAAACCGUCUUUGACGGACGCCACGUGUCCCUGCUGGUCGCUCACUCCUUAUCCUUAUCUUUUCUCCAGAAGAAGCGUGAGCCACUCAUUCCUUUUCCUCCUUUUUCUUCUUCCUUCGAGCAAACAUGCUUUCCCAGGGACGGCUCUCUCCAGCAAUCCCAGUCGCCGCUCACUUCGUGUUGAUGUAGGGCUAGGCUGAGAGGAUGCUCCUUCCAUGGCCGGCGGCGGAGCUGCGUUUGGUGAUGCGCGACGAUGUUGCGGCCACGUUGACGGCAAAGCUGCGUUGGAGCAGAAGGUGCUACGAGCUGCUGCCAUGACCGGCGGCGCUACUGCACAGCAACGGCGAAGCUGCGUUUCAGCAGCAAACAGCUAUGAGCUGCUGCCAUGGCGGGCAGCAGAGCUACAUGGCAGCAUGCAGCAGGCGAUGCGUCAAUGAAACUUGGCCGGAGCUCCAUUGAAGCUUCGCCGGUGCGUCAAUGAAACUUCGCCGGAGCUCCAUUGAAGCUUCGCCGGUGCGUCAAUGAAGCUUGGCCGUAGCUCCAUUGGAGCUUCGCCGGGGCGUCAAUGAAACUUCGCCGGAGCUCCAUUGAAGCUUCGCCAGUGCGUCAAUGAAGCUUCGACGGGGUGGCUCGGUGUUGCUAUGGAGCAGCACCCGGUGGCUCUCGGUGUUGUGAUGCAGCGGUCGCCGGUGGCUCCGGGGACGCGAGGUCGCCGAGGCAGGGUGACAGGGGAGGGUCUGCGUUGCUCUGCAUCAGGAGGAGUUGUUGUGCGCUGCUCUGUAUCAGAUGGCUGGGGAUUAGUGGAGAAAGGCCCAGGUUGUGUCGCGGCGAUCGAACGACCAUCUGUGCGGACCGAACGGCUGGCUGGGCGGAUGAUAUCUCUAGGAAAUCAUCCGCCUGAUUUGUAGCAGCCGCCUCCUAUUCCUGUGUUUUUGCAAUUCUAUGAAUCUGUCUAAGACGAGUAUCCGAGAAAAUACACCCGGCUUACCAAAAAGCACUAAGCAACAUGUCUUUUUCUCGUAGUGGCCUUUUAAGGUUUUUAUUUUACUUCAUAUAGGGCUCAAAGAGCCAACCUCGCCACCAACAUCGCCUACCAAACUUUGCCCAAGACGUCAUGUCCAUGAUCACAGACCAGUCAGGUUUAAACAUGUUUUCAUCUCUAUGAAAUUCACACAAAAAUUCCAAAUUGACUAGGUGUUUAAACUUAUGUUUCGACAAAGACUCAGACACCUGGACAUUUGAAAAUAGGACAAACGUCGACGCUCACAUGGACGCACCUAGACUCACAUCUAUGAACUUAUACACUAUCUCACUAAAUAGCAUAAAACUACUACAAUUCGGACUAGAGUUUCAAAAAACUACUAAAUAUAUUUUUCCGCUCAUAACUACUAAAUCAGGGGUCGGCUGUUUCAAAAAACCCAAAUCAUCGAGUCUUUAGUAAUUGAUCACGAUUAUGACAGUUGGGGCCAAGCGUAAGAUAACCGUUUGUUUGACCGUUUAGUUUGAAUGUUAACUUACAUGUGGGUCCCACAUGUUAGUUUUUUUAAAAGCAAUCAGGUCCCUGUAAGUUUUCUAAAAUAGCAACCGGGUACAUGUGAGUUUUCUAUAAGGUCCCUAAAAGUUUUUGCAAAAAGCAAUAUAAUCAGGUCUCCAGAGGAGCCGCGCCCGCGGCAGCCUGCUCGAUCCCGAGCGCUCUGCCCGAACCACGACGCUGCCUCCAUCGGCCGGCCAGCCGCGCCCGCAACGGCCGAAUCCACGCCGUGCCUCGCCUGCCACCAUGGCGUGACUCGCAUGCCGCCAUGUCAUGCCUCGCUGGCGGCCGCUGCCACGCCGUGCCUCACCUGUGGCUGCCGCCAUCCCCUGCCGCGAGCUCCUCAAGCUAGACGUGGACGGCCUGCGCCGCUGCUGGAGUGCGCACCUCCCAUUGCCGCGGACGAGGUCGCUGUCUGCUAUGCCUCCUCGAAGCCACCGUCACCACCAGGAGCUACGGUGAGCACCUACCACGACCAUGGGGAGGGUGGGAAGGAGAGGGAGGGUCGCCGCCAGCCAGGCCCGGCCCGGAUGGAGGGGUAGGGGGCGGCCGCCCCAGGCCCCCGAAAUUGAGGGGACCCCACGUUCGUGUGCUCUCUGUAUCCAGCCCAUGUGCUCUCUGUAUCCAGCUGAUGAGAAAAAAUGAUUCUGGGCUACUUUUGAUGAAACAGACCUGUACAUGUAGUGGAACUUGUGUUUCCCUCGCGUAGGUCCGCGGAUGACGACAUGAGCGAUCAACCUAGCGAUAUAUCCUACAAGCCCGAGGGAAACCCCGCCGCCGACACAGCCUCCUCCCGUGGAGGCCUCCCCCGAUGAUUUCUCGUCCAAUGGCGGAUCGAGUAAUUUCAUGUUCAUCGCCCUGGACAGGAGUAACAACACCACCGGCCCUGGCAGGCAGUUUUAAACUACAGAGGUCAGGUUAGCAUCUUCCUGAUGCAUCAUCCAACGGAGCUAGCUAGAUUGAUAUGUGACUAGUUGGUGGCAGAAUUAUUAGAUCUAGUGUAUUAGCGGAGAGGAGUAGGACGUAGUUGUCCUUCUGACUAAUUUUUUUAAUGCAAUCCUUCCGAUUAAUUAAUCUGGUCGUGUUGGAGAUCGAUGAAAGAUGAGGGGAGAGGAUGUCUAGAAUCCAUGGGAUAAUGAUAAUUGGCAAGCUGAAAUUAAUUGGAGGAUUCAUGGUCGAUUCAAUAUGAUUAGGUGGCAAAAUUAAUUUUUAGUAGCUAAAAAAAUUAACUUUUAGUGUUGCAAACUAUGAAGCUAUUCUACCUGCAUGCCACCAAGAGCAGUUCAAAUUACUUUUUGUUUGCCAAACUAUGAAAUAUACAAUGCAUGAAACUUCCCUAUCAAAAUCUUAGCAAAAGUGAGAAAUAAUAAUUAUAAUAAUGUAUAAUUAGAACCCGGAACUAGGUCGACCAGCUGGUUUUGCACGCCAUGAUAAAAAAAUUAACAACAAUUCAUGUUUAAAAUUUAUCUAGACAUGCACAUAAUGAUUAUAAUUUUGGAUAUAUAAAGGGCCUCCGAUUGUAUUUUUGCCCCGGGCCCCUGAAAUCUCAGGACCGGCCGUGCCGCUAGCUUGGGAUGGGAGGGGACGGUCGUCGGCUUGGGAGCGGAGGGGAGGGUCGCCGGCUUGGGAGGGGAGAUGGCCUGCUCGGGAGACACCAGAAGAGAGACGAGAAGAGACAAAGAGGAAGAAGAAAGAGAAUAGCAAGAGGAAACUUACAUGUAGGCCCCACAUGUAAGUUAACGGCCAAACUAAGGUCAAACUGACAGUUUGUUUAGGUGCGGGCCCAACCUGUCGUGACCGUGAUCAACCGAUAAGGACUCGGGGAUUUGGGUUUUUUGAAACAGCCGACCCCCCGGCUUGGUAGUUAUCAGCAAAAAGAAUUUGGUAGUGUUUUGUAACCCUAACGUGAAUUGUAGUAGUUUUAUGCUAUUUACUCAAACGAUCUCUAUGAGCAUUUUCAAGAUACUGAACCGGCACAUCAUUUUGAGAUUGGUGAACACCACAGACGUCUUCAUAGUUGACAGAAACGUCUCCUCCCAAUGAACGAACAUCGCAAAAGCCUGAAAUAAAUCCCAAAAACUGUCAGCACCAUUACCAAGUUUAAAACUUGAACCCUGAUAGGGUUGGUUCCACCACAAGAAAUCUAACUAUUUGAGCCAUGCACAUCUCAUAGUUUUCCCUGUGGCCAUGGAGGGUGCCACAUAUGUAACCCAUUAAUAUGGGAACCCAUACCUGUAAGCUUGUCAGCAUUUAUAGGCUAUAUAUGCUAAUCAAUUAUAAAAAAAACUGGGAUAACAAGUUUGAACUACACCCAUUAUUCCUCCGCCUAUAUAUUGUCGUGCAUGCAUGCCAGUGCCAUAUACGGAAACAAACCGACCGAGAAGGCCCUUAAUUAACAGCUAGCUAGCUCUCUUGGUCGAAUAUGGUAACUGCUAAUGCUAUUGGCUCCGGCGACCUGAGCAUCCGUGUCCUGAGUCGCCGCCUUGUCAAGGCCUCCGACCCAUCUACCAAGCCGCACGUAGCCGCCUUCUCGAACCUCGACCUCUACCCUGGCAACGAGCAGGCCUCGAUAGUAUGCCUCUACCCCAAGCUCCCAAACGCCGGUGACUUCCCGGCGGUUGUAGCCACCUUCGACUCCAUCCUCCCGUCGUUGCUCAACGACUUCUACCAUUUCGCCGGGCGCAUCCGCACCAACCCAAGCUCCGGCCUCCCCGAGCUGCUCUGCGACAACCAAGGCGCAGAGCUGGUGGUCGGCGAGGCCGGUGUCGCCAUGGCCAGCCUGGACUACGGCCUGGCGGAGCAGUCGUUGAAGAAGAUAAUGCUUCCGUACGCCGAGGACGUCACGCUCUCGGUUCAGCUGCUCUCCUUCGCCUGUGGCGGCUUCUCCGUCGUGUGGGCGACCAACAACCUUGUGUGUGACGGCCAAGCCUUCACCAUGUUCGUCAGGAGGUGGUCCGAGCUCGCCCGAACUGGGCGCAUCGUCGACGGACCGCCCAACCAUGACCGCUCGGUGUUCAGCCCUCGCAGGCCGCCGUCGUACGGAGCCUCGAUCAGGGACAUGUUCGCGACGUACGACCAUGACCGGCUGGUGAACGUGCUGACGGCGCACGACAGCUUCGUCGAGCGCCUCUACUACAUCGAGGCGAGCGACAUCGCUGCCCUGCGGGAGGCGGCAAGCAGCAAGCUCCAGCGCCCGUCGCGCGUCCAGGCGGUGUCCGCGUACCUGUGGAAGGCCCUCGCCCGCGUGGUGGCCGCGUCCCGCGUGCCGGAGGAGCGCUGCUGCAUGGGGUGGAUGGUGGACGCGCGGCGGCGGGUGAAGGCGCCGGAGCUCGUCCGGGCGAUGGGCAACUACUUCGGCAACGUUACGGCCUACGCUCUCGGGGAGGCAGCCGUUGAGGAGAUACAGGAGAAGGAGCUGUCGGAGGUGGCGGCCAUGGUGCGGGAGACCAUCACGUCUAUCGACUACGAUGAGUACACCCAGGAGCUGGUGGACUGGGUGGAGGAGCACAAGACAGAGAGGCUGAUGGAGAAGGGCGUCAUCGGGCUCGGUACGCCCACCUUGAACCAGACGGUGUUCGCGUCGUUCCCGCUCGACACCGACUUCGGCUUCGGCCAUGCCGUGCUGGCAAUGCCCAUGUGCGACUACGGGAGGCUCAGCUCGGGGUACCUGUCGAUCGGAGCUCGGCCGGGAGGCGACGGCUCCUGGCUGGUCAACGCCUACAUAUGGCCUCGCCUCGCGGCGGCGCUUGAGUCGGACCAGCAGCGCAUCUUCAAGCCUCUCACGGCGGAGUAUCUAGGGCUCGUCUAGGCGUACCACUCUGCUGUCUGCCCGGUUUCUUCUUCAAUAAGUCUUUGCUUCGUCUUUUGAGGCAUGAAAGCAGCUCGUGCUUGUUUUACUUCCACCUAUUUUGCAAUACCCCAAAUAAAGCCCUUCUGUGUGGAGGGUAGUUUGUUUGAUCAAUAAAUGUUUGAGUCGUUCAUAAGGUUUCCUUGAUUAGUAUACAAAUCAGUUGAUGACUACGUUUCACAACUCAUGUGCAUGGAGAUGCUAAACCGAUAGUAUGGACUCGGGGAUGGAGACCACGCAGUCGGACAUACCAACUCUGAGACGCAGCGAGAUGUUGUCAUAUGUUAGUGUCAAGCACAAUGUUUAUGCCAUGUCCUAGACCUAAGGUCCUCGCAUGUUCUCGGGAUGAGUAUCGACUCACUUAAGGUCUAUCAAACGCUACUCCAUAACUGGCUAGAUAUAAAUGUAGCUUUUGGGUGGGUGGUGAGAUAUGCCGCGAGACAUGGCCGACCAAGAUGGGAUUUACCCCUCCUAUUUGAAGAGAUAUUUUCUGGACCCUCUCGAGGGAUCGGAUUCGGAAAGCAUGACCAUGCGACUUGGUUAAGUGUUAACCCAGUGCGGGAAUCUAUAUCACGGUGUCAAGAAGAGAGGUCGAGCUACCACAAGGGUGACAAGUACUCACCUUGAGCUUGACAACAUAUAUCGUGAGGCAAAAGGAAUGUUGCAGAUGAUACAUUGUCGAGGUUCUUCGAACGACUUUACACGCACAUGAGAGUUGGCACGUUCAGCGAGGAGCUGCUACCAACUAUCGACUCUGGUCGUGUCCAUGUGUACGUAAACCUAUAGGGUCGCACACUUAAGGGGCUGCAGGCCAUUCGGAUUGGAUUCGAGUGGAAAUGGUUUUACUCCUAGUGGGCCUCAAGUAUUGAGCCUAUCUCGGAGGUCUAUAUAUAGGGGAGUGGCCGCACAACUGAGGUUGAUCUUUUUCCACCAUGGACAGCCUCCAUCGCAACUCCCCACGCCCAUCCCGCGCGACCUAACCUAGAUGCCUACCGCCCGACGCUGCUCCCCGUACGUGUGGAUACCUUGCAGGCAUCGCAUCCGUGGUGCUUGGAUGAACUGUUCGAGGGAACCGCGAGGUGCCGUUCGCGGGAGAUCAACGUUCACAGGUCUUUGUUGUUCGCGGGAGAUCGACGACGCGAGGAGGAGACGCCUCGGGAGAUCGUCUACAUGCAUCUCCAACUCUAUUUUCUGCUGCGGUUACUGCGCGUCUAGUGGUAAACUCGAUCUCAUGAUCUAUUUCCAGCAACUUGAUCUUGGGUGCGUGGUAGAAUUUUUUUUAUUUGGCUCUAGCUUAGCAUACCGCGUGUUUCUACAGUCGUAUCAGAGCCUAUGCUACGUGGUAUUAGAUUCAAGGUAGAAUUUUCAAAUGAUGAUAUGUAGAUUGCUUUAUGUACUGGCCGAUGAGAUCGGUUGUCAAUAUGAUUGACUAUACAUGGUGUCAGGCAUUCGAAAUUGUGAUCUAAUUUUCCGUGAUGAUGUUGUGGAGGUCGUGGCACAAAUUACCUAUACCGGUCGGUUUCGGCCAUCGGGUAAGACAGUGGAACGUAAAGUCGGUCACAACACGCGAAGACCAAUGAGAUUGGUUGAAUCAGAUAGAUGGUCAAAAUAGGAUAAAUAUGAUUUGCCGGUGAAAAUUCCCAUGCAAAAAUGCAUAGAUAUUGCAAGGGCGCUGCCAGUUGACCCCACAGGGGGCAAAGCCCCAUCGACCCCCAUCCUGUUAAUCUCUUAGGGCGGUGGAUAACUUGUUUUUGCAGGUAAUGCUUGUGAUUUGGUACAACCCGGGUAUGUUGCAUGUACGUAAUUAUAUCAUGACCUGCGUGUCGAGAGUACAAUAACUGGUUGGAGCCAUAUGGUUGUCCCAUUAUUGUAUUAAUGACCUUCAUGUCAACAUGAGAAGCAUUGUAUUGUUAUUUACUUUCAAUAGCUAUUAGUUUGUAAUAGCGUAGUAUCUUAUGUAACACUUGGCGGUUGACACCAUGGCGUGGAGAUGAAGAUCUCCACGAGGACAACCAUGCAUGGAGAUGGAGAUCACCAUGGGCAGGCCGUGCAGGUGGAGACGAAGAUCACCAUGCGAUAUCAAAAGGGGCUAAACCAUAUCACACAUAUAAACUGCCUGUGAAAGUUUAUCUCUGUUAUGCACCCUUCUUUUGCAUGGUAGACGUUUCAAGUAGGGUGAUCCCUCAAAGAAUGUCAAGUAAAAAUGCCUCUCCAAAUGUUGCACCAUCACACAUCAAGUAUACUUAGUGGUGGGAUUAUAAAAUUAAGGUGCCAUUUGGUGUCCUUGAAGUGAUGGGUUCGGUUCGGACACUUACAUGCAUAGCAUUGGUUAUCUUGUCGUGGCUAUCAAAACAGUUUUGGGCCUCGAGGCGUAGGAGUUGGUGCGACAUGAGAUGUCCCCAACAACAAGAGUCGUAUGGAGACACGAUUAGCAAGAAAUACUUAUGGAGUGAUCUCGUCUUCUAGCAGUGAUGCAAAUGCUCACUAGUUAACAUGUUGAUCUUGGAUCUUGAAUCACUAAGUAUCAUCUGAGGGAUGUUGAUUUUAUUUGGAGUGAUGAUCUUAUUAAAAUGUUUAAUAUGAAUUACUCUUCAUGAAUACAUGUCUUAGUGUUUUGCAUCUUUCUGUUGGAGAUCAGAGGCACCACCUGCUCAAGUUACUCCUUUUGCGCUGAAAACAAUCCUAGAAAAAGAUAAAUGGAAUGGGACAAACUUUACGACCUGGUAUAGAAAUCUGGGAAUUGUUCUUAGGCAUGAGAAAAAGGACCAAGUUCUAGAAAAUCCGCUUCCAGAUGUACCUGCCAAGAAUGCUAAUGCCACAACCAGGAGUGCCUACCAGAAACCCAUUGAUGAAUAAAAUGAGAUCAUCUAUCUCAUGCCGGCUUCAAUGGAGCCCGAUCUACAGCAGCAGUUCGAAAACAUUAAGGCUUUCGAUAUGAUCGAGAACCUCAAAAGCAUGUUUCUGAUGUAGGCUAGGACCGAAAGGUUCAACGUCUGGCUAUCCUUGAUGGAUUGUAAGUUGAAUGAAAGUGAUCAAGAUGACUAGGUACAUGCAAGCUUUGGAUUGGUUGGGCUUCCCACUUGGGAACGUUCAACUCGAACUACCAUAUGCAUGGGAUGGAAAAGAAGCUCACUGAAUUGCAUGGGAUGCUCAAGGUGGCAGAGCAGGAUAUAAAGAAAGUUACGCAUCGUCAAGUGUUGAUGGUGCAGAACUGGGCUAAGUUCAAGAAGAGAUGUUCCAAGAAAAAGCAUAAGGCAAACGGCCAGGAGGAGAAGGCAACUCCAACUUCUGCCGUUGCGCCUAAGUCAGGGCCAGCCGGGGACCGUUUUCUUUCACUGUAAGGAACACGGCCACUAGAAAAUGAACUGCAACAAGUGGCUUGUCGAGAAGGGCAAGAAGACUGGAAGUGUCACUUCUUCAAGUACACUUAUUGUAUAUGUUAUAGACAUUUAUCUUGCUGAUGUUUCUAGUAGCUCUUAGGUAUAUGUUACCGGAUCGGAUGUUCACAUAUGCAUCUCGAUGCAGAGUCUAAGAAGAACUAGGAAUGUUGGAAGAGAAGUUGACAUACACAUCGUGAAUAAAGCAAGAGUUGAUGCAUUGGCCGUCAGCACUAUGCAACUUAAUUUACCUUCAGGAUUUGGAAUGGAACUUGAUAAUUGUAAUUAUGUUCCUGCUUUGAGUCAAAACAUUAUUUCUGCCUCAUGUUUGAUGAUACAAGUUUAUGAAAUAAGUAUUAAGGACAAUGGUUGUUCUAUGUACUUGAAUAAAAUGUUUCAUGGCUUUCCACCUAUUGUGAACGGGUUAUUAAUCCUAGAUCUUGAAGGUGAGCCAGUCUAUAACAUAAAUGUCAAGAGGCAUAAGCCUAACGAAAUAAACCCGACUUACAUCUGGCAUUGUCGACUAGUACACAUUAGUAAAAGUGCAUGAGGAAGCUCAAUGAUGAUGGAAUUCUAACUUCAUUUGAUUUUGAAUCAUUCGAGACAUGUGAGUGUUGCCUUCUUGGCAAGAUGACUCAGACUCCUUUUGCAAGGAGUUGCGAAAGGACGUCCGAGUUAUCGAAACUCAUCAUAGUGAUGUAUGUGGACCAAUGAGCACGACAGCAGGUGGUUUCCAAUAUUUCGUGACGUUUACAGAAAACUUGAGUAGAUUUGGAUAUGUCUACUUGAUGAGGCACAAGUUAGAAACUUUUGGAAAGUUCAAGGAGUUUGAGAGCGAAGUGGAGAAUCAACUCGGCAAGAGAAUCAAACUUCUACGAUCUGAUCGUGGCGGUGAGUAUAUGAGCCAGGAGUUUGAUGAUUAUCUAAAGAGUCGUGGAAUAGUUCCACAACUGUAUCCUCGGGGUAUGCCACAGAGAAAUGGCGUGUUGGAACGAAGGAAUCGGACUCUGUUAGACAUGGUCCAAUCAAUGACGAGUCGGUCGGAUUUACCUUUGUUAUUUUGGCGAUACGCUCUAGAAACUGCGUAUUUCACACUAAAUAGGGUACCAUCCAAGUUUGUAGAUAAGACGGCAUAUGAGAUAUGGACUGCGAAGAGUCACAGUUUGUCUUCUCUAAAAAUUUGGGGUUGUGAAGCAUACGUCAAGCGACUCCAGUCAGACAAGCGCACACCCAAGUCGGACAAGUGCAUAUUCGUGGGGUAUCCAAGGGAAACCUUGGGAUCUUACUCCUACAUCCGUGAAGACUGCAAAGCGUUUGUCGCUCGACAUGGAGUUUUCCUUGAGAAAGAGUUUCUCAAUCAGAAGGCUAGUGGGAGGAUGAUACGACUCGAGGAAAUUCGAGAACCACAUGGAGUUAGUCAGGGAACCCAUGGUGGAGUCGACGCCAAUUCCACGGAGGUCAGAAAGGUUGCGCAAUAUGCAUGACUGCAAUGUGUUGUUCUUGGAGAACAACGAGCCGGCAACGUAUGCGGAAGCCAUAGAGAGCCCUGAUUCCGAGUUAUUGCUUGAGGCCAUGAGAUCCGGAUUAAAGUCCAUGGAUGGCAAUCAAGCUUGGAACUUGGUUGAUCUGCCAGAUGGCGCUCGAGGCAUUGAGUGCAAACUGGUAGUGAUGCCUAAAUAAAUUAGGACCAUUCUUGCUAUAUCUGCAUAUUUCGACUAUGUUACUAUUAUGUUCUUCAACAGAAGGUCCCAAAUGUUGUUGUGCCUCUGCUGAUGGACGCCGAAAGUGAGAUGACAAUUGUUUGCCCUUUGAAGAUCAGAUUCAAAUAUACAUACUCGACCGAGCGUUAAUCAAAUGGAUGCCUCAAAAUUGAGUGAUGGAGGCAAAUAGUCAAUGAGCUCGGGCCACAAAUUGGAGACCGGGGAUCUCUGUGGUCCAUCAUGGAGAUGUAGUUUUUUUUCUCUGUUUUAUUCUAUUUUACCUAAGACACUGGAGUAGGUCAUAGUACUUGUCAUGUGCUUGAAAGUUACUUACCUAGGAUGAUGACAAUUAGUUAGUAGUGGUUAACUUAUGAUGAUGAUGAUGGUGAUGAUGGUGAUGAUGAUGAUGAUGAGACAUUUUUAUAUAAUUAUGAUCAUGAUGAGCUGUUAUAUCACUACGAUGAUGAUGAGUUAUAUCAUUUUGAUAAUGAUGAGUUGUUACAUGAUGAUGAUGAUGAUGAUGAUGAUGAUGAUGAUGAUGAUGAUGAUGAGUUGUUAUAUAGUUGCUUGUGUAUAAAAAUCUGUAUAAUUAUUGUAUAAAUAUAGUAUAAUAUGUAGAAAGGAAAUACAUAGAGUUAGUAGUGGCGGGGGGCCUCGCGCUAUAGCUAGUUAUUAGUAGCACGGGCCAAACACCGCGCUGCUCCUAAUGUAAGUAGUAUUAGAGCCGAGCCUGGCCCGUCUUACUAGGAACCAGUUAGCUACACGCUGAUGAGUUGUUAUAUGAUGAUGAUGAUGAUGAUGAGUUUUUAUAUAGUUGCUAAUGUAAGUAGCGAGGCAACCCGCACUACUCCUAUGCCUUUAAACCGCGCCACUACUAGCCUUAUCCCUUGUAGUGACGGGCAGAUGGAGCGAUGAAAUGCGCAUGUCCUCAAUGGGCUCCAAACGAGAACAUUCGCCUAACUCAAGAAGUGUGGCCGGUGAUGGAUCGAUGAGCUUCCCUAUGUUCUAUUUAGUGUAGAUAUCACUCUUAAUUAACUUGUUUUUCUGCGGAUAGUAACUAACGCUUUGAGCCUUUGUGGUUUAUCUCACAAUUUUUGUCUUCACAACUGGAGUAGGCCACAAUGUUGAGAUGCAAAAAAAGGUCCAUAAACUAAUUAAAUGGAAUAUCAUUUAGAUACGACACUUAUAAGAUACACUAAAUAUUAAGAGACGUGUUGAGUAUAUAAUGAAUAGGGGUCAUUGUCUCUAAAUAGUUUUCACUAAAUAGGAUGAUGUGUUAAGAGACACUGCGUUGUGAGUUCCCUUUCGCUAAAUUAAUUUGCCCUGGUUCGAUUGCAGAGAUGUGUGCGGAGUUUCUUGGGGGAGUUUGGCAGCCAAUCGAUGAUAACUAGUUCUAGGACGCUACUAGGUCAGAUUCAAAACUGAACAUAUGGCUUGGUCCAAGAGUUUCGGCUCUCACAACCUGAAAAUCUGCAGCUUUCACACUAAAUAUUAAGAGAUUCGAAACUGAACAUAUCUGUCAUUGGUUUGAUGCUGUGGGUCCGUUUCAUUAUCUUUUUUUUUAUCAGGUAGUUGGACGGCCACACCAUGCCCUGAAAAUCUGUCUAGAUCUUGAUCGGGAGGCAUAAGAUUUCUUAUUCUGACAACCCUGAAACUGUUUGCCAUGCAUGCAUUAUCCUUCGCAAAGCGAAUUAAGUUGCCCCUAGACAAGGGCGGAUGGAGUAUAGUUCACUGUAGCUUCAUGAUUCUUUUGUCAGCUUAUUUUUUAGAGCUGCGGCUAUCAUAUUUACACCUGCUGUUAUAUCUGUUUCCAGAACCAUGUGUCAGCAGCUUCUGUUAUCAUAGCCAAUAAAACUAUCACGAAGCUACAGUGUGAGCAAUGAAGACGUUAUAUAAACAGGGAUAAAAUAUAUUGUGCUAAACUGCUCUAUCCAAAACCAUGUGUCUGCUCCUCUUGUUUGUUUCUUUACUAUUUUUCAUAUUGUGGAUGAUCAUGACGAUACAUACUAAAGAGUUUUGCAUAGCAUAUGUAAUUUCAUGCAUACAGACAAUGUUUUUUUAUUGGUGUAUUAUUUCACUCUGUUAAGACAAAAUUAUAUUUUGGAAUAUUGAAAUAAUAAUAUUAGGUAAAUCAUACAUGUGCACUAUGAAGCUAACUUUGUGCAAGAGAAAUGAGUAAAAUUAAGGACAAGAUUUAUACCUAUGCAAUACAAAAAAAAACUAUCUGCAGCAGUAAAUUCAUGUAGCUGGCAACAUUACUGGUACAAAUUAGAUCUAAUUAUAGUGCAUACAUGUACCUUUUUUAGAAAACAAAUCUUGAAACUUCGAUAGAAAAUUUUACGAUUUAUGAAAUUUGAAUGGGAAAACUAAACCAAAACCAAAAGGCCGGGAGUUAAAUGUGAGUGAAAAUAAAUGUCAGGAGGUAUUUGUCAGUGAAAAUAAAUAUGAGUGACACUUCUCCAUGCAAAAAUGUUAGUGAAAAAACUUGAAUUUUCACUGUAAAAACAACCCCAAAAUAAAGGAGGAAGCAGAACCAUCGAAAUGUUUAUGAAACGAACAACCACCAACAUAAGAGAGAAGUCACCAUACUCAUUAAGACGCCCAUGUUCAUCUGAGUAGUUAAGCCACUGCAUAGCAAUUAAUAGAAAGAAAACUGCAUAGAAAUUAAUUUUGAUGGGCUCGUGGAUCACGGCAGAAGCAUGCAUGAAUGCAUAUGUCUAUCGUUGCAGGUCAUUCAUGAGAGCAAUGCAUUCAUAUCUAUCUUUGCACGGAUGGAAAAAUUAGUCUGGCGCCAUAUAUCUUCUAUUUGUUAUACUACAGAAAGACAUAUUAAAAUAAAGUUGCCCCUAAACAAGGUGGAUGGACGACCACUCAUUUUGGCAGACUGUACUCGCACAAUUCGUUUUCCCAAUAAUAAUGUGAAUGGAGAGAGUAUAAUUCACACUGUCGCUUCAUGAUUCUUUUGUCAGCUUAUUUUUUAGAGCUGCCUUUUUUUUUGCGGGAAUAUUUUUUAGAGCUGUCAGCUAUUAUAUUUACCCCUACUGCCAUAACUAUUUCCAGAGCCAUGUGUCGGCAGCUUUUGUUAUCAUAGCCGACAAAACUAUAACGAAGCUACAGUGUGAGCCAGGAAGACGUUAUAUUUUCAGGGAUAACAUAUAUAUUGUGCCAAACUCCUCUAUCCAAAACUAUUUGCCGGCACCUCUUGUUUUGUUUAUUUACAAUUUUAAUAUUGUGGAUGAUCAUGACGAUACGAAGUAAAGAGUUUUGCAUAGCAUAUGUAAUUUCAUGCAGGCAGACAACACUUUUUUAUCAGUGUAUAAUUUUGCUCUGUAAAGACAAGAUUUUAUCUUGUGAUAUUGAAAACAUAGUGUUAGAUAAAUCAUAGAUGUGAUCUUUGUGGAUAAAUUUGUGCAAGAGAAUUGAAUAAAAUUAAGAACAAGUUGUAUACCUGUGCAAUAAAGAAAACUAUCUGCAGUAGUAAAUACAUGUAGGUGGCAACACUCACAUUUUGGUUAUUCCUGUAUAAACAUUGCUAGUGCAAAUUGGAUCCUAUAUAUUGUGCACACGGUGUUCCCGUCCUCGGAUGGUUUCCCCUUGUUCGGUCUUGCUCAUUCUCGUUGCUCACAAGCUCAUGCAAUUGAGAACCUGAGAUCUUCAAUCUGGCCAUCUGGGAUUUCCGGACUUCUCCUUCGAAGGAAAACAAGGACUGGCACAUAUGGCGCUCUUUGGACACCUUGACUAGAUAGGGGCCUGUCGUGUGCACCCGCAACAUCAGCAUAACCAGCUUUACCGGGGUAUCGUGCAGCUCUGUUUUUGUUGGCACCUUGGGACAUGUCUGCACCAAGAUUCCCAUGGGAUCAACACAUGUGGAGAAUGUCAUGGCGUGAUUGAAGGACUUGCAAGUGGCAAAGGCGGGGUCUUGGAUGCGAUGAAGACUUUGCUUCAUAGGCAGUUGUUUAGACAUGGCUUACGGGAUAUGUUCCCAUCCAGACGGGACGUGAAUUCCUGUGAGCCUAAUGGUGCGUGACUUGCAGUAGUAGCCUCCGCAAGUGGGGGUGGCGGCAUUGGAGGACUUCUUUGUUAUUCGGUGCUCCUCUGAGUACCCAAUCAGGAUUUCCAAGGUGAAAACCCAAGGUCUGGCCUUUAUUGGUUGUGCCUGGCAGUAGUCUUGUUGAAGGCAUUAUUGUUGGGAACCUCAUCUUUCUCCAGGGUGAAAACGUAAUAUCUUUGAUCAGGCAACGACAACGCUUGUGCUUUGUUUCCUUCCUGGAGGCAUUGCUUUUGGAGAACCUAUUUUGUAGUCCGGGUGCCAUCUUUGGUGGUGGUUAGAGUGCGGCUACUUCGGGUAUUGAUCACCGUGGUGGGAUAUUUUUUCUUCUCUUUUUAUUUUGAUUUUUAGUUGUGUGCAUCCUGGAUGUUUUUAGGCAUCUUGUUGUUGCAGAGUCUGGGAGUAAUUGGUAUCUGCUUGAUAUUAAUACAUUCUCCUUUACAAAAAAAAAUUACAUAUGCCUUUUCUAGAAUUUUUUUCCUAAAACUUCCAGGGAUGAUUCUAUCAUUUGUUUAAUUUUAAUGGAAAAAUUAAACCAAAACCAAAACGUCAGGAGGUAAAUGUGAGUGAAUAUUAAGGUCAAGAGGUAAAUGUGUUUGAAAUAAAUAUGAGUGACACUUCUCCAUGUGAAAUUGUUAGGGAGAAAACUAGACUUCUCUCUGUAAAAAUAACCCCAAAAUUAUGGAGGAAACAAAACCAUCCAAAUAAACAAUAUAUUGAGAAGUCUAUGAAACGAACAACCACCAAGAUAAAAGAGAAUUCGCCAUACUCAUCAAGACGCCCACAUGUCAAUAGCUCAGUCAGUCAACAUUAUAGCAAUUAAUUUUGAUAGGCUCAAGGAUCAUAGUAGAAGCAUGCAUGAAUCGUUGCAGGUCAUUGAUGAGAGCAAUGCAGAUCACUAUCUUUGCAUGGUCAGAAAAAUUAUUCUGGCGCCACCUAUCUUCUAUUUGUUAAACCAUAUGAAGGCGCAUAUCUCAUCACGAACGAUUAAUCAACAAUAUAUACUACACAAUGACACAUUAAAAUUAUUGCACAUGGGCGAGAUUGAUGGCUUUAUCCUUCAUAUGAUCCAAAUAAUCGUAUUUAUUGUUCACACUGUAACAACAUAAUGGUUUUGUUGGCUAUCUACCCCUGCUACCAUUCCUAUCUCUUGAGCAACAUGCUAGUAUCUUUUGUUUAGUUUAGCUAAAAAGAUUGGAAUGAGAGAUUUCCUUUUUUUGUGCAAUAACAUGAUAGUACAAACUACUGAACUUUACAUAUUUAGGUACUCAAUAAAAUACUGUUAAAGAUAGCUAUAGACAUUAGUCAUAUUAAUUCAACCAUAAGAGAUUAUCAUGUACCAUAUUAGCAUGAUUACUGGUCCUGUUCAAGAAUUCGUCCGAUUAACCAGUUAACUUGGAAAUUAAUCCCUACUUGUAAGGUCAUCGUGUAGCCAAUAAACUGAUAAAUCCUCCGUUUAAUUUCUUAACAGGACAAUUAACUUGCCGAUUACCCUAUUAAUCCCCUACUCCCUAGCCAACCAAGCAGCUACCAGUUAACAAUUUCCUCAACAAAUUUACUGGUAUGUUCCUGUUUAGAUGGUUCACCAAUACACUUCCAAAGUUAUUUUUGAGAAUGAUGCACCCUUUUUACAUUUUUUUGGUAUUAUUCCAUCAAUGCUGCACUACAUCAUAGCAUCUUCUUCUUUUUGGAAUGGCUAUGAAAGGACACGAUAGGUAUGUCUGGUGAACUUUUUGUGGAGAUACUUGGGCUCAUGUGUCUGAGAAUAAGAGGAUGUCCUCCCAUAGGAUUUACAUAUACCAACAACUAUUAACCAUGUCUCAAUGUGAGAUUGGAGACUAAAGAGUCUAGAUUUUAUAAGAUUAACCGGAAGUGUUGACUUCAACCGUGUAUUACUAAUCCACUGCAGUUGAAUUUUUGCAGUUGAAUUUUGCAUAUGGCUAAUUUAUUAAUCAACACCUAGGAGGAAUAGUUUGUAGGAGUUACCUAUAGCGUUGCCCUGGCAAAAGGAAAUGUGAUUGUUUAUCAAAAUUGUUUCUACUUAUAUUGUUUUAUCCCGUUACUACUGCAGCACUAAUUUUUAGUUAACUAAUGAAAGAAAGGCAUCAUAUUGUUUUAUCCCAUUGAUACCAGAGCACCAAUUUUUAGUUCAUUAAUUAUGUUGCUAUCUUCAAGUAUUUUUAAUCUGGAGGAAGUUCCACAAAACAAAAAUGUGAGAGUCAAAAAGGUGAGGGGAAAACGAGCUGAAUACCACCUUCUUUGUCCUGUCUUGCUUAAUCCACUUGAAGCCAGAUUACCACUUCGGCAGGGUAUGCUGAUGGAACUCGAACUAGGAACCUCAGUGACAUUUGUAGCCAUACAUUCAAAACACCUCCAGGCACAUGAUUUCAAAAGAUAUUUUUGAAGCAACAGGUCACCAAGCGUCUAAUUGAGUGUUGUAGACAUGACAAUGUCUAAAAUGGCGACUUUGAGGAAGCGUAAUGGAACAAACAUUGUGUCAUGCAUGUGCUCUCUACCACACCCUCGACAAAAAUCAAGAUCCCAGUCCAGUGGAAUGAGGAGGACUAGGAUAUGGACGACGAAGGGCCCAGCAACUAGAUAGAGACAACUUAGGAGUGAGCCAUAGGAAGAUCAUCUAGUGCACUGGGUGUGUGGAUUUGAGGGCCCACUUGUAAGAGAGUGCGUAUGCGUUUAAAAGGGGCAAGUGAAUCAGACAUGUGCCGUAACUUAUCGAUGAAAUAAUAAUUGUUUGAACUCUCACCUACUCUGUUCUGCAUCUCACCCUCUUCAUCUGUUCUUCAACUUCUUCUCAUCCCCUACUCCAUAUUAUCCUCUCCAAUAUGUGAUUCUUCCACCAACACUAGUUGGACAUCACAGUUUGACAAUGGAAAUCUUGGUAAAUUUUUCUCUUUGACAGCACUCGGAAACAAUUGAUGCAGGCGCAAAUCCAUGAUAUAAGGGAUAUUUUCUGUAGCAUUGUUUGAAAAUACAUCAGUUACGCAAGGGCCCUUUUGCUUCUUUACUUCUUGUUCUGUGUGCACUCUGAUGUUCGAAGGUGCAGUGAUGGUAGACAGAUAUUUAGUUGGAAGAAAAAUAGAUAAACUCAGAUUUCGUGUAACCCGGGCUCACUCUUUUCAGUGAAUAAAUUAUUGUCACAAAAAACCAGCCUUUUGCUUCUCUUGAUGACAUUAUUCUUAGAAGUAAGAAUGUGCAUUUCUGCAGCCCAUGCUCAUGUGCUAUUUUUUCUUUUUAACUAGUGUAACAAAUGGGGUAGAUGUUUUUUUUUCUGUGCCAAUAAUGGUGUUAAGACUGCUAAAAUCUUGUAAGGGAAGAAAACAUUGAAGAGCAGAAAGAAGAAGAAAAUCAUUUAUUUAUAUAGAACUGACAUGCAUUUGAACAUCAACAGUCAUUUAUUAUUAAUAAUUCCGCAUUUUGUGAAUUCCUUUCUCCAAUGUUUUCUUCCAGGUUUAUUUACUAUGAUAGGCUCACCAGGAAAGGAACCUGAAAAUUUAAAUCGUGUCAAUUUCCUUUUCACACAAUUCUCUCAUGAUGCAAUGGUUUCAGAGAACGCUGUUGUUAUUUGCCAGACAUGUGAUGUUUAGUAUGACUUGAACUAACAUAACAUGCAUAAUACGUUUAUUGAGUACAUGAAGGUUGGUUUCUUUGAAUCAUUUUGGAUUAGCCUGUUUGCAAAGGCUAUUAUCAUUCCACCACUCAGUGAUUUAUGAAUAUCUCCCAUUCAUUUGAUGUGAGUUCCCUGCAACCACACACGAUAUUUCCCUUACUCCGUUUUCGGUAAGAUAUGGGAAACUAAACAUUCAAGGAUAUUGUUCCCACAAGUGGAGAGACUGAAAAAGUCGCGCGCGUUGCUCUCCNNNNNNNNNNNNNNNNNNNNNNNNNNNNNNNNNNNNNNNNNNNNNNNNNNNNNNNNNNNNNNNNNNNNNNNNNNNNNNNNNNNNNNNNNNNNNNNNNNNNNNNNNNNNNNNNNNNNNNNNNNNNNNNNNNNNNNNNNNNNNNNNNNNNNNNNNNNNNNNNNNNNNNNNNNNNNNNNNNNNNNNNNNNNNNNNNNNNNNNNNNNNNNNNNNNNNNNNNNNNNNNNNNNNNNNNNNNNNNNNNNNNNNNNNNNNNNNNNNNNNNGAGGCCGAACAGGUGAAGCCCGCCUCGGUGGGCGGCGGCAUCAGGGCAGUCUAUUCCCGCGGCAACUCAUCGCCCUGGACGGCGGAGCCCGCUCGCGGCACGGUGGCGAAAGUCGGCGCGUUGGAUCCCACGGUGGACCCCUCGUCAGCGUGGAGAGAUGCUUGUGUGUGGCUGACCGGGGUCGAGCACGAGGGAUUCGGGCCUUGUUCGCCGUAUCAAUCUCGCGACGACACCUAUGUCUUCAGCUGGUGCGGUCAGGGUGGUGACCCGGGCUGGCGGCGGCGACCGGUUCCUCCAUGGCUGGUGGGUUAAGUCCUUGACCUGGACGACCAUGUGACGAUGGGUGGUGGCAGAGGCCGCAGAACUAGCGUGCCAUCCAGAUCCAUCUCGGCGUGGCCUUGGCCGGCAGGCGAUGCGUGCAGGGACCGAUCUGGGGCGGCUGGAGGCCCUAUGCCGACGUUCCAGCGAUAGCUUACGUCUCCAUGGCGACGCAACUUCUAGUGAAAAUGUGCUGACUGCGGUCAUGGAAGAUGGUGGCAUCUCUAAUGUCGUUUCCUUCUUCGAGGCAUCGUCGUUUGUAAGCUGUGUCACUACGCUCGGGAUGUUCCGGGGGGAACUCUAUUUCUGGGUAUCCCGGAUCAGACGAUGACGGUGCCUUCAGCGCCAUUCUCCCUCCUAGGGGCAUUGUUCUGGAGCAGGUGCCGACUGGAAGAGACAAGUGGAGGAGCGGUGUUACAUCUACCGCAAGGAUGACGCAGGGUCUCGGUGGCGUGGCAAGGCAGAGUGUCGGCGACGAGCGCCCACGCUAGAUGGUUGAGCUAUCUGGUGUCGAGAUGGCCUGGCGAGAUGAAUACGUUGAUCGCUCCUGAAGGUGGGACAGCAGAACAUGGCGGUGGCUUAAUCUAAAGUGUGUGCAUGCUGUGCGCGCAAAGGGUCUAGCUAGACCAGUUGGUGCUCUCGAAUUGCCGGCAGACAUCUUGGUGAGGUGACCGGAAUAUAUGAUGUGUGUUGAUAAGUGGUCAGGGCACGGCAUUAAAGCUUGUAGGUGUAACGACAAUAGUUUCUAGGGAGGUGGCUUUGCCUUGAUCCAUAUAUUUGUUUUGUUUGGUUCCGUUGAAUAAUAUAAUAAAAUGGUUGUGUGCAUGGCCCGAUGCAUAGACUAGGGGUAAUCGUCUUUUUCGAAAAAAAGUAGAAUGGUACAGUCACACCAUUUUGCCAGUGACAUGCUAAAAAUGGCAUGAUAAACAAUUCCUGAAUGAUAAAUCACAUGGUGACAGUAUAUCUAUUUUAUAGGAAGAGCUGGAUAGAUUAGAGUAUACUGCCCCAGGAUUUUAAAGUGAGUGCGAGAGUUCAGAUUUAUUUACAUGUUUAGCUUCAGAGCUUCAGAACGUCUUUUUUUCACGAAUACACAAAGCUUGAAUAUCUUUUAUUGAUAGAAGAAAGAGAAUGAGUACAACAGAGGAUACAACACAUGGCAUGAACCCAAAGAGGCAUGAUCAUGGAACCCGGAGUAGAGAGACAAGGGGUGCUCAGCCCGAAUAGGGAAAUGACACAACUACACCCACAAAUCCUAAACAGAGAGGCAGGCCGAACAAGCACGGCGUCGAACAUCUCAAAAUCCAACACCAGGGACACCACGAGCGAACAAGAUAGCGCCUUCAGGAAGGGGUGCGACGUCGUGACACCGCCGCCAUCCGAUCCGAGGAACCGGAUCUAGGGUUUCCCCCAGCGCUCAAAGAGGGGCACGGAUAAAAGCCAUGGCAAAUAACUCACGAGUGUCGCCUCUGCCAACAUCGGCAAGAAGAGCAUGGAUUUCGCCUGGCCCAAGUCCGAGCAAUCCCAUAGCUGCCAAAUCAGGAUCCGAAGAUGAGGAAGACAAUCCGCUAGUCAACCACCGUCCCAGUACGGAGGUGGUGGGGCUGCACCUGCUGCCAAAAGAACACGAGCUUUGGAAAUGACAUGCCGUGGGUGUCGACGGGGUCGGGGAGGCAGCGUGGUAGACAGCUUGCAUGGAGGGUGGGAUGGUGACCGGCGCCGCUGACGAGAUGGAGCCGGAAGGGAGCACAAGUCCGAGCUGCCGGAGGUGAAGCCGCCAGAACACCGGCAAACCGAAGAUGCCGGAAGGGGACGCAGCGACCGGGGUGUUGGGGCUGAAAUUGAAGGAAAUAUGCCCUAGAGGCAAUAAUAAAGUUAUUAUUUAUUUCCUUAUAUCAUGAUAAAUGUUUAUUAUUCAUGCUAGAAUUGUAUUAGCCGGAAACAUAAUACAUGUGUGAAUACAUAGACAAACAGAGUGUCACUAGUAUGCCUCUACUUGACUAGCUCGUUAAUUAAAGAUGGUUAUGUUUCCUAACCAUAGACAUGAGUUGUCAUUUGAUUAACGGGAUCACAUCAUUAGGAGAAUGAUGUGAUUGACUUGACCCAUUCCGUUAGCUUAGCGCACGAUUGUUUAGUAUUCUGCUAUUGCUUUCUUCAUGACUUAUACAUGUUCCUAUGACUAUGAGAUUAUGCAACUCCCGUUUACCGGAGGAACACUUUGUGUGCUAUCAAACGUCACAACGUAACUGGGUGAUUAUAAAGGUGCUCUACAGGUGUCUCCACAGGUACUUGUUGGGUUGGCGUAUUUCGAGAUUAGGAUUUGUCACUCCGAUUGUCGGAUAGGUAUCUCUGGGCCCACUCGGUAAUGCACAUCACUUAAGCCUUGCAAGCAUUGCAACUAAUGAGUUAGUUGCGAGAUGAUGUAUUACGGAACGAGUAAAGAGACUUGCCGGUAACGAGAUUGAACUAGGUAUUGAGACACCGACGAUCGAUUCUCGGGCAAGUAACAUACCGAUGACAAAGGGAACAACGUAUGUUGUUAUGCGGUUUGACCGAUAAAGAUCUUCAUAGAAUAUGUGGGAGCCAAUAUGAGCAUCCAGGUUCCGCUAUUGGUUAUUGACCGAAGACGUGUCUCGGUCAUGUCUACAUAGUUCUCGAACCCGUAGGGUCCGCACGCUUAAAGUUUCGAUGACAGUUAUAUUUUGAGUUUAUAUGUUUUGAUGUACCGAAGGUAGUUCGGAGUCCCAGAUGAGAUCACGGACAUCACGAGGAGUCCCGAAAUGGUCGAGACAUGAAGAUUGAUAUAUUGGACGACUAUAUUCGGACACCGGAAUGGUUCCGGUGGUUAUCGGAUAUAUACCGGAGUACCGGGAGGUUACCGGAACCCCCUGGGGGUUUAAUGGGCCUACAUGGGCCUUAGUGGAGAAGAGGAGAGGCGGCUAGGGCAGGCCGCGCGCCCCCUCCCCCUCUAGUCCGAAUUGGACAAGGAGGGGGGCGGCGCCCCCCCUUUCCUUCCUCUCUCUCUCCUCUUUCCCCCUUCUCCUAAUCCAACAAGGAAGGGAAGGGAGUCCUACUCCCGGUGGGAGUAGGACUCCUCCUGGCGCGCCCCUCUCCUGGCCGGCCGCCUCUCCCCCUUGCUCCUUUAUAUAAGGGGGCAGGGGGGCACCCCAAAGACACAACAAUUGAUCAUUGAUCUUUUAGCCGUGUGCGGUGCCCCCCUCCACCAUAGUCCACCUCGAUAAUAUCGUAGCGGUGCUUAGGCGAAUCCCUGCGUCGGUAGAACAUCAUCAUCGUCACGACGCCGUCGUGCUGACAAAACUCUCCCUCAACACUCGGCUGGAUCGGAGUUCGAGGGACGUCAUCGGGUUGAACGUGUGCUGAACUCGGAGGUGCCGUGCGUUCGGUACUUGAUCGGUCGGAUCGUGAAGAAGUACGACUACGUCAACCGCGUUGUGCUAACGCUUCCGCGUUCGGUCUACGAGGGUACGUGGACACACUCUCCCCUCUCGUUGCUAUGCAUCACCAUGAUCUUGCGUGUGCGUAGGAAUUUUUUUGAAAUUACUACGUUCCCCAACAGUGGCAUCCGAGCCAGGUUUUAUGCCUAGAUGUUAUAUGCAUGAGUAGAACACAAGUGAGUUGUGGGCGAUACAAGUCAUACUGCUUACCAGCAUGUCAUUCUUUGGUUCGGCGGUAUUGUUGGAUGAAGCGGCCCGGACCGACAUUACGCGUACGCUUACGCGAGACUGGUUCUACCGACGUGCUUUGCACACAGGUGGUUGGCAGGUGUCAGUUUCUCCAACUUUAGUUGAACCGAGUGUGGCUACGCGCGGUCCUUGAGAAGGUUAAAACAGCACUAACUUGACGACUAUCGUUCUGGUUUUGAUGCGUAGGUAAGAAUGGUUCUUGCUCAGCCCGUAGCAGCCAUGUAAAACUUGCGACAACAAAGUAGAGGACGUCUAACUUGUUUUUGCAGGGCAUGUUGUGAUGUGAUAUGGUCAAGACAUGAUGCUAUAUUUUAUUGUAUGAGAUGAUCAUGUUUUGUAACAGAGUUAUCAACAACUGGCAGGAGCCAUAUGGUUGUCGCUUUAUUGUAUGCAAUGCAAUCGCCCUGUAAUGCUUUACUUUAUCACUAAGCGGUAGCGAUAGUCGUAGAAGCAUAAGUUGGCGAGACGACAACGAUGCUAUGAUGGAGAUCAAGGUGUCGCGCCGGUGACGAUGGUGAUCAUGACGGUGCUUCGGAAAUGGAGACCACAAGCACAAGAUGAUGAUGGCCAUAUCAUAUCACUUAUAUUGAUUGCAUGUGAUGUUUAUCUUUUAUGCAUCUUAUCUUGCUUUGAUUGACAGUAGUAUUAUAGGAUGAUCUCUCACUAAAUUAUCAAGGUAUAAGUGUUCUCCCUGAGUAUGCACCGUUGCGAAAGUUCUUCGUGCUGAGACACCACGUGAUGAUCGGGUGUGAUAGGCUCUACGUUCAAACACAACGGGUGCAAAACAGUUGCACACGCGAAAUACUCAGGUUAAACUUGACGAGCCUAGCAUAUAACAGAUAUGGCCUCGGAACACUGAGACCGAAAGGUCGAGCGUGAAUCAUAUAGUAGAUAUGAUCAACAUAAAUGAUGUUCACCAUUGAAACUACUCCAUCUCACGUGAUGAUCGGACAUGGUUUAGUUGAUAUGGAUCACGUGCUCACUUAGAGGAUUAGAGGGAUGUCUAUCUAAGUGGGAGUUCUUAAGUAAUAUGAUUAAUUGAACUUUAAUUUAUCAUGAACUUAGUCCUGGUAGUAUUAGCAUAUCUAUGUUGUAGAUCAAUAGCUCGCGAUAUUGCUCCCCGUUUAAUUUUUAUAUGUUCCUAGAGAAAACUAAGUUGAAAGAUGUUAGUAGCAAUGAUGUGGAUUGGAUCCGUGAUCUGAGGUUUAUCCUCAUUGCUGCACAGAACAAUUAUGUCCUUGAUGCAGCGCUAGGUGACAGACGUAUUGCAGGAGGACAUGCAGACGUUAUGAACGUUUGGCUAGCUCAAUAUGAUGACUACUUGAUAGUUUAGUGCACCAUGCUUAACGGCUUAGAAUCAGGACUUCAAAGAUGUUUUGAACAUCAUGGACCAUAUGAGAUGUUCCAGGAGUUGAAGUUAAUAUUUCAAGCAAAUACCCUAGUUGAGAGAUAUGAAGUCUCCAACAAGUUCUAUAGCUAAAAGAUGGAGGAGAAUAGCUCAAGAAGUGAGCAUGUGCUCAGAUUGUCUGGGUACUACAAUCACUUGAAUCAAGUGGGAGUUAAUCUUCCAGAUAAAGAUAGUGAUUGACAGAAUUCUCUAGUCACCAUCACAAAGUUAGUAUAACUUCGUGAUGAACUAUAGUAUGCAAGGGAUAACGUAAACGAUUCCCGAGCUUUUCAUGCUGGUGAAAUCAGAAAUCAAGAAAGAGCAUCAAGUGUUGAUGAUUAACAAGACCACUAGUUUCAAGAAAAUGGCAAAGGGAAAGAAAGGGAACUUCAUGUAGAACGGCAAGCAAGUUGCUGCUCAAGUGAAGAAGCCCAAGUUUGGACCUAAGCCUGAGACUGAGUGCUUCUACUGCAAAAGGACUGGUCACUGGAAGCAGAACUACCCGAAAUAAUUGGCGUAUAAGAAGGAUGGCAAAGUGAACAAAAGUAUAUUUGAUAUACAUGUUAUUGAUGUGUACUUUACUAGUGUUUAUAGCAACCCCUCAGUAUUUUAUACUGGUUGGCAACCUCUGCUUGCCUCUGCGAAGGGCCUAUCUUUUACUUUUAUGCAAGAGUCAUGGUGAUCUUCACCUUUCCUUUUUUUCAUUUUAUCCUUUGGCAAGUACCUCGUGUUGGAAAGAUUCUGAUAUAUCCAAUUGGAUGUAAGGCAUCAUGAACUAUUAUUGUUAACAUUACCCUUGAGGUAAAAGGUUGGGAGGCGAAUCUAUAAGCCCCUAUCUUUCUCUGUGUCUGAUUAAAACUUUGAACCCAUAAAUAUCGCGUGAGUGUUAGCAAUUGUGAAAGACUAAAUGAUAGUUGAGUAUGUGGAGUUUGCUAAAUCAAAGCUCUGACAUAGACUCUUCCUGAAAAUAAGAUGAAUUGUAAUUGUUUGAUGACUAAUAACACGGCUUGUUAGUUUUCAAGAAAGUUUAUGAUCUAUACUUUAACAUGUGAAUAGCUUGUUACUUGAUCAUGAAAAGUUCUAUGAGUUGAGCUACUGUUAUGACAUAUGAUGAUGCUAGAAAAAGUGAUUGAAAUUAUCAUUGAUCAAACUUGUGCACCUGCUAGCAUUCACACUUCAUAAAUUCUUUCUUUUAUCAUUUACCUACUCGAGGAUGAGCAGGAAUUAAGCUUGGGGAUGCUGAUACGUCUCCAACGUAUCUAUAAUUUAUGAAGUAUUCAUGCUAUUAUAUUAUCUGUUUUGGAUGUUUAUGGGCUUUAUUGAACACUUUUAUAUUAUUUUUGGGACUAACCUAUUAACCUAGAGCCCAUUGCCAGUUUCUGUUUUUUGCUUGUUUUUGAGUUCUACAGAAAAGGAAUACCAAACGGAGUCCAAUGGACGUCCCAAUUUUUGACGAUUUUUUAUGGACCAAAAGGAGACCCCGGAGCAAAAGGGUUGGGACAGGAGAGUCCCGGGCUGCCCACGAGGGUGGGGGGCGUGCCCUCCCCCCCUGGGCGUGGGCCCCUGCCUCGUGGACAACCCGGAGACCCCCCUGACAUGAGACCUACGCCAAAAAAUCCUAUAAAUACUGAAACCUCCAGAAAGCAGAAUAGAUCGGGAGUUCCGCCGCCGCAAGCCUCUGUAGCCACCAAAAACCAACCGGGACCCUGUUCCGGCACCCUGCCCGAGGGGGUAUGUCGGUGUCAAAACCGGCGGAUCUCGGGUAGGGGGUCCCGAACUGUGCGUCUAAGGCGGAUGGUAACAGGAGGCGGGGGACACGAUGUUUACCCAGGUUCGGGCCCUCUCGAUGGAGGUAAUACCCUACUUCCUGCUUGAUUGAUCUUGAUGAUAUGAGUAUUACAAGAGUUGAUCUACCACGAGAUCGUAGAGGCUAAACCCUAGAAGCUAGCCUAUGGUAUGAUUGUUUUUGUCCUACGGACUAAACCCUCCGGUUUAUAUAGACACCGGAGGGGGCUAGGGUUACACAGAGUCGGUUACAAGGGAGGAGAUCUGCAUAUCCGUAUUGCCAAGCUUGCCUUCCAUGCCAAGGAGAGUCCCAUCCGGACACGGGACGAAGUCUUCAAUCUUUUGUCUUCAUAGUCCAACAGUUCGGCUAAAGUAUAUAGUCCGGCUGUCCGAGGACCCCCUAAUCCAGGACUCCCUCAGUAGCCCCUGAACGAGGCUUCAACGACGAUGGGUCCGACGCGCAGAUUGUCUUCGGCAUUGCAAGGCGGGUUCCUCCUCCGAAUAUUCCAUAGAAGAUUUUGAACACAAGGAUAGUGUCCGGCUCUGCAAAACAAAUUCCACAUACCACCAUAGAGAGAAUAAUAUUUCCACAAAUCUAAUCUACUGACACAUUCUGCAGCAUGACAUCACACCAUGGCCCGGUCAUUAUUCGGACCGUUUUUCUUAACCAGCCACUGCACAUAUCGCGAGGCGGUUUUCUUGGCACGUCUUGUCGAAGCAGAGAUCGUGUCCCCCUAUCACGGGAUUGUCAUCAAUACGGGUGUGGGUAACCUAACCGCGCCAUCAAUUACAGCUCUUGGGGAAUAAGCGAGUUUACCAGGCAGGUGGGGAGGCGCAUAGUUCCUUCCGCCCUUAUAAAGAGACAAGGAUUCAUCUUUUUCACCCACGCCCUCUUCCUCCUUGCUCAUCCGUUCUUGCGCACUUGAGCUCCAACACCCAAGUUCGCAUUCUCUCCUCAAACCACUCCAAGCAUGUCCGGAGCAGGAGGCAAGUGGAUGGUCUCCUCCGUUACGAAGGAGGACAUCACAAGGCUAUGGGGAGCCGGAUACCUGGCCGCGGAUAUCGCGCACCGGCUACAAGAUGCGGGGCAGAUCGUCCCUACUCCAGAACCCCAUGAGAGGGUGAUAUUUCUUACCCACUUUGUCCGCGGACUGGGAUUUCCCCUCCACCUGUUUGUCCGCGGGCUCAUGUUCUACUACGGGCUGGACUAUCACGAUCUGGCCCCCAAUUUCAUCCUCAACAUCUCGGCGUUUAUCGUCGUGUGCGAGGCCUUCCUCCGCAUCAAGCCCCACUUCGGCCUGUGGCUGAAGACCUUCAACGUUAAACCGAAGGUGGUGGCCGGCCAGCAAGCGGAGUGCGGAGGCGCCAUGGUGGGCAAAAUGCCCAACGUCACCUGGCUAGAAGGCUCCAAUGUGGAGACCGUAAAGGGGUGGCAAUCGGGGUGGUUCUACAUCACCGAGCCGCGCGACACCAACUGGGUAGCGGCCCCCGAAUUUUUAUCCGGAAUCCCCAUGCGGCUCACCUCCUAGAAAGAGAAGGGCCUAUCCUGGGGUUCCUCGGUAGAGCUGACCGGACCCCAGACCUGCGUCAAAAACAUGAUGAGCAAGAAAAUCAAGCUUGUCAACAUGGUCCAAGUCAUGCUCUUCCGCCCGAUCCUCCCGUGUCAAAGACGGGCAUUCAAUUUGUGGGAGUUCGACCCGGCCGAGCACCAGACGCUGCGAGAGCUCUUCGACACGGCGCACAAGGACGUCUGGAAGGUGAUGUUCAAGGGCGCUGAGGUACCUCCUCCCCUUACCAAGGACCGCGGACUCAGCGCAAAGCGCCCUGCCAAUCCGGUAUGUCUUUUAUAUUUCAUAAGAUGUUCUUUUCCCCAGUAUAACCACACGCGGGAUCUAAGCCCCCACGCCAUUUAACAGGACUGGGUAGCGACAGCGGAGCAGAUCGAUUGUCCAGCCCCCCUGCCUGAAGAUCCAGCGGAUGCUCUCCUAACGGAGAUCCUGGUUUCGGCGCCUUAUGAGGUGCCGGAGAAGAAGGCCACGGGGACCAGGAAGGGUCUCCGGCGCAAGGUUAUAUCGGACUCAUCGUCCGAAAACACCGAGGCGCACUCCUCCCACGAAAACGGGGAGGAAGAGGAAAGUUCUCCCCCCCAGCCAGGGGGGACAGGACAAGGAAGGCUGCCCCAUCAGGGGAGGCCGAAGGGUCCAAGAAGGGAAGGACCCUCCUCCCGGACUGCUCCACAAAGGCCGCUUUUAGCGACGAGGAGUGGUUACCCAGGGACAAGCCCCUGGCAAAGUCGUGAGUAUCCGGAUACCAUAAUAAUUCUUGGUACGUCUUAUUGUACUGUUUCUUAUCACGCCGCGCAUGAUUAUGCAGUCCGUCCCGAGCCCAUAUCGACGUAUCUUCGUCGGAUGAUUCUUUGGGCCCGUCAGAUAUGAAUAGCGAUUCACUCCCGACUGCCUCCUCCCCCCGCCCUACGGACGACGCCGAGGUGUUGUCUCAAAGGGAACUAAACCAAGGGGAGACAGUUCCGGAGGCGCCCCAAGGCGACAUUCCAGGCGCUAGGUGCACGAGGGGCAAGACUCCCCUAGGCCCUAACACCGGGGGCAGUAAGUCUAGCCCCAAGCCGAAUACGGCGCCGGAACCUCCAGUGGUUCCGGAUUCUGUCAGGCAACCCCUCGCUAAGGGGGGUAAGCCGUCUGUGCCGAUGGCCUCUGUCCAUCCAGAGGCAUCGGACAACUUGCUAGAAGUGCUUCGCGGCGCUUCCAUUGACGAAGAGCACCGCACUAUUAUGAGUGCGGUAGUUAAGAAGGUUCAGUCCGCUAAGAGCGGACUGACUGAAGCCUGUGCCAACCUCCUAACCGGCUUUGAGGUAAGUAAUCAAAUUGUAAGAAAAUGUUACAGCAUAGACAGUAGCCCCUGAUGCUCUGUUUGGCGUUCGCGGAGAAAGGCCGAAUAGAGGAUCAAAUAAUAAUCGCAGGAGUCUAAUCAGAAUGUGUCUAUGUGAAUAAGCGGGCUUCACUGCUGGCCGCCGCCGCUCGUACUGCGGAGGUCACCGCACUGAAGCGGGACCUUGAGCGGUCCAAGGAAGAGCUCGGCCUUACCAAGAGGCAGCUCGAAGAGAACAAAGGUAAGUGACACCCCGUCUGAAUAUUGGUAAAGAAAAAUUUGGUUUUGGAAUAAUAGGAUCCUCAUGAAUUUUGCUAGGGGCCACGACCGAAGUGGCGGCCCUGCAGAAGGCGCUAUCUGAGGCCGAAGACAAAGCGGCCAAGGAGCACAUCGAGCGAGAGAAGCAAGAGGCCCGAGUAGGCGAGGUGCGGCAAGAGCUCCAGGCUCUCGUCAAGAAACACGAGUCCUUGGAGCUUGACUCUAUGACGCAAGGGUCCGAGCUUGCGAAGGCCCUCGAAAGCGCACAACAUGCCAAGGCCAAAGCCCAAAAGGCCCUCCAGGAAAUUUAGGCGGUUAAGAAGAUAGCGGCGGGUAAGGCAUUCAUUAUGCAAAGCAAGCAUGUGAAGGAAACUUUCUUUUUACUUACCCGAGUUCGGAGUUCUCCAGAAGCGUUCGCAGAUCUACCCCGCAGUGUGUCGGAUGCCACGGAGUUCUACCGGGCCGAGGAGGGGAGCUCGGCGGAGAAGUUGUUCUGGUCUCAGUAUACUGGGACCGAACAUCCAAUGCCCUUGAGCGACCAGUUGAAGCAACUGGUCGAGCUUCACAAGGCGGCCGAACAGGCCAUGAAGGGUCUUAUGGUCUGGAUGUGGCAUGGCGACCCCUGCCUGGUAGCUACUUCGGUCUGGUGAGGCGGCUUGUGAAUGCCUGCACACGGUUUGAAGUCAUAAAGCGGUCCGUCUGCAUUGAGGGUGCGCGCAGGACUUUUGCCCGGGCGAAGGUGCACAGGGCGAAGCUGGACGCCGAAAAGCUGGUGAAGGAGGGGCCGCCGGAGGGCAAGGAGCAUCGCCACCCCGAAAAGUAUUAUGAUAGUGUCCUGAAGGGUGCUCGCCUUGUGGCGGAGGAAUGUGCUAAGGAUGUAAUAUUUGAAUGAAUGUACUCAUGUGAUCCUGUAAUAUGAAACGAGUUCAUUUGCGUACGCAAUGCUUGUUAAUUUAAAAUAUUACCUUCUAUGCGGCCGUUUAUAAAAUCUGAGAGUUGGCCAGUCGUCGGCUUCUGCCCCCAUGUAACUAGUACUAAGGUGUUCGGGGUAAACCUGAGCACUCUUUAUCCCAAUUUUGGGUCCUUCGAAGGAGGUGUUUAGCACAAUGAACCAGGCAAUCGGACUAUAAAGCUUUAUCACUCUCACUUAGCCAUAGAAGUCUACAAUUUUAAAUUUUGGCGAAGCCCCUAGUAUUUCGAAGGCCGAAUUUGGGGCACUAUAUACGCCUAAGUCGGGCAAGACGACUCCUUGCCCGAAGCGGAAAGAGACUUUAAGGACUUGAGACCUCUCGAACAGCGACCAGCUCUCGCCUCAUUAUGACAGUCAGUUUUCGGCUUUCUCUACUGAGGUGCUCGUCCGGAAGAACCGGGACACAAUCGCAGUAGUUCUCCCAAGGCUACCUUAGCCGAUAUUGCGGAACGUAAGGUACCAAAACAUGGGAGCCGGGCAAACCCAACUAUUGACCCAAGACAUGAUUCGGAGCUGGUGCAUAUAAUUCUAUAAGUUCGGGGUGCCGCACUGUCGAAAGUGUUCGGACUUCUCACACUGUAUUAUGGGGUAUACUAAAGCCCCUGGCGCACUGGUCAUACCAGGAUGUACGGGUGCAAUUUGUCGUAAAUAAGCAGACAAGGAAAAAAAAGAAAGGGGAAUGCAAUAAUAGACUAACGAUAUGCAUUGUUAUUAAAUAAUACGUCAAAGCGACGGAUACAAGUAGUGCAAUAAGCAAAAAAUAAGACUAUUUGACAUGUCCUAUCCAAGGGCAAGCUGCGUAUGGGUAUGUAAAACAGGUAUUUCGAUCGUUAUCAGAGACCACCUAGGGAUUCCCUUGUACGUCAGAGCGUCUUGCUUCCUUGGUAUUUCCUUACCGCGAUGGGUCCAACAAUUAGAUUGCCGAAAAGGGCUUCCAGAGAGUAAGGUCCUGAAAGAGAGAAAAUGAUAAAGGUAUAUGGCCCCUGGGGCGGUUGAGCCACCUUGUGGGACGUGCCGUAGCUGUGCCUCCGCCUAUGCCCAUGGUAUCUUGAGUGCGUAGUUAUGUACGCGCGGCGCAAAUUUCGCCACUUGACUGGGACUAGGACGGAGGCCGAAUUGCUAGGCGAGCUCAAAACGUGCAUGGCGAUCCUCCUGCGGGGUACCCCGGACUCGCUUGAAGGUGUCCGGGGUCUUUUUCGCCGAAUUGGCGGUUUGCCUAUUAAGGCUGCUUUGCGCUUCUGCUGCGAGGGCUGCAGUGUGCUCCUCCGUGCGGAGCGAGCGCUCUGUGUUUCCAUUAACUGUUAUAACCCCGCGUGGUCCUGGCAUUUUGAGUUUGAGGUAUGCAUAAUGCGGUACCGCAUUGAAUCUGGGAAAUGCGGUUCGUCCGAGCAGUGCGUGAUAGCCGCUGCGAAAGGGGACGAUGCCGAAGAUUAACUCCUCGCGUCGAAAAUUGUCCGGAGAUCCGAAGACCACUUCCAGUGUGAUUGAGUCCGUGCAACAGGCCUCUACACCUGGGAUUACACCUUCAAAGGAGGUUUUGGUGGGUUUGAUCCUCGAGGGGUCUAUGCCCAUUUUGCACACUGUAUCCUGAUAGAGCAGGUUCAGGCUGCUGCCACCGUCCAUAAGGACGCGAGUGAGGUGAAAUCCGUCAAUGAUGGGGUCAAGGACCAAUGCGGCAGAUCCGCCAUGACGGAUACUAGUGGGGUGGUCCCUGCGAUCGAAGGUGAUCGGACAAGAGGACCAUGGGUUCAACUUUGGGGCGACUGGCUCCAUAGCAUAGACGUCCCUUAGUGCACGCUUCCGUUCCCUCUUGGGAAUAUGGGUUGCGUAUAUCAUGUUCACCGUUUUCACUUGUGGAGGGAACCUCUUCUGUCCUCCAAUGUUCGGCGGCCGAGGCUCCUCCUCGUCGUCGCUAUGGAGCCCCUUGUCCUUGUUUUUGGCAUUUAACUUGUCGGCCUGCUUGAAUACCCAGCAUUCUCUGUUGGUGUGAUUGGCUGGCUUAUCGGGGGUGCCAUGAAUUUUAACGAGCAAUCGAGUAUACGGUCCAAACUGGACGGGCCCGGAUUGCUUGUUUUGAACGGCUUCUUCCGCUGACCGGAUUUAGAGCCACUGAAUCCGGCAUUGACUGUCGUGUCUUCGGCGUUGUCGCCGUUGUUGUGGCGCUUGUGUCUGUUGCGACGUGGUCUGCCAAUAGUAUCUUUGGCGUCUGAAUUGCCGGGAUUUCUUGAUGUGCUGUUGCUGCGAGCUAGCCAGCUGUCCUCGCCCGCGCAAAAGCGGGUCAUGAGUGUCGUGAGGGCUGCCAUGGACUUCAGCUUCUCUUGGCCGCGGUGUCAGGCGAGCCACUCGUCCCGGAUGUUAUGUUUAAAUGCCGCUAAGGCCUCGGCAUCCGGACAGUCGACAAUUUGGUUCUUUUUAGUUAGGAACCGAGUACAGAAUUUCCUGGCCGAUUCCCCUGGCUGUUGGGUUAUGUGGCUCAAGUCAUCAGCAUCUGGUGGUCGCACAUAAGUGCCCUAGAAGUUGUCAAGGAAUGCGUCUUCCAAAUUCUCCCAACUGCCAAUGGAGUUUGCUGGCAGGCUAUUCAGCCAAUGUCGAGCUGGUCCUUUGAGUUUUAGUGGGAGGUACUUGAUGGCAUGUAGAUCGUCAUCGCGGGCCAUGUGGAUGUGGACGAGGAAAUCCUCGAUCCAUACCGCGGGGUCUGUUGUACCAUCAUAUGACUCAAUGUUCACGGGUUUGAAUCCUUCUAGGAAUUCAUGAUCCAUUACUUCAUCGGUGAAGCAUAGUGGGUGUGCAGCGCCUCUGUGCCGGGCUAUGUCACGACGCAGUUCAUACGAGUCUUGUCUGCUGUAUUCGGCCCCGCCGGAUUUGCUUUUAGUGUAUCCGGCAUGACGAUCAUCAUCACACAUUGGGGCGCGACCCCGUGAUCCGUAGAUCGAUCUUGUUUGUCCUGCUCUGUUUUCCUAUACGUCUCGCAGGUCCCGCGUGUUGCCCCAGGCCUUGGUAUUUAUGUUUGAAUGGCGGCGGGGUGCGGGCUGGACUUCGGGCUGAUAUGCCCCUCUGUCUCGGCCACGAGGUGGCCGAUCAGCCGCAUCAUACGCUGGUGAUGUAGGUUUUAAUGCUUCCUCCUCGAUUUGGGGUAGCAACCUGCGCUUUGGGUAACUCUUGGUUGGGCGCUCGAGUUCGUAUUCCUCUACCUCCAGGACUUCAGUCCAUCUAUCCGCUAGCAGAUAUUGAUCAGCUCGAAGCUGUUGUUGCUUUUUCUUCAGGCUGUUUGUUGUAGCUAUAAGCCGACGCUUGAAGCGCUCCUGCUUGACGGGAUCCUCAGGCACGAUAAAUUCUUCGUCGCCGAGGCUCACCUCGUCUUCGGAGAGAGGCAUGUAAUUGUCAUCCUCUGAUUCUCCGUCUGCUGCCUAUUCCGGAGGGCUAGCUUGUUCAUCCUCUCGCUCGAGGUCUGGCUGGAGGGGAUUGUCGUCGUCUUUGGCACUAUCCGGAGCGUUAUUGUCUCUUGUGCCGGUAUCGCUGCUUUUGCUAUGGCGGGACUUAGAGCGGCGCCGCUGACGUCGGUGCUUGGGUUGCUUCUUGGAGGGAUUAUCCUCGGUUGUCUUAUCGCCGUCGCCUUCUUUGGGGGUGUCCACCAUGUAUAUAUCAUAUGAUGAGGUGGCAGUCCAGCGCCCUGUGGGCGGUGGUUCCUGUUCGUCUCCUGUAUCGUCGUCCAUACCGUCGAUGUUUUCGGAGCCGAAAUCGAGCAUGUCGGUUAAAUCGUCGACAGUGGCUACUAAGUGGCUGGUGGGUGGGGAGCGAAUUUCUUCGUCGUCCGCAUCCCAUUCUAGCCAGACAUAGUUCGGCCAAGGGUCUCCUGACAAGGAGAGAGACCUCAAUGAGUUCAGCACGUCGCCCAGUGGUGAGUGCUGAAAGAUAUCCGCGGAGGAAAACUCCAUAAUCGGUGCCCAAUCAGAUUCGAUAGGCACAUACGCAGGCGGCUCAGAGCCCGUGGCCGGGGAUGAAUCCAGGUGUCCGGCGACACAGGUCUCAUAGGAGGUGAAGUCAGUAUUCGGCUCUAUCGCCACUCAGUGUGUGGCCUCCGAGGCGGGGUCCAUCCACCCGUCCUCGGACGGCGCAAUCGACUCCGGAUCUAGGGCCGGAGUAGCCAUGGGUGUGAUCUCCCGAACACCGUCCGGCGGCAGAGCUAAGUCGUGCUCGUCGUGACUGUGCGGCGCACCUGACAUGGGCUCGAAUCCGUCAAAGAUAAAGUCUCCGCGGAUGUUGGCACUGUAGUUUAAAUUUCCAAACCUGACCUGACAGCCAGGGGCGUAGCUCUCGAUCUGCUCCAGAUGGCCAAGCGAGUUGGCCCACAGUACGAAGCCGCCGAAUACAAAGAUCUGUCCGGGGAGGAAAACCUCACCCUGGAUCGCAUCGUUGGCGAUGAUUGAAGGAGCCAUCAAGCCUUUAUCGCGACGGCAGAGUGGAACUCUCAAUGAAAGCACCAAUGUCGGUGUCAAAACCGGCGGAUCUCGGGUAGGGGGUCCUGAACUGUGCGUCUAAGGCGGCUGGUAACAGGAGGCGGGGGACAUGAUGUUUACCCAGGUUCGGGCCCUCUCGAUGGAGGUAAUACCCUACUUCCUGCUUGAUUGAUCUUGAUGAUAUGAGUAUUACAAGAGUUGAUCUACCACGAGAUCGUAGAGGGUAAACCUUAGAAGCUAGCCUAUGGUAUGAUUGUUGUUGUCCUAGGGACUAAACCCUCCGGUUUAUAUAGACACAGGAGGGGGCUAGGGUUACACAGAGUCGGUUACAAGGGAGGAGAUCUACAUAUCCGUAUUGCCAAGCUUGCCUUCCACGCCAAGGAGAGUCCCAUCCGGACACGGGACGGAGUCUUCAAUCUUGUGUCUUCAUAGUCUAACAGUCCGCCUAAAGUAUAUAGUCUGGCUGUCCGAGGACCCCCUAAUCCAGGACUCCCUCAGGGUAUCCCUCACCGGUGGCCAUCUUCAUCAUCCCGGCGCUCUCCAUGACGAAGAGGGAGUAGUUCACCCUCGGGGCUGAGGGUAUGUACCAGUAGCUAUGUGUUUGAUCUCUCUCUCUCUCUCGUGUUCUUGAUUCAGCACGAUCUUGAUGUAUCAUGAGAUUUGCUAUUAUAGUUGGAUCUUAUGAUGCUUCUCCCCCUCUACUCUCUUGUAAUGGAUUGAGUUCUCCCUUUGAAGUUAUCUUAUCGGAUUGAGUCUUUAAGGAUUUGAGAACACUUGAUGUAUGUCUUGUCGUGCUUAUCUAUGGUGACAAUGGGAUAUCACGUGAUCCACUUGAUGUAUGUUUUGGUGAUCAACUUGCGGGUUCCGCCCAUGAACCUAUGCAUAGGGGUUGGCACACGUUUUCGUCUUGACUCUCUGGUAGAAACUUUGGGGCACUCUUUGAAAUACUUUGUGUUGGUUGAAUAGAUGAAUCUGAGAUUGUGUGAUGCAUAUCGUAUAAUCAUGCCCACGGAUACUUGAGGUGACAAUGGAGUAUCUAGGUGACAUUAGGGUUUUGGUUGAUUUGUGUCUUAAGGUGUUAUUCUAGUACGAACUCUAUGAUAGAUUGAACGGAAAGAAUAGCUUCAUGUUAUUUUACUACGGACUCUUGAAUAGAUCGAUCAGAAAGGAUAACUUUGAGGUGGUCUCGUACCCUACCAUAAUCUCUUCGUUUGUUCUCCGCUAUUAGUUACUUUGGAGUGACUCUUUGUUGCAUGUCGAGGGAUAGUUAUAUGAUCCAAUUAUGUUAUUAUUGUUGAGAGAACUUGCACUAGUGAAAGUAUGAACUCUAGGCCCUGUUUCCUAGCAUUGCAAUACCAUUUACGCUCACUUUUAUUAUUAGUUACCUUGCUGUUUUUAUAUUUUCAGAUUACAAAAACCUAUAUAUACCAUCCAUAUUGCACUUGUAUCACCAUCUCUUCGCCGAAUUAGUGCACCUAUACAAUUUACCAUUGUAUUGGGUGUGUUGGGGACACAAGAGACUCUUUGUUAUUUGGUUGCAGGGUUGUUUGAGAGAGACUAUCUUCAUCCUACGCCUCCCACGGAUUGAUAAACCUUAGGUCAUCCACUUGAAAGAAAUUUGCUACUGUCCUACAAAGCUCUGCACUUGGAGGCCCAACAACGUCUACAAGAAGAAGGUUUUGUAGUAGAUAUCAGGGGGAGGGGGGUGAAACCGCCCCGCCGCCGCCGUCCCCGAGCGCGGCGCGGCUUCGCUGGCCGGCCCUCCGGCGGCAGCGAUGCGGGGGGAGGGGGGCACUGGCGGAGGAAGGCUACCGGUGGCGAUGAAGGUUUCCCCCGUAUCGCCUGUUGCGGGCGACGCGGGGGCAGGGUUGACCAGCUCGAGGAUUUCGGCUGAGCUGUAGAACGUAUGAAAUAUUGAAGGAAAACAAAAACAUGAGAAUCAACAGAUAUUGGAGAAGUUGGUACAGAGUGGUACAUGGAAAGGAAAUUUUACUUUUACUGGAGGUUGAAUGAAGUUAUGUUUACACCUUCCAUUUCACUUUGUGGGCACUCCGAAGUUGCAAAGAAAAAAUAUAUAAAAUAUCAUCAUUCGUACGCAUUUAUAUGCAGGUAAUGAAAAUGGCUCCACCUAAUUAUAAGAUUAUUAAGCACUUUUAGUACCCGGGAGUCCCUGGUACUGUGAAGAUGAUAUUAAGACUAAUUAAUGGACAUGGAUUUGUUCUGAUCACACAAAGAUAGCUCAAACACCCAUCCGCUUACUUGCUUGCAUUUCAAAAGAUUGAUAACCACAUUUCAUCAUUUUUCCCCACUUCUCCACCUUGCUGGUGAUAUAUAUCCAGCUUCCGCAUAUAUGAUAUUUUUCACUCUAGCACUUUCAGCUUCUUUUUGAAAUGAAGAGUACUUUUCUUGCUGAUGCAGCAACAAUAGUAAGUCAGAGCUUUCUUAGGCCUUGUACAAUGCAAGGUGCUUUGAGAAAUAAACUAGGCUUUCCUUAAGCACCGAUACUUAUUUGUACAGGAUACUUUAUUAAUUUUUCUCACAAGAUCUUACAAAGUCAUACAACAGUAAGACUAAAGCCGCCGUCUAAGCAACAAACUGUCGCUACACCUAUCCAGUUGAUGAAGGGACGCAGAUAGCCUGGGCCUAAUACCAAACAGACAUCGCAUCCAAGCCUAACAUCUAAGACCUGAGACCCCAACCUAGCCACUUGCCGGGUCUGGGGCACACACUGGUCCGGCGUGCUCUCAGAGGCCGCCGCCGCCAACUGCCACCGCUCCAUCUUCAGAAUUGUACUGAUGCAUCAACCUUACUCGGUCUAGCUAUCGUCGACGCCACCACUGCGCCCAGCGGCACCUCCUCCCUGCCCGCAAACAACUGAGCACAUCGCGGUCGCCACUGAUACACCUCAGCACCAUGCUGCCAAGUACCACCAGCUGACACAGCUUGAAGUCCUUGGAAGAUCUUUCAUGCGUAGCACCUGCCGACCAAGUAUGACAAAGUGUAGCACCUGUCGGUCAGGCAUGACUUGACAUCUCCACCGAAGCUCCGUGCAAGACGAAGCCGCUCCACCUCCUGCCUCUGACUUCCAGCGCUGCUCCACAAACGAUGCUCCCAAGAGAGAAACGAGACAGCGGUGCCACAAUCGUCCGAUCUGGAACACCAGAUCCUAGAGUUUCCCGUGGAGCAGCACGAGUGGGUCGACAGUAGUUACACGAUGAUGCCUCCAUCAAGGUAACGACGAGAACGCCGCCAUCGCCUACCGUCGGCUCGAUUUUCACCGGCAACCAUGUCUCCCCUACUCGCAGUCGGGACUAGAUGAUGGAUCUCGAGAUCCGAUCACCAAGCCUCUGGCCGGCCAUCUCUGGAAGAAGAUGACCACCACGUCCACCAGCGUCACCACACCGGGCACGCGUUGCCGCCGGCACCCCCAUGGUGCCUAGAGGCCGACAAGCCCCGACGAACACCACGCCUCGCCAGCCGCCAUAGCCCAGGCCCAAGCACCACCAGAUCCAGAUCAGAUCGGGGUCAAGGGCCCCAAGCCGCAGCCGUCGCGGAGGCAGCACCACUAGACGGUGCCCUGCCCUCCACCCCGCUGUAGGAUCGAGUCAUCGCCGGAGCUCCGCCACGCCACGCCGCCAAGACGCCGCCGGAAGAACUCGCGCCGCCGCUAGGGGAGAGAGAGACGCGCUAGGGAGAGGCCCCGCCGCUGGCACUGCCUUGGCUUUGCCCGGCUGUGUCCCUCGGCGGCGGCGAGGGGGGAGGGAGGGUGGAGGAGGGCCGGCGGCGGAGGGGGCUAGGGUUCCCCCGAGUCGCCUCAGAGAGGGACGCAGGCGACGGGGUGAGAAAACUGAGAGAGUGGAUAUGGCCUUUACUCGAGCUCAUGGGGUGGCCCGACUGCUGGUGAGUGUUCUCGAUAUUGAGUUCGUGCCUGAUGUGGUUAAGUGGACAUAUAGGGGACAGAUUUUCAACCUCGAGAUUGAGUUUGAGGAUGCCGCUCUCUUCGCUGAGGCUAUCAAUGGGACUGAUGUAGAUAUGCACGAGGGUGAUGACAGCUCGGGUGCUAAGGAGGCACCGGUUGAUGAUGUUGGACGAGAGUUGUCCAACUAAUCGGGGCCCGUUCCUCAGACGCCCAGGGACGGGACGGCACCAUCCUCUUCGGUGCCUAUGAGUUCUCUGAGAUUUGGGUCGUUUGAGCCAGCUUCUGCUCCUCCCAGACUCUGGAGUGACCGGGUGGAGUCCGAUGACGUGUUUGAGCGCACGCUACCUACCCUGGAUUUUGUUGCUGCUGAUAGUCCCGUGCUUGGAGGUUUGGAGGGGAUUAUCUCUGUGCAGACCUCGGUAAGGGGAGGGGAGGCGGAGCUUGGGCAGGUGGCCCCUCUUUCCCCCGCUCUCCCUGCGGUGUCACCUCGGGAGACGGAGUCGACUAUGGAGGCUGUCCCUAGGGAGGGAGUCCAUGGCAGGUGGCCUCGGCUCCUUCUUCUCUUCUCGCGGUGCCGGAGCUGCAGAUGGCGGUUGUGCUUAGGGGAGGCGGUCCAGGGCAGGUGGCCUCGGCCCCCUCUUCACCUCUGGCGGCUAGGGAGGCCACACCCCCUAUGGCGCCGGAGACCUCUUCUAGCCAGAGGGCUGGGGCGGGAGGAGCGUACGGGCAGGCGGCCCACGCGCUUCCCUCUCCCGGCGCGCCAACGUCCCAGGGCCUCGGUUCGAGGUGGACGUCAGUGGGGCCGGGGAGGUCCCCGCCGCUGCCCCCGGCAGCUCCCGCCGACUCUUCGACGUGUGCAGCUUCGCGGUGUGCUGGGGGUGAGGCCGGUGGCUUUACUCCGAGCGGGGUCACUCGGGAGGAGGUCAUCGCCUUUGGAGGGAUUCUAGAUCCUGUCUCUGCGGGGCGACGGAUGAGCUGUCGUCUCUAGGAUCAUCCGGAGGUUGAUGACAUGCAGCAGCGGUGCGCCAUGAGGGCGGCCAAGCUUCGUGACAUUGAGGUCACUACUGGUAUGUCGGUCAACACUUCUAAUUCCAUUCUGCAUUUUUCUAAUAAUGAGAUUAUUAAUAAUUCAAAUCAAUUGGGAGUUUCACUAGGUAGUAAUGAUAGUGAAAUUUCUAACUUUGUAAAUGAUAUCCUGGAUUUGGAAGCGGAACGCGCUUUAGAAAUGAUUCAAAACUUAGCAGCGGUUAAACCCAUGAAUGAUGCAGAUAUCGAUGCGUUGGGGGUCAGGGUGCUCGAUAAUUUUUGUGCAGAUCUUGCACCAUCCAUUCCUGAGUCAGAGGAAGAGGAUAACACUUUUGAGGCUGCCGUAGAUCGAUCCAUGGAGCCCGGUUGUGAGGACUGGGUGGAGGAUCAAAACAAACCUAAACGCAAGUGGAAGCGGAAGAUCUACCCUGCUUCGGCGGUGCGUAGGAGUGCUAGGAUCCGUACUAUUAAAACAUUUCAUGAUGAAAUAUGAAAGGAAUCUUUUGGAAUAGCAGAGGUCUGAAAGACUUGGCUAAAAGAAGGUUUCUUGCAGAUGCGUCUAUCGAGCAUAGGUUGGAUUUUAUCACUCUCUCGGAAACUGGUAGAGAUAAUUUUUCGCCCCAGUUUCUCAGUACUUUAUCGGGAGGUGUUGAUUUCAAUUGGCACUGCCUGCCUCCGAGAGGAAGAUCGGGUGGGAUCUUACUUGGAGUGAGAUGCGAUUCGCUAGAAGUCUGAAGUGUAGUGAUGGGAGAUUUCACAAUUAAGUUCCGGGUUAGGUCGAAAGCCAACGGGUUUAAUUGGGCUCUGAUGGCGGUUAUGCUCCCGCGCAGCCCGAUCUCAAACCAGAGUUCUUGGCGGAUCUUGUUCAAAUUUGCGGCUCUGAGCAGCUCCCAAUCCUGGAUGGGGGUGAUUUCAACAUCAUUAGGAGGAGAGAGGAAAAGAAUAAUGAUAAUUUCGACGGCAGGUGGUCGUUUAUGUUUAAUACCAUUAUUGAAAGCUUGGAUCCUAGAGAGAUAGAGCUUUCGGGUAGAAAAUUCACCUGGGCUAAUACUUUGCCAAAUCCGACGUUUGAGAAGCUGGAUCGAGUCCUAGUGAGCGUCGAAUGGGAACAGAUAUUUCCUUUGGUAACGGUCCAGGCUCUUUCGCGUGGUAUUUCUGACCACACGCCUUUAUUUGUGGACUCUGGUGAGCCAACCCACAUGGGGAACAAAAACUCCUUUUCUUUCGAGCUGGCAUGGUUUGAACGAGAAGGCUUCUUGGAUAUGAUAGCCAGGGAAUGGGCUAAGGAUGCAGGAGGUAGGACUUCGAUUGAGCGCUGACAGAAUAAGAUAAGGCACUUGAGAAGUUUCUUGCGUGCGUGGGCUAAGCAUCUUAGUGGGGUUUAUAAGGUCGAAAAGGAAAGGCUCCUUACACUUAUUCAGUCUCUAGAUUUAAAAGCCGAGUCCACAAUUUUGCAAGCCACAGAGCUUCAUGAUAAACUGGAGGCGGAGAUGAGAUUGAAAGAGCUUCUCCGUGAAGAGGAAUUAAAGUGGGCGCUGCGGGCUAAGGUUCGCAAAGUUGUCCAGGGGGACGCGAAUACUCAAUUCUUUCACAUGAUCGCUAAUGGCAAGCACAGAAAGAAUAGAAUCUUUCAGCUUGAACCAAGAUGAAGGAACGAUUUUAGGACAGGAAAACCUAAAAUUAUACAUAACCGAAUACUACAAGCAGUUGUUUGGGCCUCUGGAGGAUAAUUGUGUAUCCCUGGAUGAGUCUAGGAUUGAGGAUGUGCCUCAACUUACUGCUGAUGAGAAUGAUAUUUUGAUUGCCCCUUUUUCGGGGAAAGAGGUGUUUGAAGCCAUUACACAGAUGAAAAACAAUAAGGCUCCAGGGCCGGAUGGAUUUCCGGCGGAAUUCUAUAAAAAGUGUUGGCAUAUUAUUAAGGGGGAUUUGCAACCAAUGUUCCAUGAUUUAUUCUCUGGACAGCUUCAGUUAUUUCACUUGAACUUUGGAAUGAUAACAUUGCUUCCUAAGAAAACAAAGGCUGUGAGAAUUGAGCAGUUCAGGCCGAUCUGUCUUCUCAAGGUUAGUUUCAAAAAUUUCACAAAGGUUGGGACUAAUAGGCUCACGCAGACUGCGCAUUCUGUGGUGCAGCAUUCCCAAACUGCUUUCAUGCCGGACAGAAACAUCCUAGAAGGGGUUGUGGUCCUUCAUGAAACGCUCCACGAAAUUCACACGAAAAAACUAGAUGGAGUUGUUUUCAAGGUGGAUUUCGAGAAAGCGUACGAUAAAGUCAAAUGGCCUUUCCUUCAACAGGCCUUACAUAUGAAAGGUUUUGAUGAAGCCUGGCGACGCCAGGUAGAAUCUUUCACGCAAAAAGGGAGUGUUGGAAUUAAAGUGAAUGACGACAUAGGUCAUUAUUUCCACACACAUAAGGGCCUGAGACAAGGGGUUCCGAUGUCUCCUAUUUUGUUCAACAUUGUAGUUGAUAUGUUGGCAAUUCUAAUAGGAAGGGCUAAGGAGGUUGGUCAGGUGGGUGGCUUGGUGUCUCAUCUAGUUGAUGGAGGUGUGUCUAUCCUACAGUACAGCGAGAAAUAUGAAGCUGGUGUUAUGCUUAUUUGAACAAUUGACCGGGUUAAAGAUUAACUUUCACAAAAGCAAAUUGUUCUGCUUUGGAAGAGCCAAUGAGGAACAAGAGGCUUAUAGGCAAUUGUUUGGGUGCGAAUUGGGGACCUUACCAUUUACGUAUUUAGGUAUACCAAUUCACCAUCGUAAGCUGACAAACACAGAAUGGAAGUGUAUCGAGGAUCUCUUUGAGAAGAAACUGAGUUGCUGGAAGGGCAAGCUCAUGUCAUACGGAGGCCGAUUAAUUCUGAUUAAUUUGGUUCUCACGAGUAUGCCUAUGUUUCUCUUGUCUUUGUUCGAAGUCCCAGUUGGAGUUAGGAAAAGGCUGGACUUCUAUCGAUCCCGAUUCUUCUGGCAGAGCGAUGAACUAAAAAGAAAAUACAGACUCACCAAAGGGAUAUUAUCUGUCGACCGAAAGACCAAGGGGGUCUUGGCAUUGAAAAUCUUGAGGUCAAGAACAGAUGUCUUCGCAGCAUGUGGCUGUCUAAGUUAUCUGUAGAGAUCGAUGCCACAUGGGCGCAGAUUCUUAGUAGUAAGUAUCUUCAUUCCAAAACUUUGUCCCAGGUGACAGCGAGGCCGACAGACUCACCUUUUUGGAAAGGGCUUAUGAUAGUCAAAUUAGCCUUUUUUAAUAGGACAAAGUUUAUUAUCGUCAAUGGCGCUAGCACGCGAUUCUGGGAGGAUACUUGGCUCGGAGAGACCCCCUUGCACUUCAAUACCCGUCUCUGUAUCGUAUUGUUCAACGACGUGAUGCUUUCGUUGCAACGAUACUUCAAUCCAUCCCCCUUAAUAUUUAGGUCAGGAGGACGCUAGCCGGUAAUCGUUGGGAAGAGUGGCUCCAUCUAGUGAGUAGACUGAUGGAGGUUCAGCUGUCUCAACAGCCCGAUCAAUUACGCUGGAAACUUACUAGGUCUGGAGAGUGUACAGUUAAAUCAAUGUAUCUCGAUGUGAUCAAUUCUAGCUCUAUUCCUAGUUCCAAAUAUGUUUCGACAGUCAAAGUUCCAUUGAAAAUUAAAGUGUUUACGUGGUUUGUACAUAAACAAGUCAUCUUAACCAAGGACAAUUUGGCAAAGCGUAACUGGACAGGACCUACUAAGUGUAGUUUUUGUGAUCGGGAUGAAACUAUCAAACACCUUUUUCUUGAUUGCUCGAUGGCCAAAGUUCUAUGUCGGACAGUCCACAUAGCCUUUGACAUUUCCGAGUUCUGUUAGCACGUUAUUUGGAACGUGGCUUAAUGGGAUAGAGUCCGAAACAGCGAGACACAUUCGCGUAGGAGUAUGUGCUUUAUUGUGGGCAGUCUGGAACUGCAGAAAUGAUUUGGUUUUUAACAGAACAACAAAUAUUCAUUUUUUGCAGGUUAUCUUCCAAGCCACUGCGUUGAUCCGUACGUGGUCACUACUCACUCCGACGGAGGCCAGGGAGCGUUUGGUUACUGGAUCUAUCCGGUGGGAGAUGGUAGCACGGGAUAUCUUCAACCGGUUUGAAUGGCGGUCAUGUAAUAGGAUAGGCAAUUAGUUUACCUAUCUUUCUUAUGCCGGCCGAUUGUGGCUUUUUGGCUAGUUUGUUAUUGGCCCUUUGGCUCUUUAUGAGCUUUCCUUUACUUUCGUUUGAGACUUUAAGACCUUGUUAAACCUAUUUGCUUUUUUAUAAAGUUGGCCGUAUGCAUCGUUCUGAUGCAGAGGCCGGGGAGCCCCCACUUUUCGAAAAAAAACCUCUUGUUAUCUUGUAUUCUUGUGUGACAAUGCUCGAAGAAUAUAAAAGGGCUAGGUGGAAAGACCCCCAUAUCGAAAACUUGCCUACCUACGAGUUUUAUAGACACAGAGCCUCAUUGGAUUGUACUAGAUGGAGCCUCCAGUGAGAGCUGAAGACGAGGCGAUGAGCACGGAGGAGCUGCUCCAAGCCCAGACGGAUCUCUACCACCACUCCCUAGCCUACAUCAAAUCUAUGGCGCUCGGUGCCGCCACAGAACUCAGCGUCGCCGACGCCAUCCACGGCCGUGGCGGUGCCAUCACCUUGUCUGACCUUGCGGCCGCGACCGGCGUCCACCCGACGAAAGUCCAACACUUCGGGCGGCUGAUGCGCGCGCUUACCGUCACUGGUGUCUUCACCUCGGAAGAAAAAGAAGGCGGUGGUGGUGCCCUGUACAAGCUCACUCGGAUUUCACGCCUCCUUCUCGGAGUCGGCAAGCGUCGGCUCUCCCCGAUGGUGCGUAUGCUUGUCAGCGAGGUCAGUUUCACUACUCCCAUGAGCAUCUGCGAGUGGAUCACCACUGAGACGCCGGCCAGGGCCAUGUUCGAGGCCCAUUUUGGCUCUACGCAAAAUGGGUUGUGGGAGAAGGACGACGCGUAUGGUGCCCCCUUCUACUCAGCAAUGGCUGCGGACAGCCGUCUCGUCAUGGAGGUUCUGCUGAGAGAGUGCAGCAGCGUCUUUGAGGCCGUUGCCGGCUCACUUGUCGAUGUCGGCGGCGGCAGCGGAGGAGUCGUGGCUGCCGCCAUUGCCACAGCGUUCCCUCACAUCAAGUGCUCCGUGCUGGACCUCCCCAACGUGGUAGCCGCGGCUGACGACACCACCAACGUGCAGUUUGUCUCCGGCGAUAUGUUUGACUACAUUCCACCAGCGGAUGCCGUUCUACUCAAGGUACGUACUUACAUAGUACUCCCUCCGUAAGGAUAUAUAAGAGCAUUUAGAUCAUUAUUAUUUUAGUGAUUGAUCCAAACGCACUUAUAUUUCUUUACAGAGGGAGUAGCACAUACAAAUGCAGCAAGCUAUCCAUUUCUUAUAUAUAUAAUGAACCAAAUUAAUCAACCAAUCCUUCCUAUAAAUUUUGUAGUGGAUUUUGCAUGACUGGGAAGACCAAGACUGCGUCAAGAUACUGCGCAAGUGCAGAGAGGCCAUCCGCACAAGAGGUGCUGGGGGGAAGGUGAUUAUAAUCGAUUUCGUCGUCGGUGCUGGUUCUUGCAAGGAGACGGAGACACAGGUUCUGUUUGAUCUUUACAUGAUGAUGGAGAAUGGGGCUGAGCGGGACGAGCAAGAGUGGAGCAAGAUUUUCUUUGAAGCUGGAUUUAGUGACUACAAGAUCAUGCCAGUCUUAGGCGCUCGUUCACUCAUUCAAGUAUUCCCAUGAAUUCUGGCGGUUUGAUGUCCAAAUGUACUUCCUGUUUCCAAAUGUUUGUUUGCUUUCACAUCAGAAUAAUGCCUAGGACUAUACUAUAUAGUCUCGACUUUGAAUCUGAAUAAUGAAACUGUUUGUUAUCCUACGUGUUGUUUUCGUUCAUAAUUCAUAUGCUCACAAUGAAAUACAGUCUGCUAUUUUUGUUUACAUUAAAUUAUACUUUACCUAGCAAUAUGGUAAACAGGCUCACUUAGCAGAGGCUGGCUUGUUCGCUUAUUCGCCGCCCUAGGAAUGCGAGCUCCUUGCCGAAAUGAAAUUCUAGUAGCACUGGUUACUAUCGGGUCCUGCAUGUUCGUCAUUUGUGCAAGUAAACACAAUGCAUACGAGUACUCUACUGAAUUGAACUUUUUUGUAUUGUUUUCAUUGGACCAUCCACUGUAUAGUAACAGAGUAUUUAUUGCACACAGACUAUUUUAUUCUUUCAACCCAUAGUUCAUCCACCCACACUUUUAGUCUGAUUCUAAAAUUUGUAACACUUUUAAAUUUUGAACUUGUUCUGAACAAGUAAAAUUCCAAAUUUGACACCAUAAUGAAACUUAUGUCAAAUGUGAGAUCAUAUGAAAUGAAACUGAAGUGAACCAAUAAUAAAAAAUGCAAAAAUAAUUUAAUAAACCAUAAUAAAACUUAUAUCAAAUUUGAGAUGAAACAUAGACGAAUUGUGGAUUGAAACAAUAACGAAAACAAGCUAAGGGGAAUCUAUGAAUAAAUAAUGAGAACAUGUAAAAUUACGAUGACACGGAAAUGAUAUCGUAUGGAAAAUAUGCUAAGAGAACACUUUCAUUGGCCAGCCCAACCAUGAAAGGUAAUUUAACAAAAUGAUAUGAAACUUAUUUGAAAGCUCGAAAAAUAGAAAUAAAACCAGAAUGAAAAUAAUAAUGAAACAUGUAAAAAUACGAUGAAACACAUAUGUAAAAAUAAGGCCGCGAGAUCGUCGUCCUCUGAGUUGGAAGUUUAUGGUGAAGGUGACGUGGGAUCCAUUGCAGGCGCGCCCGGGGUCUGGUGUGGUUGUGGAACACAUAUGUGGAGAUCAUAGUAGCGGUGAAUGACGAACGUGAGCGCUCCGAAGAAUAUGGUGCAGGAAGGAGAAGUCGGUCUGUUAGUGUAGAACCGGCCUUCUGCGAUGAAGGUGAGGAAGCCGAUGGUUAAGCCGUGAGAUUGCCAGCCGUUAUUGAGGAUCUGAUCUAGAGUCGGUCCCCAGCUGACAUAGCCCCUUCCUGUGCUAACUGAUGGUAUGGGAAUUUGCGAGUAUCCUUUGUAGGGUGGCGAACAUGUCCGGAAGUACAAGAAGGGAGUUCGCCAAGGGGGUUUUCCAGAUUUGCGCCCUCAUGGCGAGGAAAUACCUUACGUCCUGCUAUUUGUUUUCUAUUGAUGAUGGAGAACGUUGAGCGAGGGGUUACAAGGGACAUAAAUAUGGCCAUAGGAGUAUAGUCUACGGGAGUAGAUUGGAAUCGCUACCCCUAUCCUCACCUUAUAUAGGUGACGGGGCUAGGUUUUACAUGGCGCCUACAUGAUCUCACACUGCCAUCAUCUUGGCUUCCACCCAAGAUGGUCUUCUGGCUUCCAGGACCCCCGGGCUGUCUCUUGAUGCCAGACCUCCUUCAAGACUUUUGGGCCCGAAGGCCGGCCCACUAUUGGGUUCAUAUCUAGUGUGCCAUCCACGUUGUAAUGCACCAUCACCAACCCCGAUUUCUGGGGCCUUAAGAGUGAAGCGAUUCCUAAUUCUUCUUGGUAACAUGCCAAAGUGUUGUGUCCCAAAGGCUCGACUGGGUAUUUUCGUCAUUGCGGUUGAUAUGGAGAAGGGGUGGGUCGCAUGGAGGCAGAAAUGGGUAAAUGAAGACAGAAACGAGGGGCUGGCCUGACAGUGGUUCAUGUAGACGACGAGCAAGAGCAUGUGGCCAAUUUUUCCGCAAGCGUUAGAAGCAUAGCCAUAAUUCCAGAAAUUUUAGUGGCGGCAACUGAAUUUGCCCUAUUAUAAGAAGGUAUUGCCCCACAACGGUGCGCACACGGGUGACCUUCCUCUUGGUCCAAUGACAGGUGGGCCAUGGACUCGCCGGGGGCCAUAUUAAUGGGACAUUGUCUAUCGUGCUCUUGUGAUUUCUCUCUCGGGUGAUGGGCGGGCUAGACCCACCUGUCGGUUUUUUCGGACACCGUUGGGCUGGCUCAGGUGUGCCAGGGGGCCAGGUCAGACUGUGGUGGGCCUAGACCCCGGCGGGUGUGCGUCGUUCAGGAUGGCCGGCCACGCGGGUGUGCCAUGCUGUUUGAUCGCGAGAGCUGGCAAAGCACGGGCACCAGGUUGUUCGGCUUGUGUGAGCGAAACAGGCGACGGUGAGUCUAUCGUCCAAGAGACGGGCCGAAUAUACCGACAGGCGGAUCAGGCUUCCUGCUCUUGUGCAAUACGAUGAGAAAGGGUUCUCGCGGGAGCACCGAGGCCGCUCCAUGAGAGUGGCCCUGCACGCACCCGCGGUCCACCCGUCAUGGACCCCCGAGUGCACGUCCACUAGUUGAAAACGGAGUUUUAUCACCGGUUCGUAAGGGCCUUUAGUGCCGGUUCUGCAACCGGCACUAAAGAGUGGGGACUAAAGGUCCCCCUUUAGUACCGGUUUGGCACGAACCGGCGUAAACGUGCCACCACGUGGCACGAGCCAGGCCUGGGUGCGUGUAGGACAUUAGUACCGGUUGGUAACACAACCGGUACUAAAUGUUUGGGUGUGUUUUGGUUUUAAUUUUUAUUUUUCCUUUAGUUUUGUGUUUUCAAUUUAAUUUAGUGAUUGUUUUACAUUAUAAUGAGUUGUUAAAUCAUUAGGUGAAAGUACCGCAGAUUAGUUUCGACUGGAUGCAUGUGGAUCCUAGCUAAGUGAUAAAGUAUAUGCCAUAUCCAUAUUACUUAGAUCUAAGUAAUAUGGAUAUGGCAUAUAGUUGAUCACUUAGCUAGGAUCCAUCCAGUUGAAACUAAUAUGCGGUUUCUUUCAUAAAUGAUAUAAUAACUCAUCAUCAUCAUCAUCAUAUUAAUAUAAAAACUCUUGCAUCAUAUCAUCACCAACAACAGUAUAUACUAGCUAGCAAAGAUAUCAUCGAGUUCAACAUGGUCAUGAUAUUAUAAGCAUUCAUAACACCACAAAAGCAAAUCACUCUUUGAGAUUAAGUUCAUGACGAAGAACACGGACACGCAUGAGAGGACAAGAAGUACUAAGAGCAUGAUAACUAGCUAAAUCACUCCUGCUGCUCUCUCUCAGGUAAAAUAGCAUAGAACAUGUAUAGCUCUCCUGAUUCAUCAUAUUGGAUCAUGCAGAUGAACCUGUCUCCUAAUCGUGGGCUGCGCUUCUGAUUGCUGCCCCCUAGUACUUCUUUGCGAUCGUUAACAAUUUUGCUCCAAUCUUUCACUAUUAAGCAUUCAUCGCUUUCAGAAAUUCUGAAUGCACUCAUGUGCACUGUAGGAUAUCUUGGCCGUAAGCUAACAAUUGACAUGCGACCUUUAGUCUUGAUCCACUGAGGCACAACUAUUAAGCAUUCAUCGCUUUCAGAAAUUCUGAAUGCACUCAUGUGCACUGUAGGAUAUCUUGGCCGUAAGCUAACAAUUGACAUGCGACCUUUAGUCUUGAUCCACUGAGGCACAACUGUCAUCGGGAGUCCCUGUUGAAGAACAUCGUAUAGUAAUUAAUAUACUUAGCAAUGAAAGUUUAGCUUGAAAAAUAAUGUAUGCAAAAGAUGCACUGAGGACUAAUAGUAAAAAUCUUACCAUCUUUCCUAAAUACAUGUGACCGUAGUUCAAUACGAUCACUAUUGGUCGCACGUUUUGAGUACUAAGAUUUUCAAAUUCAGGAAAAUGAUUUCUCUUAACAGCAUCAAGAUCCUCAAGCCAUGAAACAUAAUGACUUAUCUCCUCGCAGUUUAGUUCAGCCCCGGGACAGUGGAUGGUCCUGUCUACCAAGCGCCGAACAUGUUUGCUUGAAUCAAAAUAAGCUGUCAAUAGAAAUUACUUGUCAACUAUUUUUGAAUAAACAAUAUCGAAGACAUAAAUAUGGUUGAGAAACUCACAUAAUGGUAGAACUGGAGGCAUCUGCACAUCGACCCAGAUAUCUCUAUUACCUUCAAUAUCAUCUUCCGGACGAAUAUCAAAGGUGAUAACCAUAUCAGGCUCAAAUGCAUAAGUCUUGCAUAGUGCUUGCCAAGUUUUGCAUUCAAAAUAGGUGUAUGUGUCUGCAUUGUAUAAUUUGACGUUGAAAGUAUAACCAUGCUCGGUCUUCAGGUAAACUCUCUUUGCCUCCAUAGUUUCCAUAGCACUGAAACCUAUCUUAUCCAAGACAAAAAUUCUUGCAUGGCAGGGGAUGCGCUACUACAAUAGUGAAAAUUAAAAAUUAUAAGUUGAAGCAAAUGAAGCAUAAGUCAUGCUUAAUUAUGAAAAAAGACUUGUCGUUGUGACUUACUGUAUCCACUUCGAAGGUCUCAUCCAGCUUGAUGCUGAAGCGCCUAUCAUCAACAAGGAAAUUUCUGUCGCACAGGCCGCGCUGGUCUUCACAGUAUUCGCACUUAAUGAAAUCUUUUUCGUCGUCAGACGACAUUUCCUAUGUUCAUAUAGGUGAAACAUUAAACACUUACUAGUUCUAUUAAUUCAACUAGUUCAACUACUUCUAUUAAUUCAACUAGUUCUAUCAAUUCAACUAGUUCUAUUAAUUCAACUAAUUCAACUAAGCAUUUACUAAAAAUAAACUAGUUCUAUAUAUAUAUAUAUAUUAAUAUUUUAAUUAGAUCAUCAAAUCUCAAAUACCUAAAUUUUCUUACUAAAAAUAAACCAGUUCUAUUAAUUCAACAAAUUCAACUAAGAAUUUACUAAAAAUGAACUAGUUAUAUUAAUUUUCUUACUAAAAUAUAUAAAGUAGCUAUGUAUAGUAAUAUUUUAAUUAGAUCAUCAAAUCUCUUAUACCUAAAUUUUCUUACUAAAAAUAAACNNNNNNNNNNNNNNNNNNNNNNNNNNNNNNNNNNNNNNNNNNNNNNNNNNNNNNNNNNNNNNNNNNNNNNNNNNNNNNNNNNNNNNNNNNNNNNNNNNNNNNNNNNNNNNNNNNNNNNNNNNNNNNNNNNNNNNNNNNNNNNNNNNNNNNNNNNNNNNNNNNNNNNNNNNNNNNNNNNNNNNNNNNNNNNNNNNNNNNNNNNNNNNNNNNNNNNNNNNNNNNNNNNNNNNNNNNNNNNNNNNNNNNNNNNNNNNNNNNNNNNNNNNNNNNNNNNNNNNNNNNNNNNNNNNNNNNNNNNNNNNNNNNNNNNNNNNNNNNNNNNNNNNNNNNNNNNNNNNNNNNNNNNNNNNNNNNNNNNNNNNNNNNNNNNNNNNNNNNNNNNNNNNNNNNNNNNNNNNNNNNNNNNNNNNNNNNNNNNNNNNNNNNNNNNNNNNNNNNNNNNNNNNNNNNNNNNNNNNNNNNNNNNNNNNNNNNNNNNNNNNNNNNNNNNNNNNNNNNNNNNNNNNNNNNNNNCUGGGGCGGCGAUGGGGGCGGCGACGACGGCGGCGACGACGACGGCGACAGGAUGGGCUGGGGCGCGAUAGGGGCGGCGACGGGGGCGAAGAACAAACUGAAACGAACUGAAAAUAUUCGUAAGUGGUGCUUAUAUAGCGGUGGCCAUUAGUACCGGUUUGAUACUAAAGGCCUAUUUUGGCCAGGCCAAGAGGCGGGAAGAGCAGGCCUUUAGUACCGGUUGGUGGCUCCAACCGGUACUAAAGACCCACCUUUAGUACCGGGUUGGGCUACCAACCGGUACUAAAGGGGGUGCGCUGCCACCCGCGGUGUAGAAAGUUUAGUCCCACCUCGCCGGGCGAAGGGCAGCCGCACUGGUUUAUAAACCCAGCCGCGGCUGCUACUUUGAACUCCCUUGUAAAGCAGGCUUCUGGGCCUAACUAUGGCACGCUGCCCUGUGAGCCUGCUGGCCCUUGUGGGCCUGAAUUUCCACGCCCGUGGUCUUGUAGGCCCAUUGGGAAGCGCCCCAAUAAUUUUUUAUAUAGUUUGUUUCUUUUCUUCUUUAUUUAUUUUCUUCUAUUUAUUUCUGAGUAGUUUUUUAUAUAGUUUUUUCUUUUCUGCUUUUUUUUAUUUUCUUCUAUUUAUUUCGGAUUAGUUUUUUAUAUAUUUUUUUCUUUUCCCCAAAUCGGUAAAUGACUGAAAAAUAGCAAAUGUUGUCAGAAAGUGUUGAAAAUUGAUGACGUCGCUUUGAAUGGUGUGUAUGGAACGCAAAAAAGUCUGGAGUUGUAAUAAGUUUAAAAAAAUGAAGUGCCCAUGUAACAGAUGAGUUCUCGUCAGAAACCCUGAUACUACAAAAAAGAUAGUCCAGUUUGUACACGAAGUGCGUCCAGUUUUUGCCAUAACCCUCUCUACUCUUUUGCACAUGCUAUGUGGGUGAAAUGAUGAUACCAUGCCAAGUUUUGACAUUUUCAGAGUUUAUUUUGUAGUGAUUUUCAAUUUCACGGUCAUUUAACUCUCUAAACAAAUCGGUAAAUGACUGAAAAAUAGCAAAUGAUGUCAGAAAGUGUUGAAAAUUGAUGACGUCGCUUUGAAUGGUGCGUACGGAACGCAAAAAAGUCUGGAGUUGUAAUAAGUUUAAAAAAAUGAAGUGCCAGUGUAACAGAUGAGUUCUCGUCCGAAACCCUGAUACUCCGAAAGAGAUUGUCCAGUUUGUACACGAAGUGCGUCCAGUUUUUGCCGUAAUCCUCUCUACUCUUUUGCACAUGCUGUGUGGGUGAAAUGAUGAUACCAUGCCAAGUUUCGACAUUUUCAGAGUUCAUUUUGUAGUGAUUUUCAAUUUCACGGUCAUUUAGCUCUCUAAACAAAUCGGUAAAUGACUACAAAAGUGCAAAUAAUGUCAGAAAGUUUUGAAAAAUGAUGACGUCGCUUUGAAUGGUGUGUACGGAACGCAAAAAAGUCUGGAGUUGUAAUAAGUCUGAAAAAUCGAAGUGCCAAUGUAACAGAUGAGUUCUCGUCAGAAACCCUUAUACUUCGAAAGAGAUUGUCCAGUUUGUACACGAAGUGCGUCCAGUUUUUGCCGUAACCCUCUCUACUCUUUUGCACAAGCUAUGUGGGUGAAAUAAUGAUACCACACCAAGUUUCGACAUUUUCAGAGUUGAUUUUGUAGUGAUUUUCAAUUUCACGGUCAUUUAGCUCUCUAAACAAAUCGAUAAAUGACUGAAAAAUAGUAAAUGAUGUUAGAAAGUGUUGAAAAUUGAUGACGUCGCUUUGAAUGGUGCGUACGGAACGCAAAAAAAGUCUGUUGUUGUAAUAAGUUUAAAAAAAUGAAGUGCCAGUGUAACAGAUGAGUUCUCGUUCGAAACCCUGAUACUCCGAAAGAGAUUGUCCAGUUUGUACACGAAGUGCGUCCAGUUUUUGCCGUAACCCUCUCUAAUCUUUUGCACAUGCUAUGUGGGUGAAAUGAUGAUACUAUGCCAAGUUUCGACAUUUUCAGAGUUCAUUUUGUAGUGAUUUUCAAUUUCACGGUCAUUUAGCUCUCUAAACAAAUCGGUAGAUGACUAAAAAAUAGCAAAUGAUGUCAGAAAGUUUUGAAAAUUGAUGACGUCGCUUUGUAUGGCGUGUACGGAACGCAAAAAAUUCUGGAGUUGUAAUAAGUUUAAAAAAAUGAAGUACCCAUGUAACAGAUGAGUUCUCGUCAGAAACCCUGAUACUCCAAAAGAGAUUGUCCAGUUUGUACACGAAGUGCGUCCAGUUUUUGCCGUAACCCUCUCUACUCUUUUGCACAUGCUGUGUGGGUGAAAUGAUGAUACCAUGCCAAGUUUCGACAUUUUCAGAGUUCAUUUUGUAGUGAUUUUCAAUUUCACGGUCAUUUAGCUCUCUAAACAAAUCGGUAAAUGACUAAAAAAUAGCAAAUGAUGUCAGAAAGUGUUGAAAAUUGAUGACGUCGCUUUGAAUGGUGCGUACGGAACGCAAAAAAAGUCUNNNNNNNNNNNNNNNNNNNNNNNNNNNNNNNNNNNNNNNNNNNNNNNNNNNNNNNNNNNNNNNNNNNNNNNNNNNNNNNNNNNNNNNNNNNNNNNNNNNNNNNNNNNNNNNNNNNNNNNNNNNNNNNNNNNNNNNNNNNNNNNNNNNNNNNNNNNNNNNNNNNNNNNNNNNNNNNNNNNNNNNNNNNNNNNNNNNNNNNNNNNNNNNNNNNNNNNNNNNNNNNNNNNNNNNNNNNNNNNNNNNNNNNNNNNNNNNNNNNNNNNNNNNNNNNNNNNNNNNNNNNNNNNNNNNNNNNNNNNNNNNNNNNNNNNNNNNNGACUAAAAAUAGCAAAUGAUGUCAGGAAGUGUUGAAAAUUGAUGACGUCACUUUGAAUGGUGCGUACGGAACGCAAAAAAAGUCUGGAGUUGUAAUAAGUUUAGAAAAAUGAAGUGCCAAUGUAACAGAUGAGUUCUCGUCAGAAACGGUGAUACUCCGAAAGAGAUUGUCCAGUUUGUACACGAAGUGCGUCCAGUUUUUGCCGUAAUCAUCUCUAUUCUUGUGCACAUGCUGUGUGGGUGAAAUGAUGAUACCAUGCCAAGUUUUGACAUUUUCAGAGUUCAUUUUGUAGUGAUUUUCAAUUUCACGGUCAUUUAGCUCUCUAAACAAAUCGGUAAAUGACUACAAAAGUGCAAAUAAUGUCAGAAAGUUUUGAAAAAUGAUGACGUCGCUUUGAAUGGUGUGUACGGAACGCAAAAAAGUCUGGAGUUGUAAUAAGUCUGAAAAAAUGAAGUGCCAAUGUAACAGAUGAGUUCUCGUCAGAAACCCUUAUACUUCGAAAGAGAUUGUCCAGUUUGUACACGAAGUGCGUCCAGUUUUUGCCGUAACCCUCUCUACUCUUUUGCACAUGCUAUGUGGGUGAAAUGAUGAUAUCACGCCAAGUUUCGACAUUUUCAAAGUUGAUUUUGUAGUGAUUUUCAAUUUCACGGUCAUUUAGCUCUCUAAACAAAUCGAUAAAUGACUGAAAAAUAGUAAAUGAUGUCAGAAAGUGUUGAAAAUUGAUGACGUCGCUUUGAAUGGUGCGUACGGAACGCAAAAAAAGUCUGUUGUUGUAAUAAGUUUAAAAAAAUGAGUUGCCAGUGUGACAGAUGAGUUCUCGUUCGAAACCCUGAUACUCCGAAAGAGAUUGUCCAGUUUGUACACGAAGUGCGUUCAGUUUUUGCCGUUACUCUCUCUACUCUUUUGCACAUGCUAUGUGGGUGAAAUGAUGAUACUAUGCCAAGUUUCGACAUUUUCAGAGUUCAUUUUGUUGUGAUUUUCAAUUGCACGGUCAUUUAGCUCUCUAAACAAAUCGGUAGAUGACUAAAAAAUAGCAAAUGAUGUCAAAAAGUUUUCAAAAUUGAUGACGUCGCUUUGUAUGGUGUGUACGGAACUCAAAAAAUCUGGAGUUGUAAUAAGUUUAAAAAAAUGAAGUGCCCAUGUAACAGAUGAGUUCUUGUCAGAAACCCUGAUACUUCGAAAGAGAUUGUCCAGUUUGUACACGAAGUGCGUCCAGUUUUUGCCGUAACCCUCUCUACUCUUUUGCACAUGCUGUGUGGGUGAAAUGAUGAUACUAUGCCAAGUUUCGACAUUUUCAGAGUUCAGUUUGUAGUGAUUUUCAAUUUCACGGUCAUUUAGCUCUCUAAACAAAUCGGUAAAUGACUGAAAGAUAGCAAAUGAUGUCAGAAAGUGUUGAAAAUUGAUGGCGUCGAUUUGAAGGGUGCGUACGGAACGCAAAAAAAGUCUGGAGUUGUAAUAAGUUUAAAAAAAUGAAAUGCCAGUGUAACAGAUGAGUUCUCGUCCGAAACCCUGAUACUCCGAAAGAGAUUGUCCAGUUUGUACACGAAGUGCGUCCAGUUUUUGCCGUAACCCUCUCUACUCUUUUGCACAUGCUAUGUGGGUGAAAUGAGGAUACCAUGCCAAGUUUCGACAUUUUUAGAGUUCAUUUUGUAGUGAUUUUCAAUUUCACGGUCAUUUAGCUCUCUAAACAAAUCGGUAAAUGACUAAAAAAUAGCAAAUGAUGUCAGAAAGUUUUGAAAAUUGAUGACGUCGCUUUGAAUGGUGUGUACGGAACUCAAAAAAGUCUGGAGUUAUAAUAAGUUUUAAAAAAUAAAGUGCCCAUGUAACAGAUGAGUUCUCGUCAGAAACCCUGAUACUUCGAAAGAGAUUGUCCAGUUUGUACAGGAAGUGAGUCCAGUUUUUGCCGUAACACAAGAAGUCCGGAGUUGUUAUAAGUUAUUAAAGAUAAAAAAGAGGCACAAUGCUCGUUAAUUAGCUUCAAGCCUUUCGGAAUAGUGCAAACUGCACUGCACAUAGCUCCGUGCAGUCUACACUAUUCCUCAAGGCUUAAAGCUAAGCAACGUGUAGAUGAGCAUUUCACGGUCAUUUAGCUCUCUAAGCUAAUCUAGUAGCCAUGUUAAGUCGAUAAUGACGUGGAAUUGUUAUAUGACAUGCAAAUACCUUCUGAGUUAAUGGCACUAGUCAUCAACCCGUGCAACUGCAUGGGCUAGUUUUUUAAACGGUUCAUAGUUACAAUACUUUUCAUGACCACUUGUUUCUUUGCAUCCAGCAAGAAUAUAAAUUUGUUGUGUGUGAACCAUUAAAUGAACAAUUAAUAUGAAAAUAGAAAACUUAUAUCCUGAAAGUUUACAAUCUUCAUAAAAUAUUUAUAUUUUAUUUUAAGACAAACGGGAAAUUAAAAAUCCUACUUAUAGAGAUCCUGAAACAUAAUUCAAAUGUCGCAUAAAUUACGUAAUUUUGAAUGAUAAGUACUAAAAAUGUAAUAAUUUGUUUAGUUAAUAUUAAUCCUUUUUUUAUUUGGGAGUCUACUUAAUCAUGGGGUAUUUUGCAUAAUGCUUAGGCUUGUCAAAUGAAAUAAGCAUUUCAUAACAACAGUGUACCUCCCUACAGUUUAAUAACAAACUUACUCUACAAACACCGAAAACCGAACCAAAGACUGAAGAAGCAAUCAUAAGUGUCAUACUUCUUAAAUUCUCCUUUUUUUUCCCGGCACCACCCAUGGAGUAGUCUUUCCACCGUGUUUGACUCUCGUUGUGGUAGCAAAUGAUGGGUCCAAGUUUUCGCAUAGUAUUGUCCGUUUGUUUUAUCAUGAUAGAGUACUCCAUUAGUUGGCACCGCUCUUAUAUUUGUGUGUGAUCUUUUAGCAGUUCAACAUUAUAGUUCUUCCACCCAUAUGUUCGCAAUGUUAAAUCUAUGGAGAAAAAGAUUCAAAUCUUCACUAUUGUACCACAAAAGCAAGUCACAUGAAUAGCUCGCAAUUAUUUAACUACUGGUGGUUGGUGCCAGGUAUAUUAGCGUUAGGAAAGUAAAUGUACAUACUGAACAUUUGACUGUGGAAGAAAAUGAAUUUUCUUAUUUACUCUUAUUGAAUUCUAAAUAUAUUUUGGAUAUUUGUUUUCAGUAAUACACCUAAUUUUGGAAAAUCUAUUUCAUAGCCUUGUAUUUUUGAAAUAUUUUACAAAACAUGACACAAAUUGUUGUGUUUUUUCACAUACAUAUUUAUAACAUUAAUACACUCUUUAUAUGUAAUGUGAUAUUUAUUAUAUAAUUUUUUAAUCAUACAUAACUAAAUUCUUAUUAUUUUCAAAUCACAAAUUUUAAAUGAUAUGAUAACUUACAUUUUAAAAGCUCUAUUUCGGGACAUUAUAACUAAAAACUAUCUGAGCGAAUCGGGCACCAUAAUGUAUUUGGUGUCUACACUUUGUCGCAUACAUAGCCUUUUUUAUUUUUAAUGUAAUUGCUAAAAUAUGUAAUUAUGUAGAACUUAAUAUUACAUUCUAUUACACAGAUUGGACUUAUAUAGGUUGGAAAAGAAUUAAAUCUAUGCUGUCAAACCUACCGAAUAGCAUUCCUCCGGCACAUUGUAUAUCUGGCAUUUAUUAGUAAUGUGUCUAAAUCAGUUCGGGAUAAAUUCACUCUACAUCGUCAUAAUGGCUUGUUGUUAAAAUUUGGCAUCCUGACGCAUUACUUGGAAUUUUUAUAAACUCAGUGUAAACAGUUAUGUUAUCUUUUUAAACAUAAGUUAUUUAGUUCAAUUCGGAGUACUAUAUAGUAAUUUUCAACAGUAAAUCUAGCCUAUUUCAACUCGGUCAUUAUAAACAAUAAAUCUAGCCUGUUUCAACUCGGCCAUUAUAUUUAACUUAUUUAAGACAUAAGGUAAUCUAACUUUUGAACAAUCUUUAGAAAUCUACAUAUGUAGAGGUCAAGUAGGACAUACAUAUGUGAAAUUCCUUAAAAUAAUUUGAUAAUUGUUAUAUUAAAGAAAAUAAUAUUAUAAUUUAUUAUCUGUACUUACUAUAAUUGCAAUACUUUUUGAUAGCAUGUUCCCGUUGCAUAGUGUCGCUUACUGCACAAUAUCUUAAUUUGUUAUGUGUCUCGGAUAGAAAAAUAUUGUAUUUCCGCGUAUGUAUAUGCAUGUCUAUAUAUGUUUCACACACAUGAAAUUUUUUUAUAUAUUAAAAAAUGAUUUCGCCUGAGUUACAUCCAUGCAUGCUAAUUUCCUGUCUAUCAUUGGAGUUUAGAUCUAUGCAUGUAUGUGCUUGACUAAGCUCUGCACAUAUAUACGUGCCGGUCAAAUCAUAUACAUGAACGUACAUCACUCUAUUCUACUAUUAAGGGAUUCGUUGAGCACCUCGUCAAAGAAACAAACCUUUCAGAUCAACUUGUAAAUUUUCUUUUUACAUAUUUGCAUUUUUUUAGCAUAUUUGCAUUUCUUUCCUAAAAUAUUGCAAUAUUUGCAAAUAUCUGAAUCAUAUUCUUUUGAUUGACAAUAACACAAUGGCUUACCAGCAGAUCAAAACAGAUAUCUAGCUAGUGCGAAGGUUGUGCCACCUCUUGAUUGUUUCCUCCAUGAGCAAGCAAGCUUCUGGUAACGGUAACAGUCAUGGCGACGGAACAUGAUGUGCCGGCGAGCCGCAGACAUUAGAAAGAUCUGAAAAGAAGCAGAUAGGCAUGAUGCAUAAAUCUGGAAAGGAAGAAGAAUAUGCAUAACUCAAAAGCAUUGAAGCCGUCGGUUUUUGCAUUGCUCUACGAUCAGUUAAUGUACGCAUGCAUCGUAUAUGUACGCAUCCAGCCGCCGGAAUUUACUUCUCCUGCCUUCGUUUGUCAAGGGCAAAAAUACUGGCCAGCAGCACAAAUUGAAGACCAGCUUUCGGCACCUCCAUAACGCUCGUAGAAAAGUUCUCAAUGACUUGCAUCGGGAAUAUCUCUCCAGACCAGGGCAUGCGCCAAUUAAUGCUUCUUGCCGUGUCAUGUAUGCCGGGUCAUGUAUCUCUACGGGGACAACAAAAUUCAACUUGUUUAUUUUUGGAUAAUCAUUGGGAGAUAGAGACCCAGCACAGGACGUCUCCCAUGCGUGGGACAACCGAGGUUUUUUUUUUCAAUCUUAGGCUUCAUCAACGGCUAAAAUAUAUUAUAUUUUAAUCUGACGGAUGUAAAUCUUUAACUUAUAAAAUUGACGUGAAUCCUCGUAUGGCUCUUCCAAUUAGUAAAUAUAUAAGAUAGUAGUAGACGUGAAGAAUAAAGGGGCAGUAAUGGGAUAUUAAAUGUGGCAGCUAACUUGCUAGGCCUUCGAGUUAUAUUUUGUUCAGCAUUAAGUGGAAAACAUAUUUUGGCAUCCUUUUCCUCCUCUCGACUCUGACAAAAUGUUAGUGAUAUUCAAAUGGAAAAGCUUAGGCAAGAAAUAUUCCGAGGAAAAAUAAUGCAUCUACUCUAAAAUAUAUUUUCAUCAAUAGUAGUCCACUACUACCAUGAGCCAAUGGCCAUGGUUCUAUUCAAAAUUUUAAUUUAUCAAGAUCAGGCGUAGACUUGAUGUUGACAUCAAUGGCUAUCUAGGCUUAGAGAGAUGAGAGGAGUGAAGAACAAAAAAGGAGCGCCAAUAAUGGUUAUAACCCAUAGGGGAUAAAAUAAGGACGCCGCUAGUUGGCAUGAAUUGAUACAGGUAGACAUCACUUACUCUGCGUCCCUGAAUAGAGGCCAUAAUUUGUGUUGCUCUAGGGACCCAUAAUUUAUGAAUUCUGCUCACAAGAGAUCCGACUGUUGUGGGGAUCAAACUUUAGCACGCUGCCCUUAGAGCAACUCCAACGCGUCAACCCAAAUGGACGGCGAUUUUGUUAUAUUUUCGUCUGUUUGUGUCGACCGUCCACUCGGUGUCCGCCUAAUUUUCUUUUUGGGUCAGCAGUGCGCCCAAUGCCAGCGACUCAUUUCAUGUCCGUGCACAAAUUUUAAAAAGGCCCGCGGCUGUAGAUCAUGGCAGCGGCCAAGCCGUCACCCAAAGUUCAUGCCGGCACCAUGCCAGCAGCCGACAUACAAUGCCAGCUCCAAAAAAGCACCACACAGUUUGUGUUGGCGCACUUGCCAGCGACUGGCAUAGAUGCCAGCAAACAAAAAAGGGGCGGGAGUUCGACCACGCCAUCGCGACCGUAGUCAUGCCAACACACUUUUCGGCAUGCAAAAAAGGAUGGCGCUUUCCGCCAUAAAUCACUCGUCGUCGAACUUGAGCAUGUCGGCUUGCAUCUUGUCGAACCACGACCUCUUCCUCGGCGACAUGGUGUUGAGGUCCACCUUCAUGAUCUCCACACCCGUCAUCAUGCUAGCGAGAACCACUUCUUUCGCCUUGGUCUUGACAUUUGCGGCAUCGAUAUCUAGCAUCUUGGCUUGCACUGGUGCAGAACCGGGCUUUAGCACCAGUUCGUAAGGCCCUUUAGUGGCGGUUCUUGAACCGGUACUAAGGGGGGGGGGGCUUUAGGGAUUUUGGUUUUAUUAUUUAUUUUUCCUUUAAUUUUGUAUUUCCAUUUAUUUUAUUUUUCAUUUGCUGGUAUUUUACGAACUACAUAUUGUACACGUUAUGCAUAUAUAUAAAUAUAAUUUCUCGUAGAACCGAUCAUAUANNNNNNNNNNNNNNNNNNNNNNNNNNNNNNNNNNNNNNNNNNNNNNNNNNNNNNNNNNNNNNNNNNNNNNNNNNNNNNNNNNNNNNNNNNNNNNNNNNNNNNNNNNNNNNNNNNNNNNNNNNNNNNNNNNNNNNNNNNNNNNNNNNNNNNNNNNNNNNNNNNNNNAGCUAAUCAUUGAUAUAUACUACAUACUAAACGUACAUACUCUCUAUUUUGACGGAUACUACAUACAACAUACAAAAUGCAAGUGGUGGUAAUUACCACCGCUUGGAGGAAGCAUUUGAGGCACCACCAUUUGAAGCACCGCCAUUCACACAUAGAGCAGAAAAGAGUACCGGUUGGAGCGACCAACCGGUUUAAAGGGGUGUGCUGGCCCAGGUGCGAUGCACAAAGUUUAGUCCCACCUUGCUGAGCGAAGGGCGGCCGCACUGGUAUAUAAACCCAGCCGCGGCUGCUCCUUUGAGCUCCUCCCUAACGCAGGCCUUCUGGGCCUACUUGUGUUGCGCUGCCCUGUUGGGCCUACUAGCCUUGCGGGCCUACCUCCUGGCCCGACUACAGGUUGGGUUUCUAGUCGCAUGCAGGCCGCUGUGGCCCAGUAGGCGGGCUUUUAAAAAAAUAUUGUUUGCUUUAUUUAUUUUCUUUUAUUUAUUUCUGAGUUGUUUUUCCUGUAUUUCGAAUUUCUUUGUGAAUAUUUUUGCUUUAGGUACAAAAAAUUACAAAAUUUCUGUUAGUGCCAGUAGUUUUCAAAUUUGAAUAGUUUAAAUUUGUCUCCUUUAUUUAUUUUUAAGUUGUUUUUUGCUGUAUUUAGAAUUUCUUUGUGAAUAUUUUGCUUUAGGUAAAAAAAAUUACAAACUUUAUGUUAGUGCCAAUAGUUUUCAAUUUUGAAUAGUUUAAAUUUGUCUGCUUUAUUUAUUUUCUUUUAUUUAUUUGUGAGUUGUUUUUUGCUGUAUUUAGAAUUUUUUGUGAAUAUUUUUCUUUAGGUACAAAAAAUUACAAAAUUUCUGUNNNNNNNNNNNNNNNNNNNNNNNNNNNNNNNNNNNNNNNNNNNNNNNNNNNNNNNNNNNNNNNNNNNNNNNNNNNNNNNNNNNNNNNNNNNNNNNNNNNNNNNNNNNNNNNNNNNNNNNNNNNNNNNNNNNNNNNNNNNNNNNNNNNNNNNNNNNNNNNNNNNNNNNNNNNNNNNNNNNNNNNNNNNNNNNNNNNNNNNNNNNNNNNNNNNNNNNNNNNNNNNNNNNNNNNNNNNNNNNNNNNNNNNNNNNNNNNNNNNNNNNNNNNNNNNNNNNNNNNNNNNNNUAAGUUGUUUUUUGCUGUAUUUAGAAUUUCUUUGUGAAUAUUUUUGCUUUAGGUACUAAAAAUUACAAACUUUCUGUUAGUGCUAGUAGUUUUCAAAUUUGAAUAGUUUAAAUUUUUCUGCUUUAUUUAUUUUCUUUUAUUUAUUCCUGAGUUGUUUUUUGCUGUAUUUAGAAUUUCUUUGUAACUAUUUUUGCUUUAGGUACAAAAAAUUACAAACUUUAUGUUACUGCCAGUAGUUUUAAAAUUUGAAUAGUUUAAAUUUGUCUGUUUUAUUUAUUUCUGAGUUGUUUUUUGCUGUGUUUAGAAUUUAUUUUUGAAUAUUUUUGCUUUAGGUACAAAAAAUUACAAACUUUCUAUUAGUGCCAGUAGUUGUCAAAUUUGAAUAGUUUAAAUUUGAAUUAUUUGAAAUUUUUGUGAAUAACUAGUUUCGGAAUAACUUUACUUUAAAAAUAGAUUUUUCAGUGAUUCGUUUUUCUUAUGUCUAACAUUAGUGUGUUUUAUCAUUAUAUUCAAUUUGGUAAUACUUAGGUUAUUUAAAAAAUGAAAUGCCAUUGUAACAGAUGAGUUUUCGUCUAAAAACUCUGAUACUUCGAAAGAGAUUGUCCAUUUUGUACACUAAGUGCUUCCAGUUUUUGCCAUAACCCUCUAUACUUUUUUGCACAUGCUAUGUGGGUGAAAUGAUGAUACCAUGCCAACUUUCAACCUUUUCAGAGUUCAUUUGUAGUGCUUUUUAAUUUCAGGGUCAUUUAGCUAAAAAAAUCAUUAAAUGCAUGAAAAAUAGCAAAUGAUGUCCGAAAGUGUUGAAAGUUGAUGACGUGGCUUUGAAUGGUGCAUACUGGACGCACAAAAAGUAUGGAGUUGUAAUGAGUUUCAAAAAUGAAAUUCCUUUGUAACAGAUGAGUUUUCGUCCGAAACCCUGAUACUCCGAAAGAGAUUGUCCAUUUUGUACACGAAGUGCAUCCAGUUUUUUCCAUAACCCUCACUACUUUUUUGCACAUGCUAUGUGGGUGAAAUGAUGAUGCCAUGCCAACUUCCAACCUUUAAGAGUUCAUUUGUAGUGUUUUUCAAUUUCAGGGUCAUUUAGCUAAAAAAUCAAUAAAUGCAUGAGAAAUAGCAAAUGAUGUCAGAAAGGUAUGAAAGUUGAUGACGUGGCUUUGAAUGGUGCAUACUGAAUGCACAAAAAGUUUAGAGUUGUAAUAAAUUUAAAAAAUGAAAUGCCUUUGUAACAGAUGAGUUUUCGUCCGAAGCCCUCAUACUUCAAAAGAGAUUAUCCAUUUUGUGCACGAAGUGCAUCCAGUUUUUGCCGUAACCCUCUCUACUUUUUUGCACAUUAUAUGUGGGUGAAAUGAUGAUACGAUGCCAACUUCCAACCUUUCAGAGUUCAUUUGUAGUGCUUUUCAAUUUCAGGGUCAUUUAGCUAAAAAAAAUCAGGAAAUGCACGAAAAAUAGCAAAUGAUGUCAGAAAAGUUUGAAAGUUGAUGACAUGGCUUUGAAUUGUGCAUACUGAACGCACAAAAAGUCUAGAGUUGUAAUAAGUUUAAAAAAUGAAAUGCCUUUGUAACAGAUGAGUUUUCGUCCGAAACCCUCAUACUUCGAAAGAAAUUGUACAUUUUGUACACGAAGUGCAUCCAGUUUUUGCCGUAACCCUCUCUACUUUUUUGCACAUGCUAUGUGGGUGAAAUGAUGAUGCCAUGCCAACUUUCAACCUUUGUAGAGUUCAUUUGUAGUGCUUUUCAAUUGCAGGGUCAUUUAGCUAAAAAAUCAGUAAAUGCAUGAAAAAUAGCAAAUGAUGUCAGAAAGUGUUGAAAGUUGAUGACGUGGCUUUGAAUGGUGCAUACUGAAUGCACAAAAAGUCUGGAAUUGUAAUAAGUUUAAAAAAAUGAAAUGCCUUUGUAACAGAUGAGUUUUCGUCCGAAACCCUGAUACUCCGAAAGAGAUUGUCCAUUUUGUACACGAAGUGCAUCCAGUUUUUGCCGUAACCCUCCCCUACUUUUUUCCACAUGCUAUGUGGGUGAAAUGAUGAUACGAUGCCAACUUCCAACCUUUUCAGAGUUCAUUUGUAGUGCUUUUCAAUUUCAAGGUCAUUUAGCUAAAAAAUUAGUAAAUGCAUGAAAAAUAGCAAAUGAUAUCAGAAAGGUUUGAAAGUUGAUGACGUGUCUUUGAAUGGUGCAUACCGAAAGUACAAAAAGUCAGGAGUUGUAAUAAGUUUAAAAAAAUGAAAUGCCUUUGUAACAGAUGAGUUUUCGUCUAAAACCCUCAUACUUCGAAAGAGAUUGUCCAUUUUUUUCUACACGAAGUGCAUCCAGUUUUUGCCGUAACCCUCUCAACUUUUUUGCACAUGCGAUGUGGGUGAAAUGCUGAUACCGCCAACUUUUAACCUUUUGAGAGUUCAAUUUUAGUGCUUUUUAAUUUCAGGGUCAUUUAGCUAAAACAAUCAGUAAAUGAGCUAAAAGUAGCAAAUGAAGUCAGAAAAGGGUUGAAAAUUGCUGAUGUGCCUUGGAAUGGUGCAUAUUGAACACACAAAAAGUCUGGAGUUGAAAUAAGUUAUUAAAAAUAAAAUCCUUUUGUAAUAGAUGAGUUUCGUCCGAAACCCUGAUACUUCGAAAGAGAUUGUCCAGUUUGUAGAAGAAGUGCAUCCAAUUUUUGCCGUAACCCUCUCAACUUUUUAGCACAUGCUAUGUGGAUGAAAUGAUGAUAUCAUGCUAAGUUUCAACCAUUUCAGAGUUGAUUUGUAGUGCUUUUCAUUUUCAGGGUCAUUUAGCUAAAAAAAUUCAUUAAAUGCAUAAAAAUAGCAAAUGAAGGCAGAAAAGAGUUGAACAUUGAUGAUGUGACUUUGAAUGGUGCACAAUGAACACACAAAAAGUCCGGAGUUAAAAUAAGUUAUAAAAAUGAAGGAGAGGCGCAAUCCUCACUGGCACAUUGCUUAGCUUCAGGCCUUGACAAACUACACAUAGCUCUGUGCAAUCUACACCAUUUCCUCCAGGCAUGAAGCUAAGCAACGUGCAGGUGAGCAUUGCGCCUCUCCUUCAUCGUUCCUCGUCUCUGCACUCAGGGCUUAUAAACCGCUGAUACGUCUCCAACGUAUCUAUAAUUUUUGAUUGUUCCAUGCUAUUAUAUUAUCAAUCUUGGAUGUUCUAUAAUCAUUUUAUAGUCAUUUUUUGGUACUAACCUAUUGACAUAGUGUCAAGUGCUAGUUGUUGUUUUCUGCAUGUUUUUUACAUUGCAGGAAAUCAAUACCAAACGGCGUCCAAAUUCAAUGAAACUUUACGGGGAUUUUUUAUGCACCAGAAGACACCUAAUGGGCCAAGGCUGCGCCUAGGGGGUGCUCCGAGGAGAGCACAACCCACCAUGGCGCGCCAGGAGGCCCGGGCACGCCCUGGAGGGUUGUGCCCACCUCGGGUGCCCCUCGGGCCGCCUCUUUGCUCUAUAAAUAUCCCAAUAUUCCAGAAACCCUAGGGGAGUCGACGAAAAUCAAUUCAAGCCUCCGCAGAGUCCAGAACCACCAGAUCCAAUCUAGACACCAUCACGGAGGGGUUCACCACUUCCAUUGGUGCCUCUCCGAUGAUGCGUGAUUAGUUCUUUGUAGACCUUCGGGUCCGUAGUUAGUAGCUAGAUGGCUUCCUCUCUCUCGCCAAACUCUCAAUACAAUGGUGUCUUGGAGAUCCAUAUGAUGUGACUCUGUUUGCGGUGUGUUUGUUGGGAUCAGAUGAACUUUCAGUUUAUGAUCAGAUCUAUCUUUUUAUAUCCAUGAAAGUUAUUUGAGUUUCUUUGAACUAUUAUAUGCAUGAUUUCUUAUAGCCUCGUAUUUCUUCUCCGAUAUUUGGGUUUUGUUUGGACAAAUUGAUCUAUUUAUCUUGCAAUGGAAAGAGGUGCUUUGUAGUGGGUUCGAUCUUACGGUGCUUGAUCCCAGUGACAGAAGGGGAACCGACACGUAUGUAUCGUUGCUACUAAGGAUAAAACGAUGGGGUCUAUCUCUACAUAGAUAGAUCUUGUCUACAUCAUGUCAUCAUUCUUAUUGCAUUACUCCAUUUCCCCAUGAACUUAAUACACUAGAUGCAUGCUGUAUAGCGGUCGAUGUGUCGAGUAAUAGUAGUAGAUGCAGGUAGGAGUCGGUCUACUAAUCUUGGACGUGAUGGCUAUAUAUUGAUCAUUGCCUGGAUAUCGUCAUGAUUAUUUGGAACUCUAUCAAUUGCCCAACAGUAAUUUGUUUACCCACCGUUUGCUAUUUUGCUCGAGAGAAGCCACUAGUGAAACCUACGGCCCCCGGGUCUCUUUCUCACAUUAUUUGCCUUCGCGAUCUAUUUUAUUUGCCUUUUGUUUGCAGAUCUAUUAAACCAAAAAUACAAAAAUACCUUGCUGCGUUUUACUCUUAUUUAUUUUAUUUGGUGUUCGAUCUAUCAAUCUACUACAAUUAUCUCACGUCUGUUUGCCAAUUUCUGGCGCCGCUACCCGAAAGGGAUUGACAACCCCUUUAACACGCCAGGUUGCGAGGAUUUGUUAUCUGUGUGCAGGGGCUAUUUACAUUCUAUUGCUAGGUUCUCCUACUAGUUCGAUAACCUUGGUUUCAUAUCUGAGGGAAAUACCUACCGCUGCUAUGCUGCAUCAUCCCUUUCUCUUUGGGGAAAUACCGACGUAGCUUCAAGCCGCAUCAAAAGGAAUUUCUGGCGCCGUUGCCGGGGAGGAUCUUCAACAUAUACGAGGUUCCGAAUCACAAAUCUCAUCUCCUUGCAAUUUACAUUAUUUGCCAUUUGCCUCUCAUUUUCCUCUCCCCCACUUCACAAAAAUUUGCCAUUUUAUUCGUCCUCUUUUUCGUUCGCCUUUUUCUCGUUUGAUCUUUUGUUUGCUUGUGUUGCCAUGUGCCUUCUAUAUGCUUGCGUCUUCGCUUGCUAAAAAUAUAUUGAUAUGGAUCCUCAUCCACUUGCUAAUCUUUUUAAAAGAUCCAAUCAUGUUGAACCAGUUGCUAGUGAGUUGAGUGCACUAGAUUAUCUUUAUGAAGUUUUUCUUGAGAUUCGUGAAUCUAAAAAUUGCGAUGAAGAAAUUUAUGAAGUGAUUCAUGAUAGCUCCUUGAAUGAAAAGCAUGAUUGCAAUGAUUUUACUAUAAAUCCUAUUAAUGUCAAUUGUGCUAAUAAUAUGCAAAACCCCAAACUUUGGGAUGCUAAUUUUGCUAUGUCCACUACUUGUUGCAAUGAUCAUGAUUGGGGUGAUUCUUCUUAUGAGCUUGAAAUUUUAUUUAAACCUCAUGAUGAAUAUGAUAUUGAUAAUAAUGUUUGCAAUAAUAUUGAAAGUGGGUAUGGAAGAGCGUCAACUUUAGGUAAAAAUAAUCCCACAUAUUUGGAGAGUGUUCAAUCUUAUGAUUUUUUUUAUGAAAGUGGGUUCGGAGGGGUCAUGACUUUAGUUGAUGUUAAUCCCACUAUCUUGGAAGAUUAUAAGACUUGUAUGCAUGUGGAUCAUGAAAAGAAAGUUUUAUAUGAUUGCUAUAUUGUUGAAUUUGAGUAUUAUCCUACAUGUAAUUAUUAUGAGAAAGGAAAAUAUGGUUGUAGAAAUUUUUAUGUUACUAAAUUACCUCUCGUUAUGUUGAGAUCGUCAAUGUUUUAUUCCUCUUCUUUGCAUAUGUUAGAUGUUUCUUGUCUUGAUAUUUUGUUUUCUUAUAAAAUUCCUAUGCAUAGGAAGUAUGUUAGACUUAAAUGUGGUUGUCAUAUGUUUCAUGAUGCUCUCUUUGUGUUUCAAUUAUUAUCUCUCAUGUGAGCAUCAUUGAAAUUUUAUGCCUAGCUAGGGGCAUGAAACUAUAGCGCUUGUUGGGAGGCAACCCAAUGAAUAAAAUUUGUUUUUACCUUUUGCUUUCUGUUCUUGAAUGUUUGCACAAUUAUGCUAAUGUUAUGAUUGUGUGUUUUGUGUUUUAAUUAGUGUUUGUACCAAGUAGAACCUAUAGGAUCUUCUUGGGUGAUAGUUGUUUGAUCUUGCUGAAAAAACAGAAACUUUUGCGCUCAUGAAAACAAUUCUUAUUUUUUACCAGAGCGUGAUAAAAUGCCAAUUAUUUUUGCAGAAGAUUAAUAUACAAAUUUCUUAGGUCUUCCUAUUGUUUUAGAAUUUUUGGAGUUUCAGAAGUAUUCGAACAAUUCAGAUUGCAACACAUUGUUCUGUUUUUGACAGAUUUUGUUUUCUUUGCGUUGUGUGCUUGUUUUGAUGGCUCCAUGGUUUUCUUUGUUGAGUUUUUGCCAUAGAAAAGUUGGAAUAUAUUAGAUAUAAUGCAAGAAUAAAAUAUGAAUAGGUUGCAACAGUACUUAUAGUAGUGAUUUAUUUUCUUAUACUAAUGGAUCUCACGAAGGUUUUGUUGAGUUUUGUGUGAUUGAAGUCUUCAAGUUUUGGGUUAUCUUACGAUGGAUGAAGGAAUAAGGAGUAAGCAAAGCCUAAGCUUGGAGAUGCCCCGGCAACCCAAGCUAUUAUCCAAAAGAUAGCAAGCAAGUAAGCUUGGGGAUGCCCCGAGUGGCAUCCCCUCUUUCUUCUAACGACCAUCGAUAUUUUACUCGAAGCUAUAUUUUUAUUCGUCACAUACUAUGUGUUUUGCUUGGAGCGUCUUGUAUGAUAUGAGUCUUUGCUUGUUUUAUUUUGUGUUUUAAGUCUUGAUUCCUUGCGGGACACACCUAUUUGAGAGAGCCAAAAUUAUGCAUGACUUAUUAGAAUUGCUCUCUAUGCUUCACUUAAAUUUUUUAUGAGCCAUGGACUUGCUCUAGUGCUUCACUUAUAUCUUUUUGAGCACGGUGUGCUUAGUUAUUUUUUAAGAAAUGCUCUCUUGCUUCACUUAGAUUUGUUUUAGAGGUAGUAAAUUUUUCAGGAAAUUCUCUCUUUCUUCACUUAAAUUAAUUUGAAAGAAAGAAAUAUUAUGCUCAUGAUCUUCACUUAUAUUUGUUUGAGCUUAUCAAAAGCAACAUAUGAAAAUUAGUUCCAAAGUGAUAGAUAUCCAAGAAGGAUAUAAUAAAAACUUUCAUGAAGAUCAUUGGACAAAAUAAACUUGAUUCUUAGUAAUAGUUUUAAGAUAUGAUGAUGUGAUAUGUGAGUCAUGUUGAUGAGUAAUUAUGCUUUACUAAGAAUAUUGGUGUUAAGGUUUGUGACUCCCUAUGCAAGCACGAAAGUCAAUAAUUAUGCAAUGAAAUUAUAUCCUACUUGUGGUGCAUUAUUCGGUGUUAAUUAUGCUUAAUGCUCGCUUAUGAGAUUAUUCGUUUCUUGGUUGGUUGCUUCUCAAUCUUUUGCUAGCCUUCAUUUUGCACUAAGUAUGAUCUCUACUUGUGCAUCCAAAAACCUUUAAACCAGUUUUGCCACAUGACUCCACUAUAUCUACCUAUAUGCGGUAUUCUUUUGCCGUUCUAAGCAAAUUUGUAUGUGCCAUCUCUAAUUUUGAAAAUAAACUUCUCUUUUGUGUGUUCGUACCGCUCGCAGAGCUGUGAGGGGUGGCUAAUAUUUUCCAUGCUAGAUGUGUUAUUCUCACGAUGAGUGUUUAUUCACUUGUCAUUGCACGAGAGUAAGGCAAAGGUAUUAGGGAUGCCCAGUCCCGAAAUGAAAAAUGAAUUUACUUUAUGUUGUCAAAUAAUAAAUUCCUUGGAAAGUGUUGGUACGGAGGGAAACCGUGGAUACGGCUAGCCAAGGAAAGUGAAAGUAUGGUUGAAAAAAGAAUAAACUUUAUUUUCUGUUUGGGAACCGCCUAUGAUAUAUCUAGCAUGGAAAGUGUUGGGAACUCUAAGUCGUUUUCGUUGGUGGGAAGGACACACCUCCUGAAAUGUUCUUAUCUCUAAGUUUUUUCGCUUUGAGCUUUGGCACGUCUACAAAUCCCUACUUCCCUCUGUGAAGGGCCUUUGUUUUACUUUAUGCAAUUUUUAUUAUUGAAUUUGAAUCUCCUUAUAAAAGCACCAACUCGGAGGCACUAUGAUCUUACUUGAGCAUUGGGUGUAGCUAAUAUGCAAGUGUGUUUCAUGAAUGGAUCAAUGAUUGAGCAUGAUGGGCUAGGGAUAACUUAUUUUAGCGUUGAUAUUUUGAAAGACAUGGUUGCUUGUUGGUAUGCUUGAGUAUUUAAGUUAUCAUAUCAAAACUAGACUAUUGCUUUGAACAAUAUAAAAGUCCAAAUGUCCAUGCUAUAAAGAAAACAAUAUGAUAUGACAUGUUACGCAGUAUUCCACAUCAAAAAUUCCGUUUUUAUCACUUACCUACUCGAGGACGAGUAGGAGUUAAGCUUGGGGAUGCUGAUACGUCUCCAACGUAUCUAUAAUUUUUUAUUGUUCCAUGCUGUUAUAUUAUCAAUCUUUGAUGUUUUAUAGUCAUUUUAAAUAAUUUUUUGGUACUAACCUAUUGACAUAGUGCCAAGUGCCAGUUGUUGUUUUCUGUAUUUUUUUACAUCGUAGGAAAUCAAUAUCAGACGGAGUCCAAAUGCAAUGAAACUUUACGGAGAUUUUUUUAUUGACCAGAAGACACCUAAUGGGCCAAGGUUGCGCCUGGGGGCGCUCCGAGGAGAGCACAACCCACCAGGGCGCGCCAGGAGGCCCAGGCGCGCCCUAGUGGCUUGUGCCCACCUCGGGUGCCACCCGGACCACCUCUUUGCUCUAUAAAUACCCCAAUAUUCCAGAAACCCUAGGGGAGUCGACGAAAAUCAAUUCCAGCCGCCGCAGAGUCCAGAACCACCAGAUCCAAUCUAGACACUAUCACGGAGGGGUUCACCACUUUCAUUGGUGCCUCUCCGAUAAUGCGUGAGUAGUCCUUUGUAGACCUUCGGGUCCGUAGUUAGUAGCUAGAUGGCUUCCUCCCUCUCGCUAAAUUCUCAAUACAAUGGUCUCUUGGAGAUCCAUAUGAUGUAACUCUUUUUGCGGUGUGUUUGUUGGGAUCAGAUGAACUUUAGUUUAUGAUCAGAUCUAUCUUUUUAUAUCCAUGAAAGUUACUUGAGUUUUUUUGAUCUCUUGUAUGCAUGAUUUGUUAUAGCCUCGUAUUUCUUCUCCGAUAUUUGGGUUUUGUUUGGCCAACUUGAUCUAUUUAUCUUGCAUUGGGAAGAGGUGCUUUGUAGUGGGUUCGAUCUUAUGGUGCUUGAUCCCAGUGAUAGAAGGGGAACCGACACGUAUGUAUCGUUGCUACUAAGGAUAAAAUGAUGGGGUCUAUCUCUACAUAGAUAGAUCUUGUCUACAUCAUGUCAUCGUUCUUAUUGCAUUACUCCCUUUCCCCAUGAACUUAAUACACUAGAUGCAUGCUGGAUAGCGGUCGAUGUGUGGAGUAAUAGUAGUACAUGCAGGCAGGAGUCGGUCUACUAAUCUUGGAUGUGAUGCCUAUAUAUUGAUCAUUGCCUGGAUAUCGUCAUGUUUAUUUGUAGUUCUAUCAAUUGCCCAACAGUAAUUUGCUUACCCAUCAUUUGCUAUUUUUCUCGAGAAAAGCCACUAGUGAAACCUAUGACCCCCGGGUCUCUUUCUCAUUUUAUUUGCCUUCGCAAUCUAUUUUAUUUGCCUUUCAUUUUCAGAUCUAUUAAACCAAAAAUACAAAAAUACCUUCUUGCGCUUUAUUCUUUUUUUUUUAUUUGGCGUUCGAUCUAUCAAUGUACUACAAUUAUCUCACGUAUGUUUGCCAAUUUCUGGCGCCGUUACCCGAAAGGGAUUGACAACCCCUUUAACAUGUCGGGUUGCGAGGAUUUGUUAUCUGUGUGCAGGGGUUGUUUACGUUGUGUUGCUAGGUUCUCCUACUAGUUCUAUAACCUUGGUUUCAUAUCUGAGGGAAAUACCUACCUCUGCUCUGCCGCAUCAUCCCUUCCUCUUUGGGGAAAUACUGACGUAGCUUCAAGCCGCAUCAACCGCUGCGAGUCCCUCUUGCUAGGCGAGGUGGGACUAAAUUUUAGCCAUUGCCAGGACAAGGCCUUUAGUCUCGGUUGAUGGCUCAAUUAAAAUAUUUUGUUAUGAUCCACUUAUAGAAAGUUAUAAUAUUCUUCAAUAGCAAAAAGAAUCAACUAAAAAUCUCUAGUACCGGUUCGUGGCAUGAACCGGUACUAAAGGUGCUGGUGGGGGGCCCAGCCUGACAACAGCCUGCCACCACCUCUUUAGUACCGGUUCGUGGAACGAACUGGUACUAAAGGUUCGCCACGAACUAGUACUAAUGAGCACCGCCCGCCUAGCUGUUGGAACCGACACUAAUGGUCACAUUAGUGCUGGUUCAGUUACAAACCGGGACUAAUGUGCUUCACAUUAGGCCCUUUUUCUACUAGUGUUGCUUCUCCGCCUCCAUCUCAAGCAUCCUCAUUUGCUUCUCUGCCUCCAUCUCAAGCCUCCUCCUUUAGAUCUUCAUGAAGGCGUUCAUUUGUUCUUCCUUGUCUUGUCGGCGCUUCUCCUCCCUUGAGUCCUUCUUAGUCAUCAUGCCCUCCAUGGUAGCGAUCAAGGCAUUGGACGCCGCAUCCCUCUUGUCCUACUUCUUGGAGUUGGUCUUCCCCCACGGCCGUGGCUUCUCGCCCUCCCCAACCUCCUCCACGACUUUCUCUCCCCCACGCAACAUGAGGGCGGCAUAUUGCACCUUGAACUUCUCCUCGUCUUUGAUGACCCUCCAACAAUGAGAGAGGUUGAAGGACUUACCAUCAUGUUGGACCUUGAAUGCCUCCAAAGCUUGGAAUGCCUACAAAUGAAAUGCAUGCAAGCAUAUUGGCAAAUGGAUAUGAAUAUGGACUUGCAAGAAUAAACGGAAGAGGGGCGCAUGCAUGCAUACCAUAUCUUGCAUGCCGAUGCCGCUCACCGGGCGUGACUUGAUGCUCUCAAAGGUGGCACAAAACUUGUCAUGCUCUUGUUGGAUCACCUUCCAUCGGUUCGAAAUGGACACCCACCCGCGCAUGCUUUAUAUCUGGUACGGCAGAAACUUCUUGCGUUCGUGGAACUCACGAUGGACACGAGUCCAAAAGGUUGAUUCCUUUUGUUCGGCACCGACCAUGGGGUCUUGCCCAAUGUCCCUCCAAAACUCACAAAGGAGCUUGUCCUCGACCGUGGUGUAUGCCUUCGUCCGCCUGCUCUUGUGCUUUGGCUUCAGCCCGGCGGCUUGGCUGGCGAGCCCGUCCUCUUCCUCAAGGCCGUAGUCCUCCGGAAACUCGUGGUCGAACAGGAAGUCGUCUAGGUCCAGGCCGAAGUGAUCUUGCAUGAAGGCGUCCUGCAUGCUAUCUUGAUCAUAGGUCGACGGCGUGAACGGCCCUCAGCCGUCCUGGCUUUGUGUCUCCUCUGAAUCGUAGGCAGCCGCGGCGGCACCACAGGCGGCCGACGUACCACCCUCGAAGAUGAUGCUCACCAUGAAACGGUCGGCCGUCUUGUCUUCGCCGGAUGACGAGGCACCGACUACCGGUGUGGCGUUGAGAUCGAUGGGCGCGGGCGCGGGCAUGGAAUGCGCCACCACGCUCACCUCCAGCGAGCAUUCCCUGAAGAAUUGGGAGGCUUGCAAGUAGACGUGGAAGCCGGGAAUCGAGUAAGACGCCGACGCGCGAGGCGACUCUGGGAGCACCAUCCGAGGAAACGCGGACGAGUCGGAGCUGGCCACGGCCACAGCGGCGUUGACGAGCCCGUGCUGGCCAGGGUUUAGCCCUAGGUAGAUUAGCGCCUCCCUCAUUGCCGCGGCGACGUGGGCGGCGGUGUCCUCCUGCUGCGCGGCGGCGGCCAUGGCGAUGGCAGCGGACGCUGCUUCGUCCCACGCGUCCGCCGCGUGCCUUCGGCCCUUUCGCUUCGGUGACUCCGCGGCCCGCUCCUCGGACGUCAGCUGCUUCUUCUUCUUGGGCACGGUGGCAGUCUUGCGGGAGGCGCGCGGCUUGCCUUUGCCGAAGGGGGCGGCUGUGAUGCUGGACGAGGCAAGGGCGACGAGGCCGCCGACAGUAUCGAGGUCCUCAUCCAUGGCGUGCGGCCGGGAGCGAGCACGGGCGGAAGGUUUUUGAGAAAGUGGACGAAAAUGUUGGAGGCUUUGCCACCAAUUGGCAGGUCAGGGGUAGUUGGCACGCAACGCGCUUCUCCGUCUCGUGUCGCGCGCCAACGCAAAUGAGGCUCAAAAUUGGGCUGAGAAUGGGUCGGCAGGCGAACGAAAAGCGGACACGCGUCCAUUUGGGUCGGCACAUUGUGCCGACUUUUCUGUCCGCACCGACCCAAAUGAACGCGCGCGAACGAAAUGGGUCGUCACGUUGGAGUUGCUCUUACGUGGCACUGUAACAAGAAAUGAGGACCAGUGGAAACCAGCAUAUGCACCUAGAAGAAUCGUAUGGAUCUGCAUAUGUAAUUGAUCUAUAUCAUACGGACCCAUAAAUGAUAGGAAGGUCCUAGCUACCAGGUACCAGCUAUCCUGGUUACUCCAUUUGCUGCCCCUCCAACCUGGGUUCCGGUCAUGUCCUCGGGGUCUGUCGGUGGUUCCGUGUUCUUGUUCUGGACGGACGCUUGUAAGAUCAGGUUUUCGAUCGGGAGCCUUCUGUUGACAUUAUAAAAGUGCGUGUAUUCAAAGGAGAUGUAUGCAUUUCUCCGUGACAAAGCAAAUUAAGUUCUGCUGCUAGCUAUUUUCAAAAAAGAGUCUUGCCCCACCACUUGCGUCGUUUGCAAAGCCCUUAAAUAUACUGAUAUGUUAUACACACACACAUAUACACAUGAGAUUUAAUUUUAAAGAGCACACGGACAUGUUCGUUCUCGUGUUAAUGAAAUCCUAGAAAAUCUCAUUAAUUAACCAUGGGAUCUAUAAUUCCGAGAUCUUUAGCUGUUGGAUGUAUGUAAUGCCUUAAGAUGCAUUAAAACAAAUAUACGUGAGAUUUAAUUUUAAAGGCCUUAAGGUGCAUAAAAAAUACGCAUGAGAUUUAAUUUUAAAUAGCACAAGGACAUGUUCAUUGUCGUGUUAAUGAAAUCCUAGAAAAUCUCAUUAAUUAACCUUCGGAUCUGUAACUCCGAGAUCUUUAGCCAUUGGAUUUACAUAAUGCCUCAACCUGCAUCAAAAAAAAUAUACGCAUGAGAUUUAAUUUUAAAGGCCUUAACCUGCAUAAAAAAAUAUACGCAUGAGAUUUAAUUUUAAAGAGCAGACAGACAUCUUCAUUGUCGUCCGCUGGCUGUAUGAAUUAGAAUAACAUAUAUUUACUUAGUUGGAUUAGAGAGAAGAGAAAAGAGAAGAGAAGUGGGCUCUGGAUUAAAGCAAGUACAAUAAAAUGACGUAGGCGGGCUAUAAAAGAUGUCAUCUUAAAUUUGUGCUUUUUUAGUUAACCUUAAAUUUGUGCUUAGUUGAAGGAGAGAGAAGCGGGCUACAAGUGUGACAAAAGCCUUUUUCAGUAGGCAGGCUACAAACUUACAAUCGACUGUAGCACGAGCUCAAACAACCUUUGUAAGAAGAUAUGGGCCAUAUAUUAAUUCACAGUGUGACUUAAUGUUGACAUGAAUUGAUACAGGUGGACAUAGUUAGAGCAACUCUAGCAGACCCCGCAUCCCGCCCCGACUGUUAAAAUAACCGCCAAAAUGCGGGUCGGGCAGGAAAACCAGCCCGAUCAGACCCCGCAUCCCGCCCCCGCCCGCAAAAAAAUUUAGGGGGCGCGGCAAAAUCCCAACCCCAACCCGGGAAAACGCGGGUUUCCCUCUCGCGGCUGCGGUGCCCUGCAUAUAGGAGGAAGCGGCUGGUGAGGGGACAUUUCAUGCCGCGCUUUCUCCCACCAACCACCUCUCCUCUCCCCCCUCGCGCCGCUGCCGGCCGCCGCCCAAGAUUCUGGCGAAAGCAGCCGGCAGGAGCACGCCGGAAGGCCGCCACGCACACGAGGCCUCCCCUUCCUCCCCCUGCGUCGGCGGGCCACCGGAUUUGCAGAUUUGCAGCACUUCAUCGCGGGUCGCCGGAUUUGGCUUUUUCCGGCCGCCGGUUGCUGUCCCAAGCUAUGGAGUGGUCGGGGAGCCUCUCCCACAGCCCAGGCAAGGGCGCAUUGCCGCAUGCAGGUACGGGUUCGUCCGCCCGCCGCCGCCGAAGGUUUGCGGGCUUGGACUCAUCCGGCCGUCCACCGGGCUCGGCGCUCACGCAGCGUCUUUGUGGCAUGCCGAUGCCGCUCAUAGAGUGUGACGACUGCACGCGGAAAGUGCUGCGGCUCACUUCGGGCACGCCGAAGCACCCUGGGUGGGUGUUCUUCAAAUGCGAAAAUGACGGGGUACGUGCACUUGCGGUAGCUCGUUUCAUAGUUCAUUCUUUAGUUCAACUGCGGUAGCUCACUUCGAGCUUGCUCACUCUUUUGUGUAGGACGAUGGAUGCUCAUUUUGGUUUUGGGAAGGCCAAUACAUUUAUUUGUUGAUAGAAAGAAACUUAAUAGAUGUUAGUGCACUCCUUAGUACAAUCGAAGGCAAUGAUGCGGCUGCAUGUGCAAAUAGAGGGGAAGCAACGUCUACUUCUUUCGAACCAAAGAUGAAGAAAGAAGAAUGCAAAAUCAAGAAUCCACAGAUCAACAACGAAUGCAUGGAGAAGAUAUUAGUCCAACUAGUGGGGGCAGUUAUGGAAGUUGGAAAUCUUCUAAAAUGCAUACUUGUGGUUCUUAUUUUCUUUGGUCUUGCUAUUCUAGCAAAGAUUUGGUGAUGUCUUUUGUAUCCAAUGUUGUUGAUAAAGCAAAGCAAUGCAAUAUGCUAGAUCAAAUUAAGGUGCAAAUUUAAGUUUUGCGGGCCGGGAGAAGUUGCACCAGAUCAGACGCGGCAACCCAACCCGUAAAAAAGCAUAUUCCAGGAAUAUCGUUUUUACGGAUCCAUUAUGCGGGGUCUGCAACUGCGGCCGUCCGCGCCGGCCCGCAAAGCCGUUUUCCCGCGAACUGCAAAAACGUUUAGCGGGUCGGGAGGAUGUGGGGUCUGCUAGAGUUGCUCUUACUCUGCGUCUGUAAAUAAAGGUCAUCAUUUUUAUUGCUCUAGGGACCCAUAAAUGAUAGGGACUGUCCGCUACCAGCUACCAGCUAGUAGCUACCCUGGUGACUACAUUUGCUGCCCCUCAAACAUGGGUUCCCGACAUGUUCUCAGGGUCUGUCGGUGGUUCCAUGUUCUGGCCUUUGGGGUUGGUUUAACUAGUGGUAUGGGGGUUCUUGCAUCGCCCUGUACUCUCGAUCGGGACCCUUUAAUUCUAGGUGACAUACAGUGCGUGUAUUUAAAGCCGAGGCAUGGAUCCUCCGUGCCAAAGAAAAUUAAUUCAGCGGCUACUCGGGGAGAGUUGUGGCAGCAUAUCCGGGAUGCCAGCUUUUUAUUUUGGGUUUUGAUUGUCAAAGUUUUAGAUCUUAAAAAAAACUAAAAUUAAGUGCUGUUUUCAUAUUCGUGUUUCUCGUGACCAGCGCCUUGAAAUAAUAUCCAUUUUGAAUAUAUUUUGACGACUUUGAAAAAUGUUAAGUUUCAAAUGUUGAAACUUAGUAUGAGCAACCAAUAAAAAUCAAUUAUUUUGUACCUACGCCUGACAGAAAAAUGCUUACAGUUAUAUCCCUGAAACUUGCUGAAACUUUGCAUUUUUCAUCAUUGAAACUUAAAACUGUUUAAGGGAUUUUCUUUUUUACUGUGCCCUCAUGUGGGAUUCAACUACUCUUUUCUCUCCGUGAGAUCCACAUAAAAAAAGCACAAAUUUAAGAUGAGUGCCCUGCACUUACAUGCCCCUGCGAAUUUCCGCAGCUACUAGCUAUUUUUGGAAGAAAAAAAUCUUGCCCCGCCACUCCCAUCAUUAGCAGAGCCCUUAAAUAUACUCACAUGUACCAAAUUACGAGUCAGAAUCAAACAUGCGUUGGCAUCAUUACCUACGAACUCUACUAAACAAUGUUCCAACUAUCCUGCGAGUCAAAUCUAAUAACUCUUGUCUUGCACGUUGCAUUGUCCAUUGGCAGAUCUUUUUAAGAAUUUUACGUCAGAUCUAAUUUUAUUUGAACGAAUGAAAGAUAAGCAAGUAGUAGUAAAAUCGACCCAAUUUGCACAGCCGAAAUGUGGACCAGACAAUUUACUCUUUGUUACGGGACUAAGAAAUUCGGACCGGCUAAUNNNNNNNNNNNNNNNNNNNNNNNNNNNNNNNNNNNNNNNNNNNNNNNNNNNNNNNNNNNNNNNNNNNNNNNNNNNNNNNNNNNNNNNNNNNNNNNNNNNNNNNNNNNNNNNNNNNNNNNNNNNNNNNNNNNNNNNNNNNNNNNNNNNNNNNNNNNNNNNNNNNNNNNNNNNNNNNNNNNNNNNNNNNNNNNNNNNNNNNNNNNNNNNNNNNNNNNNNNNNNNNNNNNNNNNNNNNNNNNNNNNNNNNNNNNNNNNNNNNNNNNNNNNNNNNNNNNNNNNNNNNNNNNNNNNNAUGUCUCCCAUUUCUCAAUCCCAUCCCGACGGUGUGUCUACCAUGUUUAGAGGGCGCAUGGGGGAGUUACUCCAUUGGUUCUCGCGGGAUUUGAUCGAUGAUGGUUUUCCGUGGAUUUCCUUGAAUCCAGUUUUUGUUCAUCCUCAUCCGUGCGUUUAAAUAUCCCAACAAGGCGAAGAUUUGGUUGUGCACAGGCAACUGAGGAGGUGACCUACUUCUUUACUGUCUCCUAUGUCCCUUGUUACCCACUGAUCCUAGAUCCACAGCUCGAGACCCCCUACCCUGAGGUCUACCAGUUUUACCACUGACAACCGGCCACAAGGGAGAAAUCCCUUUGAAUUUAGAGAUAAGAUCUUAUCUCUAGAUUUAACCCUUUAAAUUUAGAGAUAUGACCUUAUCUCUAGAUUUUAAAGACAUGGAACUUAGGGACGAUGCGGCCAGCCCAUGUGGGUUGUUGCCCCACCCCUCGGUCUAUGUGGGGACUUUUCGGGUCGUUGGGCCCCAUGGUGGAACCCCGGAACAUUUCCGGUACUCUACCAAAUAUUCCCAAACUUUUCUGGAACCCAUAAAACCACUUUCCUUACAUAACUCUUUACCUCCAGAGCUCCUCGUGAUGUCCCGGAUUCUAUCCAGGACUCUGAACUACCUUCAGACUUACCACUAUGAAUGUCCCAAAACUAUCCAAUAGUGGUAAGUCUGAACGUUAAGUGUGUGACCCUGCGGGUUCGAGAACAUGCAUAAAUGACCGAGACACCUCUCCAAUCAAUAAUCAAUGAACAUCUUUAUCGGUUUGAACCACGAUGUCAAUGAUUCAGUUAAUCCCGUAUACAAUUCCCUUUGUCCAAUGAUUUGUUAUUUGCCCGAGAUUCGAUCGUCAGUAUCGCCAUACCUAGUUCAAUCUCAUUACCGGCAAGCCCCUUUACUCAGUCCUUAAUACAAGAUCCACGUGACUAAACACAUUGGUCACAUGCUUCCAAUCUAUUCACGAUGUUGUAUUACCGAGAGGACCUAGAGAUAUCUCUCUGUCAUAUGGAGUGACAAAUCCUACACUCGAUCUAUGUAACCCAACAAACACUUUCUGAGAUACCUAUAGAGCACCUUUCUGAUCACCCAGUUACGAAGUGACGUUUGUUUACCCAUAAUGUAUUCUUCCAGUAUUAGGGAGUGGCACGAUCUCAUGGUCUAAGGAACAGAUUCUUGACAUGAAGAAAGUUGUAGAAAAUAAACUAAGUGAUACGAUCUGAUGCUAAGCUUAUGGUUGGGUCUGUCCAUCACAUCAUAAUCCUAAUGAUGUGAUCCCAUUAUUAAAUGAUAACUCGUGUCUAUGGUUAGGAAACCUUAACCAUCUUUAAUUAAUGAGCUAGCCUAGUAGAGGCUCACUAGGGACACGUUGUCUAUUUAUGUAUCCACACAUGUAUUUAAGUCUCUGGUCAAUACAAUUCUAGCAUGCAUAAUAAAUAUUUAUCAUGAACACGGAAAUACGACAAUAACAUCUUUCUUAUUGCCUCUAGGACAUAUUUCCUACAGAUUAGUAGGAUAAAAGAUCAAGGUGGCCUUGGCAUUCAUGGCAUGAAGGUCAAGAAGGAUGCCUUACAUAGGAAAUGGUUAUUCAAAAUACUUACUAGGGGUGGCGUUUGGCAAACCUGUUGCGAAAGAAGUAUCUAAUACUAUGCCAAAAACUUAUCUCUCACACAUAUUGGAAAGCUGGUGACUCACACUUUUCGGGUGGUGUCGUGGAAUUCUCACGGCAGAUGUCCUAGUGUGAGGACUUAGUCGUGAGGCCAACGCAUCUAUGUGGUAGCUUGAGAGGGGUUGAUUGGGACGAGAGACGCAACACACAAGACAAGAAUUUAGACAGCUUCGGGCCCCAGGAAACAUCAUCCAAUAAUAGCCCUACAUGCUGUUUGUGGCUAGGUCUCAUUAUGAUCAUGAGAGAGUCAUCGGUAAGCCGGCUCUUUGUGUCUAGCCCUAGAGAUUGUUUCUUGUUUCUUGUCCCUCUUGGGGUGCCCUGCCCCUCCUUAUAUAAGUUAGAGGGGCGGGUUACAUAUGGAGUCCUAGUAGGAUUAGGACUAGUCUAUCUUUCUUUACAAGUUGAAUACAAGUCCGGGUCUUGCUUCCUUGUGAAGGAAAUAAUCCUCACGCCUUUCAUCUUAAACCGGCCCACCAAAGUAUAAGCCAGCCUGCUGGGCCUUGGGCCUUGUCGUCCGUCUGAUCAGCCCGCCGGGUCUCCAGUGAAUUACAAUGUCCAGGCGGGUUACCCUGUGAACCGCCAUGUUCGGGCGGAUCGCCAGUGAGUCGCCAAGCUCCAGCCAGGUCUCUGGUGAGUCGCCAAGUCCGGCCGGGUCAUACCGCGGGGUAUAUCCCCGACAUUAGCCCCCAGUUUAAUUUGGAUUUAUCCAUGUUAAACUGAUCCUGCAACAUAAACACAAGAACAAAUUUGACAGGUUGUGCUCCGGGUUAAAUAUUCUUGUAAGCCGGCACCUGAUCAUCCUUAAGUCCUUGACAUUUUCUCCUGAAAUAUCCGGGUCAAUAUUGGUCUUGAAAUAUCCAGCUUCAUAAUCCAUUUGCUGACAUUGGCUCUUGUAAAGAAAUAUUAUAAGAAAUAAUCCAUUUGAUUCGGCCUUCAAUGCUCUGAUUUGACAAAAAUAUUGCUCUUGAAAUAUCCAACUGAUAUUCAGCCGGCUUAAAGAUGUAGAUUCUUGCCGACGAUUGCCACAAUUGUCGGGUUAGAAAUAAAUGAUGCCGGGUCAUGAUUGUUGCAGACACCGGGUUAAUCUGGUCUACUCCAAACUGAGAAUUUGAAGAUUUUUUUCUCCCUUAUAUGCAUAUUACCUGUAGCCCCUAAGUCUUAAGGGGAGAACAUAGUGAUAACUUAAGACUUGCUUCAAUAUAAGUGUUGCAACCUUGAAGAAAUCCGGUUUAUUCAUCUCAAUCAUUAGUCAUAAGCUGAAUAUUCCACAUUCCACAUAUGUAGCCCCCAAGUGCCGAGUUGUCAUGCUUGCAGCAACCUGGGACUUGUAAUUGCCUUAUGCUCAUAAAAACUUCAACUAGUGUAGCCCCCAAGGGCCGGGUCAUUAUGCAAUAAUGAGCAGGGACUUUGUAAAUAUGAUCAUGUAAACUUGACCAGCAACGUGUAGCCCCCAAGGGCCGGGUCAGUAAGAUAUUACCGAGCUGGGACUUUGUAUAUGAUUCAUCGAUAAUAACAGCAUAUGAUGUGAUCUCCACCAUGGGGUUUGAACCCACGUCCAUAAGGUUAAGAGCUUUGUACUCUACCAACUGAGUAGUGGAUCUUUCAAUAUAAUGGAUUAAGGCUUGUGUACCUUGAAUUUUCGACAAGAGCAAUUGGUAGCCCCCAAGGGCCGGCUCAUUUAGAAUGUGAUGAGUCGGGUCUUCAAUAAGUUGAACAAAAAAUGACUUUGCAUUAGCCCCCAAGUGCAAUGGUACAUGCUGGCAGUAACAUGGGACUUGCAUAUUCGAUGUAAUAUCAAUUUGAAUAAUGUAGUCCCCAAGUGCCAGGUCGUAAGCCUGCAGCGACUCGGGACUAUUCCUUACAUUAUAGAAUAAAUCAUAUCCAUCGAUAAAAUAAUAGCCAUUGCGCCAAAGCGACUUUGAAUACCUCAUCUGUUGAUAAGUAAAUCCGGAGUUUAAAUACCCGGCGGCUCUUGGCCGAUGGCGAUUUAAUACGCCUCCAUUGUAAGCCGGAAUUUUUAUAAUCCGGCGGCUUAUAGCCUUUCAGAACAUCAAGAAUUGAUAACCCUUCUGAGACUCCAAUUUCAAUCUAUGAUGAUGGGCUUGAACUUAAUCAUUUAUGUAAGUCAUAGCUCUGCAAAUCCUGCAUAGAGUUUAAACAACAUAUGCCCUGGCGACUUAACGUCAAGCCAGGGCGGGUAACCACCCAAAUGUAGUAUCCUGCACACAAGUAGAUCACAAGAUCCCUUGGCGGUUUACCGCAGGGCGGGUCAUAAUAUCUCACUGUUGGAAAUAUGCCCUAGAGGCAAUAAUAAAAUGGUUAUUAUUGUAUUUCCUUGUUCAUGAUAAUUGUCUGGUGUUCAUGCUAUAAUUGUAUUAACUGGAAACCGUAAUACAUGUGUGAAUACAUAGACCACAACAUGUCCCUAGUAAGCCUCUAGUUGACUAGCUCGUUGAUCAAUAGAUGGUUAUGGUUUCCUGACCAUGGACAUUGGAUGUCAUUGAUAACGGGAUCACAUCAUUAGGAGAAUGAUGUGAUGGACAAGACCCAAUCCUAAGCAUAGCACAAGAUCGUGUAGUUCGUUUGCUAGAGCUUUUCUAAUGUCAAGUAUCAUUUCCUUAGACCAUGAGAUUGUGCAACUCCCGGAUACCGUAGGAAUGCUUUGGGUGUACCAAACGUCACAACGUAACUCGGUGGCUGUAAAGGUGCACUACAGGUAUCUCCGAAAGUGUCUGUUGGGUUGGCACGAAUCGAGACUGGGAUUUGUCACUCCGUAUGACGGAGAGGUAUCUCUGGGCCCACUCGGUAAUGCAUCAUCAUAAUGAGCUCAAUGUGACUAAGGAGUUAGCCACGGGAUCAUGCGUUACAGUACGAGUAAAGUGACUUGCCGAUAACGAGAUUGAACAAGGUAUUGGGAUACCGACGAUCGAAUCUCGGGCAAGUAACGUACCGAUUGACAAAGGGAAUUGUAUAUGGGAUUGAUUGAAUCCUCGACAUCGUGGUUCAUCCGAUGAGAUCAUCGUGGAACAUGUGGGAGCCAACAUGGGUAUCCAGAUCCCGCUGUUGGUUAUUGACCGGAGAGUCGUCUCGGUCAUGUCUGCAUGUCUCCCGAACCCGUAGGGUCUACACACUUAAGGUUCGGUGACGCUAGGGUUGUAGAGAUAUUAGUAUGCGGAAAUCCGAAAGUCGUUCGGAGUCCCGGAUGAGAUCCCGGACGUCACGAGGAGUUCCGGAAUGGUCCGGAGGUAAAGAUUUAUAUAUGGGAAGUCCUAUUUUGGCCACCGGAAAAUGUUCGGGAAUUUUCGGUAUUGUACCGGGAAGGUUCUAGAAGGUUCCGAAGUGGGGCCCACCUGCAUGGGGGACCCACAUGAACGUGGGUAGUGGGGGCAAGGCCCCACACCCCUGGUCAAGGCGCACCAAGAUCCCACCUUAGAAGGAAUAAGAUCAUAUCCCGAAGGGAUAAGAUCAAGAUCCCUAAAAAAGGGGAUAACAAUCGGUGGGGAAGGGAAAUGAUGGGAUUUCUUUCCCCCACCUUUGCCAACGCCCCAAUGGACUUGGAGGGCAAGAAACCAGCCCCCUCCACCCCUAUAUAUAGUGGGGAGGCGCAUGGGAGCAGCAACCCAAGCCCUGGCGCCUCCCUCCCUCCCGUGACACCUCUUCCUCCCCGCUUGCGCUUGGCGAAGCCCUGCCGGGAUCCCGCUACUUCCACCACCACGCCGUCGUGCUGCUGGAUCUCCAUCAACUUCUCCUCCCCCCUUGCUGGAUCAAGAAGGAGGAGACGUCCCCGCUCCGUACAUGUGUUGAACGCGGAGGUGCCGUCCGUUCGGCGCUAGGUUCAUCGGUGAUUUGGAUCACGACGAGUAUGACUCCAUCAACCCCGUUCUCUUGAACGCUUCCGCUCGCGAUCUACAAGGGUAUGUAGAUGCACUCCUCCCCUCUCAUUGUUAGCAUCUCCUAGAUUGAUCUUGGUGACACAUAGGAAAAUUUUGAAUUUCUGCUACGUUCGCCAACAGUGGCAUCAUGAGCCAGGUUUAUGCGUAGAUUCUAUGCAUGAGUAGAACACAAAGUAGUUGUGGGCGACGAUUUGUUCAAUUUUCUUACCGUUACUAGUCUUAUCUUGAUUCGGCGGCAUUGUGGGAUGAAGCGGCCCGGACCGACCUUACACGUACUCUUACGUGAGACAGGUUCCACCGACUGACAUGCACUUGAUGCAUAAGGUGGCUAGCGGGUGUCUGUCUCUCCCACUUUAGUCGGAUCGGAUUCGAUGAAAAGGGUCCUUAUGAAGGGUAAAUAGCAAUUGGCAUAUCACCGUUGUGGCUUUUGCGUAGGUAAGAAACGUUCUUGCUAGAAACCCAUAGCAGCCACGUAAAACAUGCAACAACAAUUAGAGAACGUCUAACUUGUUUUUGCAGGGUAUGCUAUGUGAUGUGAUAUGGCCAAAAGGAUGUGAUGAAUUAUAUAUGUGAUGUAUGAGAUUGAUCAUGUUCUUGUAAUAGGAAUCACGACUUGCAUGUCGAUGAGUAUGACAACCGGCAGGAGCCAUAGGAGUUGUCUUAAUUUGUUGUAUGACCUGUGUGUCAAUGAAAAACGCCAUGUAAUUACUUUACUUUAUUGCUAACCGUUAGCCAUAGUAGUAGAAGUAAUAGUUGGUGAGACAACUUCAUGAAGACACGAUGAUGGAGAUCAUGGUGUCAUGCCGGUGACGAAGGUGAUCAUGCCGCGCCUCGAAGAUGGAGAUCAAAAGGCGCAAGAUGAUAUUGGCCAUAUCAUGUCACUUUAUGAUUUGCAUGUGAUGUUUGUCAUGUUUACAUCUUAUUUUCUUAGAACGACGGUAGCAUAAAUAAGAUGAUCCCUCACUAAAAUUUCAAGAGAUGUGUUCCCCCUAACUGUGCACCGUUGCGAAGGUUCGUUGUUUCGAAGCACCACGUGAUGAUCGGGUGUGAUAGAUUCUAACGUUCGCAUACACCGGGUGUUGACGAGCCUAGCAUGUACAGACAUGGCCUCGGAACACAAGCAAAACACUUAGGUUGACUUGACGAGCCUAGCAUGUACAGACAUGGCCUCGGAACACAAGAGACCGAAAGGUCGAACAUGAGUCGUAUAGUAGAUACGAUCAACAUGGAGAUGUUCACCGAUGAUGACUAGUCCGUCUCACGUGAUGAUCGGACACGGCCUAGUCGAUUCGGAUCAUGUAUCACUUAGAUGACUAGAGGGAUGUCUAUCUAAGUGGGAGUUCAUUAAAUAAUCAAAUGAACUUAAUUAUCAUGAACAUAGUCAAAAGGUCUUUGCAAAUAAUGUCGUAGCUUACGCUUUAGUUCUACUAAGAUAUUUUCCUAGAGAAAAUUUAGUUGAAAGUUGAUAGUAGCAAUUAUGCGGACUAGGUCCGUAAACUGAGGAUUGUCCUCAUUGCUGCACAGAAGGCUUAUGUCGUUAAUGCACCGCUCGGUGUGCUGAACCUCGAGCGUCGUCUGUAGAUGUUACGAAACAUCUGACAUACAUGUUUUGAUGACUACGUGAUAGUUCAGUGUGUGAUGCUAACGGUUUAAAAUUGUGGCACCAAAGACGGUUUUGAAAUGUCGCAGAACAUAUGAGAUGUUCCAAAGACUGAAAUUGGGAUUUCAGACUAAUGCCCACGUCAAGAGGUAUGAGACCUCUGACAAGUUUCUUAAGCCUGCAAACUAAGGGAGAAAAGCUCAAUCGUUGAGCAUGUGCUCAGAUUGUCUGAGUACUACAAUCACUUGAAUCGAGUGGGAGUUAAUCUUCCAGAUGAGAUAGUGAUGGUUCUCCAUAGUCACUGCCACCAAGCUAUUAGAGCUUCGUGAUGAACUAUAACAUAUCAGGGAUAGACAUGAUGAUCCUUGAGCAACUCGCGAUGUUUGACACCGCGAAAGUAGAAAUCAAGAAGGAGCAUCAAUUGUUGAUGGUUAGUAAAACCACUAGUUUCUAGAAGGGCAAGGGCAAGAAGGGAUACUUCAUGAAACGGCAAAUCAGUUGCUGCUCUAGUGAAGAAACCCAAGGUUGAACCCAAACCCGAGACUAAGUGCUUCUGAAAUGAGGGGAACGGUCACUGAAGCAGAACUACCCUAGAUACUUCGUAGAUGAGAAGGCUGGCAAGGUCGACCGAAGUAUAUUGGAUAUACAUUAUAUUAAUGUGUACUUUACUAGUACUCCUAGUAGCACCAGGGUAUUAGAUACCGGUUCGGUUGCUAAGUGUUAGUAACUCGAAAUAAAAUAUGCGGAAUAAACGAAGACUAGCUAAAGGUGAGAUGACGAUAUGUGUUGGAAGUGUUUCCAAGGUUGAUGUGAUCAAGCAUCGCAUGCUCCCUCUACCAUCGAGAUUGGGGUUAAACCUGAAUAAUUAUUAUUUGGUGUUUGCAUUGAGCAUAGACAUGAUUGGAUUAUGUUAUCGCAAUACGGUUAUUCAUUAAAGGAGAAUAAUGGUUACUCUGUCUAUUUGAAUAAUACCUUCAAUGGUCUUGCACCUAAAAUGAAUGGUUUAUUGAAUCUCGAUCGUAGUGAUACACAUGUUCAUGCCAAAAGAUAUAAGAUAGUAAUGAUAGUACCACAUACUUGUGGCACUGCCAUUUGAGUCAUAUUGGUAUAAAACGCAUGAACAAGCUCCAUGUUGAUGGAUCUUUGGACUCACUCGUUUUUGAAAAGAUUGAGACAUGCGAACCAUGUCUAUUAGUAUAUAUGCAUGAAGAAAGUCCAUACAGAUGGAUCAUUUGGACUCACUUGAUUUUGAAUCACUUGAGACAUGCAAAUCAUACCACAUGGGCAAGAUGACUGAAAGGCCUCGUUUUCAGUAAGAUGGAACAAGAGAGCAACUUGUUGGAAGUAAUACAUUUGAUGUGUGCAGUCCAAUGAGUGCUGAGGCACGCAGUGGAUAUCGUUAUGUUCUUACUUCACAGAUGAUUUGAGUAGAUGCUGAGAAUAUUUACUUGAUGAAACACAAGUUUGAAUUAUUGAAAGGUUCAAGUAAUUUCAGAGUGAAGUUGAAGAUCGUCGUGACAAGAGGAUAAAAUGUCUGUGAUAUGAUCAUAGAGGUGAAUAUCUGAGUUACGAGUUUGGCACACAAUUAAUAAAUUGUGGAAAUUGUUUCACGACUAAUACCGCCUGGAACACCAUAUUGUGAUGGUGUGUCCGAACAUCAUAACUGCACCCUAUUGGAUAUGGUGCAUACCAUGAUGUCUCUUAUCGAAUUACAACUAUCGUUUAUGGGUUAGGCAUUAGAGACAACCGCAUUCACUUUAAAUAGGGAACCACGCAAUUCCGUUGAGACGACACCGUAUGAACUAUGGUUUAGAGAAACCUAAGCUGUCGUUUCUUAAAAGUUUGGGGCUGCGACGCUUAUGUGAAAAAGUUUCAGGCUGAUAAGCUCGAACCCAAAGCGGAUAAAUGCAUCUUCAUAGAAUACCCAAAACAGUUGGGUAUACCUCCUAUUUCAGAUCUGGAAGCAAAAGUGAUUGUUUCUAGAAAUGGGUCCUUUCUCGAGGAAAAGUUUCUCUCGAAAGAAUUGAGUGGGAGGAUGGUGGAGACUUGAUGAGGUCAUUGAACCGUCACUUCAACUAAUGUGUAGCAGGGCACAGGAAGUUGUUCCUGUGGCACCUACACCAAUUGAAGUGGAAGCUUAUGAUAGUGAUCAUGAAACUUCAGAUCAACUCACUACCAAACCUCAUAGGACGACAAGGAUGCGUACUACUUCAGAGUGGUACGUAAUCCUGUCUUGGAAGUCAUGUUGCUAGACAACAAUGAACCUACGAGCUAUGGAGAAGCGAUGGUGGGCCCGGAUUCCGACGAAUGGCUCGAGGCCAUAAAAUCCGAGAGGAUCCAUGUAUGAAAACAAAGUAUAGACUUUGGAAGAACUACUUGAUGGUCGUAAGGCUGUUGGGUACAGAUGGAUUUUAAAGGGAAGACAAACAAUGAUGGUAAGUGUCACCAUUAAGAAAGCUCGACUUGUCGUUAAGAUGUUUUCCGGCAAGUUCAAGGAGUUGACUGCGAUGAGACUUUCUCACUCGUAGCGAUGCUAAGAGUCUGUUAGAAUUAUAUUAGCAGUUACUGCAUUAUUUAUGAAAUCUUGCAGAUAGGAUGUCAAAACAUUGUUUCCUCGACGAUUUUCUUGAGGAAAGGUUGUAUGUGAUACAACCAGAAGGUUUUGUCAAUCCUGAAAGAUGCUAACAAGUAUGCAAAGCUCCAGCAAUCCUUCUAAGGAUUGGAGUAAGCAUCUCGGAGUUGGAAUGAACGCUUUGAUGAGAUGAUCAAAGAUUUUGGGUUUAUACAAAGUUCAUGAGAAACUUGUAUUUCCAAAGAAGUCAGUGGGAGCACUAUAGAAUUUUUGAUGAGUAUAUGUUGUUAACAUAUUGUUGAUCAGAAAUGAUGUAGAAUUUCUGGAAAGCAUCCAGGGUUGUUUGAAAAGUGUUUUUAAUGGAAAACCUAGAUUAACCUACUUGAACAUUGAGCAUCAAGAUCUAUAAGGAUAGAUCAAAAAUGCUUAAUAGUACUUUCAAAUGAAUACAUACCGUGACAAGAUUUUGAAGGAGUUCAAAAUAGAUCAGCAAAGAAGGAGUUCUUGGCUGUGUUACAAGGUGUGAGUAUUGAGUAAGACUCAAGACCUGACCACGGCAGAAGAAAGAGAAAGGACGAAGGUCGUCCCCUAUGCUUUAGACGUAGGCUUUGCAAUAUGCUAUGCUGUGUACCGCACCUGAAGUGUGCCUUGCCAUGAGUUAGUCAAGGGGUACAAUAGUGAUCCAGCAACGAAUCACAUGACAGCGGUCGAACUUAUCCUUAGUAUCUAGUGGACUAAGGAAUUUUCUUGAUUAUGGAGGUGGAAAGGGGGUUCGUCGUAAAGGGUUAUGUCGAUACAAACUUUGACACUAAUCCGGAUGACUCUGAGUAGUGAACCAGAUUCGUAUAGUAGAGCAGUUAUUUGGAAUAGCUCCAAGUAGCGCGUGGUAGCUGCAUCUACAAGAUGACAUAGAGAUUUGUAAAGCACACACGGAUCUGAAUGUGGCAGACCCGUUGACUAAAACCUCUCUCGUAAGCAUAACAUGAUCAAACCCUAGAACUCAUUGACUGUUAAUCACAUGGUGAUGUGAACUAGAUUAUUGACUCUAGUAAACUCUUGGGUAUUAGUCACAUGGCGAUGUGAACUUUGAGUGUUAAUCACAUGGUGAUGUGAACUAGAUUAUUGACUCUAGUGCAAGUGGAAGACUGUUGGAAAUAUGCCCUAGAGGCAAUAAUAAAAUGGUUAUUAUUGUAUUCCCUUGUUCAUGCUAUAAUUGUAUUAACUGGAAACCGUAAUACAUGUGUGAAUACAUAGACCAGAACAUGUCCCUAGUAAGCCUCUAGUUGACUAGCUCGUUGAUCAAUAGAUGGUUAUGGUUUCCUGACCAUGGACAUUGGAUGUCAUUGAUAACGGGAUCACAUCAUUAGGAGAAUGAUGUGAUGGACAAGACCCAAUCCUAAGCAUAGCACAAGAUCGUGUAGUUCGUUUGCUAGAGCUUUUCUAAUGUCAAGUAUCAUUUCCUUAGACCAUGAGAUUGUGCAACUCCCGGAUACCGUAGGAAUGCUUUGGGUGUACCAAACGUCACAACGUAACUCGGUGGCUGUAAAGGUGCACUACAGGUAUCUCCGAAAGUGUCUGUUGGGUUGGCACGAAUCGAGACUGGGAUUUGUCACUCCGUAUGACGGAGAGGUAUCUCUGGGCCCACUCGAUAAUGCAUCAUCAUAAUGAGCUCAAUGUGACUAAGGAGUUAGCCACGGGAUCAUGCGUUACGGUACGAGUAAAGUGACUUGCCGGUAACGAGAUUGAACAAGGUAUUGGGAUACCGACGAUUGAAUCUCGGGCAAGUAACGUACCGAUUGACAAAGGGAAUUGUAUACGGGAUUGAUUGAAUCCUCGACAUCGUGGUUCAUCUGAUGAUAUCAUCGUGGAACAUGUGGGAGCCAACAUGGGUAUCCAGAUCCCGCUGUUGGUUAUUGACCGGAGAGUCGUCUCGGUCAUGUCUGCAUGUCUCCCGAACCCGUAGGGUCUACACACUUAAGGUUCGGUGACGCUAGGGUUGUAGAGAUAUUAGUAUGCCGAAAUCCGAAAGUCGUUCGAAGUCCCGGAUGAGAUCCCGGACGUCACGAGGAGUUCCGGAAUGGUCCGGAGGUAAAGAUUUAUAUAUGGGAAGUCCUAUUUUGGCCACCGGAAAAUGUUCGGGAAUUUUCGGUAUUGUACCGGGAAGGUUCUAGAAGGUUCCGAAGUGGGGCCCACCUGCAUGGGGGGACCCACAUGAACGUGGGUAGUGGGGGCAAGGCCCCACACCCCUGGUCAAGGCGCACCAAGAUCCCACCUUAGAAGGAAUAAGAUCAUAUCCCGAAGGGAUAAGAUCAAGAUCCCUUAAAAAGGGGGAUAACAAUCGGUGGGGAAGGGAAAUGAUGGGAUUUCUUUCCGCCACCUUUUCCAACGCCCCAAUGGACUUGGAGGGCAAGAAACCAGCCCCCUCCACCCCUAUAUAUAGUGGGGAGGCGCAUGGGAGCAGCACCCCAAGCCCUGGCGCCUCCCUCCCUCCCGUGACACCUCUUCCUCCCCGCUUGCGCUUGGCGAAGCCCUGCCGGGAUCCCGCUACUUCCACCACCACGCCGUCGUGCUGCUGGAUCUCCAUCAACUUCUCCUCCCCCCUUGCUGGAUCAAGAAGGAGGAGACGUCCCGCUCCGUACGUGUGUUGAACGCGGAGGUGCCGUCCGUUCGGCGCUAGGUUCAUCGGUGAUUUGGAUCACGACGAGUACGACUCCAUCAACCCCGUUCUCUUGAACGCUUCCGCUCGCGAUCUACAAGGGUAUGUAGAUGCACUCCUCCCCUCUCGUUGCUAGCAUCUCCUACAUUGAUCUUGGUGACACGUAGGAAGAUUUUGAAUUUCUGCUACGUUCCCCAACACUCACAUAUAACCACUAUGAUAUUGAAUUUGUACUGCCGGUUUACAUGACCUGUGCAAUAAGGGUGAUAACCCAAUCUUUAGAAAUCAAGACUUCCAAAUGUUUAUGAUUGUCAUAUGAUGGCGACUUAUCAACCAAAGUCAAGCCGGGUUAAUCGAAGCCACAUAUAUACUUCAGAUAUGAUCAAAAGAACUUCAAAUAAAAUACAAAAUUUUGUUUGCAAAAAGAGACUUCAAAAAUUUUGAGGCUUCUGAUUCGAAUACUAUCAGAAAACCGUCCCAAAGGGGUUAAGCUAAGAUUCGAAUACGAUCAUAUAGCCCCCAGUGGCUUUGGCGUUGCCGAUCAAGAGGGUACCGACAGCUAUGUUCUCUUUGGUUCGAAUACGACCUAUGUUUGAACAGGAAGCCCCCAAAUGACCUGGAGAGUUGUUUAACGACGCUGAUUCGAAUACGAUCCAUGUCGGUUCCCAAAAGGGGUUGAGCUAUGAUUCGAAUACGAUCAAGAAGCCCCCUAGUGAGCUCAGCAGUGUGCCGAUCAAGAGGGUACCGACAGCUAUGUUCUCUUUGGUUCGGAUACGACCUAUGUUUGAACAGGAAGCCCCCAAGUGAUCUUGAGAAUAUUUAACGACUCUCAUUCCAAUACGAUCAGGGUCACACCAAAAGGGUUAAGCUAAAUUUGAAUACGAUCAGCUCCCAACGGUCAUUAAAGCAGGUAGUUAUGUUUGAGUUGUGCUUUGUAACAGACUCUCCUUGGUCCCUUUAAUUUUUCUUGAAAACUUGAACUUUGCGAGAGAUAAAAUCUUUUUAAAACCGGAAGUUCUUAAACCGGAUAUUAAGAGUUUCAAAGCAUGGUGAUAGACAAAUUUACCUUGAACCGGGUUUUGAACCGGAUUUGAGAUCUUCAAAGCAUUGUGGCAGAUAAAUUUCAUUUGAACCGGAUUUUAAACCGGACAUUAAGAGCUUCAAUGCUUUGUGGGAGAUGUCAAGUCUCUUGAUAAGGAUCUAAACCGGAAUCCUUCUUUUUAAGCCAGAUAUUUUUCUGACGGUCUUUAAAUUUUUACCAAUAUGGCGGUAGCCUCCGGGACCGGGUUAUUUUUUUCCUCCAAUGACCCAGAGUUCUUGAAUGCAUUGAAACCGACCAAUGUUGCCGAGUCAUAUCAUUGUAACCCCUGAGUCUCAAAACGACUCAAGGAGUUGGCUUUGAGAUUCUCCAUAUUGACCAUAGCAUAAGGUGUAUAUCAUUGGUGUUGAUAGUGCGAUGUGAAUCCACAGAAGGUUGAGGUGACUGCGGCGGAUUAUAAAUGAUCAUGUAUGAGCCGUGUCAGCAACUCGGCCAAUGGUCCCUUCCAACUGGCUGUUUGAAGUUAACCAAACUAUAGUGGCGGCGACUUGUGCGCCUGCCCAUUUAAACCAUCCAGUGUAGACGGCGGCUGAUAAUACAUGAUAAUUUGCCUCCAAUUUUGUUGGAAGAAAAACCAGGCUUCCCAAGCAGUGACUUGCUCAUACUCGAUGAUCAGCUCACGCAGACAGGUGCGGCCCGGUAUGUUGAUAUAGACCAGGCCGCAAGAGACAGAUGGUAAAAACAACCGUGGCAUCAAAGGUGGUACAGACAGAUGAGUUGGUCACGACGUUGUAAACCGGUGUGGUCGGGCGAGUCAAUCGCCGGCGCGGUAAGCCGCGCGGAUGGGCGAGUCAACCACGUCGUGUUGAUGUAGUGAACAAUUGUCCUACAUCAAAAACAUCGCAAGCAAGAGUAAUUGCUCUUUUUUAAAGAAAACAAUAUAUAAUAUAUAAAAAUUUACUGGAUUGAUUUCACCUGAUAUGUUAGGCCAGAAAAUAUCCACCGCGGAGUUGAUCAUCACGACGGUGAAGCUGAAAUCAAUCACGGCCGAGUCGGCCGCGGGAACAGACAGACGGGUCGGCCGCGGCGUUGUAAGCCGGUGCGGUCGGGCGAGUCAAUCGCAUGAGCGAUAAGCCACGCGGACGCUGAGUCGGCCGCGGGGGCGGACAGGUAAGUUGUCCGUCACAUUGUAAGGCGGCGCGUUGAUGUAGACCGGACCACAGGGGCGGUGGCUUGCGCCCACCUGUUGACCAGUAAGCGGUCGCAGAUGCCGUUGCAUGAUGAUGCUACCGCACACUCCAUGGAUACGGCAUUACACCAUCUUUAUGAUGAAUCCUUGUCCUGCACAUAAAAGUGUACAUAGCAAAGCGAUUGUUUUUUGACAAAAAACAAUAUGCGCUUAAUAAAAUAAUCUUAGAUGGAUAUCACCUGAUUUGUUCGGAUGACCGAUGAUCCAUUCAAUGCAACAAAAAACGGCUCUGGUAGACCGGUAACCCAUGGCGAGUCAACACAGCAGAAGCGACUCAACGCAGCCCCGGCAGCUCGAGGCACGGCGGGUCUCAGCUCACGGCGGGUUGAGGUGUGGCGGUUCAAGGUCACAGCGGGGGGACUCGCAGGCUCAGGCGAGGCCGUUUUGAAGAUGGUUGGCAGCGGCGCGGUGACUCGCCACGGUGCGCCGAAAUAGCAGCAGCGUAGUGGGAGAAACAGCCGGUCUGUUGAUUUUGACCGUGAUGUGAAGCUCGCGGGGCAGCCACGAAGGCGCUGGGACGGAGUGGCUCCGAUGUGCGAGACGUGCCACCACAAGGACGCACGUAGGAGAAGACCAGAGGGGCAUCGAAGUCGGGUCCGCGGCGGCUCUGGAGAUGACAAGUGUGCGGGAGGCAAGGCCGUGCUGGCCAGCAGAAAACGGCGAGGUGCCGGCGACUUAGCGUAAAACCGCGGGUCAGAGGCGGCUCGGAGUUGAGUCCAUGUCCUGCUCUGGUCGUUGUUGGUUUGACAAUUCCCUUUAAGUGCUCCUUUAAAAUUUCCUUCAUCACACGUGGUGUCGUGCCAGGCAACAGCAUGGCCGGACUAAAAAUCCACUAGACCUUGAUUUUUAAUGCUCCUGUAGAUCUUGGGGACUGCGUGUGAGCUGACUAUUAAAACCUUCAAAUUCAUGCACGUACAGUGGCUGUACUAGUUGAUGCUACGUGCAGAAGGUAAGGUAAUCUAUCAGGCUUUGUUUUUCGCGUUGAUCAGCACUUGGACCCUUGAUCAACAGUUGGCUUGAUCCGGAGACUUCACAGGGCUGAAGCAAACUGUCUUGAUCGCCGCUGUACCAACAGAUGGCGCUCGUGACGCGUGUUUGGCUGUCUUUGAUCACCUCGGACUUGGACAGCUAUAUAUGGACCAGCAGAAGCGACCUGGCGAAUCGGACACGGCGGCUAGAUUUGACAGCGGCACAGUAGAAAUUCGAGUCGGCCUCGGUGUACUGCUGCAGCAGAAACUAACCCGGACUCGACGGAUCAUCUAAUUGUGGCGGCGCUCACCAUGCAACUCUAAUCUUUCUUGAAUUCAGACCUCGUACGAGUAUUAGAUCUGACUGCUCGCUUUGGAGACAAUGUAAAUCCUUCCGCGACGAUUCUUCUUUCAUCCGAAGAAAUUGUCAACUUCUCGACCCUUGAAAGAGAUCCCUCCAAGAACUCAUCACCACCGUGCGCAGCCCCACGGUGGGCGCCAACUGUCGUGGAAUUGUCACGGCAGAUGUCCUAGUGUGAGGACUUAGUCGUGAGGCCAACGCAUCUAUGCGGUAGCUUGAGAGGGGUUGAUUGGGAUGAGAGACGCAACACACAAGACAAGAAUUUAGACAGCUUCGGGCCCCGGGAAACAUCAUCCGGUAAUAGCCCUACAUGCUGUUUGUGGCUAGGUCUCAUUAUGAUCAUGAGAGAGUCGCCGGUAAGCCGGCUCUUUGUGUCUAGCCCUAGAGAUUGUUUCUUGUUUCUUGUCCCUCUUGGGGUGCCCUGCCCCUCCUUAUAUAAGUUAGAGGGGCGGGUUACAUACGGAGUCCUAGUAGGAUUAGGACUAGUCUAUCUUUCUUUACAAGUUGAAUACAAGUCCAGGUCUUGCUUCCUUAUGAAGGAAAUAAUCCUCACGCCUUUCAUCUUAAACCGGCCCACCAGAGUAUAAGCCAGCCUGCUGGGCCUUGGGCCUUGUCAUCCGUCUGAUCCGCCCGCCGGGUCUCCAGUGAAUUACAAUGUCUAGGCGGGUUACCCUGUGAACCGCCAUGUUCGGGCGGAUCGCCAGUGAGUCGCCAAGCUUGUCCGGCCGGGUCAUACCGCGGGGUAUAUCCCCGACAGGUGGUCUAAUACGGGUAAAGAAACGCAUUUUUCGCUUUGGAUCCUUUACAAUAAAAGAUGGGUCAAAAAUUCGAUUCUGGGAAGACAAGUGGCUAGAAAAUGCUUGGAUCCAAUAAAAAUAUCUAUCUUUGUACUGCAUCAUUCAUCACAAUAAUGAUACUCUUGUGCUAGUGCUUAUUUCUUUCAUGCCAGAUAUUUCUUUCAGGCGAGAUUUGAUUGGCCUAUGUCUUAUGUGAUGGUAAAAUCAUUAUCCUGAUUGGAUUUAAUUAACCUGACACAAGGGCGGGGAUGUGUUUCAUUGGAAUCUCUCUACAUAUGGGUCCUUCAAGUCAACUUUAUGUACCAUGCACUAACGCAUUCAGAGGUCCUAGUGGAUAAUAAAAUAAUAGAAGAAGAUAUGGGCCAUACUCCCUCCGUCCAGUGAAGAGUGAAAUCUAGAGAUUUUAGGACAAAUUAUGGAGUAAAAUAGAAAAUGCAUUGGAAAGGUGCAAGCCACCAUCUUUCUUCUCUUUAAUUAUCCAAUCCCUAAUGUGUUUAGUGCAUGUAAAAAUUAAGAAGACCAUGUGUAGAUUGUUAUUGGUCUUGGUUACCAUGUGAUGAGAGAGAAAUAUAUUUUUUUCUACUUUAAAGUGCAUUGAGAAGAUAGAAGUACACUCUUUUGUGGACAAAUUUUAAAGCCAAACGUACACUCUUCACCGGACGGAGGGAGUAUAUUAAUUCCUAGUGUGACUUAAUGUUGACAUGAAUUGAUACAGGUGGAUAUAGUUACUCUGCGUCCGUAAAUAAAGGUCAUCAUUUUUGUUGCUCUAGGGACCCAUAAAUGAUAGGGACUGUCCGCUACCAGCUACCCUGAUGACUCCAUUCGCUGCCCCUCAAACAUGGGUUCCCGACAUGUUCUCAGGGUCUGCCCGUGGUUCCAUGUUCUGGCCUUCGGGGUUGGUUUAACUAGUGGUAUGGGGGUUCUUGCAUCGCCCUGUACUCUCGAUCGGGACCCUUUAAUGCUAGCACUUCUGGUGACAUACAGUGCGUGUAUUUAAAGGCCAGGCAUGCAUCCUCCGUGCCAAAGAAAAUUCAUUCGGCGGCUACACGGGGAGAGUUGUGGCAGCAAAUCCGGGAUGCCAGCUUUUUGUUUUGGGUUUCGAUUGUCAAAGUUUUAGAUCUUAAAAAAACUAAAAUUAAGUGUUGUUUUCAUAUUCGUGUUUCUCGUGACCACUGUUUUGAAAUAAUAUCCGUUUUGAAUAUAUAUUUUGACGACUUUAAAAAAUAUUAAGUUUCAUAUGUUGAAACUUAGUACGGGCAACCAGUAAAAAUCAAUUAUUUUGUACCUACGCCUGACAGAAAAAUGCUUACAUUUAUAUCUCUGAAACUUGCUGAAACUUUGCAUUUUUCAUCAUUGAAACUUAAAACUUUUUGAGGGAUUUUCUUUUUUACUGUGCCCUCAUGUGGGAUUCAACUACUCUUUUCUCUUCCGCGAGAUCCACAUGAAAAAAAGCACAAAUUUAAGAUGAGUGCAGGGCUUGGCAGAUGAGUGCCCUGCACUUACAUGCCCCUGCGAAUUUCCGCAGCUACUAGAUAUUUUUGGCAAAUUUAUUGUUUGCUCUUUUACAGGUGUGCCACUUAAGUAUUUAAACCUAUAAGGAUUUCUGCACUGGUGCUAAACUCACUUAUGAGAGCAUACCGGAUUUUCUCAUAUGAGCUAACAAAGAAUCAAACAUAGUUAUAUCUUGUAUUAUUUUCUCAUUAAUUACUUACCCACUGGGCUGAAGCAGUUAUUGUAGCAUAUCAUGCAACACUCAUGGUUUUCCAACAUGUUUCCUUAAGGGGUCUUAAUCAAGAUGAUUUACAUUCAAAAACAAUCAUUGAGUAUGGAUCAUUAAGAAUAAUUUGAUCCUACUUAAUCCAUGCUUAGGAAAUAAGAAAAUGGUUACUCAAUGAGCAAACGCUGCCUGUUGCUGCCUCCUCACCAACAAACUUUGGUUCUUCACAUCCCUUACCGAAGAGGCACCUUUACAUUGCAUCCCUUGUAUACUACUAUAUAUAUGUGAUCUUCAUAAAGAGUUCAGCGAUUUCUCCAUUGUUGAGUUCCUUACACUCAAUAUUCAAUAAUAGUUAUUUCCAAAUUCACAUAAUCAGUUGGCAGGAUGGUCACCAAAGUACAUUCAUCCAUCGAAAGAAACACACAAAAGAAAACAGUAACAGCACCAAAAAAACUACACGUUGUCCAAUUAUGAAUAAUGUUUCGUCCGUGUAACAAGAGCUUCGACGGUCAUUUUCUUAAGCAUAAUUAAAUAAAAAACUAAUCAUAGACUCUGAUUGUAAAGCAUUCCAAAAGAAAUUCAUAUGUCAGUUCUUCAACGCUUAUUGUGUUGGAAGCCUGUCCUCAAAUAUUCUCUCCUUCGCCUUGUCGGCCUGCAAAUAAAUAUCAGUUAUUUUUUCUUACUAUCCUUGGUACCAGUGCUUAGGGUUUUGAUAGACAGGUCGCUAGUUAUUGAAAUGAAACAUUUAAGACAAGGAGAAGCAUGCAUUAGGGCAACUCCAACUAUGUGCAUCAAAUCGGACACAUCUAACAUUCAUGGGCACGUCCGGACGUGUCCACAAAGAGCAUAUAGGGGGCGGCCAUCCAAGCCUAUGCACCAAAUGUCCGCACCUUUUCAAAGAAAAUAAAAUAAAGCUAGACCAAAUGUUGGCUCACUUUAAAUCAUCGAUCGAUAGCAAUUCAAAAGUGUUGGAUGAAAGUACUUCUCGAAAGCAGCCUUCAUUACAUACUUUCUCUCCUCGAGUUUGCACUUCUUCAUUACAAAUGUUGUUCAUCCAGAUGUUGUGCCCUUUGAGCUUCAUCCAACAGUGCAUAAAUGCGAAGAACUUGCCCUCCGUCCUUUGGUAUAGCAUGGGCUGCGCGUCUGGGCUAUACAAUGACGUGAUCAUCAAGUGUAACAUUGAGCAAUUUGCCAUUUGUGCUUGCUUCAUGUUAAACAAGGAGAAAGUCAAAGAAAUUCUCAAUGGUAUUUGGCCGAACACUUGCCGGGGUUGGCCUCCAUUAUGGAGGGCAUCGGCAAGGGGGCGGCCAAUGCAUGGGCUGCCGCCGGAUACUGGGUGCAACCGCGGCGAAGUACAAUGCGCCUGGUGGAGCAAUGGAGGUCUAGCAAGGCCUAGGCGCGGGACGGAGUGGUAUAGCAGCGGCGGUCUUGGUGGGUGCGGAUACAGAUUAAGAGUGGGACNNNNNNNNNNNNNNNNNNNNNNNNNNNNNNNNNNNNNNNNNNNNNNNNNNNNNNNNNNNNNNNNNNNNNNNNNNNNNNNNNNNNNNNNNNNNNNNNNNNNNNNNNNNNNNNNNNNNNNNNNNNNNNNNNNNNNNNNNNNNNNNNNNNNNNNNNNNNNNNNNNNNNNNNNNNNNNNNNNNNNNNNNNNNNNNNNNNNNNNNNNNNNNNNNNNNNNNNNNNNNNNNNNNNNNNNNNNNNNNNNNNNNNNNNNNNNNNNNNNNNNNNNNNNNNNNNNNNNNNNNNNNNNNNNNNNNNNNNAUAGUCCGACCAGGCGGGCGUCCGGACUCCCAAACCUCCAAUGAGUUUGCUUCCGGUUUGGCUGAUGUUGGACGUCCGGAUUAGGCCGCGGGCAUUUGAUGCAUGGCAGUGGAUGGCAAAAAAUGUACAGGCAGCGCAGUCCGGACCUUGCGGGCAAUUUGAUGCAUGGCAUUGGAGUUGCCCUUAGCAAUACCUAAGGCAUGUUCUGAUCACGAAUCAUCAGGCAUAAAAACUGAGAAAGGACUUACCAUCUUGUUCCAGUUUGUGGUAGCCGUAAUAACAGACAGGAGAGUGACCUGUGUGGCUCCACCAGCCAGUAUGCCAAUCCAAAACCCCUUUGCUCUUAGUUGCAUUGCAAAACCAAAGUAGAGUGCAACGGGGAUACCAACAAGAUAGAAGGCACCCAGGUUAACAUAAGCCCCUAGAUGCUGCCAUCCACAGCCCCGAGACACACCUGAGUGGUGCAAUGGAAGCAUUCAGUCUAUUAGUUUAAUUUAGUUUAUGAUGCUAUAUGCCAAAAGAAAGACAUGUGGAUACCUUGAAGGACUGCCAUGAGGCUGUCUGUAAUUGCUGAAAUGGAAAGUAGGGGUACCAUUCUUGUGACAUAACGCCUGACCUCUUCCUCAUUGCUGAACGCAAUUCCAAUAAAGUGGCGCAGUAAUAGAAGAGUUGUGCUCACUAAGAAUGCUGAGCAGACCACAAUAGACAAGGCAACACACACCACCAAGCGGGGACCUUGUGUGUUGCCGGCGCCUAAUUCAUUUGAGACGCGCACACUGGCACACGGACAACAUAUAUACGUAGCAUGUUAAAUUCUGUAGAAACAGGUGAUACUGACGAUAUAUAGCAACAAAUGCACUAGCUAGUAGCUACCCACCUGGUAGCUAUUCCAAUGCCGUAAGGAAGGUUGGCCAACAGUAUCAUUGUAGAUACGCUGUUCCAAAAGGACAUCAGUAUGGUAAACUUCAUAGAAUAUGAUGGAUUCAAGUAUAAUCUUAUUUAGGGUUCUACUAAUGCAUACCAUAUAGAAAGCACAGAGGUUUCCAGUGCAGGAUUUGGUAACAUCCCGGAAAGCAGAACAAGCAGCUCGUAAGACCACCACUCCAGACUGUGGUCAAGGAAAGCUAGGUUAAUAUUCAGAGGUUUCCGGGAUGUUUUGAUGCUAGAGAAUACAUAAUUAGAAGCUAAACUUAAAGUAAUAUAUGUGCAGAAAUUAUCCAGUUCAUUUCAAGAGGAGAGGGAAGAAUAUAUCCAGUGGUAUUGCGAGCGGGUGGCAAAAAAACAAAAGGUAUCUGAUCAGGAUCUGCUCACAACAAAGGCGAAGACGAAGACGGACUUUCUUUUGUUGAAAGAUGUCUUCACAACAAAGACGAAGAGGAAAACAAACUUGAUUUGGACAAUCAAUCCGAGACGAGCCGACAUUUCAAAUUUUCAAAUGGUUUGUAAAAGACCAUCAUCCUUUUCUGACAGUAUUCUAACAGACCAAUCAAGUGUGCAAGGGUGCUGUGGCAAGAACAACAGAAAAAUAGUAUUUCCUCCAUCCGAAAAUAAGUGUCGCUCAAAUAGAUGUAUCUGGACGUAUUUUAGUGCUAGAUACAUCCGUUUGAGCGGUACUUAUUUCCAGACGGAGGGAGUAGGUAUGAACGAACAUAAGUAGAAAGAGAUAUAAAAAAUAGCAACAAUGCUUGGAUCUUAUGGGCUGCAAGUGCACCACUAUUAAAAAGGUUUUGCCACGUACUUGUUAUUAUUAAUAUAUUUUUUGAGAGGAACGUACUUGUUAUUUUCCAUGCUGACACCUUUAGAAACGUUGGCUACUGAUACACAAACUAUAUAGAUUUGUCACAUGAAGAUACCAUUAGUGUUAUGAAUGAUCACAUCAUUAUAAUUAUAAUCUUAAUUAUUUGCCAAAAGGUGCACGUUGGAAACUAUAUUAAUGUCCACAAGAACAAGUAAAAGUGAAUGAAGAGUGCAUAAGAGUUUGCUGUAUUGGACAAUAUUUUGCUUGCCAAAAUAUGAAAUACUAGAUAAAAUAGCAUAUGUUAUUUUUUGUGCUAGAGGUUAAAACAACAUCAUUAUAGAAACAUGGCAAAUAACAUUUACUUACCAAAUCAUAAGAGCCGAUGGUACAGCCAAACGCAUGAAACUGCCAAUCCCUCUAAAAGCUUCCCACGAUGGUGGAGCGCGUGUUUUCUCACAAGAGGGUGAGAACUUAAUGUAAAGGCCAAGAAAAGUCACUUCAACCCAAUCACAAAUGCUAACGGAUAAAGCAGCUCCAGCAUUACCCAUCCCAACUUUGUAAACCAUGAACCAGCAAAGAGGAAGAAAUACCGCAAUUGUAAUCAAGGAGCUAAGAACCAUUGGAAAUAUUAGGCUUUGACAUUGCAGAAACUUUGAAAAGCAUUGAGUAACACCGAAGGCAAAUAAACCAGGGAUAAGCCAUAAUGCAUAUUUGCCAGCCUCAUUUGCAAUUUGUGGUUCCUGGCCCAUGAGAGGAAGUACUUCCGGGAUGAAACACCAAACAAUGGAGAUGGGCACACUCACAACAAGAAGUGCAAUGAUGGACCUGUAGGUACAUAAAGAUAAUGUAUGAUAUUGUUCUGCUCCAUAGGCCUGCCCACAAAGAGUUUCCAAUCCGCCUGCCAGUCCAAUCUAAAAGGGAAACUGCAUCAGUAACAAAUUAUACAUAUUGUUGCUGAAUAAAUGGAAGUUAAACUAGGAUAAAGUGCAUCGACAUUACUGAAAGAAGAGUUUUGCUACACCUACACAUUAAUCUUAUGGAAUUAAAUUUACAGGAUGAGGUGGCAACAUCUGAUUGGAAGGGAGGAGACUCAUAGUAAAUUCGGGGAAGACGGGUUACUUGGAGGUUAGGGGGGAGGGGUGGCAGUCCAUACGGGUCGCUCAUAAGUUUGGAUUUUCGCUGAAAGAAUAUCAAGAAUAACAAACGUGGCUUGUGCAAGGUGGGCAACAGUUGCUAUGAAGAUUUUGUUUCAAUCAUCACUGCAAAGAAUGCGAACAUCACCCUGGCCGAAUUUUCUCAACACCCAACUCAGUCGGAUCAAGUGACUGAUUAUAUUUUUCGCGGGAAUAUAAUAGAUCGAUAUUGCCCACCGAAACUAGCUAUAUGUACAGCGGGGUGGGGUGAAUCAAGCACCACAGGUCCAUUGUAAAAAAGAUUAAUCGAACGACCUAGCUAGCCGCGUGCGGUCGGCGCUAAUCAGAAAGGUUGAGAAAUGGAACCAUCUGAUUUGAUUCAUUCCCAGUAGUCAUGAGAUGAUCAUUUUUUUUUAGAAAAGAGGGGAGAUCCUGAAUGAUCCACACAACCUUUUGUUUAUCAUAUCAAAGUACAUCAUCUGACCAUAACAAAGUUCAUCUUGCCAACGGAUGCUUCUAUUACACUCGUGGUCUCUAAAAGAUGAGAACCCACUAUGUAGCAUCCACAUCAAUAAUUCAAGCAUUUAUGUCCUUAGUACGAUUCUUUGUAGGAACUAUCCGUAAUAACAAAGAACAUCAGAAGUAGCAGAGAUCUCCGCACGAUGCAACUGGAUAAAUGGCGGUCGCAUGGAGGGAGAAGACACUGAGACAUCUGGACCGGUCGCCGAUCUUGUACACAUCCGGAUGGGAUUCAGGGGCUGCUCUAACGGAAUUGAAAGUACCAAUAGCUAAACAUAAACGAAAUAAAUUAAUGUGCGCUGCAUGCUUGCUCACAAGGACGCUGAAGCCGGAGACGUUGGUGAGGGAGUUGGCGAUGGCCGCACCGGCGAGCGCGACGUCGCCGAGGUGCCCCACCAUGACGGUGGAGAUGAACUGCAUCGUGACCUGCAGCAGCAUCACCACCACCAUCGGCGCCGCAAGCCCCGCCAGCUGCGCGGCUUCCCUACACCAGCGCCGGCUGGUACUGCCGGGCUCUUCCCACCUCGCGGCCAGCAGCGGCGCAUCGGAAGAAGAGUCCAUGGAUCCCCCCGACCAAAGCUCUGCCCAAGCAACGUGGGUGUGGUUAAUGAAAAUGGUAAAUGCGGGAGCUACCAUCCGUCUAGCUGUCUCCCUUUGCACAAUGCAUGGAGCUCGAACUAUAUAUAGAGUAUUACUCCAGUCGUAGUAGCUACGGAAACUAUUUCCUCUGUCCAGAUUUAUUAGUUUUGUCAGAGCAUCGGUAAUUGAGGAGCUAAUUUGAUUUCAUAUACAUCCACUGACCCGUCUUGGCGCUGUUCAGGCAUAUUCACUUAAGCCCACAUUUAUCUGUGCACGCAGUGGUAACCCCACUUUUCUCCCUAUUAUAUGCCCGAUUACAUGCAUAUGAAUGGUAGGGACAGAACCUCAAAAAAAAAAGAAUGGUAAGGACAAAAAAAGAAAAUAAAAGAAAAUAGUGAAGGUGAAAAAGUGGUCCGGACUCUGGAGUGUGCCAAAUUCGACGUGGCAGACUGCUCAGACAUACCACAACAUCUCAUACCCUUUCCACGUAUGGGCUCGGUAUAAGGGGUGCCAGAAAGCCCGCGCCCAUGUAUAUAGUUUUGAGUUAAUGAUACUCCCUUUCAUCCAUAUUACUUGUCACACGGACGUAUUUAGACGUUUUUCAGUGCUAGAUAAAUUCGUUUGAGCGACAAGUACACUAGUAGAAAAAGGACCUUACGUGAGACACAUUAGUCCCGGUUCAAUUUUGGCUCGGUACUAAUGGUAUUAGUCCCGGUUCAAACGGCUAUGCAUUAGUCCCGGUUCAUGUUGAACCUUUAGUACCGGUUCGUGCCACUAACCGCUACUAAAGGGGUGGUGGCAGGCUGGCGUCAGGCCGGGGCCCCACGAGCCCCUUUGACUAAAGGGGUUUAACCUUUAGUCCCGGUUGGAGACACAAACCGGGACUAAAGGGCAAUUAUCAAACUCUACCCCCCUCCCCUCUCCCUGUCUAUCGCCAUUUCAGUUUUGAAAAAAACAAAACAAAAUGAUAAAAACUUCAAAAAUUAAGAUCCUUCGAGAUGUAGUUAUGUUACUACAUCUACUAGUUAGGAAAAUUUAAAAACUUAAAUUUGGACAUGUUUUGCAAAAAAAUAUGAUGAAAAGGUAAAACAACUAUAUCUUUUGCAUCCGAUAUCGGAAAACAACGUAUAAUAUAUCAAAAUGUUCAGCACGAAAAUACGCAUCCGAUUUUGACGGCUGUAGGCCGUUUUGCAAAUUUUUAGAAUCCUCAAACUCUAAAAGGAAAAAAGUUAUGCUCACAUUUCAGUUUUUUUUUUGAAUUUUGGUCAAACUGUGGUCAAACUACUUAUUCAAGAAAUAUUAGUGUUACUAAAUAAUUAUUUCAGUUUUUUGAAUUUUGGUCAAAUCUGGUCAAACUAUGGUCAAACUACUUACUCAAGAAAUAUUAAUGUUACUAAAUAAUUAGUGUUUUUUAGAAUAAUAGUUUCAAACUCAAACGAUGAACGUGUGACUUCAUGCUCAAGCUAAACUCCUGAGGGUUAAUAGGAUUGACAGCUUAAUAUUGUUAGGAAACAACAAGUGCGGACUUGGAAACUAGGGGGAAUAGAACUCAGAAGUUAAGCGUGCUCAGGCUGGAGUAGUAAGACGAUGGGUGACCGGCCGGAAACUUAGGUGAUUUGGGAUGAGUGAUCCACACUUGAGCAGUUAUGAGUGGUGAUUAGAGACUAAAUCGUCAAAUAAUUAAGAAAAUUGAAAAUCGGGAAAAAAAUCAAAGUUUUUUCCAAAAAAUUCAAAAAAAAAACCUUUAGUCCAGGUUGGUGUUACCAGCCGGGACUAAAGGUCCCGCAUACCACGGCGCGGGCUCGUGCCACGUGGUGGGCCUUUACUGGCGGUUCGUGUUGAACCGGGACUAAAGGGGGGGCCUUUGGUCUCCAACCUUUAGUGCGGGUUCCGAACCGGCACUAAAGGCCCUUAAGAACCGGCAUGAAAGCUCCGUUUUCUACUAGUGGUAAUACAUAUCAGAUGGAGUAGUGGAUUUAACUAGACGGGGAAGCAACGGAUGGGCGGCGGCUUUCAGAUAUGACGAUGGUGGUCCUACCGGGGUGGCUUGUUCGGCGGAGCGGGUUGGGAUGGCACGGGCCAGAGGCUGCUUCGCUGCCUCCCAAAGGUGGUGGUGGGCUGCGGGUGUAUGCGACAACUCAGAUCCGUCGUGGAUCAUCUGGUUGAUGCGGGAUCGACUCUGGCCUACCUUGGCUUCUCUGACGCGGCUCUGGUGGGCGGAGGGCUAGGUCAUGGCAGGGAGCUCCCCCUGCCUUGGUCUUGUUCGGCCGUCAUGGCAGCGAGCUCCCCCUGCCUUGGUCUUGUUCGGCCGUCAUGGCAGGGAGCUCACCCUACGCGUUUUGGCUCACGGGCUCAGAUGAGUCCGGGAAUGAACAAAAAAUCAUUAAAAAUUACUAAAUAAAUUCAAAAAAAAUCUGAAUUUUUUUUGUGCAGAAAUAUAACUGAGUGUCUGAUGUUCGUACCGAAUUUCAGAACACUUGAAUGUUUGAGUAGCUCUCAGCAAAAAAGGACGAAUUUAAUGUAUGUGAAAAAGGUUACUAUUUGUGCAUUGUCUGGACCCUUUUUUUACUGAGAGCUAAUCCGAUGUCCAAAUGUUUUGAAAUUUGGCACGCACUUCACACACUAAAAUAUCUUCCAUUCAAAAAAAUAGAUUUUAAAAAAAAAAUCUAUUUUUGCUGAAUUUACUGUUCACCAGGUGGAGCAGCGUCGAAGACCACAGACAUGGUGUCGGGCGAGCGCGCUCGGAGACAGAUGUCUGUAGUUGUGUCUCCCCCGGUCCACCGGGACUGGCUGGAGAUGCAGGCGUGGGUGCCUCCUACCAUGGAGGCAUCGAUCCAGACUAUGUGGCUGAUGUAUGGCUAUGAUUGUAAGGGGACGCCAUUUGCUUCUCCUACCGUGGUGGGUGCACCGUGAUGUGGGCGGUUGGUGGUGUCUCUGAUAUGGAUGUCGAGGUGGCAACCCUGGAUGGCGGUCUGAUGGUUCGCUCUCUAGCGGGCCCCAUGGCAGCAGUGAUAGGUGGAGCGACGGGUGGCUCGGGUGUGCUCUUUGUCUCCGGCAGUGGUGACACCUAGAUCCAGAUCUGGAGGUCUGAACUCGUCGUGCUUACCCUGGAGACCUCGUGGUGUCAUGGGGGAGCUGUCGAGUAAAGCCCCAUGCUUUGCCGUCAACGAGGGUGAUGCUCGCGGGUGCCGCUUUGCUCUUAAAGAUAUCACCGUGGUGCUCUUCUUCUUGUCUGGGCUCGGAGUAAAAACCUUUGUUCGGUGUGGACUCAACAACGCUGACACUUAGGGCUAUUCGCUCUCCUAAGAGUGUUGUCGUUGAGCUUAGAUGUUAUAGGGCAUAGUGUGACGUUGCUAUCGGUUCUUCCUAUGCUCACUUUGGUAGUAUAGCUGCAUGCGUUCUGUGUGAUCCGGUUAUCCUGGGAUCUAUUAGAAUAAUCCGAGGCAUACCGUUGAUCAUCCGAGGACCAAGGAACCACACGAGCACGACACCGAGAUUUGUUAACGAGGUUCACCUUGGCUACAUCCCCGGGGCUUGACUAUGGGCGCUCCUCCCCAUGACAUCGCUACAAUACCGCACCCCGUCGCCCUGCACGCCGGCACAUGCCGCCGGCUUCCCUUGCGUUCCUAUGCUAUUAUGUUGGCAUGGGUUACAUCGUGUGUCUACCCCCAUUAUAUAUGAGAGGCCUAGGAUACAAGUGUCCUAUUAGGACACGACUCUAUAUCCUAUCUAAACACAAUACUACUCAAAGUCCAACUCUAACCUAUCUUAUACGCAAUAUUCGACACAACUCUAACAGGAUCUGCAUUGUAUGAGGACUACCUCAUCACCUUGUAUUGGUCAGCCAUGCACUUUGUUCGGUUGUUGCAUUAUACUCUCUCUGUUCAGAAUUAUUGGUCGCAGAAAUGGAUGUAUCUAGUUAUAUUUAUAUAGUUCUAUAUACAUCAAUUUCUAUUCAUUUUUGAGACAGGUAGUCCCGGACGGAAGGAAUAUAUAAAGCGGGGCGCCUGGUUCAAACUUUAAAGAGAGACAUAACCACAAAGGAGACGUAAGAAGGCAAAUAACUACAGCGCAAUUGAUGUCAUGUCAGCAAGAAAUGUUCUUAAGGGCCACUCCACAGCUUCCCACUACGAACCUAAAUCUUCAUGAAACUUGAGAAAAUCAUACUCGACGAAAAUCAUACGCUUGUUUUAGAUGCCUGUCGUCGUUGGUUGCUACAGAAGAUGGAUUUAAAUAAUUGAAAUUAAGUUUUUUUUUAGCACUCUCUCUGAGCCAAAUUAAUUAACAUAGCUCUAGUACAACUUUUUCUUUUUGAGUUUGGACUUGGUUUGGCUGUGUGCAUCUUUUUUUUUGAAAUGUUGGCUGUGUGCAUUUUAGUUAUGCAGAAGCCAGAUAAUACUUAAAAACUUUGUAAGCAAUAAAGCGCCCCUUAUCGAACAAUAGAAUUAUGCAGAGGACUAACACUUAACUCUCGAGUAGUAACUGGUUGAAACUUACCAGCUCUACGUGGUUGAUGUUGACAUCCAAUUUCGAAUACAGAACAUAUUUCCCAAACCAUUCAAAAACAUCACAUUGCCAUCUUGGUUAUUACCCUUUAACCUCCUCACAGCAGAUUCCAUCUGCAUACACUCAGUGUAAGAACGCAGCAGAUCCAUUAAAACAUGUAGUACGAAUUAUCACGUUAUACUAAAAUUUUAGAAUCAACAAGACAUUAGCUACAUAUUGACUUCUUUAAUUAUUUAUGAAGACUGCCUCUAGAGAAUUGUUGGCAUGUCUAUGACGGUAAAUUUGCAGCUCAGUUAAAGUGUGCUUGGUUGGUUAAACAAGGUAUACUAGAUGAUUUUCCCGCGCGUUGCUGCGGGAUUUUAAAGAUUAAUUUUGGAUAUAUUAUAUAAGAAUGAAAUGAUCUAAAUCAAAAGCUAUUAUUUUCAAAAGUAAUUAUAUGUGAACAAAGAGUAUGCAUGUACGUUGGACCAUUGGAGAUGGAACAAUUAAAUUGGAGUAUGCAUGUGCUACAAAAUAAUUCUAGUGGGUGAUGAUAUGUGGAGGGCUGCAUGUUGAGAUAAUUAGACUUAAUGGGAUCAACUAUAUAUUUAUUAUAGAUGGGAUAGGUUGUUUGCUUGGUUGGGUGGAUGGGAGUAUCAAAAAAGAUUAAUUAGCUAAAUGAUACCUCCUAACUUCUACAUUAACACCAUCAAGACCUAGUGAACCUACUUAAGUCAAACCAGAAAAACAUGUACCUGUUUCAGAUAAUCAUCCAUGAACAUGAUUGCAUGGUCAUCAUGCCCAGUACUGAGUUUGAAAACAUGAAGUACAUUGUCUUUCUUCAAUGACUGCAAAAAUGAUUUCUAUAUAUGUUCAGAUUUUCAUCAAAGCAAGGAAAAUUUUCUCUGGUGCAGUUGAAGAUUACUACACAUUGGUAAACAAUAAUCACCAACAGUUUAACACAAGAAUAGCUAGAAAAGAAUCCAAAGGUAAAACACAAACUCAUCAUUGCAUUACAACAGUUGUGUAUACAUAAAGAAUUAUUGCAUAAGUUCAAAACAAUACCUUGAAAUCUCUGGCAGCUUGUGUCCUGUCCUUCACGCUAUUAUAGUUUGGGACUGCAAAAUGAAUGGUUGUGUCACAGCCUACAAGUGAACACAAGAAAAAGGUGAAUUUCGGAUCUGAAUCACCAUUAAAAAAGGAAACAGUUAGAGAAGAAGCACACACUGAGUUUAUAUAACCAUCUUUAUUAUAUAACAACAUGUUACAUGGGAGUAUUGUUACAUCCCUCCAUUAAGAGGAGGAGCAAACAUAAGUACAAGAGUUUAAUAGUGGCCGUGUCCCCCAACCCACAAAUAACUUUGGCACAUGCACGCACAGACCAGAAUUUUGCAACAGAAAACAUCACUAACCUAUGCACACGGUGGCUCUCGCAGCCAGUGAUGGUAGGCCUGAAUCGUCGCUCCACCUCUGCCUUGAUGUUGUUGGCCAUUGUCUGAAGGUCCUGGUUCUCUCCCUCGAACACCAGGUAGCUAUGUUCUCUCCAAAAUCCCUACGGGCCAAAUUUGUACAAUCACUAUCGAGUCCAGGUCUUUUUGCCGAUCUUUUGGCAGUGCUUUUCACCUAGACAGCCACCAAAUUCACCUGAAGUGGCGAGCUGUUCAUUUUAAAAUGACUUGCCACAGUUAUGUCAACCAGGAUCAUUGCUCUCUUUCUCGGCCUCCCGCAGAACUUCACAAGUUAUGAGUUUGCUGUAUGAGUAUAUAACUGAAUGAAGUAGUCUUUGAACCUGCAAACAGAGCACUUAAUCUACUUCUCAACGCACUGGAAUUUUUUGCAAUGUCUCUCUGUACUAAUUGUCCACUGCUACCCUACCACGAAGAAGUAGCGAUUUCUCCACCAAUCCAGCUCGCAAUCGGAUUAAACACUAGGCAAAGAAAUUCCUCUCUGCAACUAUAUAUCCAUACAAAAGUACCAUUUACUCCUGGAUCGAGCACUAAGCCACUAACUGACGGACGGAGAAUGGAUGACUAACCUUCUAGUUGCAACCGCAUGACCUCUGACCUGCCCUGCCGGCGGCUCACAGCGAUGGAUAGCGGACUAGCCUGCCAUCUAGGGUAAUUGCAGACGGCCAGAGUUGCAACGGAGGCCUCAUCGUGAUACACGACGACCUCCGUAGCUGGGAUCAGAUGUAUUUUCUAAUUUGAAUUGAAUAUGUAGUGUCACCAUUCCAGAUUUUUGGUACAUAUGAACAAAAAUAAAUUUAUUCAUGGGCCAUUCAACACUUUUCAACUCAUCGGAUACUGGCUCAGAUCGAGUUCACAUAUCAUUAACAUAUUUCGAACCAAAUCCAUAAUCAUAAAAUCCUCUGGUUUUAUUCAAACAAGCGGUGGAGAUGCCCCAUCCCUCCUAGCAUUGUUUUUCCUUAUCAUUUAGGAUCUCUUCAUUCAGCCUUUAAUAGAUUAAUAACAAAAAAACAUAAGUAUGGCCUAGAUAUAUAAGAUGCUUCAGAAUAGCUGGGCACAAACAAGUUGGCAUGAAACGGUCUAGAACUUCUUUUGCGGGAAAAAAUCUAGACCUUCUCAAAAUCCAACAAAUAAAAUAUGCUCGUUGUCCAUGAUCUAGGAGGGUAUCUACGAAUAGGUACUUAAGGUUUGUUCAUGAAAAGUAUUAAAAUAUUUGGCAAUUUUCCUUUUGGGUAGACAAAGUACCUAGAAAUAUGUAAAUUCAUGCUUAUACACCUGAACAUGCACCAUAGUAGACCAAAUUAUGUUGCCAAAGUAUAACGAACAUAUUAUAUUUUUGAAUAGGUUAUCUGUGUAAAUGGUCUACACAAUUCAAAUAAGUAUCAACUUCAUGCCCAAAAGAUUUAGUAAAAGGUACCGGGUGGUCCCAAUGAAAUAUUUACAUAACAUUACAAACUUAGUCCACCAAAAGAAUGAUUUGAUCCAGAAAAAUCCUUCUUCACACAUAGAUCGAACUGAUGAUGACGUAUCUAGAGUUAGGACCGGAUAUAUGCUAGUAACUUGUAAGCAAUUACCAUCCUUUACAUGUAAGGGAAUUCUAUGAGUCAUGUCAUGAUCUAUACCUCUCAGUUCAUCUUAUCAUCUUAGAGAACAAUACAAAGUUAGUUUUAUAAAAAAGCAACCGAGUCUAGACGAACCCUCCACAUACAAGGCUUUAAUAAUCGAGCAUAUCUUAACAGUCCACACACGAUUGCAACUUAGUCCUACACAGGUUUUGCCUUUCUUGUUUAUGGUUGACAGCCUAUACAAGGUUCCAAACUCGGUUGCAAAAGUGAUACUAUCCUGAUAAAUGUGUGACAUGUAAAGUGAAUAAGGCGAGUCAUAUAUACCACACAUCAGGGUUUCUAUAAUUUGUGUGUGAUCAUAUGCACAACUAAAAAGCAACUUUGAUGAUCAAUCCAAAAGUACGCUUGUAGCUAGUGCAACCUAACACAAUGUACCAAAAAAUCAUUUCUGAUGCAUCCAAAUAGAAUUAUUUAAGUUGAUGCAAAGAAGGAAAGAGGUGGUGCCCGGACUACUAUAAAUAGGCAUGAAGUAUAAUGAUCAUCACAAGCACAAGCAUCAAAACCAAGCAAAAGUAGUUAGCACCAAUCCAUCAUGAAGACCUUCCUCGUCUUUGCCCUCAUCGCCGUUGUGGCGACAAGUGCCAUUGCACAGAUGGAGACUAGCUGCAUCUCUGGUUUGGAGAGACCAUGGCAGCAGCAACCAUUACCACCACAACAGUCAUUUUCACAACAACCACCAUUUUCACAACAACAACAACAACCAUUACCUCAACAACCAUCAUUUUCGCAGCAACAACCACCAUUUUCGCAGCAACAACCAAUUCUAUCGCAGCAACCACCAUUUUCACAGCAACAACAACCAGUUCUACCGCAACAAUCACCAUUUUCGCAGCAACAACAACUAGUUUUACCUCCACAACAACAACAACAACAACUUGUGCAACAGCAAAUCCCUAUUGUUCAGCCAUCCGUUUUGCAGCAGCUAAACCCAUGCAAAGUAUUCCUCCAGCAGCAGUGCAGCCCUGUAGCAAUGCCACAACGUCUUGCUAGGUCACAGAUGUGGCAGCAGAGCAGUUGCCAUGUGAUGCAACAACAAUGUUGCCAGCAAUUGCAGCAAAUCCCCGAACAAUCCCGCUAUGAAGCAAUCCGUGCCAUCAUCUACUCCAUCAUCCUGCAAGAACAACAACAGGGCUUUGUCCAACCUCAGCAGCAACAACCCCAACAGUCAGGUCAAGGUGUCUCCCAAUCCCAACAGCAGUCGCAGCAGCAGCUCGGACAAUGUUCUUUCCAACAACCUCAACAGCAA
rnacentral:lncRNA from 1 species